rnacentral:lncRNA from 1 species
GCACGCGUUUUAUCAGAAACUAUUAAAUAACUUCCUGUCGAUGAAUAUUGAGGUCGCCCUCUUAGUACCAAAAGAUCUGCCACUGAUCUCAAGUAUGCUUCAUUCAUGGUAGCUUUUGCCUUCUUCACCAACUCCAAAGCAUAUCCUAGUGGAUUUUUGCAUAGAGGUUCUGCCUUUGAAACAGCAGCUGGAAAUGCAAAUGCAUUGCCAUAGUAUCCCAAGGGAAGACGUGCUUGUUGGAAAUUAUAUAUUAUAGUAUAAAAUAUUGUAAUAUAUAAUUUUAAUAAUUGAAUGAAAAAUAGUGUUAACCAUAUUUCUUAGAAAGGUUAUAUUAUUUAGGUGCAUUCCCUUGUUAAAUGAUGUAUACUUAUAGAUGAAAAGUAACAUCACUUUAACAAGAAGUACUUGGGUUCUUUAUAAACUCAUGAAACCAUCAUCAUUAAUAUAGAAAUUAGAGUUAAUUUUUACUAUUGAGAAAUAGGGUUUCCCCACACUUUAUUUCUCUCAUGCUUCGUGUGUCAAAUUCCGAGUCGUGUCUUGAGGGUACGGAAUAUAUGAAGUUCGCCAAAGUCCGAAGAUUGAAGUGCUUUGACUUCGGAUUAUAGAUUGUUGAAUCUUGGGAGACAGACACCUACCGAACUACAAGCACAAGAGUAGGGGAAAAAUUCUGUCUUUAGGACAUUGCAUUUAUGCAAGCCUCAAUCUCCAAGUUUGUUAGUAUUUCUAACUUUCUCCCUAGUUGUUUAUAUUAAUCUCAAAUAUAAUUGAUGUUGUGAUUUUCUUUAUGAUUAUUAUCAUUGGAAUUAUAUUGUUAUUUUUCAUAUUUUCUAAUAUUGCUCCAACAAUCUAAAGACAUAAUGUAUUAUGCAAUAUUAGAAGUAUGUAUGAAUGUGAGUGUUAGAAGAUUUUAAGAUCAACAACAUUGAACGUAACCCUAACCCUAAGUCGGAGAAAACUAUGGUUUUCUACGGAAAAAGGUAUGUCUCGGUGGGGCUGCAGUUUAUUUGCUUAUUCAUGUAUAGUCGGUAUACAUAAUAUAGUAUUGUUAAACAUGAUACAAAUCUAAAUAUAUUCAUCUGUAUACGUAAGAGCAGUGUUUGCAUGUUGCUUCAAUAAAAUAUAGUCUGCAUGUUGCUUUAAUAAAAUAGUUUUACUUUGUGCAUACACUUAUUUUCUGGGAAAGAAAAGGACAUGAAGUGAUAUAGAGACGGCAAUAUAGAAGGAGUUGUUUCUCCUUCAUAAUUAUAUUUCAUUAUUAAUUUGCACGAGAUAGCAUAUCAUUGGUACAUGAGAAGUUUGAACAUUAUAUGCGUGCAAGGCAUGGGCAGGUGUAUAACUGUUUCUCGUUGCAAAAAUCUGAAAGGUCAUAACCUUUCGCCAGUGCAUGUAUGGUAUUGACUCUUUUGAUGUGUCAGACAUAUUGCAAUUACAUUAGAUAUUGUGUUUUGACACAAGGCAUGUUGCAUAAAAAUUCGUGUUUAACAGGCAUAACUAAAACUUGCAGUGAUAUCAUGAGUAUGGUCAUAUUCUUGAUAGAAUUUGACAAAAAGGCAUGAUCGCUUCAAUCGUGGAGUCAUUAAUUCGGUUCGUCUCAAACUGUAACCUUCGGUUGCAGUGAUGGUGCCAUUUGAAUGGCAUCAAUUGGCUUUGUUGUACUUGAAAAGUCACUAUAUGAAAGUUAUCUUCUCUACUUACAUUGGUUGAAAAGUUUAUUAAUUCUCAUGAAUGCAUAUAAGAUGUGAUUUUCUUUUGUUAUAAAGAAUUAGCGGUUUGUCUGAGAAAGUUAGCUAAAUUUUCUGCAAACCUCCAUGAAGAGUUGCGACCCUUCAUGAAAAUGUGAUAUGGCGCAAACAAGAAGAAACGGUUUCAAUUUUGAAAAGUAACGAUUAUCGCCUGAGAACAAAACUAAGAUAAAGCAAAUCUUUUUAUUGGGAAAGUAACAUUCCUUGCCUGGAAAAACCAAGCCCUACACAAUGAUUGGUCUUCUGCAUGCAAAUACAGAUGCUUGCAUUUUGUGAAAGCAAAUGGCAGAGUCAUGGUAGGUUUGGUUGGAGGAUGGAAACACUCGGUUUGUUUAGCAUCUAUUGGUGAAAGAUGCCUUGAUAUGUAUAUUUGCUUGGUGAGUAUAUUAACGCUGCAAAUAUUGAAGAUGCAAACUGCGGCAUCAUUGAAAAUUAUUGAAGCCAGGAUUAGGCUUAAGUGCUUAAAUCCAUGGCUUAAUUUUGGUCGAUCGGUUUCUGCAUAUCAUUAGGAAUAUGUUUUUUGCCCAUGUAAUGUGGUGAAAGGAAAAUAUAAAAUAAAAUAAAAUGGAAAGAUGAAUCUACCAUGCAAGAUUCAAACUUCAAAGAAAAGGCAUGUCAUGUGAUAUGUGUCUGCAUUUGGCAGUGAAUAUAACCUCUCCUAUCAGUCACCACCAGCCUUGAAGUUGAAGCUCUUGAGAAAAACAUAUGUACAUGGGUUGGUGGGUGCUUAUCUGUGAAUUGGGUAUUUUCAUACACUGAAGAUAUUGCUGUCACAAAAUCCUAUAUUUGGUUUUGCGCAGAGAUGAACUCAUUUUGGACAGAGCCCUGAGAAAGAAGUGAGAUGAGUAAAUGAACAGGUUUUGACUUCUGGGUUUCUUCGAUAUUUGAGUUUAUCAAUUAAUUGGGCAUGAGGGCAUAAAGGAUCUCCUUUUAUUAUCACCAAGAAAAUGUCUUUUCUCUUACACCAAUGAGUUAAAGUGUGGGGUCUUUCGUAAAAGGAAUGACUAAACACAUAAAUAAUGCUUAUUCAGUAAGCAUACAUAAUUGAAUUAGACAAGAUGAUGCUUAUUAAGUUAGCAUAUAAAUCGAAUGUACAUAGCCAUUGGGUUGUGUUAUUCAUAGUUAAGAGCAUUCAUAUGUACUAGGUGAAUUCAAUAAUGCUAACUAAUUGAAUCAUUGACAAUGUGAAGGCAAAGUACAUAGGUGGAAAUACAUGCAUUUCAAUAAAGAAAUCCUCCUAUGAAAGUACUUUACAAUCCGGAUAGGAAGCACGUUGGCUUCAAAAUGUUGUAGGGGAUAAUCUUAUGCAUGUAUUGAGAUGGUUUGCGAAUAAGGCAAAGAACAAAUUAGAAGGAGUAAUUUGCAUGUAAAGAGAGAUAAUAUUCUCAUAUUCUUUUGAGUUUUAAGGUGUGAAGAGGUUAGAGACCUUCUUUCAAUUACCUUAAAUGUGGGGGAAGUCUGUUUUCUAGCAAAUUACUUAUUAGUAAGUCCAACAUAUGUUUUGAUGACUUAAAACUGAAAAACAACUACUCUUGAUGAAAUUUAUUUCAUGCAUGAUGGAAUAUUUUGGCCAACAUUAGAAAUAGUCAACCUAAAUGGUACCAAUUGUUAAAGGUUAGACUAGAGAGUAAGGUGAUCAUUGAGGGGAAUGAGGCUAAAGCCAACAUAACUAAUGAAUCAGCCGAGCGGAAACUUAACUUAGUUGAUUGGAGAUCCCAUGGUCUAAGUUCAAUAGGCAAACUGGUUGGGCAUGAUUCAAAGAAGUUAACACACACUACAUACCUCAUUCCUAUGAUGGAAGAAGUGUGUUGUCUACAGAAGUUUUAGGGUGUAUAUUUAUAUUACUUAAUGACAGUGAUAUCUUAUAAAUAAGAGUAAUAGAGCAGACUAUUCUUAAUCAGUGAUCACCUAUGUGAGAGUAGAAGUGGGUCGCUUCUAUGAGUAUGAGAUGGCUAACUUCUCUAAAGCUCUCAUGAAUAUAUGAGAUUUGUUCAGGACCAAAAUGAACACAAGCGUAUGAACCGGAAUAUAUAUUAGGAUUAGUGAUGUGUGUUGCUUAUUGUCUCGGUUUACUACUGCGAUGAACAUUCAAGAUUUUAUAUUCACCGCGUCACCAAGUAAAUCCGAUAAGUAUUCACUAGGGUAGGUUCAAGUCCAAAAGACACCUCUCCCGAUGCAUCUCUUGUCCGCCUGUACUCUCAAAUUAUUCCUGAUUUUUCAUUCAUGUGGGGGAUUGUUGGAAAUUAUAUAUUAUAGUAUAAAAUAUUGUAAUAUAUAAUUUUAAUAAUUGAAUGAAAAAUAGUGUUAACCAUAUUUCUUAGAAAGGUUAUGUUAUUUAGGUGCAUUCCCUUGUUAAAUGAUGUAUACUUAUAGAUGAAAAGUAACAUCACUUUAACAAGGAGUACUUGGGUUCUUUAUAAACUCAUGAAACUAUCAUCAUUAAUAUAGAAAUUAGAGUUAAUUUUUACUCUUGAGAAAUAGGGUUUCCCCACUUUAUUUCUCUCAUGCUUCAUGUGUCAAAUUCCAAGUCGUGUCUUGAGAGUACGGAAUAUAUGAAGUUCGCCAGAGUCCGAAGAUUGAAGUGCUUUGACUUCAGAUUAUAGAUUGUUGAAUCCUGGGAGACAAACGCCUACCAAACUACAAGUGCAAGAGUAGGGGCGAAAUUCUGUCUUUAGGACAUUGCAUUUAUGCAAGCCUCAAUCUCCAAGUUUGUAAGUAUUUCUAACUUUCUCCCUAGUUGUUUAUAUUAAUCUCAUAUAUAAUAGAUGUUGUGAUUUUCUUUAUGAUUAUUAUCAUUGGAAUUAUAUUGUUAUUUUUCAUAUUUUCUAAUAUUGCUCCAACAGUGCUUUCCCAGUGCAUUAACAAUGCAUGAAAUGCGAACAGCCUGUUUUGGAUUAAUUUUAGGUGCUAGAGUGCGACAUUUCUACAAACAAGCUGUGAUCAAGUCAAAUGUGGAGCAAGUGGAAAUUAGGUGGGGUGGAAUCUGCUUUCGAAGGACUCUCAUCUCCUUGGCACCAAAGUAGAAAGAUCGUUGAACCAUGUUUGACUGGUUACUGGAUGCGUAUGAGCCAUCAGAAUGAUCAAUCACAUCUUCAUAUUCAUGAUGAGCACAUGUAAUUCUUGGUGGAUCUCAAGUGAACAAGAGCUCUCUCUCCCACACUGGUAGAAUAGAGACGGUGCAUGUUCGCCUCUUGCCAUCUCCGCAAUGGCGUUCAGGAACAGAUGCAGUCCAGGUGCAUCACACAUUGUGUGGUUUAGGCGCAAUGCAAGUAUGAAACCUCCACAUGUAAGAUGGGUCACCUGCAUAUUGCAAAAAUUAGUUACUAGGCUUUUUUCUUAAUCAUCAUAUUCGUGGUAGUUCACAAUUCUUUAGAAGGAAAAAAGAAAAAAAAAAUCUAAAUUAGGUGAUCUAAUUAGGAAACAAAAAUUUCAUAAAAAUUAGGAAUAAAAUUCAAGAAAGAUGGAGUCUCUUUGGAAGAGUCUCGUGCCUGUGGUAAUUUAUUACUUGAAAGAGUCUUUAAAUAUAGAGGAAUUUAGACAAAACACUUAAAGAAGAAAAAAAAAUUUAGACAGAAGACGAAGAGAACGACAUGACGACAGACAAAAACCCUAGAAGAAGAACGGCAAAGGAAAGCCCAGACGCUAAAGGUGACAUGAGACUGGUAAAAAGAACCUAGGACCUAAUCAGGCAGAUACCAUGUAGAAAUAUAAUUUCCUCGAUUCGUUGUGUAUACAAAUUUUGCAAUAUAUAGGGUUAAACAUAAGGACUGUUGAAAAAAAUUAGUUUAAAAAAAUAAUAAUGAAAAUCGUCUCAUUAUAUUUUCUUUCCAAAACCACCUAAUGAAUUUUCUUUAAUCAUAAGAACAAAGAAGCAUGGUAGUAUCAUAGAUAAGUUCAAGUUUGGAUGUGGUGGUAGCAUGAUAAAUUUUUGGUUAUGAAAAGGAUUGCCAAUUUUAUGAAAAAAGUUAAAAACCACCGAACUUCGACUUAUUUACAAUAUUGUUAGCGCUUUCUUGUUUAUGCCUUUAUUUGUUAUUAAAAAUUUCAUAUGUUGCCCAUUGAACUAAUUUCUUACAAAAAAAUCUCCAACAUGUGUAUGCGAUCUUAACGCAAAAAACACUACUCUUACCCUUAACCUACUUAAAUUUUUUUUGUAAAGAAUUAAUAUGGCAAUGACCAAAUAUGAAUACAAAAUACUAAUUAACAUGUAAUUAAUAAUUAAUUGAUUCACUUGAUCCAUUACCAAAGGAUAAUCAAUAAUUCCAUCAGAGUUUGGAAAAUUAAAUAAGAACUCCUCUAAUAGUGGACAAGGAGGUAGAAUUUUGUCUCCUAGUUGCUCAAGUGUGACAUCAGCAAAAACCUUGAUGAACAAGAUACCUUAACCAUUGCAAUCGACCCUAAGCUUUAUGUUAGGCCCUUCCCUAAGCCUCCCAGCUAAAGGGUAGUAAUACAGUAGUGCCCUACUUAAGGCUUCCCUAAUCACCUUAACGGGAUCAUGAUUUUCUUUCAGUGAAGGGUUAUUCUUGUAACACAUUAUGACUAGAACCUAAAACCUCAAUCUUAUAUUGCGUUAUGCAGAUGCUCUAGGGUUCCCCCAAUCUUUCGUCCAAGUUUCCACUCCAGUUGUGAUUCUUUUCUUUUCCAUUAAAAAAAUGUGGUUAGAAAGAAACGUGUAAAUCACACCUCAGAUUCAUGUAUAUACAUUAAUACUGAAUUUCAUUUCAACAUCAGAAAACUGUAUACAAACAGAGAUAUGAGGACAGGUAUUCGGUAAAAACCUUCGAUAGAAAUCAAAGGAAAAAAUGCCAACAUUGUAUCUGCCUCACAUUACAGCUAUCACUGUUCUAAGACAUCAGACGUUUGCUAUAAAAACGAAACAAUACUUGAUUACUCAAAGAUGAGUAAGAAUUCGUACUCAAAAUUUCUCUAAAUUAUUCAUUGUCAAUUUAUAGAACUUCAUGUUUAUAAUUAAAACCGUUCAUAUUAUAAAUCACCCUAUAAGGAUCACAUCUGCAAAAACUCAAUUACAACUAAAGUCGUUUAGUCUUUAAAUUGCUUAAAAACAAAUGAACGGUAUCAUAAAAGUAUUACGAACUGUCUAUGUAUUUUCUACAAUAGAUUGACUAAACGGCCUUACUUUUAAUUUAUUUUUUUUGCACAUAUGAUCUUUACAGUGUGAUUCAUAGUAUGAACAAUUCUGAUUAUAAGCACAAAGCUCUGUGAUUAAAAUACUAAGAAUUUUGAGUAAGAGUUUAUACUAAUAUUUGAGUAGCCAAGUAUUGUUCAUAAAAACGUUGUUAUAUCAUGUUAUCACAGGAGAAUAAUGUGAAACAUUAUUAUUCAUUUUGACACGUCUUCAAAUGAUUACGUUCUUCUUCAUUAUACUAUAGAGACUGAUGUGAUAUGUUGAUUACUCAUUUCUCUAAUGAUAAAUGGUCGUUAUGAUGAAGAAAACCCAGGCUCCAUUAUAAAAUUAACCGAUAACAUAGGGAGCACUUAAUCACUUAUAAGUAAGUACAUACAAAAUCCUUUUUUAUCUGAAUUACAAAACCCUUUUUUAUCUGAUGUAUAAUUCAUACUUUCAAUACGCAUCUUCAAUACGUAUGACUAUGACGAAUUUCAAGCUUAGCCCAAGUGGCAUGGAGCACAUGCAAGUGUUGGACUUCACACAUGGAAUAAUCUGCUCUGAUACUAUGACAAAAGUUGAAGUUCCACUAUAAAACUAAUUGGCAAUAUGAGAAGUAACUCAAUUAUUUAUAAAUACAUGCAAGGUCAUUCCUUUACGCGAUAUACUCUCAACAUUUCACUAAAGCAAAUAUGUACAACCACAAAAUGGACCAAAUAAUUCACUUGACAAAGUAGGACUCACUCAAGACAAUAUUAUGUUUCUUAAAAAUAGGACUCGAGUACUCAAGACAAUAUUAUGUUUGUUAAAAUGGAAAUGGAGCUUCUGAUUACACCCAACUUUUAUCUCUUCUAACCCAACAAACUCUUUUUUAUUCUAUAAGAUUUUAAAAACUUAACAUCUACUCUCCACACGAUAUAUCUGUUAAAAUGGAAAUCAAGCUUCUGAUUACCCCUUUCUAGUCCUUCUCUAUCGUACACGAUAUAUCUGCUCAUCCAACAACAACCCUUCCUAAUCCUUCUUUAUCAUUUUUUUUAGGUUGUUUUAUAGACAUCCCGCAAUGUUAUGAAUCCACCUCACAUCCAAAAAUUUCCUCAAAAAUUCCAGCUUUGUCCCUCAUAGUUCUGAAGCCACCCCACCCCAAAAACAAAAAGAAACACCAAACAUCUCCGUUUGACGAGCACCCAUCCCAAAACCCCAUCAACGUAGUAUCUCCGAUCUCUCUCCUCCUCUCCUUAACACCCUGUGAGUCCCAACACCCAAACUCACCAAGCUCGUUUCCAAAGAAAAUACAAAAGAAUGUAAUAGUCCUUCAUUUCAAUUAAGCAAGAAAAUCCCCAAAUUCUAGGGGUGUAUACUCGCAGAGAAUUGUAGAAACACGCACUUAUAAAAUGAAAAUUAGAAGUGCAGAACUACAUAUUAAAUCAACAAGCACUAAUUGUCUUGGCAAUUGAUACCAUAUAUCAUGACAGAGAAUUCAUAUGAACGAGAAUAUGAACUUUAGAAAAGGUGGUGCCAUGGUGAGUGGAUGUGUGUGAGGUUGUUGCCUGCCGGCAAAUAAUAGGAUGGUUGGAUUUUCUUUUUCUCACCUUAAUUCAAAUAGGGAUAAAAGAGAAAGUUCACUUGACAAAUUUGAAGUGUGAGAUGUCUUCGUAAGAUUGUGGGGUGUUAAUUGAAGGCCCAAACACAGAAAAUACAAAGCAACAUAUGAGCUUCCAAAACAACAGCAAAAGAGAAGCCCAACCAGAUAGUUGAGCCCAAUAUGGAAAAACACACAAGAAAACCCUAAACUCCUGGAUCCUCAGCCGCUACCAAAGUGCUUGCUGCUGACCACGAUCCAGUCCCCUGCAAAUCGCCGGAGAUAAGAACCGGCCAAGCCCCUGAAACAGAAAAAGAAACAAAUUUCAUCGUCCUUGAGCAACCUCCACACACCUUCAAAUCGACUAGGAGAAUGAAGGGAAAGAAAAGAAACAAAUUUCAUUGCUCUCGAACAACCUCCCCACAAUUCUUCUCUAUCUUACACGAUAUAUCUUCUCAUCCCACAACCUUCCCUUCAACAUGGGGCUGCCUAACCCACUUUCCUCCAUCAAUAUUCAGUUCUUCAUCAACCUAUGCGCACUCUUUUGAGAAUUCAACUUAAUUAUAAUAAGGAAUAUGAAGCCAGCAGCUCUUUGCAACUACUUGUGAAUUAUGUCUUGAUUUGCGUUCAUUUAAGUUGGUGGUUAGCCUUCGAAUUGUUCUCCCCCAUCAAUUUUUAGAAGAGAUCAAACUAAACUAGACUCAGGUGUUCAUAUAUUUAUUGGAGCUAAAUAUCGACAAUACAUAAAACUCCAUCACUAUGAAGCCAAAUUGUAUCAAGACCUUGUAACAGCAGCUCAAAAUGUCAGGAGUCGACUUGGAGGAGAAGACAUGGUAUUGGUAGCAAGCAGGUUCGGCACUAGUUAACCGAACCCCCAAUUCCAUGUUCACGUCUAUCAGCUAAUCCUCAACUCUUAUGUUCGGCGCUUAGCUUCCGAACACUGAACUUUUUGUCAAAUUUUGUGUUCGGCAUGUUAAAACAUAUGAUUCAAUCUAGUUGUAUUUUGUCCCAAGAGGAUUCAAAGAAAAGAUUAGGGCAGAACAUUGCAGCUCAAACCUCACUUGUAUACUUAGGGUUUUGGUCACAAUGCCACCUUACAUCUCAUUUAAAUUAGUUAGCUAACAAAAACCUUCAAGACCACAUAGCUUACACCAAAGCAAAUCCAUCUCAGUGUUACACUUGCAGUUUUGGACUGAGUCAACAUAUUGGCCGUUACAAAUUUAGAAAAAAUUAAGCCAUUGUUAUAAACUUUGUAUUUCAGUGUGAUUGUGUAAAUCCUAAAUUAGAUUUGAUUCUAGUUAUUCUACCCUAUUAGGACUUGUAUUCCUUUUAGGAGAAGGAUUCUUCCCUCUCUUAUUAAUAUAAGGCUAAAUAGCCAAAAUGGUCCCUGAGAUUUGCAUAAUCAAUCGAUCGAAAUGGUCUCUGAGGUUGAAAAUCAAUAGAAAUGGUCCCUAAGAUUGUCCAUCAUCCAUGAUUUUGGUCCUUCCAUUAAAAACUCUUUGGGCAAUUUUCAAAACUUCAUAACUCAAUCAUUUCUAAACCAAAUUUGACACAUAAUAUAUCAAAAUGAAGAUAGGAAAGUAUAGAACAAUAUUAUACUUAUUUGGAAGCCCAAUGGUUGCCGGAGAUGGCCGAAAAAUAGCCUGAAAGGUUACUGGUCCGCGGAAAAACUGGAAAACUCGCCGGAAACUAGGUAAACUUUAAACAUUUAUAACUUCUUCAAUACUCAAUGCCAUGAGUGAUUCAAAAACGAAAAUCAUAUUUCUUGACGAGACAAAGAUAAUGGUACCUUUCUCAGCAGUUAACUCGCUGUGGUUUUUAGCCAAAAAAAGACGAUGUUAUGAAGAUUUUCGUACAUGACGUCAGUCGGCCAAGUCAACGGGGAAAUUGCAAAGUUUGUUGGGUUUUUCAAGUCACAAUUCAACUAAAGCCCAAAGCCCAAAAUAGAACACAUCGGAGAUUACUUUAAUCUUAUUUCAAAUGGGUCUGGAGUAAUUUACUUGGGAAGCUUGCUCGCCACAUCAUUAGUUGUCCAAUACAAAUGAGGAAAAGAUUGGAAAAGACCUAAUCAUGCUAGGAUUUUGACUAAUAUGACACGCCCCGACCCUGAUAUUCCCCGAAUACCAGGAUAGACACGUGCUGGCCGACACCCGAGGGUGACGAAAGCCAUUAAUUGAUACAACAGCUAAGAAUAAGAAAUAAAGACGGGUUAUGAAUUUAAAAUACCAUGAAUUACUAAUUUAGGAACGUGUUCAGAGCAUACAACUAAACCUAAUCACUAAAAAGAAUUGAGAUAGAAUUGAAUGAAUAAAGAAGUGAGUCCUGCAUUCGAGAAGAUCCGAAGAUGCUGCUGCGGAAGUGUCUUGACGUCGGGAUUAUGUGCCUUGAUUCUAAGUCCUGAAUGGGGGCGCAAAACAAAGGUGAGUGGACCAAGUUUAUAUAUACAAUAAUAAUAAAACAGGUAUCAACAUACUAACCCCCAAAGUUUAUAUAUAAUGAAAACUACUAGCAUAAUAAGUGAUGGAUUUAAUAAAAAUCCUAGCAUGCCAAAAUAUCUCAAAAGUCACGUCGCGGAAACGCAUCGCGGAAAUCAAAACGGUAAACGCAUCAUAAAAUCGUCUCGUAAACGCGGUGUGCUGCUAGAAAGAUCACUGAAUAAAUAUAACUCCCGGCCCAAUGCCUGCACCUCAGUCUCUGUGCCCGUAGCCAGAGAUAACUCCCUCCCGGCCCAAUGCCUGUCUCCGUGUCCCUCAGCCUUUCGCUAGGGAUUAUUUCUUCCGGCCUACAUGCCAACACCAGAUCCUCGCCCCAGGCGGCAUAGUGUCCACUAGGUAUGCACAAAUAAUUACGUCUCUCUUAAAUAACCACUUAAUAGCAUAGGUUACCGAUCAUCAUCUGCACUAUAAAGAGGGGUUCAAAAACAUGUUCUAGCAUCAUAUCGUCAUCUAUAAGAUAGUCUACCAGUUCAUGGUUUUUAUAGAAAAUAUGAUAUAUAUUAAAAUAUAGCUCAAUAUAAGCUAACAAUUAUUUCCUCACCAAAACAUGAGACGAAAUCAAUAAAUUCAGUAAACAGGAUUGAUAUAAAUCAAUUCACAAAAUUCGUAGGCAUGCUAAUCAUUUAUGCAAUUACUAUAAAAUCAUGUAAUUUUAGAAGGGGUCCACUCACAGUACUUAGUUGCCAAAAGCUGCGCCACUAGCGAAGAUGGAAACGUCACAAUAAUUGUCCCUAAGCACAUAAAGAGUCCAAUAAAUAAAACUAUAUAAUAGCAAUUGAAUUUGGGAAAACAGACAUUGGAAACGGAUUCAGAACGUCGAAUUACCCUAAGAAGAGUCCCGGACGAAAACCCGAAAAGUCAACCCUAAAGUCAACGUUGACCGGGGGUCAACUGUCAAACUAGGUCAAACGAGUUUUAGGCUUGAAUCCGGAUUAGGGUUAGGUUAAAUAGGAUUAGGAUCUAUUGGGUUUUGGGUUUAGAGUCCUAAGAUUUUUGGGUUUAAAAGGGUAUUAGGGUGAAAAGGCUUUAGGGUGAAGAAGAGGGGUUUGGGCUUAACCCAAACCCACACUCACACACACACACACGGGCUGCACAAAGGCAGGCCCUCACAAUACACACACACACAAAGGCCCUAAGGCCUCACAAAGAGCAGGGCUUUAAGCCCUUCGACAGAAAUCGGCCCAAGGCCAUUUUAAAACUAUAACUAAAAGAUAAAAGGGUGCGGGCUGGGUUACUGGGCUAGCCCAAUUGACUAAGGCCCGAGGGGUUCUAAUGGCCUGAAAGGCCUGAUUGCCGAGGAAGAAGAAGGCCGGAGAUUCGGCAGGAAAAUGCACAAUCUUUAAACGGCCAUAACUUUAUCACUACUCAACGAAAUUAAGCGAGACAAAAACGAAAGUUGUAGCCCUUGAAGAGACGAAGAGAAUGGUAUCUCACAAAACGUCUAACUCGACGUGGUUUGGCCGGAAAAUUCCUCGAAAGUCUCGGAGGUCGCCGGAAACUGGGUAAGAUUCAAAUGCGUAUAACUUCUUCAAUACUCAACGAAAUUGAGUGAAACGAAAAGUAAAUUUAUAGUACUCGACGAGACGAAGAGAUUGAUACCUUACACGCCGGCCAACUAGCCGUGGUUUGGCCGGAAAUGGCCUCGAAAGUCUCCGGAGUCGUCGGGGGAGACUUGGGUGUUCUCAGGGUGUCCCGAAGCUUCGUCAAGACGAGGGAGAGAGAGAAGAAGGUUCCAGAGGUGAUGGUGGUAUCGUAGCUAGGUGGUUAUGGUGGUGGGUGCUCACGGUGAUAGAGAGGGAGAGAGAUGAGUGAGUGCAGAGAUAAAACGAAGAAGAAGGAGGAGGUUACGGGGAGAGCAGAGAAGAGAGAGAGACCGAGGGAAAAACAAAAAAAAUUAUAAGGUGGGCCCUACGGGCUCACCAAUUAACACUAAGGUAUUAAAUAUCGGUAAUAUCAGAAAUAUCGGUAGUCCGAAAACACGGAAAUAUCGAUGGAAAUAUCGGGAUAAUAUCGAUAUCGAUAAAAAUUACAUGGAAACCACGGAAAUUGUAAGAAAAAACUUGGAAAUUUUUAUUGAAACUUUGCAGGAUGUUUAUUUAGUCAAUUAUCUAUUAGUUUAUCACAAAAAAUUGGAAGGAAAUGCAUUGCAUGAUGAAUUUAACUUAUUUAAGUUGAUUAUAUAGUGAGCUGGCAAACAUUGUGAGUGUAGAAAAUAUAUAGUAAUUAAUGAGAGAAGUUUAAACACACCAUAAUCAUUUAUAUAUAAUGAAUUAGUACAAUAUUUUACACUUUAUACAUUGCAUGGUAAGAUACAUUAGUGACUCAGUACCACAUAGAGUUCCUAUGAGGUUCAAAAUUAUAUUGACGUAAAAUACUAUGUCAAGAAAGUUGCCUUACAAGUUAGAUGGCUUUAUCUUUAUGUCUCCUUCUACCAAUUUUUCAUAAAGCAAUCCAUCAGUUGGUAUAUUUCUAGUUUAGAAGGGUCACAUCUUCGAAUAAGGCCUUAAUGUAAAACCCCUCCCUUUGGUUUAUAAUUUUAUUUUGUAGGUUUUUAUUUUUAUUUUUUAUUUUUAAAUUAUUGUUUUUGGAUCUUAAUUAGUGAGCCAAGGGGCCCACCCCCUUAUUUUUGUCCCCGAGGCUCUCAUCUCUCAUCUCUCUCAGUCCUCUCUUUCUCUCCACUUUCCCAUGCUCUCCCUCUCUCUGCAACUCUCAUUCCUUCUAGUUCUUCGGUUCUUCACCGAACUCACAUACACACACACCAGCACUCCCUCAUCCCCCUCGUUCUUCUUCUCCCUCUGCUAGUGCAGACAAGGAUGGUAGCACCAUGGAAACCGGUGCAAAAGUUUGGAGAAAACCAAAACCCAGUUUCCGGUGUGGACCGUGGGUUCCAAGGCGAAACUCCGUCGAGCUCCGACCACGGCAUGCCUUGAAAAUGGUAUAGAUCUCUUCCUCUUCCCUUGGGCUUCAGUUUGGUAGUUUAUUUGACAUGUGUUGGUCACGUUUUGAGGUUGACCAGAGCUUGUAAGCUCCGGCGUCCUCUUUCCGUCGAAACCAGGCCAAAAUAUCGCGAUAGUUUCGGAAAUAUCGCGAUAUUUUGACGAAAACCCGUUGGAUACCUAUUAAAAUAUCGUUACCUGAAAAACCGAUAAUAUCGGCGAUAUUUCACUGAUAUUAUUGGCAUUUUGUUCCUUGAUUAAGACCUUAAAACAAUUUUUAAAUAAAAGUGGGGCUGGGGUGUUUCAAAUAUAUGAAAGAGAGAUUGUAGGAAGUCUGGAGGACGUUCCCUUUGGGGGAUUCUCUGCGACAUUUUGAGGAGGGGAAGACUUUAAUCAUCUAUUAUUCUAUAUUUCAAUAUCGUUCAUAAGUUUUUCAUAUUCUUUUCUAGACUUUUCAUUAUGUUUUUAUACUCUAUGAAUAACUAAACCCUUUUCUAGGGCUAGGAUGAUGCCCUAGCAUGAAUGUUUAUGGUUUUCAAUGACUAUUUGAUGAAUAUUUAGAUUCGGUUUAGUUUAUCAAAUUGGAGAUUGAAUUAGAAUCAUGUGGGAACAAUACUUGGACAUGUAAAACGCUAUAUUACAAUUAUCUUGUGCACUUGCAAGUUUACACUAAGUUUUUGGCGCCGUUGCCGAGGACUCUAAUUGAGUCCCCCAACUUGAUAUCUUAUUCCAUAUCUAAUAAGUCGUUUAUUGUAGUUUAUUCAAUUUAUUUUGUUUUGUUCUCUAUUUUUUAGUAAGAGUCAUAACUAUAAGAUAAGUAAAAUGUAAUUUUCGUCACUGUUUUAUUUCAGUUUCUAUAUCACUGUUUUGACACAGUUUUAGACUGACCUAUUCGAGUUUUUACCAGGCACAUUUGAGUUGCAAGAAAUUUGCAAAAUACCAAGCAGUCGUUAAACAAGGAGCAAAGUUUGAUCGAUUAUACAAGGUAGACGUUCAUUGCAACUUGAGUUGAUUCCUAUAGAUCAAGAACUUGAGUACACUUUAAGACACUUGCGAAGAUAGUAAGAUGUUGAACGAUCAAUUAUAGGUGACAAGAACAAUGGUGGAAAUGAUCCACCCCUACAACCAAGGCUCAUGCGUGACUACACAAAACCAAUGGAGUACAAUGCACUGUCGUGCAUAGUAUUGGCCCCCAUUGCGCAGCAAUUCGAGAUUCGCCCACAAAUAAUUCAACUGUUGCCUAUGUUUUAUGGGAAGGAGGAGGAAAAUCCUUACCAUCAUAUCAAGGCGUUCUUCAAGCUAUGCUCCACAUUCACCUUUACCAAUGUUAGUGAGGAACAAAUUCGACUUCGUCUAUUCCCAUUGUCUUUGAGGGAUAAAGCAAGUAGCUGGUUGGAUUCCCUCCUUAAAGCCUCCAUUAACACAUGGAUAGAUUUAUCCAAGAAUUUUCUAUCCAAAUUCUUCCCUGCUUAGAGAACCAAUGCUUUAAUUAAUGAAAUUAUGGGUUUCCGGCAGCAAGAUGGUGAACAAUUUCAUGAGAAUUGGGAGCGAUAUAAGGACUUGUUUCUUCAAUGCCCUCAUCAUGGUUUUAAUACUUGGCCGAAGAUUCAUUAUUUCUACAAAGGUCUAAACCCUUAAUGUAGGAGCUUGGUUGAUUCAACUGUUGGUGAAACUCUUAUGGACAAAGCGCCAAAAGGCUCCAUAAGUGCUUUUGAGGCCAUAUGUGAAAAUUCUGAGCAUUGGGAUUUUCCUACAAUAGACUCGAGAUCCAUAAUUACAUCGUUAGAAAAAAAAAAUGAGGUCUUUAUGAAGUUGAUACAAUGACUGGUUUAGAAGCACAAAUGGUAGCCCUUACGAAGCUUCUCAUUCCACUAGUGAGCAAGAUAAGUACACAACCUUGUACUUUAUGCGCUAGCAUCGCCCAUGAUACUGCAAGUUGUCCAGCAAAUUUUAUUUAAGAAGGGAUGCAAAAGGUCAAUGUAUUUAGUAGAAGGCCUCGAAAUAAUCCGUACUCCAAUACAUAUAACCCUGGGUGGAGAGAACAUCUUAAUUUAUCGUGGAGGGACUCGCAAAAUACCAUGGGACCAUCCAAUUCAUCAAGGUCAUACCAACAUCCCUAUCAUGCUCCAACUGAUUAACAAGAAGAUCCUACUGUGAAGAAGAUGCUAACUCAAUUGUUGAAACAAACAAAACACUACGAUCAAAGUAUAUCAACACUUUAGAAAGGUCAAGUUGAGCUUGAAAAACAAAUGAGGUAGAUUGCUACGUCUGUGAGCAAACUUGAAAGAGAGCAGGGUUGUUUUCCAAGCCAAACAGAAAUGAAUCCAAGAAAUAAUGAGUAGGUGCAGGCCGUUACAACUUUGAGAAGUGGGAGGGAGAUUGACAACAAGGUUAAGAUACGUGGAAAAGUUGAAAAAAAAAGGGCCACAAAUAUGAAAGACCGGCAGCUAGAUCAUGGUAUCUUGAAACAACCAUCAUCGAGCCGAAAAGAACUUUAUUUGGUCCAACACUUAAGGAUACGGUGUAUGAUCCUCCUUUAUCAUUCCCUUAGCAUGCAAAGAAAACUAAAAAGGAUCAGUAUAUGGGGCAUAUAUUGGAACAAUUCAAGAAAGUUCAAAUCAACAUCCUAUUGCUUGAAGCCAUCAAAGAAAUUCCUUCCUAUGCAAAAUUUCUCAAAGAUCUCCGCACAAAUGAAAAAAAAAUAUGGAGAAAAUGAGAAAAAGUAAUGCUUCUAGAGGCUGCUUCAGUUCUUUAACAAAAAUUGCCACAAAAGCUUCAGGACCCAGGAAGCUUUACAAUCCCAUGCAUUAUUGGCAACAAAACAUUUGAAAGGGCUUUGUUCGAUUUAGAGGCAAAUGUUAAUCUUAUGCCCUAUUCUGCAUAUGAGGGUUUAAGCUUGGGGGAGCUGAAACCUAUUUCAAUAUCUUUGCAAUUUGUGGACCGUUCUGUGAAAUACCCAAGAGCAUUAUUGAAGAUGUACUUGUCAAAGUUGAUCAAUUUAUCCUCCCAACUGAUUUUAUUAUUUUGGACAUUGAAGAACAUGAGAUCAAAGAUGAUGAACUUCCUCUCAUCCUAGGCCAACCCUUCAUGGCAAUUGCAGGUACAAAGAUUGAUGUCAAAUCCGAUUUACUAACCAUGACUGUGCAGGAUAUUACUAUUGAGUUUCAGGUGUUCGAAGCUUUAAAAAAAAUUCUUUGGGAGCUUAUGAUUGUUUUAGUAUUGACGUUGUGGAUCAUCUCAUCGUAAAGAUUUUCAUUGAGACAAGCAUUGAUAACCCUCUGGAAGUAUGCAUCACACAACAUGGCAUGGAGUUUGAAAAUGAAGAAAACAUAGUAGUUGUGGCAACACUCAAUGUCGCAGCCAUUUACCCAUUUAGAUGGCAACCAAAGUUUGAAACUUUGCCUCCACAAACCAAAAUUGUUCCAUCCAUUAUUGAGCCUCCAAAGCUAAAAUUGAAGCUUCUUGUUGAUACGUUAAAGUAUGCAUUCUUAGGAGAUUCUGAAACUCUCCCCGUCAUUAUUGCCUCUGGUCUAAGUGCAUGUGAAGAAGAAAAACUACUACGGGUACUAAGAGAACACAAGACAGCCUUGGGAUAGACAAUUGCAGACAUUAAGGGGAUCAGCCCUUUUAUGUGCAUGCAUAGAAUACUACUUAAAGAGGAAUCAAAGCCAUCUAUAGAAGCUCAAAUAUGUCUCAAUCCUCGUAUGAAGGAAGUGGUACGUGCUGUAAUUUUGAAAUUGUUGGAUGUUGGGGUCAUAUAUUUGAUCUCUGAUAAUAAAUAGCUAAGUGCAAUACAUGUAAUACCAAAAGGAUCAUGUAUUAUUGUAGUAAAGAAUGAAGAAAAUAAGAUGAUUCCUCAGAGAAUGGUCACAGGUUUAAGGGUAUGUACUGAUUACAGAAAGCUCAAAGAUGCCAUAAGAAAAUAUCAGUUCCCUUAUCCCUUGAUUGAUCAGAUGCUUGAAAGACUUGUAGAAAAUCAAUAUUACUGUUUUCUUGUUGGUUAUUCUGGUUACAACAAGAUUGCAAUACCUCCAGAAGAUCAAGAGAAGACAACUUUCACAUGCCCCUUUGGAACUUUUGCGUAUAAACGAAUGUCAUUUGGAUUAUGCAAUGCACCAGCAGCUUUUCAAAGAUGCAUGGUGAACAUUUUUUCUAACAUGGUGGAACGAAUUAUUGAGUUAUUUAUGGAUGAUUUUCGGUCUUUGGUUCUUCUUUUGAUGAACGUCUCCAUAAUCUUACAUUAGUGUUGAAACUUUGUCAAGAGACCAAUUUGAUUUUGAAUUGGGAGAAACGUCACUUUCUAGUGAAGCAAGGCAUUAUUUUAGGUCAUGUUAUUCCCUCUAAAGGCAUCCAAGUGGAUAAAGCUAAAAUUGAAUUGAUCUCUAAGUUCCCAAUUCCUACAUCUAUUAAAGGAAUUCGAUCUUUUCUUGGGCAUGCAAGGUUCUGUAGAAGGUUUAUUAAAGACUUUUCAAAAAUCACCAAGUCUUUAUGUGAGUUUUUGGUUAAAGAUGUUGUCUUUGAUUUCAAUGAAGAGUGCUUAAAAUCAUUUGAAAUGUUGAAAAAAGAGCUAACACGAGUUCCCAUAUGUAAGCUCCAAACUAGGAUCUUUCAUCCAAAUUGAUGUGUGAUGCGUCCGACUAUGCAGUUGGUGCUAUUUUAGGAUAACGAGUUAACAAGCUUCCUUAUAUCAUAUAUUAUGCUAGCAAGACUCUGAACGAUGCCCUAAUUGAACUACUCACAACGGAGAAAGAAUUACUUGCAAUAGUCUUUGCUUUGGAGAAAUUUCGAAGCUAUUUGAUUGGCUUUAAUGUGACUAUAUAUUCAGACCAUGCUGCUCUUAAAUAUCUUUUACCAAAAAAAGAUGCCAAGCUCAAACUUAUACAAUGGAUAUUAUUGCUUCAAGAGUUCGAUUUCAACAUUAAGGACAAGAAAGGGUGCGAGAAUGUUGUUGCAGAACACUUGUCUAGAUUAAGCAAUGCCAAAGUAGCAGAUGCAUAGCUUCCAAUCAAUGAUCACUUCCCUGAUGAGCAACUCUUCUCUAUUCAAGAACUCCCAUGGUAUGGUGACAUAAUAAACUACUUGGCAAAGCAGUUUAUGCCCCUGGAAUGGUCAAAACAACAAAGGAAUGGGGUUUCUAUCUACUAUGAAGUAGUACUAUUGGGAUAAUCCCUAUUUAUUCAAGCAUUGCCCAUAUCAGAUCAUACAAAGGUGUGUGUCUCACUCUGAAGUUCAUAGCAUUCUCACUUUUUGUUAUUCUCAUGCUUGUGGAUGCCACUUUAGUGCAAAUAAGACAGCGUUAAAGGUAUUACAAAGUAGAUUCUAUUGGCCUAGUUAUUUAAGGAUGCAUAUGCCUUUGUCAUAGCUUGUGAUAGGUGCCAAAGAAUGGGGAAUAUUUCUUCCAGAACACAAAUGCCGUUAACCAACAUUUUGGAAGUUGAAUUGUUUGAUGUGUGGGGAAUCGAUUUCAUGGGCCGUUUCCCUAUGUCGAAUGGAUAUUUAUACAUCAUUGUGGCGGUAGAUUAUGUCUCUAAAUGGGUGGAAUCAAUGCCGACAAAAGCCAAAGAUCAUAGGCUUAUGUUAAACUUUUAAAAGAGAACAUCUUUACUCGAUUCGGGACACCUAGAGCUAUCAUUAGUGAUGGUGGUUCUCACUUCAUCAACAAGCCGUUUGAAGCUCUCAUGAAGAAGUAUAACAUUACUCAUAAGGUUGCUACUUCGUACCAUCCUCAAACAAGCGGACAAGUUGAAAUUUUGAAUAGAGAAAUAAAGCAUAUUCUCUAGAAGAUGGUGAGUCAAAACCGCAAAGAUUGGGCUAAUAAAUUGAGUGAUGCAUGAUGGGCAUGUCAAACAACGUUUAAAAAUCCCUUGGGCAUGUCUCCUUAUCGACUUGUCUUCGGGAAAACAUGUCAUUUUGCCGGUGGAGCUGGAACAUAAAGCAUUUUGGGCUAUUAAGUUUUUGAAUUUCGACAUUCAAAAAGCUGAGAACUUGAGGAAGCUUCAAUUUAAUGAGCUGGAUGAAUGGAGGAAUGAAGCUUAGGAGAAUGCAAAAAUCUAUAAAGAGAAAACCAAAGCUGCCCAAGACAAAGCCUUAAUCCUGAAAUUUUUCGAGCCAAACCAAAAAGUUUUUUUUGUAUAAUUCAAGGCUUAGAUUAUUUCUUGGGAAGCUUUGAUCAAGAUGGACUAGACUUUAUCUCGUUGUGCAAGCAUAUCCCCAUGGUGUUGUAGCAAUCCACAAUAUGAAUAGUGUUUUGACAUUUAAGGUGAAUGGCCAUCAUUUGAAGCAAAACCUGGAACUUGUCCCACAAAUGAAUAAGGAGUUUGUACCUUAAUAAGCCUAAAUAAAGAUUGCUAUGUCUGGCUGAACACUAAAAACUUAGCGCUUCUUGGGAGGUAACCCAAGUUUUUGAAGAAUAAGGAUAGAGCUUGAUGUGUGCUUGAGAGUGGACUUCAUCAUGACCAGGGAGUUCUAAACUAGUGACCCUAGCCUGAAUCCAACCAUCGCUUACUAAUAUGUUCCAACGCAUGAGGUUAUUCUGGAUUACAGUGAUGUCUUAGAUGAGACAUACUAGCCUUCCAAGAAUCGCGAGAUUUCGGUCUAUUAUGCAGUAUUGGAUGAGGUUUAAAAUCGAGAUGAGAUGAUCGUCGACAAUGUAUUUGCGUACAAAGUCGCUACUGACAUCAUGCUUAGCAAUGACAUUAAACCAUGUUCUGUUGAUGAAUGCCGACGUAGAAUGGAUUGGUCAAAUUGGAAACAAGAAAUCUAGGUCGAACUUGAUUCACUUGUGAAACGUAAGGUGUUUAGGCAUGUAGCUCUUACUCCACCACAUGUGAAGCUUGUGGGCUACAAGUGGGUUUUCGUAAGGAAACGUAAUGAGAAAAAUGAAAUAGUGUAAUACAAAGCAAGCCUCGUAGUGCAAGGUUUCUCUCAACGCCCUGUGAUUGAUUACAAGGAGACAUAUUCCUCCGUAAUAGACGUCAUAACGUUCUGCUACUUUAUCAGUUUGGUGGUUUUCGAAAAACUGAAUAUGUAGCUUAUAGGCGUGGUAACCGCGUACCUCUAUGGGGAUCUAGAUACGAAAAACUACAUGAAAGUUCCAGAAUGACUUUCUCGAUUAGAUUAAGGAGAUCAUUAUACGGAAUGAAACAAUCCGGGCAGAUAUGGUAUAAUUGUCUGAGUGAAUAUUUGACAAGUCAAGGCUAUGUGAACAACGAACUAUGCCUAUGUGUGUUCAUAAAGAAGUCAUAUUCCGGAUUUGCGAUCAUUGCAAUUUAUGUCGAUGACAUGAACCUUAUCAGAACUCCUGCACAACUUGAGGAAAUUGUAGUUCACUUGAAAUAAGAAUUUAAGAUGAAAUAUCUUGGUAAAACUCAUAUUGUCUUAGCUUGGAAAUCGAGCACUGUUCGGAUGGAAUUCUAGUACAUCAAUCGAACUACACCCAAAAGAUGUUGCGACUUUUUAAUGAGGAUAAAGUGAAGCCUUCAAGUACUCAUAUGAUCGUUUAGACUCUAGAUGCUAAACGAGAACCCUUCCAUCCCAUAGAGGAUGAGGAAGAGAUUUUGGAGCCUAAAGUUCCAUACCCAAGUGCAAUUGGUGCUUUAUUGUACUUGGCUCAAUGCACUAGACUCAACAUCUCAUUCGCUAUUAAUCUUUUGGCUAGAUAUAGCAUUGCGCCUACACACAGACAUUGGAAUGGUGUUAAAGACAUUUUCCACUACCUCAAGGGUAUGACGGAUUUGGGCUUGUUCUACACCCAUGAAUCCUCAAGAGGAGCUACCGCCCCCUCGGUCUUCGAGUUCAUUCCCGCCUUGUUGGUUACGCAUAUGCUGGUUAUCUAUAUGUCCCACAUAAGGCAUGUCCUCAAACUGGCUAUGUCUUUAUUGUUUGAGACAUCACAAUAUUUUGGAAGUCUACCAAGCAAACAUUAGUUGUGACUUCUUCGAACCAUGCUGAGAUUCUUGCCUUACAUGAAGCCUCGCAUGAGUGCCUUUGGUUGAGAGCAAUCAUGGAACAUAUUAAAAGCAUUAAUGGUCUUACUACUAUCGUUGACCUUCCUACGACGAUCUUUGAAGACAAUGCAGCAUGUAUCGAGCAGUUAAAGAAGGCAUACAUCAAGGGAGACAACACCAAGCUUAUACGCCAAAGUUCUUUUAUUCUCACUAGCAACAACAACAUCAAAACAUUGAAGUCAAGUAAAUCCAUUCCUAGGACAACUUGGCCGAUCUCUUCACCAAGUCAUUGUCCAAGUCUACUUUUUAGAAUCUCGUCCAAUGAAUUGGUAUACGUAAAUUAUCUGAGUUGAAUUGCUUAUAGUUCUCUUAUUUAGAAGUUAUGUCUAACUUAAGGGGAGUAUCCUGAAGCAUACUCACUUAAUCUUUAUGUACUAUUUUUCCUACUGUUAGAAGCAUUUUUCCCACUGGGUUUUUGCUACCUAACAAGGUUUUAAUGAGGUACCCAUCUUGGGAUGAUCAUACUCCGUUGAGUUCACUACUUUCGUCCCGUAUAACGUUUGUUUUAGACAUUAUGCAUACUUCUCACUUUUCCCCUUAGUCUAUGGGUUUUCACUUGCCUUAGGUUUUACCAUAGUGAGGUUUUAUGAGUUUUACUACUUAUGCAUACUUUCUUUAAAUUUGAGACUUGCAUUCUCCAAUUGUGUCGAUGACUUCAUCAACUAUUCUACCUCAAGUGUUGAAGACCUGAUGCGAUGUUUUGUUUGAGUAUUUACACACUCAAUGAUGAAUGUUGCAGUCCUAUUAGAUUAGGAAUCUGAUUGUGUUAAUUCUAUUGUAUCUAGGGAUAUCUUGGAAUAUUUCCUUUAGUAGAUAUUAUUAGAGUUGUAAUCCUAUUAGGAUAAGGAUUUAACCUAUCUUACUACUAUAUAUAAAGGCACAAUGGGAUGGUACAUGACACACCUCACAAUUAUAUCUCUCUAUCUCCUCUCUCUUGCCGCUAGCCCUCUCCCUCUCUAGUCCUAAAUACAUUUUAGUAAAUUAGGCCUACAACAUUAUUUACUUUUUUUUUUUUGUCAAACGAUAAAUUUGUUGGGAGAGACAAUUAGCCAUGUGUUUCGUGAGUGCUAUUUUGCACGUGCAGUCUAUAAAAUUGCUAUGUGAAGAUAUUUUGUAUUGCAUAACUGAAGCUAUACAGAGGUAUGAAUUUAUACUAGAAUUGUGAUGCUAUUCUAGGUAAACUGAAACUAAUUCUAUGAUAUUACAAUCAUCUCCUACAAUCGCUCCAAGAUGGAUUAUUGUAUCCUACAAUCAUUCAAAAUCAUAUCAAAUAGUUGACUAUUUUAUUUCCUUUAACACUCCCCCUCAAGUUGGAGUGUGGAUGUCAAUGACACCCAACUUGCUAAGAAGCAAGUGGAAGGCAGAUGCUCUUAGUGGCUUCGUAAAUAUGUCAGCUAUCUGACUCCCAGUUUGCACAUGAGUGGUUUUGACUUCUCCCAUUUGAAUCUUUUCAUGGACCGUAUGGCAAUCCAAUUCUAUACGUUCAGUCUAUUCAUGAUACAAGGGAUUUGUUGCAAUAUGUAGGGCAGCUUGAUUGUAGCAAAACAAUCUUGCUGGCUCAGGGUGAUGUACACGCAAAUCUUUCAAUAAGUACCUUAGCCAAGUAAGCUCACAAGUGGUUGCAGCCAUGAAGGGAUAUUCGGCUUCUGGAAAAGAUCGUGUAAUCGUGACUUGCUUUUUACUUUUCCAUGAUACAAGUGACUUACCAAGAAAAAUGCAAAAGCCUAUCACUGAUCGGCGUGUGAUCAGACAUCUAUCCCAAUCCGCAUCACAAUAGCCAAUCAAAUUGAGUUGGUUUUCUGAGGAAAACAAUAGACCUCGUCCUGGUGCUUUCUUCAACUAUUAAAGAAGACGGUGUGCUGCCUUAAGAUGAUAAAGCUUGGGUUUUUGCAUAAACUGGUUGAGAGUGUUCACUGUAUACGUAAUAUUUGGCCUUGGAAUUGUAAGAUAGAUCAAUUUGCCAAUCAAACGUCGAUAUUGAGUUGGGUCCUUGAGAGCAUCACUUCCUGUUGUUAUCAAUACCAAAUCAAGUUCCAUAGGUACUUUGGCAGGUUUUACUUCGAGCAAACCGGCUUCCUCCAAUAUAUCUAGGGUAUAUUUACGUUGACAAAUGGAAAUCCCAGCUUUGGAACGUGCAACUUAUACACGAAGAAAGUAUUCUAAUGGUUUGAGAUCUUUAAUUUGGAAACAACCACUGAGAAACUUCUUGAGGUUACUAAUGGCUUCCUCAUCAUUCCCUGUAAUGAUCAUGUCAUCAACGUAAAGCAACACCAUAGUAACAGAGUUUUCACAAACCUGAGUAAACAACAAGUAAUCCGCAUUUUGACUAUUGGAAGCCAAUUUCUUGAAUGGCAGAUGAGAAUCGUUGGAACUAGCUACAAGAGGCUUGUUUAAGUCUGUAUAAGGACUUGUGGAGUCGACAAACCAUGGCUCCCCCUGUUGACGAUAACUAUAAGUCGGUAACAUAUAUACUUCCUCAUGUAAUGUACCAUGAAGAAAUCCUUUUAGCACAUCCAUUUGGUGCAAAGGCCAAUUUCAAACAGCGGUAACAUUCAAGAGACAACAAACAGUCAUGAGUUUAGCAACCAGAGUGAACGUUUCUUUGUAAUUGAUGCCCUCACGUUGAGUGAACCUUUUUGUGAUAAGGCGAGCUUUGUACCGUUUAAUGGUAUCGUUGGAAUGGUACUUUAUCUUGAAGACCCAUUUAGAGCUAAUGGGUCGUUGGCUAGGAGGCAGAGGAACCAUAGUCAUGGUUUGGUUGUCUUCAGGAGCUUGAAUCUCAGAAUUCAUAAUUGCAAUCCAUUUGGGGUCAUGACAGGUCUGCUUAUAAGAAACUGAUUCAACCAGGUGAGAUAUGUUGUGUACAAAGGAUUGUUGAGCAGGAGAUAAACGAGAGUAGGAGACGUACCGUUGAAGCGGAUAUCGCGUACCGGACAUUGAGGAAGGGACAACGCUGGGCAUAAGAAAAGCAACAUAGUGUGUCUGAUAGUCAAUGAAACGAACAGGUGGAUGUUUAAUUAUGUCGGAGCAACGAAGUAGAGGAAGAGCAGGCUGGGGUGGAGGAGCAGGUUCUAGUGGUGAGGACGAGGUGUCUGGUGCGGCGGGUGGUGCGGGAUUUUCUGUGGUGUUUGUGUGAGAGUUGGAAUUUGAGGGGGUCUGUGGAUGGGAAUAUGGGAAGAUGACGAGGUGUCUGUGGUAGAGGUUGAAUUGGUGGGGUUAGUAGGUGGGCUUAGAUUUUAUGGUGUAGGUGUUUAGGCUGAGACCAAAAUGAAAUUUAUGUCAUCAUGAGGAAUGGGUAAGACGGGGAAAUCUAGUUGAUUUUCUAGUGGCGAGGUAGCAAGAGGAAAAAUGUGCUCGUGAAAAACAACGUCACGAGAUGUAAAGAUUUGCUUGCUAUCAAGGUCAUAGACUCGAUAGCCCUUUUGGCCAAGGGGAUACCCAAAAAAAAAAAAAAACAUCGACGUGCACGUGCGUCAAAAUUAUGUGAGGGAGUAAGAUAAGUGGCAUAACAUAAACACCCAAAAACCCAGAGAUGGGAAUAUUCAUGUGAUGUGCCGUGCAAGAGUUCAUAGGGAGAUUUAUGUGAAAAUAAAGGUGUAGGAAGGCGAUUUAUGAGAUAACAAGCACUUUGGAUACUUUCCCCCCAAAACUUUAAAGGUAAAUUGGCUUGAAAACAUAAUGCAUGACCAACAUUCAAAAGAUGCCGAUGUUUGCGCUCAACCACCCCCAUUUUUUUUAGGAGUGUGAGCACAAGUAUGUUGGAAAAUGGUGCCAUGCAUGUCUAAAAACGUCCGCAUCAACACAAAUUCACCCCCAUUGUCAGCACGUAGAGCUUUAAUUUCACAAUUAAAUUGUGUUUUGACCCAAGAAAAAAAUGAUUUCAACAAGGCUUGUGUAUCAUAUUUAAAAUGCAUAAGAUAAACCCAUGUGAAGUGAGUAAAUUCAUCUACAAUAGUAAGGAAAUAACGUGCUCUGGUGUGUGUAUGGAUUUUGUGUGCUUCCCAAAUAUUACAAUGGAUCAAAUCAAAAGGUGCAACCGAUUUUAUUAAACUUGAAACAAAAGAUAAGCGAGUUUGCUUUGCUAAAGGACAAACAUCAUAAACAUGCUUAGAAUCAAAUAUGAUUUUCUGGGAUGGUCUGGGAUAAAGAGUGAAGAGGGGCUGAUGAUGGGUGUCCAAGACAUUGGUGCCAAAGUCCCGAGGUGCGGUUAACAUGAUUAGCUAGGUAAGGGUUUUGGCUUGGUGUGAGGUAGUAAAGUCCAUUAAAAUGCUUGCCCAGGCCAAUCGUCCUCUUCGUAUCCAUGUCCUGCACAACACAAAAAUCCGGAUAAAAUAUCAUGAUACAUCUCAACGCCCGAGUUAAUUUACUCACAGACAACAAGUUCACACAAAAUUUUGGCACAUGUAAAACUCCAUCAAGAGAUAUCUCUGGUGACAAUUUAAUAGACCCAAUGCUUUCAAUUGCAGCUUGUCCUUCAUUUGGUAAACCAACAAAAUCAUGUUGUGUUUUAGUUUUAUUAUAGCUGGGUGAUAGAUGAGAAAUGUGAUCUGUUGCCCCACUAUCCACAAUCCAAUAUAUUGGUGAAUGUGGAUCAUGUUGUGCAGUAUUGCAGGUGGGUGUGUAUAUACCUGUUGCAUGUGUGAGUGGUUGAUCUUUACCGUUCUUAUUGCGAAGUAGAGCCAUGAGUUGAUUGUACUCCUCGGUUAUGAACAUUGGGUUGUUGGAGGUUGAUGCCUUGGUUGUGUCAACGUUGGUGGCUAGUAACUGAAGCCCUUCAACAUUGUUUGAUGUUGGAUUUGUACGUUUAUUCUUGGGCUGCACAUUCUUCCCAUGCCAUUUGUGACCUUCUGAAAAUCCAAUAAGGAAAAAGCAACGUUCUACUAGAUGUCCUCCGUCACAGUAGCUGCAUUUGAAUGUCUUGCUUGAAUUGGAGCUGUUAACACCAGAGCCUCCUUUUGGCGUUGUCGAACGACUUGUUUGCAUUGCAUGGGCAGCAUGUUCACGACGAUUUGCCACAUCUAUUUGGCAUUCGUGUUGUAGAACCAACCCAUGGACUCUUUGUGUAUCUAGGAGUGGACUUAUCAUCAAGAUGGAGCCUCGUAUGGUUGAGUAACUCUCAUUCAACCCCAUUAAAAAUUGCAUGACCUUUUCUUUUUCCUCCAUUUCUGCAUGUAUCUUGGAUCCCUCACAUUCACAAGCAAUCAGCUCAUGGUAUGAUGCCAAUUCAUCCCAAAGAGCCUUCAACUUUGUGUAAUAAUAUGAAACAGAUAGUUGUCCUUGUCGAUGUUCGACAAUUUCUUGUCGAAUUUGAUAGAUCUUUGAAUCGUUUCCUUGCGAGAAUCGAUCCUCAAGAUCCUUCCAUGCUGCUGAUGCGGAUUUGCAGUAGAGUAUACUGCAAGCGAUGUUGCCUUGCACGGACUGCCAAAUCCAUGACAAGACCAUGCCAUUGCAUCUAUGCCAAAUUGAAUACUUGGCAUCAAUGAUUGCAGGGCUUUUGAUUGAUCCAUCAAUAAACCCAAGUUUGUUCUUGGCGCUGAGAGCGAUGCACAUAGAGCAGCUCCACUGUCCAUAGUUGUGUCCGUCAAGAAGCUGUGAGACUAAAACAAGACUUGGUGAGUCUAAAUGGUGUAAGAUGAGAGGAUCAGAUGCGUGUGGCAUCACCUCUGUUGCUUUUUCAUUGCUCAUGUUGGCUGUGUUUAAUGGAAAGAAUUUAGGUUGCGUUUGUGGCGAAAGUGGAAUGGGCUUCUAGAGUCACCAAGAUCGAUGCUUUGAUGCCAUAUAAAAUUGUUUUGUGAAUAUAUUUUGUAUUGCAUAACUGAAGCUGUAUAGAGGUAUGAAUUUAUACAAGAAUUGUGAUGCUAUUCUAGGUAAACUGAAACCAAUUCUAUGCUAUUACAAUCAUCUCCUACAAUCGCUCCAAGAUGGAUUAUUGUAUCCUACAAUCAUUCCAAAUCAUAUCUGAUAGUUGACUAUUUCAUUUCCUUUAACACAGUCUGGUUCGCUGCUCCUUUGGGGCUCGGAGCGGCGAUGCAAUCUCAUGAUUCUCUUAAGGAGUAGCUGCUUACUUCGGUGGAAGAAAAGAAAGCGGACAUGGAUGCGGUGUUUAUGCUUUUGUGGGCAUUAUGGACGGAGAGGAACAAGCUAAUUUGGGAGGGUAAGUCGGUUUCCCCCUUGGGGUUGUUCAACAUGCGUUCAUUUGGCUGCAAGACUAUCACUCUGCCAAUCUUCAACCAAGUCAGUCCUAGCGGUCUAAGCAACUGCGUGGAUGACUCCAACUGAUGGUUGGUUUAAACUGAAUGUUGACGGAGCUGUCAAGGUGGGGGAGGGUAUCGGUGGGGCUGGGGGGCGAUUUGUGAAGGUAACGGUUGUUUCAGUACUGCUGGUUCAAGGCAGUUUCUCAGUCAAGCAGGCGGAACUCCUUGCACUCAGAGAAGGUCUGCAUCUUGCGCAGAGAGUGGGGUGUAGGUUUCUGCAGGUGGAAAGUGAUUCGAUGGAAGUCGUCUUAGCCUGUAAUGGUACGUCUGUGGAUUAUUCUAGUCUCAGAUACAUUGUUUCUUAUAUUAAAGAGUUCGCCUCUGAGUUUGAUAGGUACACUUUUUUGUACGUGCCUCGUACUUGUAAUGAUGCGGCACAUCGCCUAGCCAAGUUAAGUAUAGUAAUUCAGUUGUAUGGUUUAAGGAACCCCCAGAUGUUAUUAGGGAGGACCUCAGUCAUGAUUUGUACUCGCGUUGAGUUCUGAAAUAAAGCUAUCGUAUUCAUUUCAAAAAAAAAAAAAAUGUUAGAUUAAGCAGCCAAUGAGAUUCGAUCCCACACCAUGAUGCAAAAACAACACUACUCUCUAUCACUUAGUAAAGAGCUACUUGCAUUAAUUAUAUACUUUUAAAUCAUUAAUAGUAUAAAUUAUAUGUUUAGAGUAUCUCUAAAUAAAAUGUCAAAAUGUUCAUAUAUGUUAUAACAGUAAUAAAAGACUACACUAAUAUUCUCCAACCGAAAUACUAAUUCCUAUGUAACGCUGACAUGUAUUGACAGCAAAGAGGUUGCUGUCAAAUUUCACAGCAGCUUCAAAUAUUUUUUUAUUAAUUUUUUAUGGGAAACGCUGAAACUGAAGGCAAACGAAGAAGCCAGAAAGACCGAAGCUUGAAUUUUGGAAAACCAGAGAGAGAACAGAGAGAAGAAAAGCAGAAAGCCAAACACAGAAGCCAGAUGUAAGAAAGACUCCUCCUUCUUCAGCUUCUCUCCGCUGUACACCGCACUGCUCUCGGAGGUUGCGUUUGAUUGUAUCAGUGUCGGCUUCGAAUUGGGUGUGAGGGGCUUGCGGGAGGGAAGCCUUUCUUGGUGAGGUUGCAUUUGAUAAAUAUAAUUUAGACUUCAAUUUAUUUUCAUUAAUUAUCUCACUAAUUGACAAUUUCAACUUUUGCAACGAGCGUAAGCGCUUUAUGAUCACGGUGGCGCCCCCUAACCAAUUUUAAUAAGGAGUGAAAGCGCAUUGCCCUCAAGCUUACUCAUAUCCUCCACCCGAUUGGACACUUCGGUCUUGAGAGGCCCGUCUUUAACUGUAUCAAACCUUUCUUACAAGUUAGUGCAUCAGUAUCCGCGGCGCUCAACUGGAGAUUCGCAUCCUUAAUCUUUUAAUGAAAGGACAGGGUGCCGAGGGUCCCGAGUUGGUCCAAAAAUGCGAGUGCAUUGCGGAAAGAGUCAACGGCAUCCUUGUACAACAUGACGCAUGAAUCAAGGGCCCUAGCAGUGCGCACGUCGAAUUGAGGGGGGAAGCUGAAGAUGAAGUCAAGAUCGCCCUGGGUAUGGGUUAGACAGAUGUUGAUGGUACCCUUGGUCCGCUGUACCUUUUCAGUGAAUGGGGAUUCGAGGGCGGGGAGUAGGCGGGAGAGGAAAAAGAGGAAGAGAGGGAGAACAGAAUCUGGGUCGUCAUUCGUUGGGUGGUGUUCAUGAUUGCCGGGGAUCGAAGUGUGGUUGUACAUGUACCGGAGUUGUGGUGAUGGUGGUCGUGUGGGAGGGGGUUUAUAUAGUAGGAAAGAACUUCAUUAGGGGUUUUUUUUGGGACAAGCAUUAGGGUAUUUUUUUUUUCUUCUUUUUCUAUACACCGAAUCUGGACUAGCCAAUUAAAGUUGUUUCUAUAUAUGGUUGAUUUAGAAUGAGUUCCGUUUAUUUAAUUCUAGUUUAUUACAAAGUUUUUGGCUUAUUUUGGUAUAUAUGUAGUAUUAAUUAAUUAAUCGUUUUCAUGUAUGGUUCACUCUAUAUAUGUGAGUUAACCUCCUCUCCCUCAAUUUUUUAUUGAAUGAAGUUGAGUUUAUGUUGAUGAAAUAGUAUAGCUAGCCUUUGACUUUAGAAGAAGAUGUUCUCUUACUUAAGACCAAUUUAAACUUUAAACCCGAUAAAUCCACAUGCAUGUAUAUACUAUAUAUGGCAUUGCCUUCUAUCCAGUGUCAUGUACUAUAUGCUAUAUUCUUGUCGAUUUCGCCCAUCUUCCGACAAUCUUGACUUCGCCACUAAAUGAAAAAUGAAUAUUCAAUGCCACUUUAGCUAUAGAAAUUGUAAUCUAACCACCCGUGGUUGUGUCCAUCAUAAUAUUUCCAACCCAAUAUGGCUUUAAUCACUUAAAUGCGGCCACCAGAUAGGGCUUUAGAUAAGAUCAACUAACAGAUGCAUUUGACUUCUAGUAUACAGCAGCAUAAUAAUAUUAUAUGAGAAUGUGGAUUUUGGUACGGGUCAAAAUUGUUUCACCCAGAGAGCUCAAGGGCUGUAAGCCUGUAACCUUUUUUUUUUUUUUUUUCUGACCAAUCGAUAUUAUCUACAUUAAGAGAGUGAAUGAUUGAGUUAAACCUCACAAUGAGCUAGCAAUAAUUUGGUUUUAAUUCGCCUUUGGUGAAAAUCGAACCUAAAACCUCGCACUUACAAGUGAUAAGAAAUACUAUUAAACCGUAGUACUAGGUGGCAGGGCUAUAACCAAUUUAAAAAGAAGCAUAAAUAAUCCACUUUAACUAGAUUGUAAUAUUAACUCGCAAUGUUUUUCAACCCAAAUUUUUGCUUUGUGUUUUUGGGCCCCUUUAGUGUCCAAGCCCAAGUGUGUAAAGGUAGAGGUCUCAUGACUGAUACGUUGUGGAUCGAUCCCUUUUGGGUGCAGAGUUCGGUAGGUCAGAACACAGCUUGAGGUCUGAAACUCUUUUGGGUUACAUUAUGGGCCUUACAACUAGCCCAUUUAUUCUUUGUAUUCUUGUGCACCGAAUGCCUAUUAUGGUGUGGCAAUAUUGUUCAUUAUUUUAAUAAGGCCUAUUUAUUCUUUGAAUUCUUGUGGACCUCUUAGAAAGCCCAUUCUACUUGGGUCAGAUUCUUCAGUUUUAAUUGGGCCCAUUUAUUAUUUGGAUUCUUGUGAACUUUUUAGGCCAUCUCCGUGGAGAUGGUCAUACCUUUUAGCUCCUUUUGUUUUUGGGAACUUUAACGAAAAGCAUCCGGUACUAUUCACUUUAACGAAAAACCACAUUUUUACACUAAAAAGUCAAUCCUGAUACUAUUCACUUUACCCUUUAUUUUGUCCUUAUCAUUAAAACUCAAAGUUUUCAAGCCCUUUUCAUUAGUUUUCCUUUUUUUAUUUUUUUGACAAAACCCAACUCCAAUAAAGGAUUGGGCCAAAACCAAGCGGAUCCCACCAAGCCAAAUUAGAGCAUUGUUUGAGCUGGGCAUGUUGAGCUCAAAAAAUGCUGGGUUAAAAAAAAAAUAUUUAAUUCUAAUUUUUUUUCCUAUAAAUAUUUAAGACAUUUCUACACAAUUUUUUCACGUCAUUUUUACUCUUUCAUACUAUCUUACCUUAUUUUAAUCCAGUUCUUCAAAUUCUAUUCACCUCAAACACUCUUUUUAUACGCACCCCUCUCUUAUCUCUUCCAUUACUCCAAAUUUAAAUUUGGAUCAUUUUGGUUUUAGUCCCUAAUCAACGUAGUUGUUAGAAUGAAACCUUAUUUGUUUAAAUAGUUUGAUCAAGGUCCCUAGCAUCAUUUAAGGGAUUUAACUCAUGCAUUUAUGCAUUCAAUAUCCCACAAAUUAUGAAAUUUAAACAAAUCCAAAUAAUAUUGUGACAAAUAUAACAAUUACUUAAAAAUCAAUAAUAGAGUAAUUUGUUCUUCACAUAGUUCUAGCAAAAAAACAAAAAAUGUACCCACGUAAUUAUUAAUAUAGUGCAAGAAAUAACUAUUGAUAUAUUUUAAAACAUAAAAUAAACACAUAUAAUUAGCAUCAGUACGUUCAUAAAAAAAUAUUGGUACAAAUUAAAUUUAAAAUAUGGGUACAUAUUAAAAUUCCAAACCAUGGGUACAAAUUAAAUUUAAAAUGUGGGUACAUAUUAAAAGUCAAAAUUAUGGGUACAAAUUAAAACUAAAAACAAUAUUGGUAUAAAUUAAAAAAAAGGAUACAAAUUAUAAAUAGAAAUAUAUGAAAAAAUAUACUAAAAAGAUUAUAUUUGAAAUUGAUUAAUAUGACAUAUAAUGACUUGUAAAUAAUUUAAUAUUCAAAUAAUGACAUAAAGAAAAGUCAAGAGACCUUAAUAAAAAAUGAAAAAGGAAUAAGGUUUUAAUUAUGGGAACUUUAAUGAAAAGCACCUGGUACUGUUCACUUUAACGAAAAACCACAUUUUUACACUAAAAAGUCAAUCAUAGUACUAUUCAUUUAACCCUUUAUUUUGUCCUUAUCAUUAAAACUCAAAGUUUUCAAGCCCUUUUCAUUAGUUUUCCUUUUAAUUAAUGAGAAGGAGAAAUGAGGGAUGAGAACUUAAGUUAUCCUUUAAAUUUUUCAAUAUUUUUUCAAUGGCACUCAAAAUACAUGGGGAAGAUGACAUCAUUAGCCUUUUUUUUAUCUAGAGUUUAAGUUACAAAAAUACCCUUUAUAUUUGGAACCGUUGAUGGAUGUGAUGAUGGCUGGAGGGGCAUCCCUGCUGAUGAGGGAGUACCAAGGCUGGACGUGCGCAUUAAGCCUGAUGGGGAUAAAGGCUGGACAUUUGGUAGGGGAGCUUGCAAGCAAGGAAACUGCAUUAAGAGAACACAUUAACAAAGCUUCAAAUUAUUUGUGCAUCAAUUGGUGAGAUAUCAAGAAAGUUUAGGAUAAAUCUAAAGUCAGACGAUCUCCGAGGCUCAUUCAUGAGAAUCACGCUAUUGUUUCGUACUUCGUCGGUACUGAGUACUACGUUGGAUAUUGUCCUUUGCCGAUAAUGACUAAUUAGAGCCUGGGUGUGAUUUUGAUGCAUAAUAAGGUAAUUUGGGCUCUAACUUUUUAGGGCUUUUGAUUGGGUUGAAAUUAUUUGGUUGUUGAUGCCUGUUCUAUUAAUGUUUAGCUUUUCUUGGUUCAAAAAUUGAAACUUUGACAAAUUCUUAUGGGAAAUCGGUGGGGAUUGGUCGGCAUUUAGGGUUUUUUUUUAUUUUUUUUUAUUUUUUAUUUUUUAUUUUUUAAGGAUAAAAGGAAUAAAAGGUAACUUAUUUCUAUGAGGAAUCCGAUUUUAGGAAUCCGAAUGGGAGAUCGAUUUUGCCGUUGAAUUUGUAACUUAUAAAGUUGAUGAUAAUUUUUUUAUUUUUUAUUUAAAAAAACAGAUCUGGCCCUUAGAUGCCAACUUUUGAAUUGUCUUAUUAUGAAAAUUUGAUAAAUGAAUGUCCAUUGCAUUCUGGUGGUGCUAAAGGCUAAUUAUAAUUAGUUGCAUUGAUGGUUUACAUUUGGGAGCUAAAGCUGAGACAAUGAUUAAUUUUUAGUGUGCUAGAAGGCAACUCGGGCAUUAGUUAAUUACCAUAAAUUCAUGAAAUAAAAUUUGGUUCUACUAAAAAGUUUACAAAACUGAUUUUACGUAUAUUUUAAACUGAUUUUGUAAAAAUGGUCGAAGACGGGUUAAAUUGAUUUUGCAAAAAUGGUUGAUUACGGUUUGAAUUGAUUUUGCAAAAAUGGUUGAAGGCUGGUUGAACUGAUUCUAUAAAAAUGGUUGAGGACGAAUUGAACUGAUUCUGCAAAAAUGGUCAAAAGCGGGUUGAAAUAAUUCUGCAAAAAUGACCGAGGAUAGGUUUAACUGAUUAUCCAAAAAUGGUCGAUUACGGAUUUAACUAAUUAUGCAAAAAUGGUCGAUAACGUGUUAAACUGAUUCUAGUAAUAAAGGAUACAAACUGAUUCUGCAUAUAGUUUCAAACCUGAUAUUGCAGAAAUAGUCAAUGAUGGGUUGAGCUUAUGACAUAUAUUAAUUUUGUUGAAAUUGUAAGGGUUGUGUUCUAUUAACAAUCCUAAAGCCUUAGGGGUAUGACUUGUAUUUUAAAACAUUGUUUUCAUAUUUUUUGGUUGGACUUUAGUUGUUUUUAUAUUUUUAUCUCUUAUUGACAUGUUUAAAAACUAAUGAGUUAUUUGAAAUAUAGUAAAAGUUUUUGUCUCUAUAUAUAAAGCUCCAUAUAUAAAUAUAGUAUGACACUGUUUAUUUAAAAAUAAUUUCUUGCAAGAGUAUAACUUUGAACGGGACUAAACAUAGCUCAUUCGAUUGGAGAUGACUUUAGAUAACCAUUUUGGUGGGUAGAAUAUGCCGGGUUGCUUAAAAGAGGCCUUAUGUAUCUGUUGACCCAAUUGAAUAAUAAUACCGUACUAAUACAUAUCAAAUCCAAUUGUCAAACUUAUUCAAAUUGCUCUUUCAAAAAAAAAAAAAUUCAAAUUGCUUCAGUGUUGCUUAGUUUCAGCUAGGGUAGUGAUAGUCUGCAAUCAAAAUAUUUUCUAUUUACAAUUCAAUUGCAUAUGUAUACAGUUUCUGGACUACAAAACUAAUUUUGGUAACUCUAAACCACUGUUGAAAGGGUACUCCUAUUCUUGAAAUCCAUGAAUCUCCACUUAUGAAGUUCCUAACAAUAAAUUUUUUGGCAUCCGGUGUACUCCUUAUUACGUGAUAACCAAGUAACUUGACCCUCCCGCAAGUAUCGGCACAACCUCCAAAGUUCAUGUACUCCCCAUAGUAAAGUGUGGACAGGCCAACACUUCCAUUACACAACAUCCGACCGGUAGGAUCCACCAAUCCGUUCAAAGUACUCUUCAUGAUCACCGUCCUUGGGUACACCCACAACGACCAGCCCAAAUAUGUUCGGAAAGAGUGUUGCACAUGUCUUAAAUCUUCAGCGGCCGUGACAUGGCAAUUGUGAAUAACAAUGCCAGUGGACUGAUCAGACUGCUCCCUAGAUUGCAAACCUUCACCACAUUCACUUGAUUUUUCAUAGGUCUUCCCACGUAUAUGUUGCAGUUUUGGAGCACAACUGCAGCGUUGCCGAAAAUAAUAUAUCUCAGAGUCACGAUAGAACUGUGACUGGCGUUUCGCGUAGAAUGUAUCUUGGUAGCCGUUGAAGCUACAACGGUAAAACACCAAUUGGUUGGUGCCAUAGCGCAUUGCGAUGGCUUGAUGUUUCUCGGGUCCGGUCGUGUUUUCAAAUGUCAUGUCUUGAGCCAUAAAGCCGUACCCUCUAACCCUUAUGUUUUAAGUGAAUGAAGUAGUUAUCAUUUUACAAGUGAUUAGACAUACUAUGAGAAAACAACUUGUAUGAGAUUGCAGAUUAUAAAAUGUCAUGUCUUGAAGUUUAGGGUUUCGGUGAACAAAAACUUGCAUCCCCACUAACCUAUAGAAAAUAGAGUAACUUGAUCAAGAGUACGAAGCAAUAUUGCUAAAAAUAAGCCUACCAAAAUUAUGCACCAUUUGAACAGGUAUCUGCCAAAACUGUAUAAAGUUUCAGCAGAUAGCUACCGAAGGAGUUCAUAUGCGUCAUCUGCGUCGGCAAACAGUUCAUCGCCCCCUCUUAGGUUCGCGAGCCUUCUGCCUCCUCUGGCUUUAUCCAGUACUGUUCCUGGUCCAAGUUAAGAUCACCUCCUUUCUUAUGCACACAACCUGUUUGAUGAAUUGCCUUAAUUGAUACUCGAUUGAGUGGUAAAAUCGUCGGUCUAUGGUAUUGGGGAUUGUAAAAUUGUCUUUUGGGGUUUUUCUCGAAUAAUUAAGAUUAGGGGUUUCAUUGAAAUUCAAGAUAGAGUGACUUUCUUUGGUGGUUUACUUUUGUCAUUGAAAGAGAAAAAUUCGACCACCACAUUCUCUAUGGUGAAUUGAGUCAAUCUGAGUGGGGACAGGUUGUGUGAGGUUGAAAUCUGGGUUCUUUAGAAAAACUAGACAGUUGUUGGAUAUGCCACAAGGAAACCACGAUAUCUAAUGCUCCUAUAGAUUUGUUGUCAUACGCGUUGAUAGACCCAUAAACUUUGUUCUUUCUUCUCAAUUAAAUCAUGCAUAUUGUAUGACCAGCAUGUCUUAUUGAUUAUUUAGUAGAGUAAAACGAAUUGGUGUCGAAAUUUAUUAUUUCUAGUCUUUUCACAUGUUGAUUGUUGAGUUCGCUUGAAGAUAAUUGGAAGAAAAGGGUAGCUUUGGGGGUCAAAGUCAGAUUGUUAGUUCAAGGUAUUCACUCCUUUCUUUUAACUUUUCAGGGGCAAAUGGAUAUGAACACUAGAUAAAGUAAUUCGAAUUUCAUAAAUGUGCUGUCAUUGGAUCACUAGGGUUGCAAGUUGUGCACAAAUUCUGUGGUUCUGUCAUAUAUUUGCUAAAUACAUUAGUUGCUAAAUAUAUCUCUGUAGCUGCUGUGUGAUCUGUGUUCAAUUUGUGCAGCUGCUGUUUUUUUUUUUCUCUGCGAGGAGAGGUCGCACUUGGUGCGAUGGCAAGUGUCUUCGCCCAUGAGCGGUAGGUUUCGGGUUCGAGACUUGGGAGCAGCCUCUCCAUAAAUGGGGGUAAGGCUAGCCGACAUUCACUUCUCUCAGACCCUGCGUAAAGCGGGAGCCUUGAGCACUGGGUACGACCUUUUUUUGCUGUUUUUUUUUUUUUCAGGAACUCAAACAUCCUUGUUGACCGAAACUUGGAUAAAUAACCAGUUAGUCUCGAAGCAGUGCUGUCUAUCUAAACUGAAGGUGCUCCUCAGUCGGUUGAUUCUAUGGCUCCAGUGCUGUCUAUCCAAACUGAAGAUGUCGUUGGUUGCCUUCACAGUGUUGUCUAUCUAAACUAAAGAUGUCUUGGCGAGAAGAAAGGGGGAGAGGAAAAAAUCUCAGGAUUGUUGAGAAGCUUUGUGCAGGGCAAUUUGUGUCUUGAUUUGAAGAGAGCUUUCUAUGAUGUAGAGCAUCUUGUAUUUAUAGCAUUCAUAUUUUCUGCUUGAGACGGCCUAAUAAUUUCGUAGAGUCCAACUAAAAAUCAAACUCCCUCCACGCACUAACAUACAACAUCACCACCAUAUUUUGCUCUUGAUAAACCAAUCCUUUGCUAAUAAUUAUCACAACCUGAAUUAGUGUUAGUACUGGUUUGGUACUGAGGUGCUUUUAUAAAAAGUGGGUAUAAAAAAACAGCUAAGCUUAAAAAGUGUUUGGUAAACACUUAAAAACAACUUAUUUUCUCAGUUUUGGGUGAAAAAAAAACUGAAAACGUGAAGAAGCAAAAAUGAGCUUAUUCUCACAACACAACAGAAACAGUUUUUUUUUUUCAAAGCACAGCAAUACCAAAAAGGACAUGCUUAGGGUUUUAUAUUUUUUUUUAUAAAUGUGUUUAUACUUUAAUGGUUAGGGUUUUAUUCAUUAAUGUCAAUGUAGUUCGAACCUAAGGAUCCAUCACGUCCCCUAAAAGGACAUGCUUGAAAUGCAAACCAUCGAACACACUCAAUAAUAAUUUUGUCAACAUAUUGAGAUGAGUUCAUCAAUUCCUCUACACGCAAAACACAAUUAUUAUGUAACAAAGAUGGACCUCCAAUAUGAGAAAGAAAUAUACAAUUAUUUUUGUCGUUAAUUCUUUUCCAAUUGUUAAAACCAUCAAUGGCUAGUGUUGGACGACAUGCUGGACCAAUCCUAAAAAGAAGCAUGUGAAGCAAUACACUCUAUAUGUGGAAGGAGAAUAUUCUAACUAUGGAAAUUAUGAAACCAAGAAUACUGAAAUCGACAAUAUUGUGACCCAAAGUGAGAGCUAGGAUACUAAAAAAAUUUUGGUCGGUAAGGCCCAACUUUGAUAUAAGCAUGUCGAACCUCACCUACUGAUUAACAGGAUACUCAUGUAUUUGAAUCUAUUUCCCGGGUCUCGUUCCAAAGAAGCAUCAUCAAAAACUUUUUUCUACAUGUUCAAUUAUAAUACAUGUCUGGUGAGGGUCAUGAAGCUGCUCAAUUGACACUCAUUACAACAAAACUGGUCUUUUGCGGCGCACAAAGGGUGCCGUAAACGGUUAUUCACGGCUUGAGCCCCCAAGCAGUAAAAGCCCCUGUCGUAAAAGAUGUUUUGUCAAAUACGACAUUCUCUAGUAGCCAUGAAUAAUUUACGCAAAACACGCCGUAAAUGCUCUUUAAGGCGUGCAAGUAGUUAUUAGAUACAAUGUUAAUGAAGUGUCGUAAAUGCUCUUUAAGGCAUGCCUUGCGUGCCUUAAUUGGUAUUAGAUACGACAUUAAUGAAGUAUCGUAAUACUGCGAAAACAAUUACGGCAUACCUGUUUGCCGUAAUUUAUAUUUGAUACGGUGUUUGUUGAGUGUCGUAAUACUGUGAAAGCAAUUACGGCAUACAUUGUACAUCGUAAACGAAGAUUAGCAUCAACAAUUACUGUUGAUUUUGCAUACAGUAAUUUACAUUUAUUUUAAUUUUAUAUAUAUAAAAGAAUCGAUAAAAUUACAUAUUUACUAUAAUACAAUAAUUUCAUAAAUAAUCAUAUUGUCAAAAUGUAUUACAAGUUGAACAUAGCUAAGGUCAAUAUCAAACUACACAUGAAAUACCAAAUAUGUCACAUCCCGGCUCGGGCCCCCACCACAUCCCUGGCUCCACUCCAUCGUAGCACGAUAUUGUUUACUUUGGGCCCUGACCACGUCCUCAUGGUUUUGUUUCUAGGAACUCACACGAGAACUUCCCAGUGGGUCACCCAUCAUAGGAUUUCUCUCGUGUAAACUCGCUUAACUUCGAAGUUCCGACGAAACCUGAAGCCAGUGAGCUCUCAAAAGGCCUCGUGCUAGGUAGAGAUGAGAAUAUACAUAUAAGGCUUACAAGAUUCACUCUCCUAGGCGAUGUGGGAUGUUACAAUCCACCCCCCUUAGGGGCUGGACGUCCUCGUCGGCACACUUCCGUCCAGGAGCUUAUACCAAAUUGUCACAUCCCGGCCUAGGCCCCCAUCACAUCUCGGGCUCGACUCCACUAUAGCAUUAUAUUGUCCGCUUUAGGCCCCGACCAUGCCCUCACGAUUUUGUUUCUGGGAACUCACACGAGAACUUCUCAAUGGAUCACCCAUCAUGGGAUUGCUCUCGCGCGAACUUGCUUAACUUCGAAGUUCCGACAAAACUCGAAGCUAGUAAGCUCCCAAAAGGCCUCGUGCUAGGUGGAGAUGAGAAUAUACAUAUAGGGCUUACAUGAUCCACUCCCCUGGGCGAUAUGAGAUGUUACAAAAUAGGCCUCUAAUAAAAAAGAAAUUUGUCACUUGAAAGACUUCACUUUUUCUUGAACACCUCCAAACAAAGUCCUUUGAGAGUGAAAUACUGCUCAUAAUGCUUGAACCACACUAAUUAAUAUCUUUAUCUGCAUGACAUAAGCACAUGGAGCAAAAGAAAAUCUAUUGUACUGCUAUGUAGAAAUACACAUUUAAUCUCAGGUAAGAAAAGUGAUACUGAAAGAAAACCUAAUCAUUGUCAUACAAACCUAAAUCCCAAAAUGCCUUCACAGUUUUAUUGUUUUACACUCAUACAUGUAUCAAAUGACUAAAAUAUACACAAAUUAUGCCUUUACAGUUUUACUAUUUCCUAUAACCUGCAUAAAAAUCAUAUACUUGCGAGUAGAUAAAUUAAUUAGUCUCUAACAUUUCACGCAUGAAGAAUUGAUACGGCAAGUAGAAGAUUAGAUAUUCGAUCAGUGGAUAUGGUUAUCAAUUAUGAUAUCCCCAAAACUCUAAGGUAAGACUCACUGUUUUUGACCUAGUGGCUUGCUGUUAUCAAUUUACAUCAAAGUUAGCCAUUUAUCUAGUUUUUGGGUCUUAAUAUAUUACAAAUUCAACAUCAGCAGAAGCACCAACAAAUUUCAAUUUUUUUUACUUCUUUUUGUUCCAUUUUCUUCAAUCCAAUCAACUUUCUUGAGAAUUAAAACAAAAUGAGAGAAAAAGAGAGUUCCCAAACUAUCUUAACUUCGUCUUUGGAAAGUAGGCCCUGAGAACGGAUAAAGUGCCCAACCAAGAUACUCUAGCUAGUCAAAGGAGAUGGAUUCGGUUCGUAAGUUAAGAGCUAGUCAAAACAAAAUGUUAACUUAGAAAUUGAUAAAGACUUUAAUAAUAAAAUUAAGGGUAAACGACUAUUUACUACCCUCAUGGUUCGUGGUUUUCAACAUUUAGUACAUCAAGUUUUUUUGGUCUCAGAUUCAUACCUAAAGUGUAAAUUUUGGAACAUUCUCAUACAUCCGUUAGUCAAACUGUUAAAUCUGCCGUUAAUUAUGACGUGGCGCCCAUGUGGACAAUGACUGGGCGCCACGUGUCAUCCACAUUUUUUUCUUUCUUCCUCCUUCUUCUUCUUCCUUUCUCAUUCUUCCUCCCCCUUCUUCCCCUUCUUCCUUCUUCUUCCUUCUCCUUCCUCCUUCUUCCUUCCUCUUCUUCUUCUUCUUCCUCCGAAUCUACCCAGAUUUAGUUUUUUUUUUCUUUUUUUUUCUUCUUUCUUCUUCUUCCUCCGAAUCUGGGGAAGUUUUUCUUUUUCCUUUUUUUUUUUUCUUCUUCCUCCUUCUUCCUUCCUCUUCUUCUUCUUCUUCUUCCUCCAAAUCUACCCAGAUUCAGUUUUUUUUUUUUUUCUUCUUUCUUCUUCUUCCUCCUUCUUCCCCUUCUUCUCCUUCUUCCUUCCCUUUCUUUUCCUUCUCCUUCUUCUUCCCCAGAUUCGGAGGAAUAAGAAAAAGAAGAAGGAAGAAGGGGAAGGAAGAAAGAGGAAGGAAGAAGGAGAAGGAAGAAGAAGGAAGAAGGAGGAAGGAAGAAGGAGAAGAAGGAGGAAGAAAAAAAAAAGUUACAGUCAAAGGAAGAAGAAGAAGGAGGAAGAAAAAACAAGUUGCAGUUGGAGGAAGAAGGAAAAAAAAAACUGAAUUUGGGCAUAUUCGGAGGAAGAAGAAGAAGAAGAAGAGGAAGGAAGAAGGAGGAAGGAGAACGAAGAAGGAGGAAGAAGAAGGAAAAAAAAAACUUCCCCAGAUUCGAAGGAAAAAGAAGAAGAAGGAAGAAGAAGGAAGAAGGGGAAGGAAAAAGGAGGAAGGAAGAAGAAAAAGGAAGGAAAAAAAAGUUGCAGUUGGAGGAAGAAGAAGAAGAAGAAGAAGAAGAAGAAGGAAGAAGACAGAAGGGAAAAAAAAAAUGUGGAUGACACGUGACGCCCAGUCAUUGUCCACAUGAGUGUCACGUCACAAUUAACGGCAGAUUUAACAGUUUGACUAACGGAUGUAUGAGACUGUCCCAAAAUUUACACUUUAGGUAUGAAUUUGAGACGAAAAAAAUUUGAUAUACUAAAUGUUGAAAACCAUGAAACAUGAGGGUAGUAAACAGUCUUUUACCCUAAAAUUAAGUAUAAACUUUUCCACUCAUUACUGCUGCAUUUGCAACCUCUUCGUUUAAAAAUUCACCAAAGAUUUGAAUGCUACCUGAAAAAUAGUAAAAAGAAAUAGAAUAAAUAAGUGAAUAUAAAUCAUACCAAAGGAACUCAAUCAAAUUAUCAUUUUUAUCCAAUAGUACAAACUAAACAAAGUACUACACUACUACUACAACAAACCCACAGAGUACUAGGCUAUGCCCCAGUGUUAUUCUACUACUACUACUACUACAACUACAACAUACUCACAGAUUAUUUGGAUUUUCAAAACAGAUUAUUUGGAUUGCAGUAUCAAUGUAAGUCUGUAACAUCUCAAUCUUCUUUGCAAAAGUAGAACCUUGUUGAGUACCCGAUGUGAUCUUGAGGUCCGGGACAUGCAUACAAAGAAGGCCAAGUCACUCUGCAAUCCUAAUCAAAUCAUACAAACAGAGAGCAAAAUUAACAAAUCCCCAACACCAUAAUUAAAACUCUUUUAGAGGAAACUGAAUUGGAAUAGUCUAGAUUAAUAUUAGUCUAAAUUUUUAAAAAUACUUGGUGCCUCAGAUUUGAUAAUUCAUUGGGCGUCAUUACUUACAGCUCUAGAUUUGGGAAGGAAUCCAUUCCAGCAUACCUAUCAAAAACUGUUUCACUCAAUAAAAAAUAUUAGGUAACCCAAAUGUUGUUCAAAUGCAUAUAUAAGUUUAUAACUUACAAAAAAAACAUUAUAACAAGAAAAAAAAAAGUGCUAAUACAUUUCCUACAAUACACUUAAAGGUGGGAUAUUAACACUUAUUUAAGUUAUUAAAUCACUUAACCUGUAUAUAUUUGUCACUGCACUUGGAAAUAUAGGUGGUGAUCUAACAAAUAGCAUGAUCGACCUGCAAUGGACAUAAAUGGAUUCACAAAAGUUAUUUGUUGCCCAGGCUAUUUGGAUCCGUGGGACCAUUUUUUCCAUAUUAGUGGACCUAAUCGUACACGAAGAGACCAUUCCUAAACCCAACCCAAAAUACUAAAUUCCUCACAUGAGCUAAUAAAAGUGUUGUGAUGCUGCAUAUGACUGAUACUGCAUAUGGAGUCUACUACCAAGGUGACCCCUAGGGUAAAUCUCUAGGGUAAGGCUCAUUGUAAUGUUUAGAGUAAAGGGUAUGUAAAUCACCUUUCCCGUAAUUUAAGGGAGGAGACUGAUUGGGGUAAUGUCUUAGGUAGGCAACAUGCCUUCUUCUUUCUUGUCAGCUGCCUGCUGCAGCCAUCCUUCCCAUCUCUUUUCCCUCUCUCUUCUCAUAUAUACGCGGACUCACUCUUGUACAAACAUACAUGAAAUAUACAUUGAAACUUUAAACUAGAAAAUCUAUAAAAAGGGUUAGAAGUCAAGCAACCAAGUACCAACCUGUAAUUGAAAAUUAAUAUAAAAAAAUGAAUUAACCAAACAUUCUGAAAGAUCCAAAUGUAGAAGCCCAAAAACACAAAAAAGACAAAAAAAUAUUGAAUUGUAUUACACACUAUGGAUUAGAUAGUGAUCCCAAAAACCAAAGGUAACCAAUAAGCACAAGUUCCAUCAUUAGUAAAAACCGAUCGAUUCAUUGAUUUUCAUAUGAGUGAUACAAGUAUUGGUAUACAUAAGCAACAUGAGGAGAUAAGUCUCCAGGAUGUGUAAGAUUACAAUGCAGAGCAACUAAAAGAUGACACUACAAUUGAGAGCAUUAAUAUGUUUCUAAUUUUUAAAACUACUCAAGUACAAAGCACUCACUGCUCUGGAUUCAAAGAGAACCUCACACAAUAAAAUCGCUUCUCCAUAAAACAUAAAUGAUAGCUCUUGGAAUUGACUGCAGAGUAUAAAGUGGUAGCUUAAACAAUUAUGUAUGGUUCAAUUUCAAAGCAUCUACGAAGCCUAAAAUUACUAAACCUUCUUUUCUUAUUAACUUGUAUAAGCAACGAGCCAGAAAGAUUUUACCUUUAAACAUCAAGAAAAACAUAAGCAUCCCAGAAAAAUAAUUUCAUCCUACAAAUUCACAACAAAAAGAAAAAUACUGAAAAAUAAAAAGCAAAUAGAAAACUGAUUAAAAAAAUCCUCCAUAUGUAAUAAUAAAUCAAUUUAAAGAAUCCCCAAUCACAGAAUAAUAAAGCCAGGCACAAAUACAUAUAGAUUUAGAAAAAUCAAACUCAAAUUGGAGACUGCGGAGUGCGAAUGUGCAGGUGGAGGGGCUGUUGGAGAAAAGUACCUGUAAAUUCAAAACCAAAUUUAAAUUAAAAUAAAAUAAAAUUUUGAAAAAAAAGAAGCUUAAACCUUAGAACAUUGGGAGAAAAACGACGGUCUCGUGUGUCUGGCGGUAUGAAUCUCCUAGGUUCUUGAAUUUUCGGUGGUGGACAGUAAGUGACGUGGAGAUGAGGCCAUGGACCGUGACAAAGCGAUGGAGAGAGGAAUUUGUUAUUUGGGUAAAUAAAUCUGGGUAUCCUAUUGGGUCAUGAUGGUGUGAAAGAAACGAGCAAUCUGAAAGGCAGAGAGAAAGAAAAGGGAAAGUGAAGUGGAAUGGUCUAGAAUUUCACUUGUUUGAUAUUUCAUUUCGGCGCUAUAAUUUCCCGCGCAUUUUUUGUUAGGUGCAGAGUGGGAAAGUUUAGGCACGAAGCUAGAAACUAUUAUUUACGACAUAUCAUUCGUGCCAUAAAAGGUAGGGACCCAAAUAUAUAAAAAUUUCACUUUACGACCUAACGUAAUGCCUUUAAAGAGAAGGAAAGUGUGUCGUAUAAAUUGUCAAAUACGACACACAACGAUUACGCUGUAAAUAUUUUUAUUUAACGACUUGCACAAAAGUGAUGCCAUGAAUGCUAGAUUAUGUGCAAGUAUUACGACAUGAACUUUAAUAAAUCAUUUAAGGUAUGACAGUACUGUACGCCGUAUAUUUCAAGUCGUAAAAGACCCAAAUUGUUCUAGUGACUGGUGCAUUAUCAUUAAAUGCAGAAAGUGUAUCACACUCUAAUUUACCAUCAUUAUCUCUUUUUCUAAAGAAUGAAUCAAUAUUUCUUAACCUCUUCAUUGGACAGACGGUUGGACCUAACAAAUUGGACAACAAUAAUGCAAUUGUAUAUGACAAAUUAUCUAUCUAACAAAUCUAUCAGAAAAAUAAUAUUAUAAUUAAAAAUUAAAAUUUCAAGCACGAAUUCUUAAAAUUUAAACAAUAAACAAAUAAACAUGAUCAAGAAUUAAGAAUAAAGUGGUAAAAAAACUUACUAGUUGAUGAGAAAACUAGUUGGCUUUCACACUUGCAUUCUCCGACACUACUACAAAACUACCCAAUAAUGUCAUUUUAAAACGACAAGAAAAACCCAUUUAUGUCGGAUAUUAGCAAAAAUCCGAUAGAAAUUCAUGUAAUGGUGGAUAAAAGAACCGACAACAUUGCUUGCAUCACGAAAGGGCUUUUGUUGUCGGCUAGUUCCCUUAAACCGCCAAGAAAAUGCAAAGUGCUUUAAAAUAAAAAAUGGACAGUAGUGUCGGAUAAAAAAACUAUAGCAUCAGAUACAAGCGACAUUGAAACUCCCGUUGGAUACAGGUGACAUUAAAUACUGAGAUAGACUGUCGAAUAAAGCAUGGUUUGUGUCACCCCUAACCGACAACACUAAUCAUUAAUAAAAAUAUAUAUAAAAAAACAUAUUUCAAUUUUGAAUAAAUAAAAUAAACAAAUAUUCUGUCGCUCAUAACAGACACCAUUAAAUAAAAUAAAAAUUAUUUUGCAUAAGAUAAAUCAAUUUUUUGUGGCCCCUAACCGACAGAAACACAAUUAAUAAAUUACAAAAAAAGUAUACACCAUAUGCAUAUAAAUUAAUAAUUAAUUAAUUAAUAACUAAAAUAAUAUUAAUAAUCAUAGCAAACACUAAUAAUUAUCAGCCAUAACAAAUUAACACUAAAUCCACCAUUACACAAUAUACAUAAUUAUCCACCAUAACAAAUUAACUCUAAAUCCACCAUUGCACAAUAUACAAAAUUAUCCGCCAUAAUAUAUAUUCAUAUAUAAAAGUUCGUUAAUUAUGUUUAUAAUCUUUUACUAAUUAUACAAUUUGUAAGAAAAAGAAAAAAAAUAUACCUACAUUCAACUUCCUUUUCAUCUUCCUUAAUCAAGCACCAAUCCUUCCUCUAAGGAAUAUUUUGAGGAUCAUUGGCCUCAAAAGCAAUAAACUUCGAAAAAUGGCCACUAUUCGAAUUUAUGCAUUUUCCGGUGGAAUCAAAUAAACAUUUUUGUUUUCCUAUCCAUUUUGGGAUUCCACAGCUCCGAGUUCUUUGUUGAGGCAUUGCUCCUUGUCAAUAAAAAAAAAAAAAAAACAUUUGUGAUUCAUAUUUAGAAAAACAAAACCUACAUAAAGGCUCUAAACAAAGACCAAUUUUCAAUUUAUGCAUAAUAUUUCAUAAUGUAUCUCAAGUCAAGAUUCAAACUACAAACUCAAUUUAAUAACAUAAUUAAAAUUUAAAACACAAACUAAACGUAAUACAAAAAAUUUAAAAUGUACUGGUUUCGAAAUGUUGCUCCUCGAAUUGUGCAUCCAUGGUGAUUGAAACAAGAAGGAGAAUGGGAGAAGAGAGGAAGAAGGAAAGAAGAAUGAGAGGAGAAGGAAAGGGGGAAGGAAUGCAACAUGAAAGAGAAGAAAUUGGGGAAAGGAGAAGCCAGUGACACAAGGAAGAGGGAAAAAGGUUUUAUUAUGUAGAAUUACUAGUAUUGUCGGUUAAAAUCGACAACAAUCUUUUUUGUGUAAAGAAUACAAAAAAAUUAUCCGAUACACUUUCCUCUUGCUGUCGGAUAAAACCAACAUCACUCUUUCCCAUGUAAAGAAUGGCGAGAAAUAUCCCGCCCAAAAUUCCCUCCCAAAAUUUUGUCACAAUUUAAAAAAUAAAAUAAUAAUUGUUUGGUUUAAUAUAAUACAUAUUUAAAUAGAAUACGUUUUUAAAAAAUAAAUAAAUAAUUAUUUGGUUUAAUAGAUAAUAGAUAAUAACCCAUGUAAAAUAUACUUUAAAGAAACAAAAAGAUAAUUGUACAAUGAAAAUGUCAUCACACAAACUAAAUAUUGUCUAAUCAAUACUUCAAAAACAUAUAUAUAAAUUUAGCACAAAUUACUUUUCCCACUUCAAAAUGUGGGCACAAAUUUAACAGAGAUAUGAAUUCUACGAAACUAGUUUCAACGAUCUGACAGUCAAAACUUGUUUGUCUAUACUACAAGAUCGCAUACAUCAAAAUCGCAAAAAAAAAAUAAAUUCAGAGAUUAGGUAGCGGAACAAAAAAUUUUGACAAUUAUAAAUGAAAAAUCACGAUUUAACAGUUAUUUUAGCUCAGAUUUUGAUGAUUUUUUACAGCUACACUCCACAACCCUAUAAGAAUGCAAUGAAUGAAUUCGAUCUUCAAUUUAAAAUAUUUACACUAGUGGAUACCACAAAAUCUUAGUUUAUACUUAAUGGAAGUAUAACAUUAACUCUAAGUGCUUGUUUAAUCUACUGUUUUUACACGAUACACAUUCUAUGAAACCUAUUUCAACGAUCCAACCGUCAAACUUAUUUGUAAACACUCUGAGAUCACAUACGUAAUAAAUCCCAACAAACAAACAUUCAGAGAUUAAGAAACCAGAUAAAAAUUGACGGUUAUAAAAAAAAAAUCACAUUUUAACAAUUAUUUUAGCUCUGAUUUUAAUGAUUUUUUACAGCUACCCUCCUCGACCCUGUAAGAAUACAAUGAAUGAAAUCGAUCUUCAAUUUAAAAUAUUGCACUAGUGGAUACCACAAAAUAUUAUGUUGUACUUAUUAGAAGUAUAAAAUAAACUUUUAAGUAUUUGUUAAAUCUAUCAAUUUGAUGGGAUAUGCAUUCUACGAAACUAGUUUCAGGGAUCCAACUGUCAAACAUGUUUGUAUAUACUCCUAGAUAGCAUACGUAAAAAAAUUUCAAAAAAAACAAAAAAGAGACAUUCAGAGAUUAGGUAACGAAACAUAAGUUUUCGACGGUUAUAAGCGAAAAAUCAUAAUUUAACGGUUAUUUUAGCUCCAAUUGAUGAUUUUUUACAGUUAUACUCCUCAACCUAUAAGAAUGUAAUGAAUGAAUUUUAUCUUCAAUUUGAAAGAUUUACACUAGUGGAUAGCACAAAUUUUUAUUUUAUACUUAAUGUUUAUGUAAUCUACCCUUUUGACGCGACACACACUCUAUGAAUCUUUUUUCAACGAUCCAACUAUCAAACUUAUUUGUACACACUCUAAGAUCGAAUACAUAAAUAAUCGCAAAAAACAAACAUUCAAAUAUUAGGUAACGGAACAAAAAAUUUCGACAGUUAUAAACAAAAAAUCACAAUUUAAUGAUUAUUUUAGCUCUGAUUUUGAUGAUUUUUUACAGCUACACUUCUCGACUUUGUAAGAAUACAAUGAAUGAAUUCAAUCUUCAAUUUAAAAUAUUGCACUAGAGAUACCACAAAAUUUUAUGUUGUACUUAUUGGAAGUAUAAAAUAAACUCUUUUAGUAUUUGUUAAAUCUAUCAAUUUGAUGGGAUAUGCAUUCUAUGAAACUAAUUUCAAUGAUCCAACUGUCAAACAUGUUUGUAUAUAGUCCGAGAUUGCAUACGUAAAAAUCGCAAAAAACAAAUAUUAAGAGAUUAGGUAACGGAACAAAAAAUUUCAACGGUUAUAAACGAAAAAUCACAAUUUAACGAUUAUUUUAACUCUGAUUUUAUGACUUUUAACAGCUACACUCCUCGACCCCUGUAAAAAGACAAUGAAUGAAUUCGAUCUUCAAUUUAAAAUAUUGCACUAGUGAAUACCAUAGAAUCUUAUGUUGUACUUAUUGGAAGUAUAUAGUUGCUCUUAAGUAUUUGUUAAAUCUAUCAAUUUGAUGAGAAAUGCAUUCUAUGAAACUAGUUUCAGCAAACCAAUUGUCAAACAUGUUUGUAUAUACUCCUAGAUAGCAUGCGUAAAAAUUUGCAAUAAAACAAAAAGAAAGACAUUCAAAGAUUAGGUAAUAGAACAAAAGUUUUCGACGGUUAUAAACAAAAAAUCACAAUUUAACAGUUAUUUUAACUCUGAUUUUGAUGAUUUUUUACAGCUACACUCCUCGACCCUAUAAGAAUAUAAUAAAUGAAUUCGAUCUUCAAUUUGAAAUAUUUACACUAGUGGAUAGCACAAAAUUUUAUUUUAUACUUAAUGGAAGUAUAACAUUAACUUUAAGUGUUUGCUUAAUCUACCCUUUUGACGUGACACGCACUCUAUGAAACUUUUUUCAACGAUCUAACCGUCAAACUUGUUUGUACACACUCUGAGAUCGAAUACCUAAAAAGUCACAAAAAACAAACAUUCAGAUAUUAGGUAACAGAACAGAAAAAAAUUGACGGUUAUAAACAAAAAGUUACAAUUUAACAGUUAUUUUAGCUCCGAUUUUGAUGAUUUUUUUUACAGCUACACUCCUCGAACUUGUAAGAAUAUAAUGAAUGAAUUUGUUCUUCAAUUUAAAAUAUUGCACUAGUGAUACCACAAAAUCUUAUGUUAUACUUAUUGUAAGUAUAAAAUAAACUCUGAAGUAUUUGUUAAAUCUAUCAAUUUGAUGGUAUAUGCAUUCUAUGAAACUAAUUUUAACGAUCCAAUAGUCAAACAUGUUUGCAUAUAGUCCGAGAUUGCAUACAUAAAAAAUCGCAAAAAACAAACAUUCAGAGAUUAGAUAACGGAACAAAAAAUUUCAACGGUUAUAAACAAAAUAUCACAAUUUAACGGUUAUUUUAACUCUGAUUUUGGAGAUUUUUAACAGCUACACUCCUCAACCCUGUAAAAAUACAAUGAAUGAAUUCGAUCUUCAAUUUAAAAUAUUGCACUAGUGAAUACCACAGAAUCUUACGUUGUACUUAUUGGAAGUAUAUAAUAGCUCUUAAGUAUUUGUUAAAUCUAUCAAUUUGAUGGGAUAUGCAUUCUACGAAAUUAGUUUCAACGAUCCAACCAUCAAACAUGUCUAUAUAUACUCCAAGAUAGCAUGCGUAAAAAAUCGCAAAAAAAAAAAAAAAAAACAAUUCAGAGAUUAGGUAAAUGGGACCCAAAAUUUUGACAGUUAUAUAAAAAGAUCACGAUUUAACGGUAAAUUUAGCUCCAAUUUUGAUGAUUUUUUAUGGAUACACUCCUCGACUCUAUAAGAAUACAAUGAACAAAGUCGAUCUUCAAUUUAAAAUAUUUACACUAGUGGCUACUUAAUCAAUUAAAAUUACGUAGUUUUUUUAGGGCUUCUAGUUCCUCAUAAAUACAUAUCACAUCUUACAACAGCUAACCACCCUAAAAAAUAGAGAAAUUACUGUCGACGACCACUUGUUGCCCUGGGGAAUAAACAAUUACUUCUGACCAUUUAAACAUGCUCUUGAAAAAAAAUAUAACUAUAGUAAAAAGAAAUUAAAAAAACAAAAGGUUAUCAAAAUUAUGCUUAUCUAAUCGUGAUUAUUCAUUAAAUUAAGUUUUGUACAUCUUCUUACCAAUUAUAGCGAAAAAAUAUAUUAAUUUAACAUAAAUAAAUAUUUAUUAGACAAAAAAAACAUAAAUAAAUAUUUAUUCGACCAAAAAAAAAACAUAAAUAAAUAUUUAUGUUAUAUUAAAUAUUAACUAGUUUACGAAUAUAUUUAAUUGACCAUCUUCCCAGUCUUGUGCAUAGGACAUCUCGGUCUUGGGUUCGAAGGGGGUGUGCUUCUGCCGUUGCCUUUGAAUGUAAUUAACAAAACAUAAAUAUUUGAAAAUUUGAAAAUAAUAUAAUAUAAUCCGAUAGAAUUAGCAUAAAAAAUUUAAAAAUAUUUGUGUCGAAUAUAACCGUCAAAGUUAGUAUAAAAAUUUUGAAAAUGUUUGUCGGAUAUAUCCGCCAGAGUUAGUAUAAAAAUUUGAAAAUAAUAUAAUAUUGUCAGACAGAUUACUUACUCAUGUCGGCUAAGUAACAUCCCACAUCGCCCAAGGGAGUGAUCCUUAAAUGUAUAUUCUCAUCUCUACCAAGCACGAGGCCUUUUGGGAGCUCACUGGCUUCGGGUUCCGUCAGAACUCCAAAGUUAAGCGAGAAGGUGACCAGAGCACUCCCAUGAUGGGUGACCCACUGAGAAGUUGCUCGUGAGUUCCCAAAAACAAAACCGCGAGGGAAUGGUAAGCCCAAAGCGGACAAUAUCGUGCUACGGUGGUGGACCCGGGCCGGGAUGUGACAGGCUAUAUCCUCCAGAUUUGGUUAAAAUUAUUUAAAAAAGAAAUCUGGUGGAGUUAAGGGCCCGCUUCAUUAUUCUUGUCAGAAAGUAGUGAAGUAAUGUCGGAUAUAUCUGACACUCAUGUCUUAUGUCGGAUGUAAUGACCUGUUCCUAAAAAUUAUGAUUUUUAUAAUUUUAAUACGUGGGAUUACGAAAAUGCCCUUCGAGGCAAAUACGUUGACUUAUGUUGACCACCUUGUUGUGUCAUGUAAGGUUCAUUUUCUUAGCGUAUUCAAGUACUACUUGUCGAUAUGAGCUCGUGGGCGCAAACAAAAUGUAAUUUGGAGUUGUAAUGAAGAUUCUACGAACUUUUAAAAGUCAAGGGCAUUUUAGUAAUUUUCCAUUUGAAACACAUGUUGUAUCUGGAGUAGUGUGCCAUGUGGGACCCACAGAUUGGUCCCUAAUCUUCUGGAACUCUCCUUCGCUUCUUUCUCUCCCGUGACUCUCUUCUCUCUCAUAGCUCUCAUUCUCUCACUCUCUUUCGGCUCCAUUUCUUCCCGUGGAAACCAAACCAACACCAGUCAUUUUUCCAGCGAAUUAGACCCUGAAAUCAUAAUCAUGUCCCUAGCACCCUUGGAAUUGUGAAUCCAUUUAAAGGUUUGUAGAAUCUUCGUUACAACUCCAAAUUACAUUUCAUUUGUGCUCACGGGCUAAUGUCGACCAGUACUACCCCGAAUACGCCAAGAAAAUGAACCUUACAUAACACGACAAGGUGGUCAACAUAAGUCAACGUAUUUGCCUCGAAGGGCAUUCUCGUAAUCCUCUUUAGGGACGGGUCAUUACAUCGGAUAUAAGCGCAACAGUACUUUGUUAUCCGACACUAGUUAAACAUGCUGUCGGAAAUAUUUUAUUCGACAUUAAUCGUAUAAAACUGCCACCACUCUCCGACACAUUAAGCCAAUUUUGUAAUAGUGCGGAGACAUAGCCUUCUAGAAAAAUUGGCUAAUGUGCCUUCAAAGCUAAAAUGUACAACGACAAACGAGUUAGGAAACGUGUAAGUAGAUGUUAAAAUGAAUAAAACAAUAAAACUAAUAAUUAUGAGACUAAGUCAAUCCCUUCUCAUUUAGUGUAAAUAAUAUUGCUUGUUAAGAAGAACAAAAAACCUAAUAAUUACUUACUCCUAGAAAGCCUAAAACCGUAUGAUUUGAAUUGUAUUAAAAUUUUUAAAGUUAAUAAUUCCUCUCUAGAAUCUAGGAACCGUAAGAGUUUUGAAUUAAUUAAAAUAAUGUUAAUAAUUAUGUUUUUAUUCAUUAACAGACUUGUGCGUUAAUAUAUUGGAUGGAUUAUUACAACUAAAAAUAAAUAAAUAAAUAGUCCAAAUGACUAGUAUUUUUAAGCUCAAAUAACUCUUCCUACGUUAAAGCCCGCCUCAGCAUUGUUAGUGACUCCGCCGUUGGGUAGGUCGCAACUUGCAGUGGUUUUGGACUUUGUUUAAUAGGUAGAAGUCUAAAACUCCGAUAUUUGCCUUACAUACAGAGGUGGAGGACAAUUCAACAUCCGACAGCUAGCCAGCCAGCCAGCCAGCCAGCCAGCAAGCCAGCAAGCCAGCGGAUAAUUGGUGCGUAUAUAACUUAUAAGUGAUUGAUUAAAAAUAUUGUGAUUGUUCUAGAAAGUAAUUCUAUAUAAUGCCCCCACCCUCACGACGACAAAUAGAAUUUCUUUUCUACGUCUUAAUUAUUAUUAAAUUUUUUAAUGCAUGCAACCGGCCCAGAUCUUCUACAACAAACUUCUUUAUUGGUUGCCUACUUAUUCCCUUAUAUUUUUUGAACAAAUAAUAUUAUCUAUACUAAUAAAGAGAAUAGAGAUUUAGCUUUACAAUAAACUAAUCAUAAUAAGAUUCCUCACUUACAAGUGAACAAGAAUAUCACUAUACUGUAGUACUAAGUAGCCCAUGAUAUAUGUAAUAUAUAUAAUUUUGCUACACUGAAUUAUUAAUUUAAAUAAUUUUGCUACAUUGGUCGCUUAGUACUAUAGUCUAGUGAUAUUUUUCUUCACUUGUAAGUGAGAGUUUUAGGUUCGACUCUUGCCAAAGGCGAAUUUGAACCAAAUUAUUGCUAGCCUAUUGUGAGACUAAACCCACGCCUCCUUAGUUUAGAUAAUAUCAUUUGUUCAAAAAAAAAAAUUUACUACACUGAAUUAUUUGUUUAAAUAGAUUUGUUGAUUGAAUAAUAUAGUUCUACAACUGAUUUUAGGACACACGUAAUGUAUUUUUUCAAUAAUAUAGUUUUGCUAGAUUGAAUAAUUAAUUAAGGAUAAUGCUUGUGUAGAGACUUGCUUGUUCCCACUUACGAUUAACAAACUUACACCAUCCAAAUAUUAUAAAUGGAAAGUUCAAUUUCUUUAUCAUCAUGUAAUGAUCAUAUGUAUGCAAAUUAAAGAUCUUCUAGUCAUUCAUAUGCAUAAAAUAAAUGGACGGUUCAUCAUGAGGAUGCUACUUGUUACCAAAAUCAUUGAUUGAUUUAACAUGUAUGGAUGACUAAACUGCUAAACUUUAUAGACCCAUGCAAGUUUACCCAAUAUCCUUAAUAUUUCCCCAACUUAACCACCUAUUACAAUGUCUUGGGUUUUAUCACAAAAGACUUUGGUAAUAUUAGGGGCUGAAAAUUCCAUAUGUUAAUAGUAUCGUUUUUUUUUUUUUUUUUUUGGGUUCCUCAUAUGACCGAUGUAGGUUCCUAUUCUCCAAUAAGCCUCCCUCACGAAUGGCCAUACAACAUUGGGCCACAAGGGAAACCAAUUCCCACAUAGGAAAUUGGUCAAGUCAUUAAACCGGAACUAAAGCUAAUGUUUUCGAGGGCUUGGUCAGUUUAUAUUCAGUCUCUGGAGCCAACGCCAAUCUUUUCGAAGGCCUAGUCAUUUAGUUGCCUUAACUGGAGCUAGCACAUCUUUUCUUCAAAAACCAUGUUCGGGCCCAAUAACUCGGCCCCAAAACGUGUCGAGAAAAUAGCCUACACUGAUACCAUCUUAAAUUUGGGUUUAAUUCUUCAAUUGUAUUCUUUUGACAAAGGAAGGCAAAUAUAUAUAAUACAAAUUUGACUUACAAGGCAAGUAAUAAAACCUAUACUAAUUACAAGGAAUCAAACGGGUGAAAAUCCCGCUAAUUACUACAUAUAGUCAAUUCACGCCAACAUAAAUUAUCUCCAAAUUAAAUAAUUUUUUACAUGUAUGAUCUUUAGAUGAUGAUAAAGAGAAUAUGAACAGUUCCCUUUAUAUGAUAUUUGGACGAUAAAAGUUUGUUAAUCGUAUGUAAGGGCACAAAGAAGUCCUCCCAUGAACAGACACAAACAUUUAUCCAUUAAGUUAAAAUAGUUUUGCUAUGCCAUUGACUACUAUAAUCUGGUUGUAUUCCUCUUUUCUUGGAAGUAAGAGGUUUUAGGUCCGAAUCUCGUGGAUGACGAAUUCGAUACCAAAAUAGAUUGCCCAUUGUAUAGCUUAGCCAAACUCCCAUUCCCCUUAGUGUAAAAAUAUCAAUGUACUAAAAAAAAAAAAAAAGUUUUUCUAUGCGUAAAAUUUCUGUUGACAGUUCUGAAUUGAAUUGGAGACCUAAAACCGUAUGUUUUUGAAUUGAAUAAAACAAUGAAAAUAUUAAAAGUUAGUGGUUACUCUCUAGAAUCUAGGAACUGUAUAGGUUUUGAAUUAAUUAAAAUAAUUUUAAUAAUUAUAUUUUAUUCACUAACACUUCUCUGUACAUAUUGGGUGGGCUACAAUUAAAAAUAAAAAAAUUGCCCAAAUAACUAGUAUUUUAAAGUUUAAAAAACUAAGACUCUCCCUAUGCUAAAGCCACUUCAGCCUGUUGGUAGCUCCGCCGUUGAUUCGAAGCUACAUGAUACUAUCCUUCUUUGACUAGAGACAAGUUACGUAAUCGAAGACUGCAAUCCGACUCUUAUAAAUACCAUGCAUAACUCCUCACUCUUUAAUCACAUUGCACAACGAUAAGGGGAGACAGUGAGACACUGAUUUUAUCCAGGAGUUGGUUUUGAUUAAUAUUCUCACUUAGUUAACCCAAUAGCCUGUAAUUAAUGGGGUCGUCACCAAUCUCCCUACUGUUUCAGGUAAAAAGAUUGGAGCCAGAACUUGUAACACCGGCAAGUCCAACACCUUGUGAGCAAAAGAUACUCUCAGAAAUAGAUAACCAAGAAGCCCUUAGGUGUCAAACUCCAUUUAUAUGGUCUUACACCAGCAACCCUUCUUCGAAAGAAAUCGACCCCGUUCAGGUAAUUCGGGAUGCCCUAAGUAGAUCAUUAGUGUAUUACUACCCUUUAGCUGGUAGGGUUAGGGAAGGGCCUAACAAAAAGCUUAUGGUAGACUGCAAUGGAGAAGGUGUCUUGUUCAUAGAGGCCGAGGCUGAUGUCACACUCGAGCAGCUCGGAGACACCCUUCAACCCCCUUGUCCACUCUUGGAGGACUUCCUGUAUGAUGUUCCAGGCACAAAUGACAUUGUUGGCACGCCUUUGCUGUUAGUUCAGGUGACUACGUCGACUUCAUUAGUUCAUUCAUGCAUGUAAUCAAUUAAUGUGUACGUUUGGAUUUAAUUUAAUUAACUACUCCCUCUAGAUACCUUAAAUAGAAGAGCAUGUGCAAGCAUAUAUAUAUAUAAGGGUGUGUGUGCUAUCCACACAUCUCAUUUUACUUAUCACACACCUUUUGAUAAUUUUUGUCCGUUGAUAUUCGUCAAUUCAUCUGAUCUGACGGUUGAAAAUUAAAAAGGUGUGUGUGAAGUAAAAUGAGGUGUAUGGAUAUUACACCCUUAUAUAUAUAUAUAUAUAUAUAUAGAGAGAGAGAGAGAGAGAGAGAGAGAGAGAGACUCUGUAAUGCAUGUACUGAUAAGAUUAGUUAGUUAGGGUAUACAUAAUAGCUCUGCAAAAUAAAAUAAUUUUGAAUUAAGACACUAAUCUUAGCAAUCUAUUCCACUACUCCUAAAUGUAAUUAUAUUGUUAAAGAUAUUAAUAAAUUUGGAUAGGCUAAAACCAGAUCUAACAUGAGAAUUAAAAUAAUUAUGAUAGGAAACAAAGAAAAAAAAAACUCCAAAACAGUUGGAAAUUGGCCGAUUUCUUUAUUUAUGUUAUGUAUUAUUUUGUCAUUUAGUGCUUAAAGAACUUUACCUUAAAAAAAGUGCUUAUAGAACUUUGGCUCUCUUUAGGAUUAAUUUUUGGUUUUAAAGUAAUUGUUUAUUCAAUAUUAUGGUGUCAUCUUUUUAUUUUUAUUUUUAUUUUUAUGGUGUCAUCUUUUGGUAUUAAAGUAAUUGUUUAUUCAAUACUGGCAUAUGGGCACACACAAAGUGUGUGGGAAUAUUUUUUUUUUUUUUUUUGAAAUAGAAGGAAAGAGGAAGAGAGUGAUAGAAAAUGUGGGAGUGGGAAGGGUUUUUUUUUUUUUUUUUAAUUAGAGAUAUGUUAUGAUUACAUGUUGGUGAGGUUUUGAAAAAAAAAUGGUUGUGUGAAAUUAUACUUCUGCCCCAUAUUUCUUAUUCAUGUUCUAUUUUAAUUAAAGGGUUAAACUGGUAAUUUCAUAGGAUUUUGGUUGACAAUGGGUGUUUUAUUAAUUAGUAGAGAUUAUGGUGUCAUCUUUUUAUCUUAUUUUUAUGGUGUCAUUUUAUGGUGUAUUCGAAUUAUAUAAGUAAAUUUAUUUUUUAUUAGUUACUAGGUACCCUAUAAUUAGUUCUAAGGGGACCUUUAAGAGAAGGGAUAUCCAGUUUUUUUUAUUUUUUUUAUUUUUUAUAUUAUAUUAUAUAUAUAUAUAUAUAUAUAUAUAUAUAUAUAUAUAUUUUUAAUGGGGAUUAGUUGUGGGAUUCACACUACAUUAGACUUCAACGAACCGAACCGUCUAUUUUUCAAGUUGCACAUCAUAAAUUAUUCUUGCAAUACAUUAGCCAAAUUGGAAAUAUUUGAGAAAUAUAAUUAAGUUCAAAUAAAUUGACGAACACUUUGUUUUAAAUAAAAUAAUCGUGAUAAUUAAAUAGGCAAAUAGUUUUGGAUUGAGUUGAAUUUUUGUAAGGAUGAUCUAUCAAUCGAGACUUACAAAAUAAACGAUUUGAAUUGUUGAAGUUCAAUGUGGAGUGGGUCCCACAAUUAAUCUCCAUUUUUUGAAAAAAUGAGGAUCAUUUCCCUAAAGGGUCUGUAAGUCUAAUAUAUGUGUUAUUUUGUAAGAAUAUAUAUCAUAAAUCAAUUAUACAAUGCGAAGGGAUCGAUUUCAGUUCCACGCCAUAAUUUUUCUGUGUAAUUGAUAAAAAAUUGUCUGUAAUCAAUUUAGGUGACCCGUCUGAAAUGUGGAGGUUUCAUAUUUGCAAUGCGCUUGAACCACACGAUGUUUGAUGCACUUGGGCUUGCUCAGUUCUUGAACGCAGUUGGGGAGAUUGCACGAGGUGCACAUGCACCAUCAAUCCCACCUAUUUGGGAACGAGAACUCUUGAAUGCCCGAGAGCCGCCACAGGUUACGUAUAUGCAUCACGAGUACGGGGACGAGAAUGAAUCUCAGGCAGGCUCCGUCAUUGCGUCCGUGGAUCAGCCAGACCUCAUCCAGCGGUGUUUCUAUUUCAGUCCUAAGGGGAUAAGGUCUGCUAGGAAACAUCUUCCACCAAACCUUAGCAACACUUGCUCCACAUUUGAGUUGAUAACAGGGUGCUUAUGGAAAUGCCGAACAAUUGCACUUGCAAUGAAUCCGAACGAGGCUGUUCGAGUUUCGCUAGUCGUCAAUGCACGUGGAAAGCGCAACAAUCUCAAUGUUCCUUUGGGAUUCUAUGGCAAUGCAAUUGGAUUCCCGAGUGUGAUUUCAACAGCCGAACUCUUGUGUAACAGUCCACUGGAAUACGCGGUGCAGCUGGUGAGGGAGGCAAAAAAUAAGAUGAAUGAAGACUACAUAAAAUCAGUGGCAGAUCUUUUGGCAUUGAGAGGAUGGCCUCCACUUACAUUGGCAGGGAAUAACUUCAUACUUUCGGAUAACACGCGCACCGGUGUGGGAGAGGUAGAUUUCGGAUGGGGAAAGCCAAUAAUUGCCGGACCUGCCAAGUCCGUCAAUUUGAUCAGCUUUUAUGUUCGGGACAGUAAUCAAGAAAAAGAUUAUGGAAUUCUGGUACCAAUGUGCUUACCUUUCUGGUGUAUGGAGAAGAUUGAGCAGGAGCUAAAAAGGAUAACUAUGGAGCCUGUGGAGGUUAUAUCGAAACAAGAUUCAAACACUUGCCUUGCUUAAUUACGUGUUGCUGGAUUUUUACAUAUUUGGGUUAUGCUAAUUUCUCUUAGUUUUUUUUUUUUUUUCUUUUAAUUUUAUUUUCUACAAUAUACACAAAUAGAAAUCAAUAAGGAGAUAGGGAGCCAAGGCUUCUCUUGGUAGGUAGGGGGUUGCUGCAGGGCCGGCCCUUAGAAAAUGGGGGUCAUAGGCGAGCCUUCGAGUGGGGGCCCUAAAGUUCUUUGACACCCAACUCAUUGUACAUUUAUAUGUAUAAGAAAAUGUUUCGCUAAAUACAUGAAAAAGUUCAUUUCUACAUAAAAAAUCAUUAGAAUUCAUAUCCAAAGAAGAAAGAUAUGCAAAAAUUACUUAAAUAUUACUCGUCUCGCGUUUUUAGAUGCAAAUGUAUUAAUUAAGUUUACAUAACUAAAAUUCAAUAUUCUGUAAACAACAAAUUGACAAAGAAACAAACUAAAAUUCAAAUUUUACCUACUACCCAACACAAAAGUUUGAUACAAAUGACACAACACAAAACGAGGUGCAUGAAAAAUACAGUAAAAUUUAAUAUCGAAACUUCGAAUUAUCUUGAACCAAAACUAGUUAGGAAGCAAAAGUAAACAACCUUGUUAAGUGCACCCAUAAUCCCUUUAUCUUCUCGAAGGGAUUUAACCACUUUAUUAAGUGCAUCCACAAGUUUGAAUACUUUGAUUUCGCAUAAACAAUAUGCAUUAAAAUAAACAAAUCAUAAACCCUAGAAUCGAAAAUCCUAAUUAUAUUUACAAACGCAACACUCACAAAUUAAAUUAUAGAAAAAGAAGCAGGAGAGAAGAGAAGCAUUGAUCGGGUACCUGACCUCUGUAAGUGGAGUGGGAAAGAACCGGUUCGCAGGCGCAGACUUGCUACCAAUAUGCUGUGCGUUAAAUUCCAAAAAAAAGAAGAAGUUGAAUUGGUGCUGAAGUUUCACCCCACCCAAGACACUUUGUACGCCAAGUUUCAAGACAAUUAUGUGAUUUUAUAUUUAAAUAUUUUAUUAAAUUCAAACUCUAAAAAUAUAUUUAUAUAUGUUAUAUAUAUACACACUUAUUUAAAAAGAAAUAUUUUUGGGGCCCCCCCACCCAAAACGCUGCACGGCAAGUUCCAAAAAAAUAUUUAUAAUUUCAUAUUUAGAUAUUUUACUCAAACUACAAAAUUAUAUAUAUAAAUAUAUAUAGAAAAUUAUGAUUGGCACUCUAAAAUUCUCAUUCUACAUUCCAAACUUUCUAUAUUUAGAAAGAAAAAUACACUUGUGAAGAGUAUAUGAUGAGAUUUUUAGAGUGCCAAUAAUACUUCCCUAUAUAUAUAAAAAAAAUUAGGGGGUCCCCUCCGAAGUGGGGACCCUAGGCGGUCGCCUACUCGGGCUACCCUCAGGGCCGACCCUGGGUUGCUGUAAACAAAGAUUGAAUAAUAAUAUAAUUGAACCAUAUAUUUUCACAAAGGAAAAUAUAAAUAAGAAAAGAGGGAAGAAAAAAAACUCUACAACCCACUCAGAGUCUAGAACUCUCCCAAAACUCACGUUCUCCACUCAAAGUGACGGCCUCCUUUGAACCUCUCCACUCUGCAAAGUAACUUUCACCCAAACCACGGCAAGGAGAAGGGGUACACGGCAAGAGGAGGAACAAAGGGAGGAGGAAAAACAAAAAGCAAAAAAGCAAGAGAAAAGCAGAGGGGAAUGCCUAUAAAUGGCACUAAGCCAAAGCAAAUUUUUUUUUUUGGGAGGGGGGGAGGGGGGGUAGGAAAGGAAAACAAGCCAGACAAAACCACGGCAAGAGGAGGAACAAAAGGACUUGGAUUCUCUGCCCUCCCAAUUCGGUGCCCUCUCUGUGCCCUCCUGUUUGUGUGGUCACGGUUAAGCCACGUCAAUAUUUUAUAUUACUAUUUUUUUUUGUCUUAUUAUUUUUAUAAAAAACAAUAUAAAAUGUUAGCAUGGAUUAACCGUAAUCACACAAAACAGAAGGGUACGGAGAGGACAUCAAAAUGGGAGGGCAGAGAAUCCAAGUCUGGAACAAAAGGAGGAGAAAAAGCAAAAAGCAUAAAAAGCAAGAGAAAAACAGAGGGGAAAAGCACGGCAAAGGAGAAGCAACAAACAUUAAAAAGUGUUAAGUUUAUUCCUUUUUUAAUCUCGUUGUCUGUCUCUUUUUCCUUGUUUUUGCAGAGAAAGAAGCAAAGAAAUGGACUGAGAAUCCUCUCUCCAGAUUAUUGAUGAGUAAAUUUUAUAUUAUAUAUUUACCCUAAUCUUAGUAUAUUUUGGUUAAUAUAUUGGAAGAAUUUGAUACUUUGAAUUGUAUUUUUAAUAUAGGACUUUCGACUUCCUCUGGAACAAAACAGGACCAAAUGGACGAAUUUUGGAGUAAUUCCAGUUGGAGGACGUUCGUGAGUCACUUAGCUUGAUCGUAUCAAAAUUUUGGAUUUUUCCACCAAACGGUUAUUUUCUGGCGAUAAAAUAAAGAAGCAGUGCGUAGUGCUGGAAAAUGACGUUUUUUGGCUUAAAUUGCGUUUUUGGAGCCCAAGAUGACCUCGGAUGGGUUCGUGGCCUUCUGGAGAAGUGUUCAGAAUAUUCUAAGCAUUAAAUCCAGCUAUAUUGGGCCAGUUUUGGAGUAGCUUAUGGGUCCAAAACGUGGCUGUUCAGAUUUUGGACGAAUUUUACCAUUUUAAUUUAGGGUUAUGUUUUUUUUUAUGGGGGAUUAGGGUUUGUGUGGUGGCUUAGAAAAUAUAUUGCUUGGCCGUCUACAGUUUUUGGACGAUGCUUUCUUUUAUGCAAUUUUGGAGACAGAGAGAAUUGUUAGGGUUUUGGAGACUUUUUACUUGAAGGUGCUUUCAAUCCUUUUCUUGAAUAUAUUUUUUAUGAUUUCAAUUAUGAAUAUGUGGAACUAAUUUCUUUUGCUAGGGCGAAGCCUUAGAGCAACUCCAGUGUAGGAGCCCUCCCCCCAGGCAAUUCACUAUUGAAUCCACCUAGUGAACAGUAAUUGCCCUUAAUAAAUAGUGCAUUCCCCUGGCAAUUGCCUUUUGCAUCUCCACCCCUGCACUGAAUAGCCCUGGCAAUUGGCAAUAAAAUAUUAGUAUUUUUUUAUUUAUAAAAUAAUACAUAAUAAUUUUAUUUGUAAUUUCGGAUAAGAUUUUUAAUCGUUCUCGUUGCGCCACGUGUCAUUAUCCGAAAAGCCAAUAGCAAUAAAAUUUUUGUAUUUUUGUAUUUAUAAAAUAAUUCAAAAUAAUUAUAUUUGUUAUUUCGGAUAAGAUUUUUAAUCGUUCUCGUUGCGCCACGUGUCAUUAUCCGCAAAGAAAAUUAUUGGUGAUGGAUUUCCGAUAAGAUUUUUAAUCGUUGUGUCAAGGCACGUGUCAUUAUCUGAAAAGACAAUUAUUGGUGAUGGAUUUCUGAUAAGAUUUUUAACCAAUCACGUCGUGCCACGUGUCACAAUCCGAUUACAAUCUUUGAGGAUAGAUUUCCACCAGAUUUUUAACGAAUGACGGCAUGCCACGUGGCAUUAUCUACAACCUAAUCCCUUCUGAAUCCUCCAUAUAAUCCCCCAUCCAUCCUCAUAAAUCUCACACCAAUUUUCUCAAGAUCUCUAUCAUUAUUCAUAGUUUCUGCUUCCUUCUUCGCCAAAAUCCCUAUCAUUAUUCAUAGUUUUUUCUUCCUUCUUCACCAAAAUCCCUAUCAUUAUUCAUAGUUUCUGCUUCCUUCUUACAAUGUCUUCUUCUUCUUCUUCAAAGAUGAUGUGGGAAAUCGAGCAAGAAGAGGAAGAAUUGUUUAACCAAUCACAAGGAAUGUUCAAUGUUGGGGAUUGGGCCCAAAAUGAGAUGGAAGAGGAUGACGAGCGUAGACGGAGAGAUGACGAAUCAAGAAUGGCAGGAGCCUCACAAUCCCGUCGAGUCGUCCAAGCUGUGGCUCAUAUCUGCAGGCCCAACCGUGCUGUAAACAGUGAUAGAAACAGGCAACGACGAGGUCAGGAGCUCUUGGACGAUUAUUUUGUCCGUAACAGUGCAUUCCCUGAUACAUACUUCCGACGUCGUUUUAGAAUGGAACGACAUUUGUUCAACAAAAUCAUGGGCGCUGUUUGCAACCAUGAUUCUUACUUUGUGCAAAAGCCGGAUGCUUUUGGUGCUAUGGGUCUCCUGCCUCAGCAAAAAAUUACUGCUGCCUUGCGGAUGCUUGCAUAUGGAGCAGCUGCAGACCAAGUGGACGAGAUAACGAGGAUGGGACAAUCAACCAUUUUUGAGUCCCUCAUGAGGUUUUGUUCGGCAAUCGAAUCUAUCUACACCGCAGAGUACCUCCAGAUACCUACUCAUAUGGACUUGCAAAGGCUUCUGAAGAAAGGCGAGAUGCGAGGUUUUCCAGGGAUGAUUGGAAGCAUUGAUUGUAUGCACUGGACUUGGAAAAACUGUCCAAGUGCAUGGCAAGGCGCUUAUGGGGACAGAAAAGGAUCAAAAAGUAUCAUUUUAGAGGCGGUGGCAUCUUUUGAUACAUGGAUUUGGCACGCCUUUUUCGGGGUUCCGGGAGCUCAAAAUGACCUCAACGUCCUUGCCCAAUCCCCAGUGUUCAACGAUGUCCUGCAAGGAAAGGCACCAAAAGUCACGUAUGAGGUCAAUGGACGUAUGUACGACGGGCCAUACUACCUAGCUGAUGGCAUUUACCCAAGGUGGUCAACAUUUGUCAAAACAGUGCCACGUCCGCGCAGUGCAAAGGAAAAACACUUUGCAAGAUGUCAAGAAGGGUGCAGGAAGGAUGUGGAGCGUUGUUUCGGUAUCCUCCAAGCUCGCUGGGCGAUCAUCAGGGGUGCUGCCAGAUUGUUUGAUGUAGAGUCGCUUCGAUCCAUCAUGAUGACGUGCAUCAUUCUUCACAACAUGAUUGUGGAAGAUGAGUACGAUUAUGAAGCCGUUGAUGAAUAUGAGCCAGACACGAUGAACAAUUCAAGAACACGUAUAUAUUGUGCUCAUGACGCCACCGAUGAGCCCGUGCAACAUGAGCCAUUAGAAAGGGAUGGACGUUACAAUGAAAGGAUCAUCCAACGAUAUACUUCACUUCAAAGGUCAAAUAUGCACAAUGCCCGCCAACUUGACUUGAUAGAGCACCAGUGGGAAUUGAGGGGUGCUGACGAUACUUAAGUUCAUUAGUGUUUGUUUUUAUUUGGUGUGUUUAUUUUAUUUUAUGUGGUGUGUUUUUUUAGUUCAUUUAGUGAGUUGAAAUGUAAUUUUAUUUUAUUUGGUGUUUGUUUUUAUUUGGUGUGUUUUUUUGGUGUGUUGAUGUUAUUUUAUUUGGUGUGUUUAAAUGUGUUUUGAAUAAAGUACUAAGUUCAAUAAAUUGGAAACAACAUAAAGUACUCUAUUCAAUGAAUAAGAAAUUACAACCCGAAUAAGAAAUUACAACCCGAAUUGAUUGGAAAAUUAUGGGUUCGUGAAUGGAUGAUAACCAUCACCUAACCAAUUUGUGGUGCUAGGAUGAUCUUCUCUUGUCAUGCUAGGAUAAUCUUCUCUUGUGGUGCUAGGACCAUCUCCUCUUGCUCUCGCUUCUCUUGCACGCAUCCUUCGCACCACAUCCGCUUUCUCUGACUUCCAAAAAUAUUUAGAGUCUGGAGACUUCCCUUCUAAAGGCUCCUUCAUAAUGUCACGAUCUCGUUCAGCCAUUCUUUCUUCUCUUCUAUGUUCCCUUUCUUGCCGAAGUAGUUCUCUUUCUCUCUCAUCAGCUUCAAAUUUUCUCUCAAAAGCUGCAGCUUUUGCAUCCUCUCUAGCCUUAUCAGCCUCAAAUUUAGCCAUUUCCCGGGCCAAAUUCAAUUCACCUUGGCGGGCAAGAUCUUCCAUAUACUUUGCAUAAUCAUUCUUGGAAGCAUUACCUUUUCUCUUUGAAGCCUUCUUACCUUGAGGCCUAAUUGGAUAACGGGUCGACCCCGACGCUUGUUCAACGGGGGACGUUUCAGGCACUUCUUCAUCAUCUUCAUCAUGAUCAUGCGAGGCAUGCUCAGGUGUAGAGUGUAGAGGGGUGCUGUUCAUGAAAACUUCUGGACCGACAUGCACAACUCUAAAUUUAGGACAAUCUUUGACAAUAUUCCAACAUUCAAACCGGGUGAAUGUUUUGUUUUUGCUUUUGGUUUUGGCACCAUACCAAGCUUGUGCUUGAAGUUCCUACACAAACAAAUAAUUAUAAUGAAAGUAGCUAACAAAUAAUUAUAAUGAAAGUAGGUAACAAAUAAAUAAUACAACCAAAUAAUUAUAAUGAAAGUAGGUAACAAAUAAAUAAUACAAACAAAUAAUUAUAAUGAAAGUAGCUAACAAAUAAUUAUAAUGAAAGUAGGUAACAAAUAAUACAAACAAAUAAAUAUAAUGAAAGUAGCUAACAAAUAAUUAUAAUGAAAGAAGAUAACAAAUAAAUAAUACAAACAAAUAAAUAUAAUGAAAGUAGCUAACAAAUAAAUAAUAUAUUGUUACCUGAUCCGUUAAAUUUUCCCCACUUCGAAGAUUACCACUAGCUUGUGCCAAGGCGUCUCUCCACGUACUAAACGAUUGACUAAGUAAUUUCCAACGACUGGACAUCGAUUCUUUAGUUCUUUGCCCACCCAUUUUCUCAAGAUAAUUGGUAUGAAUAAGACUCCACAUUUCUCGCAACUGCAUCUCAUUACCCGUAAUCGAAUCAUGAGUAACUUGAACCCAACUAGUACACAACGCAACAUCUUCAAGAAGCGUCCAAUUCGUACCUGGUUGAGUAGUCAUUUUGUUGGAAAAAAUUGGAUUGAAACUUUGAAAGAAAGAUAGGAAUGUGGUUGAAAGUAGUUGAGAAAAUAUGAAAUUGUGGUGUAGGGUAGAAGAUAAUGAGAAGGUAUUUAUAGGUGAAGUGAAAUCAAAUUUUUUUAUAAUUUUUCAUAAUUUUUUUUCGGAUUUUUAAGAAUUUUUUUACAUUUUUUUUAAAUUUUUAUUCACCUAAUUAAUCUUUGCCGUUGGAUUUAAAAAAAUUUAAAUUCCAACACUCCAGAUUGUGCCACGUGUCACAACGGUAACAUUUUAGAUUUUUAAACAGUUUUUUCUUUUUUUUAUAUAUAAUUUACAAAGCCUAAUAACGUGAACCGUUGAUUUUAGAUCAAACGGAUGAAAUUAAAUGAGAUUUUUAAAUGUUUUUUACCGUUGGAAAUCCAACGGUCCAUAAAAUAUGACCGUUUCAAUCGAACAGACAUGGGGAAGCCACGUGGCUUCCCCAACGGUUACUUUUCAAAACUGAAAUCGCGGGCCCAGCCCUGUUUUUUUGUCGGACGACUCGCGCCCACGCGCGCGUGAAACGCACGCGCCUGACGCAACCCUCGGGCUCUCGGGCUGGCAAUCCUCGACGGGCCUGCUCCUCGGGCCUCGCCUGUUGCUCGGGCUUCCAUACGCUGGAGCUCAUCCCCCCAGCAAUUUGCUACUGUUUGAUCCACAGCCCCCGAGCAACCUCCCCCGCUGGAGGUGCUCUUAAGCCUUAGCAUGAAUAUGUGAUUCUUAUUUAAUUGCUUAUGAUUGAUUGCAUGCGUACUUUGAAUUGUUAAUCACCGGGAUAAAAACUAUCUAAUUGUCUUAAUGCCUGAUCACUAUUAGGAUUUUUAGAAAAGUAAUUUGAUGCAAUUUUGGUCGGAAGGUUUCCUGAAAUUGACGCUGGCUUCUUGUGAUUAAUAAUUGUAAUUUCACUUAUGAUGAAUAUUACAUCUUAAGGAUUGCAUGGUUUUUCAAAGGAUUUUCAUAAAGCAUAAUGAGUCUUUCAUAUUCAUAUUUGAUCCGAACGUCCGGACAGGUUGCAUGUUAGAUAUACGUUAUAUGUUGGAGGUUCCAAGUAGAAUAUGAAUUAGGAAAAUCUAACCUUCAAAGUGGCAUGUGUAGAUCAUAAGUAAUUGGUAAAAAUUCAUAGGAUUGCUAGGUGAUGGUGGAACCCUAGUGCUUUCUUAAUUUUAUUCUCCCAAAACUGUUUUCUUUUCUCUCUAGCUCUAAUAUUGCAGAUUGUUUAUUUUAAUUCAUUAAUUUCGUUUUUAUUUUAAUUAGGUUUUAAAAUCAAUCACCUAAACUUCUACUUUACAAUAAUUAAAUGGAAUCUUAUUAGUUUCAAAUUAUUUAAUAGUCCCUGUGGAGACGACCUUGCGAGAUCCGUUUAUACUACAAUAACAUUGUAAUUCUUGCAAGUAAAAUAGGAAAUUUAAGCCCGUUCACAUGAGUAGUAAAAAUCCUAUCAAUUAUCUUUGUGAAGAUUUUAGAAAUCCUCAAAUUGUGUUUGUUCAUUAUAUAUUGUACGGUCAGAAUAUGAAUGGUACCUGACGAAAAUUGGUCUCAUGAUAUAUGAUGAACAUACAUGGUUUGAGGAUUCCCAGGUUCUCACAAAGAGGAUCCUCAUUCAAAGAAAUGAGAGAUUUUUUAGUGGAAUCGGAAUACGAGAUGGUACAACACGUGUCAUUAUAUAAGGUCAUCUCCAACCGAUACGGUCAAAGGACCAUAGGCCAAAAUAUAGUCGGUUUUGGACACAAAAAUCGUCUCAAACCGAACGCUAGGCCAAAAGGCUUGCGGUCCCCACUAGGCCAUAUAACAGCCACAAGGCUAGCUAGUCAAAAAGACCCAGCCAGCCAACCCAAUUGUAGCAGUCCAAAUCCAUACAACAGUAACCAUGACGACAGCAUGACGCAAGCUAGCAAAUGUUAGCUGACAUCAUGUUACCGUUGAAAUUUGAACUUUUUUAGACAAAUUUUUUUUUUCCUAUACCAUUUCUCACAUCAUUUUCACCAUUUCACCAUUUCACCAUUUCACCAUUCCAUAACCAAUUAUAUCUCGACACGUAACUAAAAAAAUUAAUUCAAUUCCAUAACCAUUUCUAUACCAUUUCUCACAUUCGAAAACCUUAUUUUAAUAUCAUAGUUUAAUUCAAUUAACCAUAUUAAUUCAAUUAAAAUAAUAAAUUAUUGAAGGGGCUAAAAAUAGCCCUUUUCGAUUGGGGUUUUUGUCAAACGGGCUAUGUUUUGGCCUAUGGCCCUUUGGCUCCCUCGGUUGGAGAUGAUAUAUAAAUAUGGUAUGGUACUGUUCAUUAAAAAUUAAUUUCUUGCAAAGCUAUAGGACUAAAUAUGGCCAUUUGACCCCCUUUUGGUUGAAGACGACCUAAAUGGUGGGAUAGGGGUGUUAAAAAGUUAAAAACUUGAAAAAUAAUUUUUUUCACAACUUAUAUGAAAACUCUCUCCCAUGAAACACUUUGCUUCUUCAAUCUUUCUCCCUUUCCCGAAGCAAAAUGGAGGUGAGACUUCGAAAAGCCCACCAACUCACCGUGGCAGCAACAUCAAACAGUCAAAAGAAGUUCUGAGAAAAAACAAAACUGAUGGCAACUACAGAGACCAAUUCCAAAACCAACACAUAGCAAAAUGGUGGAAUUCCCCGCACUCAACUAUAGCAACGAGAACACUUGAAGGAAAAAAUGGAGGGAGUGUUGGGAAUUUGUACUACUAAUAUAAAGAAUUCGAUAUAGGACAUACCUUUCGGAAUUAACGAAUUAUGGAUCCCCACCUCAUUCCUACGAACCAUUGCAUGAACCACAAAGGAGAGAGUCAUCGUAGGGAGGAUUCAGUUGCAUCUAGCUCUGUUAUAUUGCCUACGUACCUUGUGCCAAUGCACAUGGAUCAAACUGCCGUAGUUUUUAGUAGCCUCCUAAUCCUAGGGUCAAGGUGAUACCCUAAAGGCUAAACUAAGAGAGAAAAAAGUUACUGGGAGUGGAGAGCAAUAUCUCUCCUCUCUAUAGAUAAGAGAAUUUUCUUUGUUGGUGUGUUUUCUCCUUUCCUAAAGCCCUCAUUAUAUAGUGGCUAGGAGGGAAGAGACAAAGGGAAAUGGUCAAUGUGGGACAAAUACCACAUAUCAAUAACACACCCAAAAUUGGGUGUAUAAAUCCUACAUCUCCCACUCACCCACAUAGGGUGUUAGUAUUAUCUGAAUUGGUUCAUCUAAUUCUCAUCCAUUAUAGUUUUCCUCCUCAUACAGGAUAUGGGAUGUGCGACCUUGCGAAAAUAUACGUACACAUCCAGGAGCACUGUCAUUAAGCUAUCACCAAACUUAACAAGAGUUCAUCGCUUUAUACCCCAGACAAUUCGAAAUUGUCACGCCCUGAUCCCAACAUAAAUAGAGAAUCAACACGUGACAAGGAAAAUAACGUCCGUUGAAUAUGGUAUAAGUUACGGAAUAAAAAUACUUUAACUGAUAAACCAAAAUAAUAUGAAGGUGGCUAAGUUCUCCACAAAAUAUUUACAAAUAUGAACAACCCAAAAAGAAGCAUAAUCUUUGCUUUACUAAGAACAAGAUUGAGGUGCUCAAAAGAAAGUCCCAAAAAAUAAAGUACAAGAUAAGAUAUAGGGGUAACCUAGCACUCAAAAUCUCUGAUAACUGUACCGCUACCCCACUUACGAACCUCUCGAAGCUACUCAGACUUGUUAUCUGUAAGAUCAGUGCCUACACCAUCGAAAUGGUGCACCGGGCAAACAACAACCCGGAUAAGCUACGAAGCUUGUGUGAGCGAUAAAUAAUACAAGUAUAUGAUACUAAUAAUAAAACUAACCAUUAUUCACAAUUAUAAACCUUGAAUAUAAAUCAUUUAUAAGAAAUCGUUACCAAACCUUGCAACCUCCGAAGGGGUCACACAUACAUCCAACGAGUUUUCUAAAUCAAAACUACGAGUUCUCAAAGCCACAUUCACAGAUAUAUUCAAAACUAGAUUUAGAGAGACGUCGUUCGGCCGAAGCCUACGUAAAUAACCAAUUAGGAAGUGGCCCCCCAAAACGGAUCAACCAAGCAAAGCCACCCCUAAGAAAGUAACCAAGUAGGUAAUGACCCCCCAAUGCGGAUUACAGAGCAGAGUCACCCCUAAGAAAAUAACCAAAUAGGUAGUGAACCCCCAAUGCAUAGGUAGUGAACCCCCAAUGCGGAUUAACCAAGCAGAGUCACUCCUAUAACUAUUGGAAGGUGAUCACCCAAUGCGGAUUAACCAAUCAUGAUCACCUUUAAAUGUGUAUGGCCAUACCUAGGCUAUAAGGAUCACCCAACGCGGAUUAACCAAGCGCGAUCCACAAAUAGUAUGGUCCCCUAACGCGGAUAAACCAAGCAGGACCAUCCAGGACCAUUGCUAUGUGGUGCAGACUUAAUGUCACCUAACCUCAUGACACUAGGGUAAUGGUCCUUCACAAUCCAUCAUUUUUAUCAUCCAUCACAUAUAUAUCCCAAAACACAAUCCAUCAUUUUUAUCAACCAUCACAUAUAUAUCCCACAAUCCAUCAUUUUUAUCAACCAUCACAUAUAUAUCCCAAAACACAAUCCAUCACAGUUCAAAUAUCCAAGUCACUUAAUGUUUCAUAAGUAGAUCGACGACAACUUACUAGCAACAAUUAUUUAGUAUCAAAACUAUUUUAAGAAUCCAUAGUAUAACCACAAAGUUUAUUAGCACAGAAGAUUUCAAAGCAAUAACCAUAAUACAUAGAUUAGAAUCACUCACCUGAGAUCCACACUAACGCACUCAAACACAAGAGUCAAGGCAUCACGUUCUAUCACCGCCUAACAAGGUACAAACCACAUUUAGAUUUCCUUUGAUAAUUCACAUACUUAAAACUCUUAUAUAUUUCCCACAACAACAUUUAAUAAGGAACUGAACUGUCAUCCUAAGGUAGGGUCCUUGAUCUUACGUCACUUAUUCCGUAAUAUCCAAUCACUAGAUUUUCACUUGUAAGUCCCUAAGGUCCAUAAACAUUAUCUACCAUAGCAUACUAAAAGUGGUGUCAAUUCAAUGAUAAGAUCAUCAAUCGCUAGAAUAAUCAAGUGGCGGAGCUUAUCGAUAAAAUACUCAACCAACAACAUUUUUAUAAAUUGAAUGUUACACACCAGAAAAUUUGAAUUUCUCCAAAAAUUCUCAAAUUUUACAGGAAUAAAGAUUUCAACAAGUAGAGUGAACUUUAUACUUGUGGCCGAGUCCAAUUUGGCCAGGAAGGCCCUUAAAUUGGCUUGCACCCAACGAAACCCUAAGGUGGGUGUCCUUAAAUUCGGCUUCCUUGGUGUUCCAACGCUCCAACCACCAGUUGGGUCUUGUUCUUGGGUCCAAGGGAAGUUGAUUAAGGGUGAUAGUGAAUGGUGAUACUCUCCGGAAUGACAAUUUAUCGUCGAGAACCCCCGGUUCUCCUAUGGAGUUCUACAUAAAAUAUACCUUAAAACCCCUUGAUUUUUGGUAGAGAGGGAAGGAGGAAGGUAGUUGAUCAAGUUGCAGGUGAAGGAGGUAGGAAAAUCAAUUGGGAAAUGGAAGAAAUGGCCUGAAAUUGGCCGGUUUGAAAUUUGGCCGUGGACCUCACGUUUUCACGAAUUAGGGGGAAAGAAAGUGCCGUGCCUUUCUUUCCAAAUGGGUCUUUAAUACCCCUUUUUAAAAAAUCUAACAGGUUCCUCAUUUUUUUUUUCUACUAACUUAACCUUUAAUCCAUGCUUCUCACAAUCUAUAGUUCACAACUUCAAACGUCCGUAACUAUACCGUUAUAAUUCGGACUUGCAAACAGCUUUCACCUAUGCGUUCGUGGGUUCGAGAUCUAUUUAAAAACAAUAGUUGUAACCUCGAAAUAUCAACGAAAGAUAAAGAUUGAUUAUGAACUUUCCAACUCGAUAACUAAUCAAUUACUAAACUUAAAAUUAACUAAUAAAGUUAAAAUAAGCGCGAAAUACGAGUUUUAAAAUAAUUGGUGAAAUUCCGGGGAUGGAAUUUCACAGUCAUACACCAAACUUGACAUUCUUUAUCACUCAUUAUGAUAUAAAAAGAAAUGUCAUGUUCGACAAGUAUCAUGUAUCCAUGUCUUACGUUUGACAACUAAUAUCAAAUAGACGAUGGCCAGAUAAUGAAUCACAUGACAUAGUGUAAUCUUUAAACUAUCUUCCCUAAGCUGUCAUGUCAGUCUAAUUUGGAUUAAUUGCUUGCCUAGACACGCCUCAUGGGACAAUUACUAACUUAACCUCUUAGAUAAACGUGCUAAAGUAACGAUCAUCAAACCUCCUUUUUUGACAUAGACUUAAUUUCAAAUGGUAUAAGGGUAGGAUAGACUUAAUUUCAAAGGGUAUAAGGGUAGGAUCUCAUAGAUCUAGUGGCUCACACAGUGACUUGAAGCAAGGAUCAAUUCGUCACUCCCACUAUCGACCGCAACCAGCACAUACAGUACGAAAUGUAUGCUAUAGUGUAUUCUCAAUUUAAUGAAUGUUUCACAUGUCAAUUGGACAUACACCUUGCAGAUUUUAGUCUAAGUGCUACACAAACGCCUAACUUGAGCAUCUAGCCUAGUCACCCCUCUCGACGCCUACCUAGGUACUCACAUCCGACUUGACAAGCUUUAACAUGGAUUUCAAAUGGAAAAAUAUCCAUGUUUGACCUUUGCUAUGUCUCAUCUUAGACACUUCUAAGGUGACAUAUACGUAUAUCUAGUGUAUGUUUUGUAUGUGAAAUCAUACACAUGUCUGGUCUCGCACUCAAAUGCGUUUAGACAUAUAUGUCUCAUCCUACUCGCUACCUCAGCGCCAGUGCAAAUCGUUUCAUGUGAGUGAAACUAAUUAUAGCUUGGUGACACUAAAAAAAGUGCAUCAUAACGUUCUCUUAAAAAACAUUAAUUCUAAUGAGUCUCUUGUAGCUUUUAUACCUAGGAGUGUGACAUAUCACCACUAUCGCUAAGGCUACAUCUUUGAGACUCCUCACUUUGUGCAAUUGCAAGUAAUCAUGAACAAAUUUGGGUUCCCUCCAACUUAGGGACUUCUUUUGCAUAGAUUAGAGCAGACUCACAUAAAAUCUCUCUUGUUAAUGCAAAAUACCUCCAAAAUAAUUCCAUAAGGAGCACCUAUGUUUUUCAAAAGUAGGUGGGUUCUUUCAAUUCCAUAUAAGGUAAAUGCAAGUAUAUUUUCAUCGCUCUAUUGAGAAAUUAUUUCAACCAUGAGUAAACUUGGAAUUACUUGUACCUUGAACAAUCAUUUCUUCCACGAAGGAUCUUAUGUCAACCCUAUGAUGAUAUAAGAACCAAAAUGAUGUUUUAUGGACAUCAAAAAUCCUUUUACUGUUCUAAGUUUAGCAAUGACUUAUGAUUACUUCAAAAUGGCUAGGCUUGGACAAUCAUCCACUUCUCUGAUAGACUACCCAGCAACACUUUGUGAAUAGCGAACAUACACCAUUUUAUCACGAGGACUGAUGAGUUUAUAUAUAAACACCUUCAAAAAUGGUAUUCAUAUUAUUUUUUAUCCAUGCACGUGUGUCAUACAUGCUGCUACUUAAUUAGCGCGUAGACAAAAAGAGUCAUACAUGGCAUCCCAUGAUUGAGGCACAUAUUAGCUCUUUUACUAUCUAGAUAUAGACACGUGGGUCAUACACUCUUAUCGUCUAGAUGAACAUUUUAAGACAAUGGUUAACACUAUUCCUCAUUUCAUAUUCUAGGAAGUUUUGGUUUAGAAUCACACGGCACUCUAUCUCUUCUAAGAUGUUUUGAGUUUCAAUAUAGCCUAGAUGGAAACCGUAGAGCUUCUAUACGUUAAUCUUUAGCAAAUCAAGUAAUAAGCAUCUAAGAGUAUCACUGAAACUUCUCUAACAUGUCAAAAAUACUUUGUGUCUCACACCACAAUUAUGGAGACAAUCUAUUUUUCAAUAAAGACAUCAAUUGUCAGCACUCAUGAAAAGACAAGAAUACCUUGGGCUCUAAGUCUUAAAGUACAACAACAACGGCUAGAAGGACUUCCAAAUGUCAACACAAAUAAGGACACUUGUCUAGAAGUCAAUAGUGUGUGAACCCAAUUCUUGUUUCAGAUUGAGAAUUUUUCGCUUAGGCUAGGUCAUGGAAAAAAAAUGAGUCACAUUUGACCCCACCUUGGGAAGACAUCUCAUACUUUCCAUCUCCUAUUGAAAAAUCAUUUCUUUUAUAAAAAGAAAAACUUUCAAUUUCGCUUGUUAAUGAAAGAUUUUUCUGUGAGGACCAUCUCUUUUAGUCAUUUAACAAAGCGGAGUAACAUUCCUCACCAUCUAGGGAGAAUUUCUUUAAGACCUAAUAGCCUUUUCGCGAUGUGUUAGGAUCCUAAGUUCAACGAUCCAGAAAUGUUAACCACUUUACUUGUUCAACAACUAAGUGGGAUUAUGAACCUUCUAAGACCACUCUUAUUUUUAAUAAGUUUCAAUUCACAUUUUUUAUGACUUUUAUCACAAGUCACUCAAUUUAUUGACUAUAUCAUAUUCACAACCUAUAUUGUUUUGUGAAAACUUUGUUCCUCUCACAUAACUGCAAUGGUAUGAUUCCAUUAGUUGUACUCCCACUGUUGUUUAGUACAUUUUCUUCGGUUGUACUUCCCUAAGGUGGAAGAUUCUUUGUAGUUUAAUGGUACACUUCCUUUAGUUACACUCCCACUAAACUUACAACUUUUUGUACUUAACCUAGCAUUCUAGCUUAGAGAUUGCUUCCAGACUAGUGGUACCCUUCCAUUAUUAGUACUCCCACUAGGCCCAGCCAAGGAAGAGAAUGCCGAUAAUAUCGGCGAAAUAUCGUCGAUAUUAUCGGUUUUUCACGGUAACGAUAUUUUAAUAGGUAUCCAAUUGGGUUUCGUCUAAAUAUUGCGAUAUUAUCGAUAAUAUCGCGAUAUUUCCGAAACUAUCGCGAUAUUUUUGAUAAUAUCGCGAGAUCAAAACCCAAAAAUAUUUAAAAAAAUGCUGAGAAGUCUCAACAGAUAACUACACUUGAUCUUAGCCAAAAGGGCCGAGCAAGGCAUGCUUUUCACAGCUUGGGAAUGUGGCUUUUAUAGGCCUAUUUGCUUGCUCACUUCCCUUGCGUGGGCGAUGUGGGAUUACAGAACCAAGCUUGGGAAUGUGGCUUUUAUAGGCAUGUUUCCUUACUCACUGCCCUUGCGUGGGCGAUGUGAGAUUACAGAAACGAGAUUACAGAAACCAAGCUUGGGAAUGUGGCUUUUAUAGGCCUGUUUCCUUGCUCACUGCCCUUGCGUGGGCGAUGUGGGAUUACAGAAACCAAAACGUUUUGAUGCGACUUGCGAGGGCUAGUACAUGUGAACUUGUGACUCCAACUAGGUAAGACUUAAGAGCCAUAUCUAAUUUGGGGCCUUCUAUCCUAUAUUUGUGGACAACGAUCAAAUGCUAAAGAUUAAACAAACAUAAUAUGUUCUACUGCUUAGAAAAAAAAGCUACAAACCCUUUGCUUAUCAACAAAAAAAGACAAGUCCUUGCACUAGAUAUACUUUCAAAUUACGUUGAGUAGCAACUUGAUAUAUGUAUUCAGACGAAUUAUAAAACAAUUGACACACUCCUAGCUUCCAAAAUUCAAUUCUUUUACUUUAUAUAAACUUGAAAAAACAUAAUCGGCAUCCAAAUUAAAGUUUAGUCUUAUUCAACGUAUUGAUUUUCAAUCGUUAAUUGAUAUACUAUAAUUUGGAACUUCAACGCCUAGACGCAUGCUUAUGUGUAAGAAAUUUAAAGUGUCAAAUUCGGCACAUUAUUCUUCAUCAUUUUAUUCACUUCAUUUUUUUUUUUAAUAUCCUAAAUAAAACCUCCCAAUAUUGUACUAAUUAAUUAUAUAUAAAUGAUUAUAGUGUGUUUAAACUUCUUUCAUUAAUUACUACAUUUUUUCUACACUCACAAUGUUUGCCAGCUCGCUAUAUAAUCAACUUAAAUCAGUUAAAUCCAUCAUGCAAUGCAUUUCCUUCCAAUUUUUUGUGAUAAACUAAUAGAUAAUUGACUAAAUAAACAUCCUGCAAAGUUUCAUUAAAAAUUUCCAAGUUUUUCUUACAAUUUCCGUGGUUUCCAUGUAAUUUUUAUCGAUAUCGAUAUUAUCCCGAUAUUUCCAUCAAUAUUUCCGUAUUUUCGGACUACCGAUAUUUCUGAUAUUACCGAUAUUUUCUUCCUUGGGCCCAGCAACCUAUUUCUUGGAAAAUCUUUACAGUCUAGUGGUACACUUCUAUUAGUUGUACUCCCACUAAACUUACAAUCUUUUAGCGACACUAGGUAAGGAUAUUUAAUGUUUCCCACAUUUGCUUAAAGAUUGGAAGAUCUUUCCAAUGUGAAGAACAAGUUUAUAGUCAAUUCUAUUGCAAUUUAAAUGUCACAAGAAAUUAGUCAACCCUUACGUUUAUAUCCUAGACAACCCUCUCACCAUAUGUGAGAACUGGUGAAGCGAAUUGAAAAUUCAAAGUCGUUACUUCACUCAUUCAAUUGUUUUAGGGUUUUACGGACUAAUUGUUGGCAGCAAUUAAACUUUCAAAAAAAACGUCUCCCACUAGGUUGGAAGAGUUCAAUUGCACCUACACCACCUUAAAUGGUGUGUGACAUUACCCAAAAUUUUCGAAAAUUCAUUUCCAAGUGAUUGGAAUCCUACUCACAAUUUCAUAGUUUCCCAAGAAGAUUAUAAUAGACUCUAUUCUUUUGACGUACAUAUAAAGCUGUUGUUAAACCAAGGCUUUACGACAAUGUACAAUUAAAGAAUAAUUGCCCUUGAGUAGUAGUAAAAAAUAAUAAGUUCCUUUUUUUUUCUUUUUUUCUUUUUUCUUUUCUUUUUUUUUUUUCCGGAAAAACAUGGGAAGCAUCAACUUAAUGCUCUCAAAUAAAAUUGCAAAAGUAGUCAAUUAGCUAACCAAUUUGAGCUAGAUUUGAAUAGCACUCCCAUGAGACUUUUUCAAAACUUAUUAAAAUGUCAAAGUACUGUUGAUCACUUAGCGAGUGGGUCAAAUAAUGACUUAUCUCUAACCAUUUUGAUCAACUAACUUUUAGCAUUCCAUAUUUAAAGAAAAACACAUUUAAUGCAAGUUGAGGAAUAUUGUCGUCUUAAAAUUAUAACGUAUUUUUAACUUCUCAAAUAUUGGUGCAUUGAAAAGGACAUAUAUUCCAAAAACAUUACUCAAUUAUGAAAUGUUGAAGAAAUGUUCUAACCCAAACUAAGGAAUGCGAACUCAUUCACAAUCUCCUUACAUUUCCCAGCGGAUCAAUCGUUUAGUACAUCAAGGAAUGAAAUUAGAUAGCCAAGUUAUCUUAUCUUCAUUUAAGUUCUCACCAGAUAUGCCAAAAUUGCUUCGAGUACAACUAGAAAAGAAGUUCGAGCCAAAUUUUUACUGUGUAUACUUCUUUAAGUAGAGAGUUAAAAUUGAAGAUCAUAGUAAUACUCACUCAACCAAUAUGUGACACACCCCGACUCGGGAUGUCCACUAGGACUCCAAAUCGAGCUGUGUUAGCCGACACCUGACUUUAAACCCAAGAGUGCCUAAAAACUAGAGUGCGCUGGUGAGUGGGAAUGAACCCACUUCACACAUGACUUUAGAGCAUAAGUAAGUGCAGUAAAGUGGAUUAAGAAUCAUACCCUAGCAAGAAAUCUCCAAUACUAAGAUUUGCCACGAAUCCUUGACGAUAAGAAAGCUCAGCUAAUAAAAUUUGGAGGGUGAAAAUAAAACAAGGGUGAGUGGCCCUAGAAAUAAAAAUUUUAAGCCUUCUAAAACGUUAUAACCCCUCGGUGCAUCACCUGUAUAGUUUCUAGAAAAUCAUAUUACGUAUCAAUGUGAAAACAAAAUUAUAUUAGCAGUAAUUCCAUAAUUAUACCACGAUCCUGCAACUCAUCAGUAAUACAAAUAAUCAUGUGCUCAGUAAUCUAUAUUAGCACGCAAGUCGGAGUCACCUAAUGUGACCUGUACAACUGCACCCAUAUCUCAUCAAUCAACGCUAGCACGUAAGUCGGAGUCACCUAUACGACUUAUCCAUAUCUCAUCAAUCAAUGCUAGCACAUAUCGGAGUCACCUAUAGUGACCUGUACGACUUAUCCAUAUCUUAUCAAUCAAUGCUAGCACAUAAGUCGGAGUCACCUAUAGUGACUUGUACGAUUGAAUCCAUAGCUCAUCACAUAUCCUUGCACACAAGUCAGAAACACCUAUAGUGGUCUGUACAACAGGACUGAGUGUAAAUAAGUACGCUAAAGUGCUACGAUCAUAUGAAGACUGUGCAAAUAAUCGUGGGUCACCUACGAGUCAGAACCACCUAUAGUGGUCUGUACGACAGGCAUGUGCACCUACCUUGGAUCCAAGGUGAGUGUAAGGUGCGGGAGGUGAACAUCACAUGAAGGACUGUCCCUGGCUACGAGCGGGAACACUAACACCGGGGUGCAGGUUUAUGAGCUCUAAAGGCAUAUAAUAUGGCAUGUACGAAUCAUAGGCAACAUGUACGACAAUGUCGAAGUUGCCUAUUAUUGUAACCUAUACGAUAAGGUCGGAGUUGCCUAUUAUUGCAACAUGUACGACAAUGUUGGAAUUGCCUAAAACAUAAAUGUAAUCAUGUCAUAACUCAAUCAUUUCAACUAAUACUAUAAACUCACCUGAACUUACACGUAUGUGCUGCGUUCACCUUCGCGCUUCGAAGCAUUUACAAUAAUUAUGUGCAGGUAAUAUACAUAUGGAUAUGCCAUGAUGUAAUCUAAAAUUCAACCAUAUCAUAGCAUUUACAAUUAUAUACAUAUACAUAUAUAUAUAUAUAUAUAUAUAUAUAUAAUAUGGCAUAAAAUGCAUAAGUUGUAACGCCCUACUCCCCAACUAUUUAUUUUCGGAAAUAAUUAUUGGUGACAAGCUCAACUAAACACUAAUUUAACUAACUAUCAAUACUUACGAUUCUUUACUUCAAUUUCUCGAUUCUUCACACAAUGAUUUAUGACCAACAUUAUAUCACUAAAUCAUAAGGUUAAAUUUCACAUUUUCCACCAAUGUCCCUCACAUUGCACAAUUUCCCAAACAAGGCUAUUGUCUCAAUUAUUUAGUCUCAUUUAUAGUAUGGUUGCAUCUAACGUCUCGUUAGACUGCCUAUGUACCCUAAACAGGGAUCAAGUCAUUCGUAGUUCGCAUCAGUACUUCUAAGCAUUCAUAGUAAUUAUAUGCAAUAAUCAAUUUAUAACCGUUUAUGGAACUAUCAAUCAUAUAUAUAUAUAUAUAUAUAUAGACACACACACACACACAUGUAUAUAUAUACGAUAGAAAGGAAAAGACCCACUCACCUGAGGUCCGUGCUAAGACUCUCUAUCACGCAUAUCGAGACAUCACGAACCAUCGUUGCCUAGAACAAUUAUCAAAUCACAUCUUAGAGUUCUUAUCGAUAGAAUACAUAAUUUACAUAAAACACAUCCCUACGUAAUUCAAUUCGGAAGAUCUGCAUCACAGAUUUCAGAUCCGUUACUUCCAAGGAUUCACAUUAUGUUUCUAGAACAACGUCCUAAGGUUUCAUCAUGAUCCAAUGGUUGGAUCUCCACCAAUUGCCAAAAUCAAGUGGCGGUCAACAUUUUAUUUUAUGAACUUACAAAUCUAAUUUGGGAAGAUCCGUAUGUCAGAUUCUCGAUCCGUAAGUUUCUAUGGUCCUCAAAUAUUACGUACUAUAACAUAUUAAAGUUUGGUGACGAUCCAACGGUCGGAUCGUCGAUUCAUAUCUUUACCAAGUAACGUAGGUCCAAACGAUCAACCACAAUAUACAAUUGUCAAAACUAAAUUCAAGACAUCUAAUUUAGCCUAAGGAUAACAUCGACAAUUCCCUGGCUACGCGUCACCGCGGGUGGCAGUCGGUCACCCCGACUCGCCGAAAAAUCCAACUAUAUAAAAAAAUUACCAAAAUUUACAGAAAUGAAGAUCUCAAUAAGUAGAGUAACUUUCAUACCUAUGACCAAGGCCAAAUAGGCCGGGAAGAGCUUCAAUUUCAUUAAAACCCGUUGGAACCCCAUACUUAGGUGUGCUCGAUUCGACCUUUAAACCUGCUCUGAUGCCUCCACCAAUGCCUGGGCUUUGUUCCUGGGUUCUAGGGGGUGCUCUAGUGGUGGUAAUUGGCUGAGUUAGCUUCAUGUUUUAUGGAUUGCCCUCGUACACCUACACACACCACCGGUGCAUUUUCCUAAAAUUACCACCAAAUUCCUUCUAAUUUUGGAUAGAAAUGGAAGAGGGAAGGCUAGGAAGUUGUUUCUAGGUGGUGGUUUGCUUUGAUUUGCCAGAAAAAAUGACUGAAUUUGGUCGUGGUGCUUGUCGGGUCGAGCGGGUCAAGGGGAAACCCAAUUUUCCCCUUCAUUUUCUUCUCCCUCCUUUACCUCCUUUCCCCCUUCUCUGGUUGGUCACCUUCUCCUCUCUCCUUUCCCCAUUCUUCCACCCUAUCUCUUCUUUCUGAUUGGGCAGUAGCCCUUCUUUUUUCUCUUCUCCCGUUCCCCUCCUCUUCUUUCUCUUCUUCCUCAUCUUUAAAAAUAACUAAAUGAUAAAUAAAAAAAAUAAACAUUAUAAAAUAUAUAUAUAUAUAUAUAAAUAGUGACUAAAACAAAAUAUUUCUCGAGUUUACAGUUCUGUAAAACUUUAACCGUAUCCCCAAAUCCUCUUCUGCUUGCGCCUACGAAUCCGUAAUGUCGAGUACUUUAGGAAAACACUAAAGGAUUAAUUCAUACUCAUCACUAUACGCUGAUCAACGAAAGUCAAUACCCUCGCCUCUAAGGGCAUUUUUGUAAAUUCACGCUUUUAAAAUUAAUAGAACCAACUAUGCUUGAGCAAUUUUAUCCCUUCUCUCUCGACUUCUUCAAUUGGACUACUUUUAGCAUGCCACCUAGGGCACUCCCUUAACUUUCGGGCUAAUUCUUGAUGAGAAUUCUCAUCAAGAUCUCGGUUCUCUUAAGGGUCAAAGUCGUAUCCAAUUCCUAGGAGCAUUAGAGACGUUUGAUUAUAGCCAACAUUUCACCCUGUGGUGGAGCCUUUUGUUCUAAUUACAUGAGAAGCGCUUAUCUACUUAAGCAUUAAAAAAAAUAUCUUUUGCAACUCUCGAUAAUUUAAGCCAUAUCACUAUGCACAAAAGUAAUAUAUAAACAUUGAUAUAUAUUAACUGCACAUUUUUCUUAUUUAUUUCACAAGUCUUCAUUAAGAAAUAUGAACCUAUCCUAUAAAUUAAGAUCGAAUAAUAUGCUAAGUCGCUCGUAAUUACCACUCAAUAUUAUAGGUUGAGUUCACAAUUUUAAUUAUAUUGGAAACAAAUAUUUAUUUUUGAAAAGAAUUUGUCCAAACAUUUUUCCAAACACAUUUCCAUUUCAUUUUCAUGCUACAUCCAAUUGAGCACAAGAAAAAAAAAAUUACGGGCAAAAGCUUAAACAAUCAUAUAGUACUCAUGCAUAUAAUAGGCCUUUCAUUGGGAUUAAAUUUGAGUUUUAGACAAUGGGCUCGACAGUUAGGCCUCCGUAAGUGUGGCUAGGUAAAAUCCCGGAGGGGUGGUAGCGCUAAGCUUUUAAAACUCGACCCUCUUGGACACCCAAAGUGUCUCCUUAAAGAAUUUUCCUAGACACAACAUCAAGUAAGAGGUGACUAUUAAUGAAUCCCAGUCCAUGUUUGAUGAACAUCCUAAAUAUGGAUCAUUUUCCCAAAUGACAUGCUCAUAAUAAGCCCAACAACAAUAUUCAAUUAUUCGUAAUUAAAUAAUGAAAAAUAAACAAUCAUAUAUAAAUUAAUUAGAAGAUAAUCACUCAGAUAAUCAAUUUUAAAAAAAAUUAAUAAGGAGAUAAUCAAUCCAUAUUAAUUCAAGAGAUAAUAGGAUAAUUCUAAUUCUGGUUUGAUAACUAGGGUAAUAUGAAAAUCAAAUCACCUAAUUAGAUUUAAUCUCAUGAAAUAAUAUUCUACAAAAGAACUCCAUUUAAAUGCUCAAGUCUCAAAAGGAGAAAUUAAAAUGAUAUAAUAUCCUGUGUGAAUCUCAAAAUAUUAGAGAUUAUCUUCCUCCGAGACCGUAUCUCACUAGAUAUGCAUCUGUUCAAUGUGUAUCUUAUACCACUGGAAAGCCCAUAUUACGAGCUACAACUUCUAUUGCAGGAAUAAAUUCCAAUAACUGACUCUAAUAGAAUGAAAAAGAGCUCCCAAAUCUGAACAUAAAAUCACGUUUUUUUUUCCUUCAUUUUUUUAGCAGAAAUCCCAUAUUUCACAGAUUCGCUAAGGCAUGUUUGCGAAACCAUAUGUUCUUCAAUACUCGUCCAAAUCAGGGCCGGUCCUGAGAAAAUGGGGGCUCUAGGCGAGCCUUUGAGUGGGGACCCUAAAAUUCUUUGACAUCCAACUCAUUGUACAUUUAUAUGUAUAAGAAAAUGUUUCGCUAAAUACAUGAAAAAGUUCAUUUCUACAUAAAAAAUCAUUAGAAUUCAUAUCCAAAGAAGAAAGAUAUGUAAAAAUUACUUAAAUAUUACUCGUCUCGCGUUUUUAGAUGCAAAUGUAUAAAUUAAGUUUACAUAACUAAAAUUCAAUAUUCUGUAAACAACAAAUUGACAAAGAAACAAACUAAAAUUCAAAUUUUACCUACUACCCAACACAAAAGUUUGAUACAAAUGACACAACACAAAACAAGGCGCAUAAAAAAUACAGUAAAAUUUAAUAUCGAAACUUCGAAUUAUCUUGAACCAAAACUAGUUAGGAAGCAAAAGUAAACAACCUUGUUAAGUGCACCCAUAAUCCAUUUAUCUUCUCGAAGGGAUUUAACCACUUUAUUAAGUGCAUCCACAAGUUUGAAUACUUUGAUUUCGCAUAAACAAUAUGCAUUAAAAUAAACAAAUCAUAAACCCUAGAAUCGAAAAUCCUAAUUAUAUUUACAUACACAGCACUCACAAAUUAAAUUAUAGAAAAAGAAGCAGGAGAGAAGAGAAGCAUUGAUCGGGUACCUGACCUUUGUAAGUGGAGUGGGAAAGAACCGAUUCGUAGGCGUAGACUUGCUACCAAUAUGCUGUGCGUUAAAUUCCAAAAAAAAAAAGUUGAAUUGGUGCUGAAGUUUCACCCCACCCAAGACACUUUGUACGCCAAGUUUCAAGACAAUUAUGUGAUUUUAUAUUUAAAUAUUUUAUUAAAUUCAAACUCUAAAAAUAUAUUUAUAUAUGUUAUAUAUAUACACACAUAUUUAAAAAGAAAUAUUUUUGGGGCCUCCCCACCCAAAACGCUGCACGACAAGUUCCAAAAAAAUAUUUAUAAUUUCAUAUUUAGAUAUUUUACUCAAACUACAAAAUUAUAUAUAUAUAUAUAUAUAGAGAAAAUUAUGAUUGGCACUCUAAAAUUUACAUUCUACAUUCUAAAUUUUCUAUAUUUAGAAAGAAAAAUACACUUGUGAAGAGUGUAUGAUGAGAUUUUUAGAGUACCAAUAACACUUCCCUAUAUAUAUAAAAAAAAAUUUGGGGGCCCCCCCCCGAAAUGGGGGCCCUAGGCGAUCGACUACUCGGGCUACCCUCAGGGCCGACCCUAGUCCGAAUGACGUGUAUUUUAUAUGUUUUUGAAGCUUAUGUGGCCAACUACAAACCCCAAUAAAAAAUUACAGAAAAAUCAGCUACAUGCACCCUAAAUUCAGCCCACUAAACGGCUGAAAAAAACUGAAAUUUUCAAGAAAUCACAAAACUAGGAUAACAUAUUUCUCAAAAGAAAUCCUCAAAAAACGCAACGAAUCAAAAUGUGAUUUUUUUUCGGGUUUAUGCAAUGCAACCAUGGUGGAUAUAGUGGUUCUCGUAAUUUACAUCGAAUUGUAAGGCAAGGAACGAGCCCUAUGGCUCUAACACCACUAUUGGGAAUUUGUACUAAUAAAACAAAGAAUUCGAUAUAGGACAUACCUUGCGGAAUUAACGAAUUCUGGAUCGCCGUCUCGUUUCUACAAACCAUUGCAUGAACCACAAAGGAGAGCCCCAUCCUAGGGAGGAUUCAGUUGCCUCUAGCCCCGUGAGAUUGCCUACAUACCUUGUGCCAAUGCACAUGGAUCAAACCACCAUAGUUCUUAGUAGCCUCAUAAUCCUAGGAUCAAUGUGAUACCCUAGAGGCUAAACUAAGAUAGAAAAAGGUUACUGAGAGUGGAGAGCAUUAUCUCUCAUCUUUAGAGCUAAGAGAAUUGUCUUUGUUGGUGUGCUUUCUCCCAAAGCCCUCAUUAUAUAGUGGCUAGGAGGGAAGAGAGAAAGGGAAAUGGUCAAUGUGGGAUAAAUACCAAUACGCACCCUAAAUUGGGUGUAUAAAUCCUACAGGGGGACUUUGUCAAAAUACACUGACUCUCCAGUUCCAGGCCACAGGCAAUCAAAACAACCUACGUACCCCUUUAAAUAGGGGGCACGGUUUUGAAGCCAAGCCCAGCUUCUCCUCUCUCAGCUGCCAAACUCUCAGGCCAAAGCCAUAGCCAAUCAAAGCAACGCAAUUAGCCGCCACCUUCAAUUCUCUUUAUUUCUCUUUUUCCCUGGGAAGAAAUCGAAGGAAAAAGAGAAUCGGGAAAUACCCAUCCCACCGACGGCAGCAAGAGACAAAAUUAACAUGUCCUCUUCUGUCUUGACCAGUCAUUGGCUAGUAUAUCGUCGUAAUUUUUAGGGUAAUUAGCAAGAAUAAUCCAUUUUUGACAUUUGGUUGUAGAAAGAUCAGGUAUUGUUAUAUCAUCAUUGCAUCGUCGAUAACUAAUCAAUGUGUCACCAUUGUUAAAAAAUGAUCAUUUUGCAACCAAGUAUCAAAACGUGAUUAUUCCUGCUAAUUGCCCUAAUUUCUAUUUACCAAAUGAAAGAAUAGUACUGAUAGUCGAACUCGAGUAUUGCAAGUGUACAAACAAAGGUCAAUGGUAGUAUCUUACAGAAUAGGGCAUCAUAAUCUGCUACAUUGAGACAUUAUUUUUGAGAGAUGAAAUCUACUCUUAAAGAUAGUGUCUAAAUUGCCUCAACUUACAUUGUUGUUCGAAUGAAACAUCGACAAAGAGCGAUUUUUACACCCUAAAAGAUAAGUAUUUAAUAUAUUGUUGAUUUCAUUUAAUCAAUGGUGGCAAUCAAAAUUAUCAUUAAUUUGUAUUGAUCUUAUGUGCAUUGUUGUAGAAGAAGUAGCAUCAACGUCGCUAAAUUUUUCAACAACAAACACCACUUGUAAAAGCAUCCCUUUCUGAAUGAAAAUACGAAAGCUCAAUAGGAGGACUAGUUAAACACUUCGUAACGCGACCAAUGCUUCUACAUGAAAAGGACUAGCAGUACCCUUUGAAGAGUUGUGAUGAGUCGAUAUUAUACUAUAUAUUUUACCCUAUUCUUAGUUAUAGUUUAUUGGUUAUUUUGGUAGAAUUUUGGUACUUUGGAUUAUAUUUUUAAUGUAGGAUUCCUCUAGAGCAAAAAGUGAUCAAACAAAUGAAUUUUGGAGUGAUUCUAAUUGAAGGAUAUUCGUGAGUCUUUCAAGAUGAUUGUAUCAAAAUUUCAGAUUUUUCUACCAAGUCAUUUGACCGUCGCAAUGAAAAGAAGGCCCAGUGAGUAGCUUUCCCAAAUUAACGUUUUUGGACGUUUUGGGUAUUUUAGAGGUCAAAAUGACAUAUUUUGAGGAAGAUUCCUUCUGAGGAUUUGUAGGGGACGUCUCCAUCUUUUUUUUCUUUUUCUUUUUUUUGUCGAAAUUCAAGUAUUAUUAAAGAUGAAUUGAAACGUUUACAUCAGAAGCUAGAGUGUUAAACAACCACUCUGGCUCAAAAUGAUCCCACAUAUGAAACCCCCCCCCACACACGUGACAUAAGAAGCCACUUGAUGCGCAACCCCAUUACAGGCACGAGGAGUAAACAUAAACUCUACUAAACAUAAUUGUUGUUGAAUAUGGUUCAUAUCCCAAGGGAUACCUUCCAAAUCUGCCUUUGGAGCCAAGACCCCAUUAAUCAUAUCCACCAAGACCUUCGAAUCCGUCUCGAAUUGAACAAACUCGAACCCAAAUUCCACACAAGCCAUCAAUGCCAAUCGCAAUGCUUUCGCUUCCGCCAUCAAACUAGAACCACAUCUUAUAUCUCCCAAACCACCAGCGGCUCUAAAGAUCCCAGCAAAGUCCCUCGCUACCCAUCCACAACCCCCCACACUCGUUUGCUUACACCAAACUCCAUCACAGUUCACCUUAAUAGUACGAAACUGGGGCUUCACCCACCGCACCUGCACCUCCCCUCAAGGCUUCGCCUAGGACCAUGUUGCCCCACAAUCUACCCACCACUAUCCUCAAGCUCCCGCACCUGUUGGCUCAAAAGCUUCAGCGCUCCACUCGGUUGGUUGGUCAAAAGACUGAUUUUCUGAGAAGUUUGAAUUUUAAUUCAAAUAGGAAACCUUUUAUUUUCUAUUUUAUUAUUUUAUUAUGCUUCCUAGUUUUAUUCUAAGACUUUUUAGGGUUUUAUUUUUGUAGUAGUAUAAAUAAAGAUAUUUAGCCAUUAGGGUUGAAGAGGUGGGAGAAGAAAGCAUAAAAUUUAGGCACGCACUACUUAGAGAGCUUUUGACAAUUCAAGUUUGUAUUCAAAGUGUUUUUUAUUCAUGUUUUUAAUAAUAUUUUGUUUUAUGGUUGUUAGUAACUAGUUUCAUUUGUUAGGGCGAGGUCACGAGUCUUAGCAAGAAUAUGUAGUUUCUUUUCAAUUUACUUAUGAUAUUAUGCAUGCAGGUUUUGAAUUAUUAAUCACCGGUUUAAACUAUCUAAUUGUCUUGAUGAUUAGCCACCAUUAGGGUAUUUAGAAAAGUAAAUUGAUGCAAUUUUGGAGGAGGGUUGUCCCUAAAAUUGGCGUUGGCUUCUUGUGAUUAAUAUGUGUAACUUCUUAGGAUCGACGACACGUCUUAAGGGUUAUAUGGUUUUUCAAAGGGAUUUCACAAAACUUAAUGAGUCUUCCAUGUUCACAUUUGAUAUGGACGCCACAGGCGGGUUGCAUGUUAGAUAUACGUUCUAUGUUGGAGGUUCCAAGUAGGACCUACUUUAGGAAAACCUAACCUUCAAAAUAUGCAUGGGUAAUUCAUAAGUAAUUGGAAGAACUACGUAUGAUUGUUAAGGUGACGGCGGAACCCUAGUGCUCAAAUUUAUUUUCAAAACUAUUUUCUUUUGUUUUAUUUACUUUGCCAAUUUAUUUAAUUGUGUUUAAUUAAAUUCGUUUUUAAUAUUUUAGGCAAUAAAAUCAACCUCUUCCAAACUUUGUUUUCAAAUAAUUAAUUAAGAUUUGAUUUUAACAUAAAUUAUUCAUUCAAUCCCUCUGGAGAACGACCUUGCUUGAGCUGCUAUACUACAAUAACCUUGUACUAUUUUUAUGUGUUUUUAUCCAUACUUUUACAGGUGGUAAAAUCCCCAUCAAGAAAUUGGCGUCGUUGCCGGAGAUUGUUUUAAUAAUGUGUGCUUACCACAUUCUUAGUUAAUUAUUGUUGUGUGUGUGUGUGUGUGUGUGUGUGUGUGUAGGCUUUUUAUAUUAGCACCUCACAAAAUGUUGAAUACACUCCACGUUAAAAUUUAAUGUUAAAUGUUUUAUUAAACCUACUAUGCAAUGGCAAUUUUGACCUUAUAAGGUAAAAAAAAAUAAAAAAUUUUCUAUACACACCCUAAAUCAUUUUUAACAUAUUAUUUAUCUUCUUCAAUUAUCAAAAUCCCUCUGACCCUCCAUUGUUGGACAAAACCCUAACUAAUGAAACUACAAACAUGUUGAUUGAGAAAAAUUAUUUUUGAUAAAUGAAACACGAAAUCGAUUUUUUAAAAGCUUCAAAUGAGGUAAGACUUCAUAUUUUUUAUUGUUUAGUGAUUUUGACGAUAUCGAUAAUUAUUUAAUCUUACUUUUCCUGUGUUAUUCAAGUUUCUAUGUUCAUAUUCAUCUUUUAGGGAUCAUAGAGAUUACAUGAAGAAUUAAACAUCUAAAAUUACCACAAAAUAUUAAAAAUAGAUGACAUGAGUUUUAAUGGUGGAAUUGAAAACAACCCACAUAUGCUUUAAAUCCCAAGCGGCACCUGUUGUCAAAAUUCCAGUCGGCCUUUUUUUGUCCAAAUUAAAAGCUUUAUAAGAUUUGAGAAAUGUGGGGUGUAUAGAAAAUAUCGGGUGCAUGUAGAAAAUGUAAGGUGUAUACUGAGAAUGUAAGGUGUGAGGGUAUUAUGGGGAAGUAUGUGGGGUGUAUUAAGAUAAUUAUUCAUUAAAAAAGCAAAUGUGGAUGUGUAUUAAGUAUAUGAGAUUUAUUCAACAAUUUGUGGGAUGUUAAUAUAAUAAGCCUUAAUAUAUAUAUAUAUAUAUAUAUAUAUAUAUAUAUCUAUAUAUUUAAUUGCUAAUUUUAUUUUAUAAGUUACAAUUUGUUAAUUUUGAGAAGAGUGCAACAAUGGCGUGGGAAUUGCCAUCACCAGCAGGCCCACAACCUUUAUGGGAUUCUUUAGCAACAACAAAUUGGUUUGGAUUCCCACAAGAAAACACCUUGUUACAAUCUGUCGAUUUUGGGAGCAAUUCAACGACGGGCUGGGAACUACCACUACCAGGAGGACCACCUUUAUGGGUUUCUUUCGCAAAACAAGGUUUCUAUGGAUUUAAACCUACAAUUUGUGCUCUUUGCUGUCCAAAUACCCAUGAAAUUUUGCAAUGCCCUGAAAGGAAAUAUUUUCCUAACUAUGUGAAGGAGCAUAUUAAUACGAGGAAAGACUCACAAAGGCGUUGGGACAAUCCCACUUUUGAUUACUACGCUCUAGAUUUGAAAAAGCAUUCCAGUUUUAGAUGGGCAGGUACUCAACAGCCUUUUGAGCAGCCUAAUGUGCCACAAGAUUUUGGAGGAAUGGUGUGUAAUUCAAACACCCCAAUGUGUAGUGAGUUAUGACUAUAUGCAGAAAGACGCCAGAAUUGAAGAAUCACAAGGUGAUGACUCUAACCCAAUGGAGGAAAUUACUGAUCCUAAAAUAUCCCCAGAACCCAUUCCUACCUAGAUCUAUACGCCACACAUACAAUAUCUCGAGGCUACCAAGCAACCAACAAAGCUGCAUGAAGGCAUUGAAAUUGACAUGUUCAAAGGGGUUAUUCAUACAAAUUCAAAAUAUGAUCCAACAUAUGAACAACACUUCACAAAUCUACCAGAUUUCGAUACAGGGCAAAUAGCUAAAGAUAAAAUAAUUUUUGCUGUUGUAACAGACAAUGCACAUGCACAACCAAUUAAACUCGAAGAAAUUCAAGAUGAGUCCUACGAACAUCAUAAGUUUUACAUGGGCACGAAGAACAAGCAUAAUGGCAGCCAAAUUCUCCAUCACGAAAUUCAGCCAAUGUAAAAAUUGUGGGUAUUAAAUAUAAGAUUGAAGUCAGCUAAAGGGAAACACAAGCAUUGAUGGAGGAGACCCUGUUUGAUCACAAAGAUUCAUUCACAUAGAAGGGCAAACAUUAAGGACUCAACCACAACAGUUAAACACUCGGUCAAUAAACAUCAAGUCACUGAUUACCUAAUAUUGCCCUAUGAUGCUAUUAAAGAUUGGUUAACUCUACAAGAACAAGUGAUGCAAUUGUUAAUUCUUGUUAUUUUUCUUAUGAACAACACUUCACAAAUCUACCAGAUUUCGAUACAGGGCAAAUAGCUAAAGAUAAAAUAAUUUUUGCUGUUGUAACAGACAAUGCACAUGCACAGCCAAUUAAACUCGAAGAAAUUCAAGAUGAGUCCUACGAACAUCAUAAGUUCUACAUGGGCACGAAGAACAAGCAUAAUGGCAGCCAAAUUCUCCAUCACGAAAUUCAGCCAAUGUAAAAAUUGUGGGUAUUAAAUAUAAGAUUGAAGUCAGCUAAAGGGAAACACAAGCAUUAAUUAGGUUUUUUAUUUGUGAUUGCAGACUGCAUUUGGAACUAAUUCGGGCUAAUCUCAACUACUCGUGGAUUCAUACAUUCAUCCAUUCAUCUCACUAAUAUGCAUUCAACCAUCCAUUCAUCGCAACUUUGCAUUCAAUAUCAGCAUUAAAGUGCAGAAAUUUAAAAGGAAAUCCAACUGGAGUUUGAGUUUCAGAAACGUUACAGUGGGUUUGCAAAUAAGACUCUGUACCUACUUGGACCCACUCUUCUCAUUCGCUCUCAAAUUUUGUAAAACAAAUAUAUACUACAAUACAAGUUUGGGGGUGAGAUCCAAGUAGCACGAAGGACGUGGUACUCUAACAGAGACCAGAUUUAGUAUCAGGCACAUAAAUUUCUCAGACAUUCAUCAAAUGGUACAUGGAAGCACAUGGGAAAGCAAUACAUAAGCAUAUAGAAAUUCACUGAUCUAACACAUGCAGCAACAGAUAAAAAAAGAGGGAGUCGAAAAUUAUACCUUUGGCUUUGGAUCGAGCAUUUCUUGUUUUGUUUUCCAGUGCAUCGCCGGAUCUGAGAUUUUGUAGCAAUUCUGCAGUCUCUUCCAUGGUACUGACGUUAGCUCAAAGUUCCUUGCACAGAGAAAGACCAAAUGCAUGUAUUAGUUUUGGUUUAUUUUCUUGAAAUGCACAAAUCAAAACUGAAACAAAGAAGUUUGGGGGAGAGUUCUUUCUUUAUACCUUUAAGCUCUUGGAUAGGACGGAAAUGAGGCCCCUGCUUUUCCGUUUGCAGGCAUGAUGCACUCCAUGAUCCUCUUUGCUGUGUUGAUGAUGGUAGAGAAAUGAAGUUCAGAUGGGCUAAGGUUUGAGAGCAAGAUGGAGAGAGCCCUCAUGGCUCUGGGCUCGAGGCUAGAGAGAAGCAGCUCUAAGUUUUAGAAAUGGGAAAUUAAAUUAAAUUAAAUUUAUAUAUACUAAAACCAAAACUCGGGUGGUACUGUUUUAUAACAGUAAAAUGACGAAAAUGCCUUUCAAAAAAAUUAUUUCUCAGUGUUUUCUAUCAGCUUCUCUACAAUAAAAAGACGGUUGUGCCCUUUGUGUCCACGCGUCUGCCAUCGCCUGUUCUCUUCGUGCGUUGGGUGGCGUUACUCACCGUUUCCCUUUUAGGCUAGCCACGUGUCAUUCAUCGUCGAAGGCUCUGCUUCCAAUUCUUCUCGACAUUUCCUUCCGUUUCCACUUCUCUCUCUCUCACUCUGCGGUCUUCUAUCCUCUCAUCUCGCUCUUCCCCUGAGGCUCUGACUCUCCUUCCCUACUGAAAGAGCCAUGAUCUUUCAUGUUCCCCUCUUCUAUUCCUUCGGGUAAUUUUCCAGUACACUUUUCCAUUUACUUCCCACACUAAUCUCACCCUAAAACCAAACACCAUCUUUGCCGAAAUUUUUGAAUUUUUCUCGGAAAUUCUCGCCUAUCCUUGAGAUUUUCUUGGUGGGUCUUCGUUCUCAGGUCCCGUAUGUAAAAGGGUUUUGGCUUUGGUAGCAGAUGAAGAUCGGUGACAAUGAUCGAAGUUCGUCGCCAUGUGGGUGAUCUCAGUGGCACUGGUUUUCAAUUCUGGUGAUUUCUAUGGUUUUGUGUUGCGUAAUAUUUGGGGAUUUGGUUUGGGUCUGUUGGUAAACAAUACUCAGGUUAAAUUUGGUUCCCUUUAUUUUCUCAAAUUUGUUUCACCGCAUUAUUUUUUGAUCCUUUACUUAAUCUUUCUUAAGAAAUUUUAGAAUCUUUAUUUGUUUUGAAUUUAUUUAUUUUUUAUAUUUUAUUUUCAAGCCUGGCAUUUGUUUUUAAUUUCUCUGUUGAUAAGUUUGAGGAUGAAAUUUAUUCUUUCUUAACAUUAUUUGACAGCAAAUUCUAGGUUCCAACCCCCAGUAACGCAACAUGCUCGAUUCCAAUUCUUAAUUAAGGGGGAUGAUGCAAAACCCAGAAUUUCUUUGUAAAUUGGCUUCUCCUUAGACUAUACAGGUAUAUUUAUUCUGGGUGCCUAAGGUUUUGAGUUUUGAAAUUUGUGUUUGACCAAUUAACCAUUGAGAUAGCCGUCAUAUAUGACAUUGCCAAGAUUCUCAAUUCUUAGUCUUUCAUAUUUACAAUUUGGUUCGUGGUCUUUUGACAUCUCUGCUGCUCUACCCAUUACCAAGCACAGCUCGACAAUCCCCAGCAUUAGCAACUAUCAGGGUCCUGCAAAAAUUACACAGUAUGUAAGACUAAGACAUGAAACCUAAUUAAGAUUCACAACUUCUACUUGCAAAGUAUUUAGAAAGAAAUUCCAUACAAACUCAAUGCUCAUCAGUCAAUUUCUUUCUCUCUUUCAUAAUUUAACUUUUGCUUCUUAUUGCCUUUGUUUUUUCUUUUCUAUCUUGCAGAUACUCUUUAAUUUGCAGCAAUCACUUCUGUCGCAACUGGUCGACAACAGUAAUAGUCAACCCAGUAAGAAGUGACAUAGAUUUUUCUUUGAUAUAUUUGAUAGAUAUAGCCUGAAUUGAUAUUUCUCCCUUAGCUCCCUGCGGAAUCCAUGUUGAUUAUAUGGAUUAAUUAUGCAACUUGAUUGAAGUUUGAUGUAAUUUCAUAUUGUUAAACCCCUUUAAAUGGAUGAGAAAAUAUUGUUAAACCCCUCAAACUUUAUUUGCGCUCUACUUUCAAUUUAAUUUCAUAUCAGUGAGACAAUAUAAUUUUGUUUGAAAGGUUGGAAAAAGCUAAUAACUCUUGGUAAAAUGUCUUUAUGCGGAUCACAGACAAGCAAACAUUAUCAAAUCUAUGUGUAUGAGUUGCAAAGAUACAUAUGCAAAAUAAUAGGUGACCUCUUUAUUCUAUAUUUCUAACGUUUAUUUAUUUAUUUAUUUAUUCCAAAAUCCAUGAUGAGCAAUUUAUGUUUCUCUUUCUUUAACAUUUUUUUUCCUUUGGUUUUGCUCACUUAAUAAUUUGAUUGACACCUACUUUUUAGAAUUAGAAUAGAAUAUGGUUAUAAUUAUCUGCAAUUGUGGGGUAAUUGGCAAAACUCGAGACCCUUUUAUGCCUGUUUGAAGGAACAAACAAAGUUUGUAAACCUCUGCCUUGCUCAUACAUGUUUUACUCUUUCAUUGGCAUUUAAUUUAUUUUCCUGUUUUGGUUUAGGCUUUUAGUUUGGUUUGAUUUGUUGUUAACUUUGUUAAUCUGGUAAGAAUUACAUUUUUCUAAUGGCUUGGAUUUAGGAUUUCAAUAUAAUUUCUUCUUUUUCAACAUAAUGGUUAAUCUGGAUAAGGAGGUAGUUUGCAUUCAGGUGAGGUGGAGCGGACUUUUUUGAGAAAGAACCUCUUGGUGGAGCCCCCGGAGGACAAAAUAGUACUAUUUAGUGACCAGGAGCUGAGAGCCCAAUUUCAUUACAAUUUCUUCCUUUUCAACGUAAUGGUUAUCGAAUUAAUUGUUUUUCCUUUAAGGGUACCAACAGCAUGCUAGACUCAUACCUUUCCAUUUUUUUUCUUCCAAAUUCACCAAACAAUACUAAUGUUAUUCCAUUUUUUCAAAUUAUAAAUUUUCUACAUGGAAUCUUAUUUUCAAAUUUGUUUUAUAUUUUUGCUCAAAAUUCACAAGUGCAGUGUUUUCUAUUUGUUAAAGGCAUAAUAGUAUAUCCAUUCAGUUUAAUGAUAUUUUAACUAAGUGGUGGUUUACACAAUUUUCAACAUUUUCACAUAGGUUCUGAUUUUAAUUGUUUGGUAAAACCUAUAGAUUGUUAAACUAAUGACAAGCUAUUACUGUAUAUUGUUCAUAUCAAGGAUGGAGACAUUUUUAGAUUACCCUAAAAUAUAGCUAGGAAACACCUGUUCUUUUUUAUUACGGCAGACAUUGAUGCCCUAAAAUGUUGACUUUCUUUAAUGCUUCCUCUGGAUUCUCCAGUUUCUUUUUAAAGUUUAUUUGGUUGUUGAAAAAAAAAACUCAAAAAUGAAGGGCUUUAGAGUUUGAUCAUUUGUGCCUCAAAUUUGGCACGGUUUCUUUCCCCUAUAUAAUUUCGAUUGGUAAUAUAGAUUUUCAUCAUAAAUUAUUGUAUUCUUUUGCAAAGUUGUUCAUUUUUUACACUUUUUUUUUUUAACUUUAACACCACUUCACUUGAGAGCUCAACUUCAAUUAGAGAAAGAGGAAGAGGAGCAUAGAAGUAUGUCCACUACUCCUCUGUUUCAUUGGUAAUAUCUCCAAACCCAAUUCUCAGUUUUUAGGUUAUUUUCACAUCAAUUAAUUUUGCCUGUAAUGUUAUUUUAGGGAAUUUUUCGGGCACAAUUUUUUUUUUUUGGUCAAAUAAAUAGUUCUGGGUCUUCAACAAGUUAUUUUUAUGUAUUAUAGUUUAUUAGUUCACAACUAUAAUUUUUCAAUAUUAAUGGUAAAGCUUAAUUUCGGAUUGCAUGUCUGAAAGUUUAGCCUUUUGCGAGUCGAGGAAUCUCUUUUGUUUGAGCUGGCCAUGUCGGAUUAUAUUUUUACUAACUUGGUACACCAUAUCACGUUCAGAGACUCUUUUACUUGCCCUUUUGUAUUUGUGUUUGGUAAAUAUAUAGGGGUGUGAUAUCCACACAUCCCAUUUUACUUCUCACACACCUUUUUAAUUUUCGGCCGUCAGAUCGGAUGAAUUGAAGAAGAUUAAUGAACAUAAAUUAUCAAGGGGGGGUGUGAGAAGUAAAAUGAGGUGUGUGGAUAGCACAUCCCAAUAUAUAAUAUUUGUCGAAGUAUUUUGUAUAUAGUUGAGUCACAUGAAGUUCAAGAUUCCAGUUAGUAUAUCAUUUGACGCUUACCAUCAUCUAAUCUUUGGCAUGUAUAAUCCAUGCGGUUGCUUCACAAAAUCUGUUCGAAUAAUCUCCAUUAAAUGACUUCUGUGUUUGUGACCUUUUACUCAAAUUUUAUAUAUUUUCUCCUCUCUAAUUUGUGUUUUUUGCCGUGUCAGAAGAUUAUUUUUGUAUAAGAUAUAAAUCUUAGAAACAUUCACCCAUUGUUUAGUUUCUUUGACGAAUUUUGUAGUGUUAGUUCUGCACCAUUUCAGUUUGGCUUGGAUUGGAUAAAUAAUAGCAUUGUUUAUGCUAAUUUGCCAAUUUCCUCAUAUUUUUAAGUUAUCUCGAAGACUAAUUCUGGGCCUUUUAUUCAGCGUUUUGAAGACGUUGGGGACUUCACUGUGACAAAGAAAUUGAAGACUUAGGGUCUAAAUAUAUUUUCACAUGUAAAUAUAUAUCUAAAACUAUCUACAUGAUUCAUACAAUUUCUAAACCCUCGCAGCACCGCGCGGGCAAGCUUUCUAGUUAUAUACUAAAAGAGAAAAGCGUGGUACUGUUCAUCCAAUUUUGCUCUGAGAGCUGCUAGACCCACUUCAUUGUCUUAUUUCCUCACCCAUGUUAUAUUUACACCUAUUAUAAAAAGUUGUCAAAAAUUAAAAUGUUAUUUUCUCACCCACUAUUAUUCCUAAAAUAACCCUAUAUAUAAUUAAAGAUAAAUUUCUCUUAAGAAAAGAAUAUAAACAAAGAAUAUUACACGUUUGGUCGGGAUUGAAAAUGGAGAAGCUUACUCAAGUCCGAACCCAUGUUUUAACUUCCCUCAGCAGUUUACUUUGUCCUGCAAUAUGUUUGUCUUUAAAAGUCGAUUUGCACUUGGUAUGAACAAGAUGAUCUUUUCACUUCAUUAAUGGCUGAUGUCUUUUUUGCUUGGCAUUCUUACCAGUUAGGCCCUCAGAUAACAUUUGGAACCUUUCCUGGGGCUCGUAAGAAAACCCUUCCUAAAAAACGUUCUCUUGGCCAGGCCACUCGAAACACUUGGUUCAUUACCAUCGCAAUCAGGGUAAAAUAAAAAAAUAUGUCUUGCCUUUUUGUAUUGUCAUAAACUCAUUAAAAAACAAAUUUACUCUACGAUAGCAGUAUGCAACAAUUGAAGCUUAAUUCGGCAUCAAUUCUAACUUUAAAGGGAGAGAGAGGUGGUGCUUGUGGUAAGUACGGGCUAAUGAAAAAUCGACCACGCUUACCGUUGUUUAGGUUUUCAAUUCUAAAUCAACCACGCCUACAGCAGUAUGCAACAAAUUUACCUCAACCUAAUGAACGAUGUCGAUAGAGCUAUGCUUCAAUUCCAGAAAUUCUCAUUCAAAAACAAAUUGCACCCUAAUCUAGUGCAAAUUCAAAUAAAAAAUCACAAAACUAUGCUUCAAUUGUACGAUGUCGGCAAAUCAAGAUGACCUAUAUAAAUUAUCUUUUACCUCUUUGACGGAAAUACAAUCAUCUAGUUCUUCCAUAGAAACUCUAUCUUCUAAGUUCAUUCUUUUUGCUUUCUCAAAAUGAUUUUGCUUUUUCUGAAUGAAAGGAGAUAGGAAUGAUGAGUUAGGGUUUAAGAGAGACAAAUUUCCUAAACAUAGUGUGAGAGUUAUCACGUCCAAACUUUUUUUUUUUUUUUUUUUUUUUUUUAUAAAAAAAAGUAAUGUAAAAUGGGGUAACUAAGGUUUUUAUUAGUCAUUUUACAAAUGAACAAAUAUGUAAUUAAAAAAUGGCACACUUUGGAUGCGGUCGCUAGCUAUCAAUAUUCUUUGAUUGAAAUCUUGUUAGUUUUUAGUUUUUGAUUGAGGUCCCUAACAUUAAUGUAAUGAUAUAAGUUACUAUAUUUUUUUAAAUUAAAAAUUAAAAAUUGAAAUUUGUAAUUGUUUAUAUUAAUGAGAUUUUAAAUAAAAUCCAUAAUUUAUGGGAUUAAAAAUAAUAAAAUAUAAAUUAUACUCUCUAUUGUAUUGUGUGUGUACACAUAUAUGUAUGGGUACAUUAACCAAAAUUAACAAAAAAAGUUAUUCUACCAAAACAUGGAUACAUUCUCAAAUCAACGAAAAAGAAUGUACCCAUAUAAGUUUAAACAUGGAUUAAAAAAUUUGAAUGGAUUUUAUAUUAAAAAAUGGUACAUUUUACAUAUAACAAAUUGAUAUAUUUGAGAAUGGAUACAUUUAAGAUUAAAAAAAUUGAAAAAUUAUAUGAAUGGGUACAUUUAAGAUUAAAAAAUUGAGAAUCUUUUUAUAUAUAUAUAAAAAAAAAAAACUAAUAGGUACAAACUUAAUUUAAUUUAAUUUUUUAUUAUUUUGGAAAUGUUUGAAUUGAAAAUUAAUUAGAAGUUUAAUAGAGGUGUGAGUAUUAAACCCUAAAUUAAUUACUAAUUUUUAUAUUAAAAAUUUAUAUAAUAAACAUGUAAAUUCAUUAUCACAUUAAUGCUAGAGACUUGAAUCAAAAUUUGAGAACUUAUAAGGUCUUAGUCAAUAAACAGUAAGAACUAGAGACCGGAUACUAAUUUUUUCUUAAAAAAUUUAUAAAAAUAUAAGUGGGAAGAUAAGACAUUAAGUGGAAUUGACCGCUCUCUUUUGCCAAGGAGUUGCUCUGUAAGUGUACAUUUUUGUGUGUUUUAUACAGUAAAAUGGCAUUUUUGUCCCUGCAGUGCAGUGCAAUGGAAAUCCCUUAAUUUCUUCAGAACCCGCACUCAGCUUCGCCAUCUCUCUUCCAUCUCUGCUCUUUUCGAUCUCUGCUUCGCGCUCUUCAAUCUUUGGUCCUUCGUCAGUGAGCGUUGGGAGGGUUUCAAGGAUUUCUGGUGCGAACGAUUCUCCUUCCUCACCAACUACUCCAAGUUCGUUAAGCAGGACAAGCCCCUUCCUCCCUGGUCCUACUCUGACGUCGAAGCCUUCAUUGCUCUUGACCCUGUUCAUGGCCCCGCUGUAAUUUCCUGCCCUUCUGUUUUUUUAUCCAUUCUUUUCAGUUUAUAAGUGUUAAUGGUAAAUGGGUUUCUUUGAUUUCGUGUUUUUGUGACCUCUGUGGACCUGGGUGUUUGUAUUUUUGUUUUCCUUUUGAUAUUUUUCCUGUUUUGUCAUCUGGGUAUUUGUUUAUGUUUCUCCUUGAUUUAAUUGUUGAGCUGUGCCCCUUUCUGUCAUUGAUGUUCGAGUGCUCAAUCUCUUGGUCGAGGUCACUUGGGUGUGUCUAAUUUCGGGAUAUGAAGGUUUUGUAUUUUCUGUUUAUCCUCCUCCUUUACCCGAACGAGAAAUCUGAAAUCAACAACCCAAAACUCACUCAUGGUAGCCCUUGGCUUGCCGCAUUCCUCGUAUCCUGGUGGUUCAUUCUCUCCAUUCGAUUCAAUUUCGGUGAGUUCUUCGUUGAUCCUUUCCCAAUUUGGUUUUUUUGGACGUCUUCAGACGUGGUUUUGAUUUCGGUGAGUUCUGGGUUAUUGCUUUUGGCUUCUGGGUUUUUAUUUUUCGGCUGUUUGAUGAAUCUCUGUGUGAGAUUUUGGGGGGUUUUUUAGUUACUUUGUAUUUGGGGUUUUGGGUAAGCAAAGAAACUAAAAGAAUUCAGUUUUAAUGAUCAAAUCAGUUUCUUUUAAGAGUUCUGAUUAGUAGUUUGGAUGGCUUAUACAUAUAAAUAUACAACCCAUAUUGUUAAUUGUAUGUAAGAAUUGACUCAAGACUGGAAAAAUAUGAACUUAUCAAUGAACUCCUUCAAUUCAAUUCUUUUAUGAAUGGGUUAUCUUAUACCACCUGUUUGUGGAUGAGAUCGUCUACCAAAAGAGUAGGGAGUGCAAACCAGAAGGAUGAAUUAAAGGUAAAUUGUACUAAAGAUGGUAGUAACUCAUAAAUUCCCACUUCUCUUUGACUCCUUCCUCUCUACUUGCAGUAGUUGUGACUGAUUUUCCCUUUUGGUUCUAUCUCAGGAGUUUGUCAAGGAGAAAGUUUGUGAACAAAAAAACAUCUAAUCGAGAGGUAUUUUCCUUUUGGCUGAUAUCACGAAUUAUAUUUGGGUGUUUAUGUUUGAUGUUUGUGUUUGAUGCUAUUUUUUAGAUGUUUAGGUAAUUAGAUUCUUCUUAUCUGGGAGUUUAUUUUUGUAUGUUCAAUCUGAAUAUUUUAUCAAUAUUCUCACAUUGUCUUCUUUGUUUUUAAUCUGUAAUUUAUCUUUCUUUCUCCAAUUCGUGAAAUUCCUUUUUCUGGCAUUUAAAAAGAAAUGUGAGGAAUCUAAUUAUCCGGUUGUUCGAGGGUUUUGAUCUGAUUGCAGUAUUAUCUGUUAUCUGUAUGUUUGUGAGGGUCUGUGAAUCACAGCUGAUGAAAAACUUGCAGUUUGAUAAAUGACUGUCAGUAAACAAGACGUGAAAAAGAAGGUUCAUUUUCUUAUUUUUAUUUCCAAAUUCUUCUACUUUUCUAUUUUGUAGAUAAAUUUUUUUUGGAUCUUUAGGCAAACAGAUGGUGUUUUUAAUCAGAUUUUGUUAAUUAAUUGGAUUUUGUGUUUAACCCUUUUGGUUAGUGUAUGUUUAGUUUAACUCUCCUAGCCGGAAGGUAGGUUAGUGUAUGUUUAGUUUAAGUCCCCUGAUUUUUUUAUUCGUUUGUUUUGUUGGGUGAUGCAGUUUGAUCGGAUCCAGUUGUUGGAUAAUCCCUGAAGUAACAAGAAGGAACUGACUACUGGGAUUUUUUUUAGCAAGUAAUAAUUCUUAAUUACUUACACGUUUUAAUUUCAAUUUAUGAUUUGAUUGGCCCUUAUAUAAAUUUCGAGCCCCACAAUUGUUGGACCAUUGAUAUGUUAUGAGUGUAAAUAGUAAAUCCGUUUUGAGUAUGUUAGUUAAUGGGUUAUGUGUUGGGAGAGUCACUUUGCAUAAACAACUUGUAGUAGCUCAUACAUUUGACAUAGCACUCCUUUUAUUACGAAUGGUUGAUAUAACAAAUGCUAGGAAUGCAAUCCAUAUAUACUUCAAUUAUGAACUCUAAUUACAUAAUACUGUGGUGAGCUCAAGAGCUUUUGAUUUGCUUAAGAGGGAGACCAGGUGUUUGACUAAACACAUCUUUUUUGUAAUAAUGCUUUUACAUGUUUUUAGCUGCACUUUUUUAAGCAGUACAAGAAAUGUGAGAACAAUUGAAGAGAACAUAUUAGUGAUCCUCAAUUCUUCCAAGCUAAAGGCAAUUAGGAUGCCUACGAGGAUAGCAAGUCUUAAUUCUGUUGUUCCCUUUUUAUUGAUAAUUUUAUGUUUGCCUCCGGCGAAAAUUUGCCAAGGAACUAAAAUCAAUUCCACUAUCAGUUGUUUUGAAUCCCGGAAAGCUAAAAUUAGAACCCAGUUCUUGAGGUGGGAAUUGUAGCAUUUUAUUUGUAUUUUUUUUUUCCUUCCAAAGUUUUUGUCAUGGAUCAAAAGAGUUACAAUGAUUGCAUAUUUAUUUCGAAAUUGAUGAACAUGACUCACUUUUCUCAAAGUAGUUUGCACUGCUUCCAUUGUAACAAUUUGAAACUAUGUGGAAUUUGAUAUAUAUUGAUAUAGGAAUUUAAAUUCCUAUUAUUAAAUGAUAGCAUUGCAAUCUGAGUGUAAUUAGUUUAGUAUUUUUGUGAAAUGCUAUUUACAAUGUCAGAAUGAUUCUUUGAUUUCAGUUGUUAAGCUUUCUUUUUAUAUUUUCCCCUUUUUAGACAUUUGCAGUUUUGUCCAGAGUGCACGGUUUGGUUGUCUGCAUGUGGAAGAGGCUGCGAGGAAAGGAUUAUGGUAUUGGAACUUGAAUGCAGAAAUAAUACUUUUACGUUAUUCAUUCAUUAUAUCGUGUUCACUCUUUUUUCCUCUGCUGUCAUUAAUGCUGGAGCAGCUGGAUGUUGCACUGAUCUUGCUCUUAGUUUUCCAGGUAUCCAUCGUAUUACAGAGUCUGAUAAUUUAUAAAUUAGCAAUAAACUCAUUGACUGCUAUUAAAAUUUAAAUUCUUAAUAUCUAUAGAACUCCCGAUUUUUGUUCUCUCUCAUUUUUGGAUUGUUAUAACGAUCAAGUCUUUUCCUUGCUAAUCAAUAAAGCAGUUUCUGUACAGUCUAUUGUAUCUUUAAUUUAGAAUACCUUAUUUAAUUUGCAGGUGCAACCCAGGCUCUUCUACAAAGCUGUCUCACUUUUGGGGCGUUCUCAUUUGUUAUUGAAGCCCUAAACAAGCAGCAGCCGGCUUUAGCACAACCAUUUUCUGUGAGGAAGAAAAGUGAGCAAGUUCGUCCCUUGGUGCUCCCCCUUCAACUUUCACUCACGGGAGAACUAAAAGCGGGUUUCACCUUUUGCAAUUCCUUGAAGAAUCGCAAGAAGGGCACUUCUCACCAGCCUAAGAAAGGUUGUUCCAAAAAGGCAGCACAGCUUGGACCUCUUUACGAGAAUUCAGGGUUUUUGCUCGCCAGACAAUGAUAGGCGAAUCACCACAAGCAGCAGUAAUUAUGCUGCAAACUGAAUUCAGGAUGACUAACCUGGAGUCUUCAUGGUGGUCGCACCUCUCCUCAUCUCUGCUCCUCCUCCAAAACCCUUCUGUAGGUUUCCGAACUUAAAUUGUAUUUUCUCUCUCUUUCUGCCCUUUAGAAGGGUUUCGGAAAAAUAAUUGUAUUUUUUUUUACUAUAAUUUUGGUUUUGAUGAUAAAAUUUGGAUUUGCCCAUUUGGGGAUUUUCUAGUCCAGGACCUAGGAAACAAGUAGCAAUGCAGAGGCCCUGUUGGAGAGAUUGUGGACCUCUGUUAAAUCACAGUCCAGUGAAGGGAUUAGCCUGUCCGACUUUGUGUUUUAGAUGAAUCCGUUUCGGAUUGGGAGAAAAUUUAAACCCAGAAAAAGUUGGGUUUCCUGGUGAAUUGUCCGGCAAAUUUCAGGUGGCUAAUUUCGUGAUUACAGUUAAUUUUGCGUCAUGACAUUGUGGUAUGCUAUCGAAUCUAAUUGGCGAUUUUUUUGUAUGCUUUUUGUGUGGAUGCAGGUCGGCAACGAACAGAUUGAUCACAUCAUGAGUUUUCCGACUGAUUUAUUCAAUCCUAUCAGUUCUGAUUGCCCCUCCAUAACAUUUGCAGCACCAUCUGCCUUGCUCUCAGCAUAGCUUGGCUUUCAGUUCCUCAGGUAAAGUUUCUACCUUUUUUUCUUCUGGAAAAUAACAAUGAUUCCAAAUUUAUUGAACUAUUUAGUGAUUUUCUGUUGAGUUUCUUCUUAAAAUUUUUAAUUUAAAUUUUUUCAUUUGGAAUAGGGGGAAUGGUGGAUGUGAGAGUUUCUUUUACAACAAUUCAAAGGGAAGAGCUUGAGAGACAGUAGACUCUUCCCCUAUUCCUCCACAUUCACUUUUACCAAUUUUUCCAAGAACACAUUAAAUUCCCUCAAAAUAUAAGCUGAGGUAUGAAAAAGCUUCAAAUUCCUUGGUUUCCUCCAAUUAGUAUGCAGAACUCUCAAAAAAAAAGAAGAAGUGAGGGUUGAAUGUCUACCCUCAUAUACACACAGAGAGAUAUGGAAAAAUUUAGAAUGGUGAAGUGAGGGUUCAAUGACUUAUUACUCAUUUGGUUCUAUUUAAAUAAAGUUCGCUGAUUGGGUUGAUUUGUGUUGUGUACAUAUACAUCUUGGGUUUUUUUUAUGGACUUAUUUAUUUCUGUAUCGAUUGCUGACAUAAUGGAUAGGGUGCCAAAGAGAAAGGUGGCAUUAGGAAUAAUGGCUUUUUGAUAGAAGUAGAGUUUGAUCUCUUCAUUUGGGUUGUGCAUAUUUCGUUUGAUCUCUUAUUUUGGGUUGUGUAGAUUUCGUUUGAAUUAAUUUGGGUUGCCAUUUGUAAUUCUCUGUUUUUUCACUCAAACAUUGUUUAUGAAAAUUGAAGCUAUAAAAUAUUUCAUAUGAUUUUCAAUCCCGCAGUAUUGCGUGGGUACAAGUUUCUAGUUUAUAUAUACUAAAACUGAGUUUUAGGAUGGCACUAUUGAUCUAUAGUGUGCGGACGGAUUUGCCCCUCAUUUUCUUUAGUGUUCUCUGAUUUUGGUGGGAUUGUGCAAUGAAUUGGCCAUUUUGCCAUUAAUCAUACCUGCUGCGCGUGCCUGCUGCCCGUGUGGCUUUCGUGUUUUGUGGGAAAGAUGCUGGAACCCUUUCCUCUUCUUUUCUCCUCUCUCUCUCCCGUCUGUGUUUUGCCUUUUUCGAUCUCUCUAUUUCUUUCGUUUCGAUUCUGAUCUGAUCGUUGAGUGAUCAGUAUUGGCAGGCGCAAGGACACGGUGGAUCUGCAGGUAAAAGUUCUUCUCUGUACAAUAGUUACGAACUACAGUUUGUGUUUGGAUGGCUGUGAUUCAUGUUACAUGAUCUUGGUGAUUCAAUGUUUUAGAUUGGAUUUUUGUGGUUUUGAAUUUGUGGGUUUUUUUUUUUUUUUUUUUUUUUGCUCUGUACAACUUUUGUAAAAGUGAAGUGUUCAUUUUCAAUUUUGAGAUUGAAUUGAAGUGUGUAGAAUUUAAUUCAAGCAGAUUUGGUUUGGUUUCAUUACAUUUGAUUGUUUGAUCUUUACUGCUAGAGUAUUAGAUGAAAUCAAAAUUUAGUUUAGAGAUUGGAGUGAUGGAUUAUAUUAAUUUCCUGGCAAAAUUCAUGUUUUUAUCAUUAUUAAAGUAAAUACAUAGACUUGAUGCAAAAUUUGGAUUCUUCAGAGGAGCAGAUUAUAGUUUUUCAGUUUGAUUUAUAGUUUUGUUUAAUUAGGAAUAUAGUGAAAAUGAAAAUGAACAAAAAAGGGUUAGUGAGAAAAUGACAAGUUUUCUUUGUGUUUAUUACAAAAUUAGUAAGUUGAAAAUUUUGAGAGUAUAUUGCUUCUUGGAGCAGGUAUUGUUUCGAGAGUGUGAAUCCCAUGUCGGGAAUUGAAGUGUUACGUAAAUAGUUUGAAAUAUCUCGGGCGUCUCCACCCGUUGCCAAUUGGUUUCGGGUCGGAUGCUCGAAUUGCAAUAGAAUAAAAAGUAUAGUUGUUUUUUUUUAUCAUCUUUCAUUGUUUGAGUGGGGAAUAUAAUCUUUAUACAAAUUGCUUCCUGAUGGUGUUUGUAUGGUUCUGUAUUUAUGUGUGUGAUCCUUCAUCCCGACUUUGAAUGCAUAAACUAGCUGGAUGAAGAGGUUUUGUUGUUAUUGCCUUGCCCAAAACAAGGAUUUCAUUGAGGGCUAAAUAGAUUUCUUAUAACUGGGUUCUUAUGUCGUCAGGGAAGGUUAAGAGUUCUUUAUCCUUUUUCGUAUUUCAGUCAAAUGAUGUAUCUUUUGACAUCUGUGCUAAGUGCUUCGUGAUUCCUAUCAGUCAAUUGAUGUAUUUUUCAGUCAGUGAAAUGCUAUUAUGAAUUGGAGUGGUUCCUAUUGUCCUUGAGUGAUUCCUAUCACAACAAUCAGGGAGGAAAUCCCUCUGUGUUUUGUUUUUUUCUUAUAGGUCUAGGAUUAUUCAAAUGAUACAGCACUGAACAAGAGUUAGGACUUCAACUCAGUGUCGCAAAAACUUACUACCAAUAGAAGGUUUGUAAGCACUAAUACUCCGACUCAGAUCCUUACCGAAGUUAUUUUGAAAGUUGAAACGAUAUAGCAGUAGGCCCAAGGUUAUUAGAUGAAAUCAAAAUUUAGUUUAGAGAUUGGAGUGAUGGAUUUAGUAAAUUGAUACAUAUCUUGCCAGUUAGAUUAUGUAUUUGAAGGAUUUUUUUUUUUUUAAAUAAAUCCCUUAUUAAACACGUUUUAACAAUUGGUCUUUGGUUCUAUAUAUUUGAUAAAAAAUUGAGUGCAAAGAGUAACCAGUUUGAUUGAAGUGUGUUAUCACCAUUCUCUUACAUGCUUAAAUGAAUUGCCACUAAGUUCAGACAUGUAAAAUUGUGUAAUCAGACCUCAAGAAGAGAGCUAAAGCAGGGAUUUAAACCAAGAGGACCAAAGCAUAAUCUUGACAGCUCCAAAGGAACAACUUGAGGAAUGUGUGGAUAAACACUUUUGUAUAUAACAAUCUACCAAAUGUUUUCAAUGUAUUAAUGUUUUGCAACAUAAUCUUUUAUAUCUUGCACGCAUAAUCUUUCAUACAAUUUCCAACCCUGUAGCAAUUUGUGGGUACAAAUUUCUAAUGAGAACUAAAACUUAGUUUAUAUGUGAAUCUGCUAGGGUUCCCAUCAGCACGUGUGGCUCGUGUGAAGAGGCUCAGCGCUUCAAGCUAUUCCAGCAGGUCACGGGUUCCAGUCCAGCACGCAGCACAACUUUUGGGAUUUUAUUUUUCAGCGCCUUCUUUGAUGCUCUCGUGUCCCAGGUUCGAUCCCAGGUGUGUCCUCUUCCAUUCCCUUUAUUUUAUUUUUCGUUUUGUAUCAUUUUAUACUUUGUUCUGCUUUGUCUUUUGUUUUAUUUUCUAGUUUUAUUUUUCGUCUUUCUAUUUCUAAUCAAUUAAGGUGGUGUUUUAUUUUUAUUUUGUUGUUUUAGUUUAUUUUUGUUUUUCUUCUACUUUCCACACCUUGAGGAUAAUGUGUGAUUUAAGUUUGAAAGUGGGAAAUAAGAAAUUUUAGAUUUUUAAUUUUUGAGUCAAAUUAAAAAAUUUCAUUCUUUUAAGUUAAUAUCCAUAGUUUAUUUUAAACGUUAGAACAAAUGAACAUAGUGAGGGUUCAUCUCAUAGUAGAGUCUUUUCUAUUUAUUAUUGCUUAGACGCUAAUUCAUGAGUUAUACUUUGAAAUUUGCAUGUUCACUUCAACAUGGUUUGUGGGGAGUGAGAUUGAAACACUUACUUUUAGUUUGAAUGUAUUUUAAUUUUUGUUUUUAGUAAAGUUUAGUAUGUGUUACAAAUAAAGUAAUAAUUGUUUCACCUGAAACUUUGCUUAGUAAUCGGGUCAGUCCUGCCUAAUAAGCAGUGAUUCUCGCGUAAAACGGUUAAGUUUUGGCAUGGGGUAGGGUGGUUAGUUGGUUUUGUAGUCUUUUCAGCUUGAGUUAAUAAGUCGGUGUUCUACAUCUAAUGCCCUAAAGCCUUUGUGGUUUGGGAGUCAUUGACCUAAAGCUUGUUACAUGGGUUGGAUCGAAAGCUUAAGGGAACUGACAUUGCACGACAACUACUGUUACUAGAAGAAAAAAAGCGAAAAAAGAAAAAAAGAAAUAUAUAAAGUUAGUAUGUAUGGAAUAAAGAGUACGAAAGGUAGGGAUUUUAGUCGAGUCUCUUUAACAUUGUUGGUUCACUUUACAUCAGAUGAAGUUCAUGAAUUCUUUUCUAAUUUUUUCUAAAUGGCUUAGAGACUCUGUGGUGGGAUUAGUUGGAACUUUUGGAAAGAUGUUUUGAUUUUUAACAUUUGUUAUCUAUUGCAACUUGAAGAUGAAAAUUUUGUUUUAUUUGAGUUUUAAUAAAGUUUCUAGUUUGUUAGUUUUUAAUUUGUUUUUGAGUUUUGUUUUGCUUGAGGACAAGCAAAAAGCUAAGUUUGGGGGUUUUUUGAUGAGUCGAUAUUAUACUAUAUAUUUUACCCAUUCUUAGUUAUAGUUUAUUGGUUAUUUCGGUAUAAUUUUGAUACUUUGGAUUAUAUUUUUAAUGUAGGACAUUUGAAUUCCUCUGGAGCAAAAAUUGAUCAAACGGAUGAAUUUUGGAGUGAUUCUAAUUUGAGGAUAUUCGGGAGUCUUUCAAGAUGAUUGUAUCAAAAUUUCAGAUUUUUUACCAAGCCGUUUAACUGUGGCAAUGAAAAGAAGGCCCAACGCGCAGCUUUUCCAGAUUGAUAUUUCUGGAUGUUUUGGGUAUUUUGGAGGUCAAGAUGGCAUAUUUUGAGGAAGAUUUCUUCUGAGGAUUUGUAGGGGAUGUUUCCAUCUUUCAAAAGAGACCUUUUGGGACUAAAUCAGAGUUGAUUUGGUCGGUCAAAAGACUGAUUUUCUGAAAAGUCCGAAUUUUAAUUCAAAUAAGAAUCCUUUUAUUUUCUAUUUUAUUAUUUUAUUAUGUUUCCUAGUUUUAUUCUAAGACUUUUUAGGGUUUUAUUUUUGUAGUAGUAUAAAUAAAGAUAUUUAGCCAUUAGGGUUAAAAAGGAGGGAGGCGGACGCAUAAAAUUUAGGCAUUCGCUACUUAGAGAGCUCUUGACGAUUCAAGUUUAUUUUUAAGAUGUUUUUUAUCCAUUUUUUUAAUAAUAUUUUGUUUUAUGGUUGUUAGUAACUAGUUUCAUUUGCUAAGACGAGGCCACGAGCUUUAGUAAGAAUAUGUAGUUUCUUUUCAAUUUACUUAAGAUAUUAUGCAUGUAGGUUUUGAAUUAUUAAUCACCGGUUUAAACUAUCUAAUUGUCUUGAUAAUUGGCCACCAUUAGGGUAUUUAGAAAAGUAAUUUGAUGCAAUUUUGGUGGAGGGUUGUCCUUGAAAUUAGCGCUGAUUUUUUGUGGUUAAUAUAUGUAACUUCUUAGGAUGGACGACACAUUUAAAGGGUUAUAAGGUUUUUCAAAAGGAUUUCACAAAACUUAAUGAGUCUUGCAUGUUUAAAUUCGAUGAUGCCAUGGAUGAGUUGUAUGUUAGAAAUUAGAGGUCCAAAGUAGGACAUAUUUUAAGAAAACCUAACCUUCAAAAUAUGCAUGGGUAAUUCAUAAGUAAUUGGAAGAACUACGUAGGAUUGUUAAGGUGACGACGGGAUCCUAGUGCUCAAAUUUAUUUUCAAAACUAUUUUAUUUUGUUUUAUUUACUUUGCCAAUUUAUUUAAUUGUGUUUAAUUAAAUUCGUUUUUAAUAUUUUAGGCAAUAAAAUCGACCAUUUCAAAACUUUGUUUUCAAAUAAUUAAUUAAGAUUUGAUCUUUACAUAUUAUUCAUUCAAUCCUUAUGGCAAACAACCUUACUUGAACUACUAUACUACGACAACGGGAGUCUUUCUUCCUAGAUGAGACUUCUUCUCUCCUCUUGUCUGAGGUUUUCCUUCUUGAUUUUCUGUUCAGCUGCCGACCCUGGCUAUGUCCAAGGUCGGUGGCAAUCGUUUCCUAUCUUCUACAGUUUUUUCCCUCAUUCCUUUCUGUUACUGUUUUCCCCCUGUUAUCCAUCCCGAUUAGUGUGACCUAUGCACCCUUAUUACCAUCAUUCCUACUCAAUUAUGUCCUCAGAUCCAUCCCUUCAUCUUCAUGUCCCCCAGUCAUCCUCUACAACUCCGGUCAACCCCACAAAUCCGAUCUCCUCUAUCUUCGGCUUGGCUCUGCCUUUCAUCAAUUUAUUCUCAUAUUCGAUUUGCAGUCACUUUUAACCGCGAUCUGUCGCGGUCCAUUGAGAAGGUGUGUAGAGUUCCGGUAUGCAUAUUAGCUCGGGUGUCCACACCACCUCCUUCUCUCAGUCUGCCUUUAUUGGCAGUGUCCCUUGUGGGAUCCACCAUUGAUGCUGCACUGGCUGCUUACCACGUCUACUGGUUACACAUGUUCUGCUUGCCGCAGAAUACGAUUUCUAGACCACCACAAAGACAAUAUGAGCCUCAUGAAGGAGGGCAAACUACCCCUUGGACAUGUCAAUCGCCAUUCGGAAUAGCCUUUCUUUAAUGCUACGAGAUCGCAACAAACUCAUCUGAAAAGACAAGGGACUAACAAACGACAUGGAAAUUUUUAUGUAGAGCCUCGAUGGGCUUGCACAUACCCUGUUUUCCCUCAGCCUGUUUACCUGCUUGAAAUUUCAUUUCCAAAUAUUACUUUGCUUCCUUUUUUUAUUUUUUUGUUUUUUUGUUCCGUCAAAUAAUUUAUUAUAAUGUUUGUUUCUUGCAUUUCUGGAUUUGACAGCUUGGCUACAUGAUUUUUUUUUUCUUCGCAUGCGACUUUCUUGUUCUUCAAUUUUUUUGGCUUUAGGUUGCUCAAAUGGUUUGCGUGGAACAUUGUAGUUUAUUUUACUAUGUUUUCGGUUUGGUAGGUCGCUUAAACUCUACUUGAACCAGUGAAACCUGCUCGGUGAUGUGAGCUCGAAGUACCUAUAAAUUGAGGAGAAGAGGAGAAAUCUUGAAUUACACAAUCGCUCAGAGAAGAAGAACACGAUUGCAAGCAAGAAACAGAAAUUCUUGAUCAAACUUGAAGAGCGGAAGUAGAAGAAGGAUCGAGAAGAAUCGUGCGAGCAGUUAUGGUGAUGGAUACCAUGUUAAUGUACACAGAAAUUGAAGAAAUAGAGAGAAUCAAGAACUAGAGAGAGAAAGAUAUAGAGAGAGAAAGGAGACUGAAUAUUCUUUGUUUUGAUUACUUAAUGAUCAAGUCAUUACAUUGAAGCUUAUAUAGCACAGCUAACAAAGACAAUAUGAGCAUCAUGAAGGAGAGCAAACUACUAAACUCACAAUCUAAUGACAAAGUGUCACAAUCUUACACUAUUUAAUAUAUCCUAACACAACCUACUCCUUGGACAUGUCAAUCGCCAUUUGGAAUAGCCUUUCUUUAAGGCUACGAGAUCGCAACAAACUUUUCUGAAAAGAGAAGGGACUAACAAACUACAUGGAACUUUUUAUGAAGAGCCUCCAUGGGCAUGUACAUGCCCUGUUUUUCCUCAGUCUGUUUACUUGCUUGAAAUUUCAUAUGAAAAAAUUGCUUUGCUUACCUCUUUUUUUUUUUUUUUUUUUUUUCUUCAAAUAAUUUGUUAAGAUGUUUGUUUCUUGCAUUCUGGAUUUGACGGCUUGGCUACAUGGACCCUUUUUCUUCCUUGGGCAUGUGAUUUGCUUGUUAUUUUACUAUGUUUUCGGUUUGGUAGGUCGUUUAAUGUGGAAAUUUUCAGGUCGACGAGCCGAGGGCCCACUCUAACAACACUGAUACUAUCCCCACUUAACCACCUGCACAAUCCUCAGGUGUGGGGUUUUAUCACAAAAGACAUCGAUAUUAGUUAGAGUGGAGUAAUUCUAUUUAAAGUACUAUUUCUCCUUCCCUCUGUCCGAUGUGGGACAAUUGGUUUCAACACUCCCCCACACGUGAGACCCCAUUUAUGGGUCACACGUGAAAUUUCACACAUCGGCAACCACGUGGAGCCAUGUUGGGACUCACCCAAUCGCGUGGGGUCAUUGGGGACCCACCCAAACACGUGGCAUCUUUGGCCUACGUGGACAAUCACGUGGGGCCAAUGGAGACCCACCCAAUCACGUGGCAGUACGGGCCCGUCCCUUGGCUCUGAUACCAUGUGAAAAUUUUUAGGUCGACGGGCCGAGGGCCCACUCUAACAACACCGAUACUGUCCCCACUUAACUACCUGCACAAUCCUCAGGUGUGGGGUUUUAUCACAAAAGGCCUCGAUAUUAGUUAGAGUGGGGUAAUUCUAUUUAAAGUACUCUUUCUCCUUCCCUCUGUCCGAUGUGGGACAAUUGGUUUCAACACUUAAGCUCUACUUGAACCAGGGAAACCUGCUUGGUGAUGUGAGCUCAAAAUACCUAUUAAUCAUAUAAGUAAACCCAAUUUUAACUUGCAAGUGCACAAGACCAAUUGUAGUAUAGUAAGAGCAAGUAUGAAGUUGUUCCCACGAGUAUUCACUAGUGGAAAAAAUAGCUUGCGCGACGAAACAUUUUUUGUCGCAUAAGAGGCACUAGCGUGACGAACAAACAUAUUCGUUGCGCAAAAAUGGCAGGAAAGGAAAAAAAAUUUAGGUAAUGGCUGAUUCGGGAGAAGGCGCUCGUGAAAGGAAAGUUGUAUUGCGAGUAGAGAGGUACCAACGCAAGCAAGUUCCCUAUUAAUAUUUACAUUGAUUAUAAUAUGUAUUUGGGAUAAUAAAUUAGUUUUGUUAAUUAAUUUGGUAAUGUUUAAUUAGGUUUGAGUUUUUUUUUAAUUUUUUAUUUAGAUGAAAAAAAAAAUUUACAUUAAUAAUUUAUAAAGUAAACGAAAAAAAAAUGUAGACUUGUGCAACGAAUGAUAUAUUAGUCGUGCAAAGUGUAUUUGUGCGACGAGCACAGUAUUCGUCACGCAAAAUCAUUCGUCCAAAAGUUAACUUCCAUUUUCUCUCAAUUUCAUCAUCUAAUACUCCCUCCAUCUUCUUCUCUAGGUUGAUCGAGAUAAUUAAAUUAUGUUGAAAAUUAUGUUGUUAUGUUUAUAUUGUGUUGUGAAAUUAUAUUUAUAUUAUGUUGUAAAUUUGUACGUGACGUACAAAUAUGUGUUGUGAUGUACGGAGUUAAUUGUGAUUAAUUUCGUACUUGUUUUUUUUUUUUUUUUUUAGUAAAACUUAGUUUUCUGUUUGAGGAUUAAUUAGAUUUUGCGCAUGGAUGCGAAAGCUUGACUACGGUCCAAUUGAUUCUUGAAUUGUCCCAUUAUCUGGACAGUUUGGGAAUGCACAGUUAUGGUGCAUAGUUUAUGGUUGAAGGAUUAGGUUUCGGUUGUGACGAUUUCGGUGUCAUCUUUGUACGUUCUUUAGGUAGCACAUAGAUAUUUCAUAUCUACAUUGUCCAUUUGAAGAACUGUACCAAGAUGUUGCUGAAAUUCCUCCAUGUUGAAAUCUAAUCUGAUGUAGCCGUAAUUUACCUAACAUAAUGUUGCAUUCCAAAAUGGGAUAAGGCCCUUACCGGAGGCAUAAGGUGACAAUAUCAUUUGUAUGAAGUUGUUGUGAUUGUUGUACUUUUAUUGUGGUUGCAAGAAUUAUGGACAGAAUGUGGAUAUAGAACCCGAAUAGAUGUGCGGACGAAUACUUGGAUGGAAUCGAGAAUUUUAUUGAGUUUUCAUGUACACACAACCUGGGUGCAACUAGAAUCCGGUGUCCAUGUAGGAGGUGUAACAACACGUUAAGGGACACAAUUGAAAAUGUUUGAUUUCAUUUAGUAAGGAAUGGAAUGGUAGAUACUUAUAAUACUUGGAACCACCAUGGGGAACAAUUAGACAAUGCUUCGUCUUCAAACGCCACAAUAGUGGGCAAUGUUGAACCUAUUGUGGAUCCUAAUGAACAAGUCAUGGAUAUUAUAAAUGAUGCUUUUCUAUUUGCAUCAACAAACACCAAUUAGGAAGGGGAAGAUGACGUGCCUACAACAAUGGACAGUGCAAAGUUCGAACAAUAUGAAAAACUAUUAAAAAAUGCCAACCAAGAGUUAUACCUUGGGUGCGAGAGCUUUUCAGUUCUCACGGCUAUUGUGGAACUAAUGCAUGGAAAAAUAAAGUAUCAUAUGUCGAACCAGUGUUUCGAUUACUUUUUGGGGGUUUUCAAGAGAAUGCUUUCAAAGGACAAUUGUUUGCCGAAAGACCAUAGACAUGCACACAAGGUGUUGAAUGGUCUUGGAUUGAGUUAUGAAAAGAAUUCACGCUUGCAAAAACAAUUGGAUAAAUGCCCUGUAUUUUAUUCCAUAGAGAAUGAAGCAUUGGAUAGAUGCCCUGUAUGCAAUGAGUCGAGGUUCAAAAUGACAUAUGAGAAUAGAAUGACUAAGAUUCUACAAAAAGUCAUGCAUUAUCUGCCUUUGAAACCUAGGUUGCAGCAAUUGUAUAUGUCCAUGCAUACUGCCAGUGACAUGAUAUGGCAUAAGGAAAAACCGGUAGACGAUGACGUGAUGAGGCAUCUUGCAGAUGGGGAGGCAUGGAAAAAGUUCAAUCAAACGUUCCUCAAGUUUUAUGUUGACCCUCUAAAUGUUAGAUUGAGACUUGCCAUUGACGGAUUCAAUUUGUUUGAGGCUCUAAACCUAUGGCCGAUUUUGGUAUUUUCAUAUAAUUUGCCGCCUUGGAAAUGCAUGAAAAAAUAAUACAUGAUGAUGACUCUUUUGAUAACUGAGGAUCCUGGUAGGUCAAUCAAUGUUUACUUAAGGCUGUUGGUAAGGAUUUAUGGACAAAUGGUGUGUGCAUGUACGAUAAGUGUAUUGGGAAGAUGUUCACUUUGCGAGCAGCAAUUAUGUGUACUGUGAACGAUUUUCCCACAUAUGCAAUGGUUUUUGGGUGGAGCACUAGGGGUUAUAUGGCAUGCCCUGUAUACAAGGAUGAUGUAACAUCUGGUUGGCACGUCGAAAAAGUUUGUUACCUUGGGACCACAAGUGGCGGGAAAAGGAUAAAGAGUUCGACGAGAAAAUAGAGCAUCGCCUUAGACCUAGAGAAUGGUCCGGUGAUCAGAUUUUGAAACAGCUUAAUUGUUUGGAUUUUGCUCCGUUCGGGAAAAUAGUGAGCAGGACUAGACCUUCUACACAUAUGAACUGGACGCACAAGUCUAUGUUUUUUGAGCUCCCGUAUUGGUCGAAACUAAAAUUGAGACACAACCUCAACGUUAUGCAUGUUGAGAAAAAUGUAUUUGACACAUUGGUGGGCACCAUUCUAGAUAUCGAGGGCAAGACAAAGGAAAUGAUCAAAGCUCAUCUUGAUUUGGAAAUAAUGGGUAUACAGAGGGGUUUAUGGAUGAAUAGGGACAAUGAUAAAGUUAGAAGGGAUCUUGCGUUUUUUUCCAUGAAACCGAAUGACAAAAAAGAGUUUUUAAAGAUUGUAUCGUCUGUAAAGUUUCCCGAUGCGUAUGCAUCCAAUAUUGCGCAUUGCUUCAAUGUUGAUGGGGGUAAAUUUGCUAGACUAAAGAGCCAUGACUGCCAUGUGGUUAUGCAACGCCUAGUUCCUGUGGGUGUUUGACACCUAUUGCCGAAAGAUGUUGUGAAGCAAAUCAUGUUGCUGUCCAGAUUUGUUUCCUAAUUGAUGGCAAGAACGUUGCGAAUGACAAACGUUAAUCAGUUGCUCCAUGACAUUGUCCAAGUCCUAUGCAAGUUUGAGAUGAUAUUCCAUCCAGCUUUCUUCACAAGUAUGAUCCACAUGAUGGUUCACUUACCGGAAGAAGCAUUGCUUGCUGGUCCUAUAACCUAUCGCUAGAUGUAUCCAAUAGAAUGUAUAUAAUCCUUAUCAUUUGUUUAUUCAUCAUUAACCCACGCUUGCUAACUUGUAUCGUAUCGUUUUAUUUUGGCAGCCUUCUCGAGGAGUUGAAAAAAAAGCACACAACAGGGCGAAGCCUGAAUGAUCAAUUAUAGAGGCUUGGGUUCAAUAUGAGUCGCUUACAUUUUGUGGAAUGUAUUUAGAAGAUCUGGAGAUGACUUUCAAUCGUCCUCAGUGCAAUAGUGACAAGGGUGUGAGAAAGGAGAAACUUUCAGUUUUUGCCCAAUGUGUACGACCCUUUGGAGAUCUUGUAAGAGGCGAGUCGUUUUCCAAAAAUUACAUGGAGGUAGCUCAUUGGUUCGUACUGAAUAAUUGUGACGAGACAAUAACAUACCUAGAUGAGUAUGAAGAGAUGAUGAAGCGAAAACAUCCAUCACAUUGGUAUGCCAAGAAACACUGAGAAUUAUUUCCACAAUGGUUUCUCGAAUAUGUAAUUUAUAAAUGUGUUGUAUUCGACAUAUAUAUUGUAGUAUUUAAUUUUCUAGAACUAACAGGUGUAUGUUUUUGUAUAAUGUUAGGUGAAUAAAUUGAAAGCCUCGAAUUCCCCCACUUACAGUGAAGAGUUAUAUAACUUGGUGUUUGGCCUAAUUCCGCUGAAUUGUUCUCGGGUUGCUAUGUUAAUGGCGUCAAGUUUUUGGGGGCUGUAUGAGAUGACAAGUUGUGUAUGCAAAAUAGCGCAGGUGGAGGCGAAAGUACGGACAUUGAUUUCUAUGGCAAACUAACAAGUGUCGUGCAAUUGCUUUACAAAGACAGAUGCCAAGUGAUCAUGUUUAAGUGUCGAUGGUUUGAUACAAACCCAAAUAGGUAUGGAAGUGUUAAAAUCGACCAUGGCUUGCUAUCUGUGAAACACUAAUAUAACUUGGUACAAUGAAGACCCUUACAUUUUGGCAAACACGGAAAGACAUAUUGUGUACCUAGAUGACCUUAAAUCAGGGAGAGGUUGGAAAGUUGUUCAGAAGAUGGAUCAGAGGAAUGUGCAUGCUAUACCAGAACAGGACACUACUGACGACGAUGUCGACAACGUCCCUGACCAACGUUUAGAAUCUUCAAUGGAAAAUGAUGUGGAAACAUUUCGAGAUACAAAUCUUAUCCAAGAACUGUUCCAUAUACAAGGAGUGGCUUCAAUUGAAAUACGGAUUCAGUCAAUUACAAAUGACCUCGGUAAUCUUCCGCGAUACGAUAGUGUAGUGGGCCUGAAUGACUACGAUGACGUACCUAUCAAGGAAGAGGAUUGGGAGAUCGAAAGUGAUGAUAGCGACGAUACUGAAAGUUAUUAUAAUUCGGAUGAUGAAUAAUGCAAUUCAUUUAUGAAUUGCUCUGUAAAACAUAUUAAAUGAUUUUUUUUUGUUGUAAUUUAUUUAUCUUAUGUUAUAAAUAAAUUGUUUUUAUUUGAAUAAAUAUAAAUUAAAAAAAAUUUGACCCUUAAAUUUUCAGCUAAUUGCGUGACGAACAAUGAAUAUUCAGAGUAACCAUAUACCUGAAUUUUGAGCCUCCACUCUUAUCUCGAAUACCCUUGCAAUAGCACAUAUCAUAAUUGACAACAACACGACAACUUGAGUCUGGAAUUUCAUCAAACACAUUGAGAGCAAGACGAGUUUUCUCAGCAGGUACAAUAAAGGGGUCAGCUUCCUCUAAAAAAUUCAUCUUUUUUCGCAUUAAGAACAAAACCCAAACCACAAAUUGCCAGAAAAUCCAUUGAGUUGAAUUCAGAGAGACAAACAGUUCCGUCUUUGUUAUAUGCAGUAGCAUUUUCAGAUUCAUUUGUACAAGAAGAAAUAAGGAUUGUACCAAUCUUGUACCUGAAUAUUCCUGAAUGGUCCUUCCAAAUCUUGUCUUUUGGUAAACCUCCACCUUUGUCACGAAUGCCUUUGUGGGGCCUUUGGUUUAGGCCUUGAGGCUCACAAUCAAAGCUAGUAGGGAUAUGAGUGUUCCACAAUUAUCUUUUUGUAUAACAGAUUGUUGUAUAAUUGUGAGUUAGGUCGAUUACUUGCGCCUUAAGUUAUUUAGACUUCUUGUUUAUCAAAGGAUUGUCACAAAUGGAUUAAGUUUGUAUAAGGUUAGUUUCUUGCCUUGUAAACAAGGACUUUUACUUAUAACAUUGUAUGUCCAAAAUGAAGGCAGUUCAGGGCCCUUCCAACCAUUUCCUUGAUCCAAGUUUGCUUUAAUGAAAAAAAGUUCAUUAACUUAUCUAGAUUUGAUUAUAGAUGAAACUUUUGAGUGGAAAAAGUCGAAAAUGACUUAAAUGCACGAAGGAAAAUGCAUUAAACAACAAAUCUACUAUAUAUAAGUACAAUGAAAAGAGAUUUAGGCAAGAUCUAACGUUGUCGGGCAAGGUCGAACUUCUUGCAACCACUUCUCUUUGUGUUUACAGGGGUUUGUAUAUUGUGAGGGAUGAAAAGUAACUAGGUUUUACUAGAGAGAUUCGAUACUACAACAUGAAGAGAAGGUGGCAGAGCUUCUAAACUUGACAAAAAAUGGCUUCUGUAAGGGAACUACAGCUAAAAAGGACAUAAUUUGGACAAGGUGCAGCUUUGUGGGUACAAACUUGUUUAAGAGCAAGUUUGUAUGUCUUUUUAUUGAAUGGUUGAGUGUCCUUAUCUCUGGUGUCCCUUUUUGCUUUUAUAAACAAUUUGGCCCCACUGUCCAAGCCUUGCCUUUAGCUGAUAGUUCUCGGAGGGCAGUGAGUCAUCAACUAUUUACUCAUCCAUAUCCUUGAAAAGUGCUUUUUGGCUGUGGUGAGGUGCCUUCUGUUGCCCAUGACUUCAAUCACAAGCAUAUAACCUAUGCCUUUGUUGAAAUAGCUUCCAAUUCUUCUUAGGCCUAUUAGCUUUUCUGAGUCCAGUCUUCUCCUUGCUUUUGCAUCUUUGGGCCUCCAUUAUCACAAAGACCAGAGUCAAAUAUAAACCCAAACAGUGCCCCCUUUAAUCAUUGUUAAGUUUAUUAACCAAGACAUUGAUAAUGAUUAAAAUUAAUUGAAUGCUUUAACUGGGGACUUACGCCAUUUACUUAGCCAUUUUCGAAUAAACCUUUGCACUAACCCUGGAUCACCAACGUUAACUACCUUAAAUAACUUCCAUUUAAAUUUCCUUGGCCAUUACCUUCAGCAAACCCAUCUCUCUGAAUUUCCAGAAUCCUUGAAUCUCUUGCAUUCUUAGCCCUUUCUUGCCCUAGUUUCAAUCACUUUUCACUUCACUCUCUCGAAAUCAAUUAUGGCCCCCAAAUUGUGCCCUAUAUGUGAAUCUAGAAAGAGAAUCGUUAACUUACACCGCCGGCUCAACGACCUUAUCAGCCUCGGGCUGGCCUAAACCUGUCUAUCUUCUUCGAUGAGGAAAAGGCACACUCUCUAGGGCAUGCUUGGACUGCCCGAGUCCCAAUUGUAGUGGAGAACAACAUGCCUAUUGCCAAUUGGUUUACUCCCACCUUUACUUCGUCGAGGCUGGGAUUUCUACCUCCAAAUGGUUUGAAUUUUAGAAGGGGCUUUCCUCUGAUGAAGGACGAAGCUUGAUCUCAGUGGGCGCAUGAGCUUGAGCCCAUCUGGAAGCAAAAAUGGAUGGUGAAUGGCAUCUACGAGCUCAUUAUGAUGUCAAAGAUCGUUGUUCCAAUUAAGCACGAGCUUCUGUGAACUGCCCUACUCUUAUGGAAGAAUAGGACCACACAUUCGACCUUAAAAUAGGUCCCAUAACCCCUACAAUCUUGAACAUGGCUCAAGUCUUUGGCCUAAGGCCUUUAGGCAGAUAUGUGGAUAUCACACACGACUGGUCCUUCCUCUCUCGCCUGAUCGCUGAAAGCUCGGAGACCUCCAAUUCAAUCACUCUCUUGGAGUACAACUCUUCCACAUUCAAGAGCUAUGAGACAUCAUUCGCAGACUUCAUUCCUUUCCCCAAGAAGAUGUUUAGCCCACCCUCUUCCACCGUGGAUAGAGCUCAAGUACACAUGUAUUUCCUCCUUUAUUGGUUGAACAAAUAUGUGUUCCUCAACAAAUCGAAGGGGGUGAAGUUAGAGUAGAUUCCACUAGUGGAUGCACUACACUCAUUUGAUGAUGUCAUCACGAAACUAUUCAUGUUGGCCCAUCUCUACCACCUCAUCUACGAGAUGACAAAGGGAGAUCCCUUUGAAAUCAAUGUCAAUAAGGCCACUUGGAUGGUGCAGCUUUGGCUCUAGUGGUACUUCCCUGAGUUUCGGGCUGCCAACCUAGAAUUCCCUGAAGGCGUAGCUCCAUCCCAAAUUUUAGUAGAGGUUUCUACCACAAGCCACUCCACACUUGCCUGCCUUUAUUUUUUCAGAAUUUGUCGGACUCGGGCAAACUUAGAGUAGGAUGCCUCUGUGUUUAGGAGGUACCCUUGGUUCUCAGACCAACUUUUCCAGGACUCAUUCGGGGAUGACACCAGCAACUCGUGCAAAGAAAAGUUUAUCAGCUGCAUUCAACAAAGGGACCUGGCUUGGGGAGUACGAAGUGACAGAGUGGGGUACGAGUGUGGGUUAGAGGCCUACCACCCUAACUUAUGUGGUAAACAAGUAGGAUUCAGGCGGGCAAUCCCAUCGCCGUUCUUCGACUCCCUUCACUAUGGGACCUUCUAUCACUUCCGUUCUCCCUUUGAGGUUACUUUUUGUGCAAGUUGGCAGAGCUUUGAAGUGUUGAGUAAGAUUGCUCACAAGCCCUUGGCUCUGAACUUCAAAUGUACCUCCCAGUUCACUACUUGGUGGAAGGCUAAGUGGUCAAAGAAAUAUGAUGGAGACAUUAGGGAAGCCCACGAUAAACUCUUCGAGCAAGUCUUCUUCAAGUCUUUCCCCAAAAAGGAUGAAUUCGAGAGCUGGAAGAUGGUCAUUAACCAAAAGAACCAACUUUCACUUAUUGGUAAAUCACAUUGCUUCUGUUUUCAUUUUCCACAUCAUACUUUCAUAGUUUAUGGUUUGCUAACUCAUUUUCUAACUUUGCAGCCCAAGGCAACAUUGAGGAAAUGGAUGUUGGGCAAGAAGGGUUGGCUGCUGAUGCCUUGGUCAUCUAAUAGAUUGCUGCAAAGGCAGUUAGGCAAGGAGUAGGGUCAAGCCAUACUUCUGGGGAUGUUGAGGACAUCUCCGAGUUGUUCAAUGAGUAGGAGACUGAGGCUGGGCCCUAAGUAGAAGCGAUGGCCUCUCGUCUAGUAAAGGCUUUCGUAGCGUAGUCGUCGGAGUUCGAGCUCGAGGAAGGACCCCAAGCUCAACUUACCUUACCUGCCUCAAGAGUUACUUCCACGAAGAAGGAUAUUGGGUCUCAGACUUCCUAAGCUUCUAAGUCUUCCUCUGCCCUUCCCAUCGAAACAGGCAGGAAAAAACAAAUAUCUGCUAAUAAGUGACCCAACCUUAGCUUUUUCUUCCCUUAGUUUCAACUCUUCUAAGUUUCGAGCUAAUCUCUCUUUUCUUUUCUUACAAGCAAGACUUCCUGCCACUAAGAAACCUGCCCCUACUCACCAAGAGUCACAGAUGGGCGAGGAAGUGCAAUCGACUGACAAGGAGGUCUUUGCCAAGAUUCUUGAAGAGUUGAAAGUAUAAUCUCUCAAACUUUGAGUACUAAGGUAACUUUGAAGUUUAUCUUCUUUAACACUUUACUAAUUCUUUGUUGUUUUCUUUGAAAUAAGAUACCAAAGUGAAAGGAAUUUCCUAGCCCGAGCCUUCUUCUCAUCCAGCCCGAUCGAUGCAUCCUUCUCCUUCUCGGGCUAAGUCCUCAGAGGUACAAUUCAUUCUCUCAACAUUGGUUAAGUUUUGUUUUCUGAAUUUCAAAGCUUAACAUUCACUUCUGUGGUUUUUUAGGCAAGGGGAAGUACUUCAGCACCUCAGGUCGGGCAAGCAUGAGCUCCUCCAUCUUCCACUCUUACCCCAGCAAUGGUGGUGACCCCUACUUCCCAGUUUAAUCUAACAACUGAGGGGAUGCUUCACUAUGUAGAGGAUGAUAACACUUUUGUAAGUUUUCAUUCUUUAAGCUUUUUCUAAGUUUUCUUUGAGUUUCUUCAUUAACUUACAAUCUGUGUGUUGUCUUUGCCAGUCUUCUCCAGUGGAUGAGACCACCAAUUAGCCAACACAACUUUUGAGGAGCCUAUAGUCCUCGAGAUACCAGUUGUCUCUGAGGUGACUAGCCAUAAGGCUUCCCAAGCUUCCUCUUGGGCCAGCCAGCCUACUUCUUCUAAGGUAGCAUCAUCAAUAAAAGCUCAUCCCAAAGCUCAAGGGUCUUCUCAGGUAUACAAAUUCUUUCAUUCUUGUUCUUUCUUUAUCUUAGGUAUAGACUAACCUUCUAACUUAUCUCUUUCUUGGUUCAACAAAAUUCUUACGAGAGCUCGAGCAAAUCCCCUCAACUUGCAGUGAGCAAGGUUGUUCUCCCUCAACCUCUCAAGCCUUUUGGAGUCAUAGAGAUUCCCCAUCCCUCUGUCCAUGAAGGUUGCUACAUCUGAGGCUCUCCUAACUAUCACUUAUAAGGUUGCCACUGCUACUACUGCCUUUAGGGGUGCUGGAGUGAUGCUUUUUCCCUUAGCUUCCAUUCCUACCAUAGCUUUUUUGCCCGAACUAGUCAGAGAGUUUGGGAAAAUUCGGACAAGGAUGAUGUUUCCACGACGCCCUUCUGAGCCUCAACACCUUCAAGAUCAAUGAUGGAUCUUCAAGGAAUGGAUGCAGAGCGAUUUCUCGGCCUCCUUCAAUCUCAGGGCACUCUAAGAGGUUGAGAAAGCUCUCACUAAGUUGUAUAAGGCUCAACAGAUGUCAAAGGUUUAAUACGAGUCAUUCCUCUCAUUCUUCGAGAAUUUGAGGGCACUGAGGGAUUAACAUCUUCGGGCUGAGAGGCAAGCUAACAUUUUAAAGUGCUACAAGGAGAAGCAUUCCAGAAUUUCUACUUCCCUGUAGCAUCUGGUGGAAGAGGGCUCAACCAUGGAAGACAGAAUCAUGGUAGUGACCUCUAAGAUCCAAAAGUUGGAGAAGCAACUCUCUGCUUUUAAGGCCAAGCAGAUGACCCUCUUAAGCAACCUCUAUCAAAAGAUUGAAGAAAUGAAGGAGGUCAACCAAGAAGUGGAUGACUUUGAAGCUCAACUAGCCAAUAACAACAUUGCCUUAGAAGAGCUGGGCAUAAUUUUCACUAUCAUGCAAACCUAUCAUUCCAGGAUAGCUGCUUUAGCUAAGGAUGUAAAACUGUAAGUCUAGGGUUUCUUGUAACUUCCUUCAUUAUGAAAUGAAAUAAAAUAUCACUUCCUUCUUCACUUAUCUGCUUAUUCACUUGCACUUUAAUGCUUAAGUACUUUAAAUACAUAAAAAGGCUUCACUACUUUUCCUAGUGUUUAAAAUUCAUCAAUGUAAUAAUCUCUAACAUCCCACAGAGUUGGGCGAUACUUAUUUAAGAAUUUAGCAUUGAUUGAAUGUCUUUGCAAGUUUCCUUCUAAAUUUGCCAAGUAGUAUCCCCCUCUGUCUAACACUUUGUUGAUGAUAAAAAGGCUUUCCCAUGUGGGACUCCAUUUCCCAAAACCCCUGAUUUGAGCUCUCAAGGGUAGAACUACCUUCCAUACCAACUCUCAUUCUUCAAAGGUUUUGAGUCUCACCCUUUUGUUGUAGGUUAGGGCAAUAGCCCUCUUUCCUUCCCAGAUCUUGUUUAAAGCUUCAACUCAGGCUACAUCCAAAUUUUCAAUCCCUUGACACAUGGCCUAGAUGAAUUCUUUACUAUGUAGACCGAAUUGGUUCUAAAGCCUUAUAGAACUUACGUUGAUUUACAUAGGGAGUACAACAUCUUGCCCGAAUGUUAAUGCAUAAGGAGUAGUACCAGUUCCUGCUCUUUUUGAGGUUUUGUAGGCCUAAAGGGUAUCUCCCAACUUCUCAUGCCAUCUUUCUGGGCUUUCUGCCACCAUCUUCCUUAUAAUGUUCGGCAAGAUCUUAUUGCUAGCUUUUGCUUGACCAUUGGAUUGGGGAUAAUAAGGGCUAGACUGGAUCAUCUUUAUUUUAAACCUAUAUGCAAACUCUUCUACUUCUUUUGAGAUAAAUGAUGGCCCUCUGUCUGUAACACUUAUCUGCGACCCCAUAUCUGUGUAGGAUUUUGGUCUCAAUGAACUUCUUCACAACAGCUGAAUUAAUGGUCUUCACAGCUGAAGCUUUUACCCACUUAGUAAAGUAAUCAAUUGCCAUAAUUAUGAAGGUGUGCCCUUUGCUAGAAGCUGGGUAUAUUUGCCCGAUGAAGUCCAUUGCCCACCCUCUAAAAGGCCAUGGCUUCACUACUGGAUUCAAGGGUACUGAUGGUAUGUGCUGGAAAGGUCCAUGUUUCUUACAUUCUUCACACCCUCUGGCAUAGGCCUUAGAAUCUUUUUCAAUGUAGGGCCAAAAGUAGCCAUAUCUUCUUAGUAACCACCUCAUCUUUGUUCCGGCUUAAUAUGCCCAACAAAUACCUUCAUAUACUUCAACAAUUACCCUUAUUGAUUCCUCCAAACCCAAGCAUUUCAACAUAAGUCCAUCUGGAGUCUUUCUUAGCAAGGUCUUGUCCCACGUAACAAACUUAGUUGCUUAUUGUCUAACCUUUUGACAUGUGGGGAAGAGGGGUAUCUUAAGUAUUGAACGAUUGAUGUUCUCCAGUCUUUUAUCUCAAGCUUUUUAGCCAUUAUAUCUAAGCUAAAUCCUCUCUCAAAGAUAGAAGGGAGAUUUUUCCUUUGUACUUCUACAUUCAUCUCAAAUCCUUUUUCUUGAAUCUGUGCUCCAAAAGCCAUAUGUGCAGUUUCAUUGGUAAUUAAAUUUGCUUCUCUAGGGACAUGAUUGAUUGUUAGUUCACUACCCCAAUAGUUUAGCAACUGAGUAGCUGCCAAAUAAUAACUUCCAUUGUGAGAUGUCUGCCCUUGUAUUCUCCAUUCAACUGAUUAAUCUCCAACUCAGAAUCACCAUAUAUUUCUACCUCAGUUACCCCUAACUCUAUCAGGAUUUCUAAGCCAAUGAUCAAUGCCUUGUUCUCUGCCCUGUUGUUGGUAGUAUCUUGGUAAUCCAUAAGGAAUGAGUAGCAAUGUUGGUUUCCCUUUGGAUCAAUGAUGACAAUCCUAGCUCCUGCAACAUGUUGAGUGUAAGACCCAUAAAAAUAUAAUUCCAGUGGGGGAUCCAUAAGCUAGUUAUUCUCUUUAGUUCUUGUUGGAUCCAUUCUUUCCUCCCCGAAUGAGAUUUACUAGGUGGGAUCUAAAGGCUGGCCACUUCCAGAGUUCCAGGGAUGUUGACAAGUUCCUCCUUGAAGUCUUGGUGCUCGGACAAGAAGUUUGUAAUUGCUUGUCCCUUUAUUGCCCUCUGAGGUACAUACUAAAAACUGAACUUUGAUAAUGCUAGAAUCCAUUUCCCAAUUCUCCUAGUUAGCAUUGGCUUAAAUAUCAUGUACUUGAUUACAUUAGUCUUGGCAAUUCUAUGGAGCUGGGAAGGCAACAUGUAAUGCCUUAAUUUGCAGGUAGUGAAGUAUAAAGAUAGACAUAGCUUCUCAACUAGGGUAUAUCUUGUUUCUACCUCAGUAAGGAUUCUACUGAGGUAAUAUAUUGCUUGUUCCUUCCCACCUUCAUUGUUUUAAGUCAAUAAAAUUCCUGUUAACUUCUCAGAUGCAGAGAUGUAGAGUUUCAAAAGUUUCCCCUUUGGGAAGGCAUAAGCACUAAUGGAUAGGCCAGACAAGCUUUUACUUUGUCAAAAGCUUCUUGGUGUUAAGGGCCCCACUUGAACUUAUCUUGAUUCUUUAACCUUAAUAAAAGAGUCAACGAUUGGAUCUUACCCGCCAGAUUAGCAAUGAAUCUUCUUAAAAAGUUGAUCUUCCCCAACAACCUUUAUAAUUGUACUUUGUUGGUGGGGGGAGGUGAUUUCAUUAUAGCUCGAGCUUUGUUCUUGUCUAUCUCCACACCUCUCUGAUGAACUAGGAAUCCUAAAAAGUUGCCCGAUCUAACCCCCAAAGGCACAUUUCUUAGGAUUCAUCUUCAACUUGUGGGUCCUCAUUCUCAAUAAGGCUUGUCUGAGGUCUUCUAGGUGAUGUUCUUCAGUUUUUGGCUUUACCACGAUAUCAUCAAUGUAUACCUCCAUGCUAUGCCAGAUUAAAUCAUGAAAAAUAGCAUUAAUUGCUCUUUGAUAGGUAGCACCAACAUUUUUCAGCCCGAAUGACAUGACUACAUAUUCAUUAGCUCCUAUAUGUCCUAGGCAUCUAAAUGUUGUCUUAUGUAUGUCUUUUUUAGCCAUUUUUAUUUGAUUAUAUCCAGCAUUCCCAUCCAUAAAAGAUAGAAUUUUAUGUUUUCCAACUGCAUCUAUGGACAGGUCAACCAUAGACAUAGGGUAUUCAUCUUUAGGCGUGGCUUCAUUAAUGCUUCUAUAGUUGACACAACAUCGGACGGUGUUAGUUACAACUUUUAAUACAGGUACAACGAACAUCGGACGGUGUUAGUUACAACUUUUAAUACAGGUACAACGUUAGCCAACCACUCCACAUACUUUGUAGGCCUAAUAAAUCUUGCCUUUACCAGCUUCUUAAUCUCUUCAUUGACCUUCUCUUCUAUCUCUUUUGGCAUCUUUCUUAGUGCUUGCUUUAUAGGUUUGUACCCCUCUUUAAUGGGCAUUUCUAUGUAAUGCCAUGCAAAACAGUCCUUGAAUUCAUGCAAAAGGUCAACUAUUUUUGCCCAAUCUUCAGUUUCCAACAAGCCACUGAGUUUGUAUUAGCCUUGAAUCCUCCUCAAUCCUGAAAUUAAUGGUUUCCAAUGGGUCUUGUAAUUCUGGUGCUAGUUUGUCAGGCUCUAUACACAAAAAUUCGGCUGACUUUGGGGCCUCGGGUUCAUCAUUUAGCCAGUUUAGGUUAUAUAUACACUUUGUCAUGUCAAUGGCUGCUUCCACUUCUUCUCCCAAAAUCUCUUUUCCUUCUCUAUCCUUGGUGCCCGAAGUUCCUUCUUUCCACUUAGCCAACUCCUUUGAUGAACUCUCUUUAAUCUCUCUUCUUUCUCUUCUAUAUUCCAACAAUCUUUCGAUUAAGGACCUGACUAUUAUCACUUGGUCCUUCCUCUUAUCUAACAUAAUUGGUGUGGGUGGGCUGGGACAAUAUAAGGCAUGUCUUAUUCCUCAUUGGUGAAAAAAAGUCCUUAUUCUAGGAGCUUCCAGGCCAUCACCUUGGUAGGGCUGCCGUUCUUAUAAGUACCUAGACAUUGUAGGAUCCGAACACUAAGAUUGUAAAAAUUUGCUUUUACAACAUUGGCUGUGGGGAGAAAUGACCAUGAUUCAGGCUCCACUCUCUCCCAAAAUCAUGGCUCAUCCGUUCUAGCCUCAUGGUAAACAGCAACUUGUUAAUGCAAACCGGAUGGUACAAACAGACUCUGGUGGAUCCAAUCUCUCCCCAGUAAUGCCCCAUAGGUAAAGCUAUUAUCCACCACAAAGAAUGCUAGCAUAAUCCUCUUGGAUCCCAAAUUUACCUCGAAAGGCAAUAUCCCAUAGGUUUUGGUGAUGACCCUAAAGAAACUAGAUACUGUGAGAUAAGUGGGAAUAAGAUCUUCCUCACUUCUGCAAAGCCUCAUCAUCUGUUUAAGUGGGAGCACAUUAAUUGCAACCCUACCAUCUAUCAACACCUUUUCGAAUGGGACUCCCUCCAGAUGAGUUAUCACAUAUAUGGGCUUCAGAUGGUUUGCUAAAGCUAGACUUGGCUUGCUAAACACCAUUUUGUUAUAAUAAACCCUCUCGGGCUUUUUUCGUGUAAGGUCGGGCAAGUCUGCCAAGCUUGAUACUUAUUUCCCAGCUUCCUCAAUGUUCACAAGUGCCAUAAUUGGUUCUGGUGCCAAACAAUCACCCUCCAUUGCUGCUGGCUGAUCUAGUUCUGCAUAAAACAUGGCUGAUAAGACAUAGGUCAUGUUUACAUGGAAGUUGCUGGGUCCAGGUACUUUUUAUUUCUUCUCUCCAAUCUGACACAUAAAUUGGUCCAUCGAGGCAUGGGCAUCCUUGGUUAGCAUCAACUCGGGCACUUCCUCUUUUUCUACUAUAUCAAAGUUAUGCAACUGUCUUGGGAUUUCACAAGGAGCAUCUUCCAGUAGAGGUGGAGGUAUCCCCCUCUCAGGGGAGAUGGUCCCCAAAUAAAUAAGCUCUGGAUCCCAUCUUGGUGUAGGCAUCAUCACAACACUCUUUUGAGCUCUUCUUAAGAUUAUGUACUUCCCUAGAUGGGGGUUUUGAGGUGCAUGGUCUCCCUCUCCUUCAGCUUUACUGUUGGUUUUCUUUAUCUUUUUCUUACUUCUCCAUUGGAGUUGUCUUCUUCCUUCUUGGGUGGCAUUUUCAAACUUAACAUUUUCAGAAGCUUCUGAAAUGAUAGGGAUUUUCAAUGAGUUCAUAUAAGCCUUAUGCUGCUUUUGAACCCUCCUUAUCAUAUAUGUCUUUAUCUCUCUAACAGGUCUCUCAUCUUUACCUACUAUGUACCACUUUCGGGCGAGUCAAGCUGAAUCUUUCUUAGUAACUGGGGAAAUUGGGUUCAUGGUUCUCUCUCGCCAUCCUUGUCUUACGCUGCUAUGAUAACUUGGCUGGGAAGGUUUCACAUCCACCCAUCUUGGCAUUUUUGCUUCCUUAUAUUCAGCUUCUUAAAAGGCUUCAUAGUUUCUGAACACCUCAGAUAGGCAUUUAAGUUCUAAAUCUCCUCCCAAUUUCUGGAACACAUUCUUGGUGGUUUCUUUCUCUGCAGCCCUAACAAUACUUCUACAGGGAUCUUGCUCCUCUAUCUCGCUUCUUCUGAUUAACUCCCGAUCAAUAAUGAAACUCGAUGUGCCACACUGACACUUACUACAUAAAACCACUCAUUUGACCAUAGCUGCUUAGGGUCUGUCGGGCAACCUUUUAACACCUUUUGAUGGCCUAAUAGCUUGCCUUCUCUCUCUCCAUUUUCAUCCCAGGUAGCCUUUGUUUUUCCUUUCUCAAUCCAAUUAAGGUUGAUCAUGUUGAGUGAGGCUUAUGGGAAUGGAUCUAUGUCAAUUAUCAUAUUAGUUUCGGGUUUCUCUAAUAAUAGUUUUCCCUUGACUAUGAGAUCUUGGAUCCAAUCUCUUAACUACACAAAAUUAGUUAUGGAGUGAUUGAAGGUGUAGUGAAGCUUGCAGUACUUCUUCCUUCUAAGCUCUUCAGGUUUGGGCAUCUUCUUGGUGCUGUUGGGUAAGAUUACUUUAGCCCUUACUAGUUCUUCAUAAAUGUCUGCAACCUUGGUUAGAUCAAAGGAAUACGCCUGGUACUUUGGGGGCUUCAUGGGCACAAAACCUUCACCAUUCAUUACCACAUUUUGGUCCUUGAUAGGUUGGACCAAUCCCUUCAUUAUUAAAGGUUUGAAAGAAGUGGUCAUCCCCGCAGCAUAUAACUCAAUCCCUUCUCCCAAACUGCUAUCAUUUUCUCCCUGCUCUAGGCCUUCAAGCUCUACCUGGUGUAUUAGGGCUUUGUUCUUAUAGAAAUGAGGCACUUUAGAUGAGUGCUUCACUUGUUGUUCCUCUGUCAACAACUUCUCAUACUUAGUAGCUACAAUCACCAACUCUUGAAGCUCGUUAAAAUGCACAUAAUAGAACUUCUUUCUUAAAGGUAGCCUUAGAGCCUUUUGGGCAAUAGUUAUGAGUUGAGCAUGGUUGAAUCGGAACUGGCACCUCAUCCUGGUUCUUCUGAACCUCAUCAUGAAAUCUUCCGUAAACUUAUGUCCAUACUGUUUUACCUCUACCAAAUCAUUGAUGAUCAUCUCUGGCUCCAUCCUAUAGAACUACUCAUGGAAGGCUAUCUUCAUUUGCCUAUAGUUGGAAAUGGAAUUAGGGGGUAACAGAGAAUACCACCAGGAAGCCAAGCCUACCAAUGAAUUUCCAAAUAGUCUCAGCUUGUAGUUAGGGUUAUCUCGAAUGUUACACAGUGAUUUGAAAACUUGAAAAUGUGGUCUAUGCAAGACACAUUACAGUCUUCUCCACUGAAAGUUGGGAAUGCAGGCAUCUUGAAGUUGAAAGGGAAAGGAUUUUGCUCAUCAAUAUACCUAGGAUAAAGCUUCUGGUAUGUUAUCCUGAACAUCGGGUGAACCUGUGGCAGAGCAUUUUGUACCACCAUCAUUCUUAGCUCUGCCAACUCAUUCAUGAGUUGUUGAUUAGCCAUGUUGUUGUGUGGGGUAUAAGAAGUGCCCCAUUUCGGCCUAAGAUCAAUGCCUGAGAAAUCUUAUCUCUGUGGUUCUGGCUGCCUCCACCUAGCUUCUUUUGCCUUGUUAGCCAACGGUGGUGGCCUAUAAAAGAGAGGUUUGCCUGUAGCUACAGGUAAACCUUUUUCGCUUGUCUCUCACACUGGAUUGGUCGCCUUUAACUUCACUCCUUCCUGCCCGAUCUGUCUGCUAACAUUUAGUGGAAGUGGUAGAGGAUCAGGCAAGCUUAUCUCUUGAACUCAUUACUUCUGGCCGACUGGUCCUAGCAUCCUCUUUCUUCUUCCGUGUUCGUCUUUUCCCCGAGUAAGGGGAAUAAAUGAAUCACCGGUUCAUUCUCUGGGCUUGUUUCCCUGAUUAUCUCCCUGGCAUAGCUAUCCCUUGAUGUAUAGUACUCUAACUCCAGCUUUCUUUGUAGAGUUCCUGUUAAAGAACAAAGUCUGCUAACCUAUUAUUUGGUCUCCAGAGUGAUCUUCUCUAUACUUCUUAAUACUUGCACCAUAGUAGCUUGCAAGUCAUCGUUAGUAACUUUUCCACCUGACUUUUUAGAAGAAGUCGAGCUCUCUAGAAUUGCAGGACCUCGUAGUGAGGGAAAAUCUUCUGGGUGAUCUGUUAUGUUUGCUUUGUCAAACAAGGGGGUUGCCCAAACUCUGCUUUCCACCUAAAGGUUUGUUCCUUCCUUCUUCUUGGCAUACAAGAUUAUCAAAUGGUCCCACCGAACAUGCCAAAACUAUGCUUGGCCUGGAUUCUGGAUCUGGUCCAUCGCACAGCUCCUCAGGGCCCUAACUCUUUCUUGCUUGUCGGGCAAGAUCCUGCUGCUUGGUUUGUUGCAAUAUGAGUUUAUUGUUAAUUUGAAAGGUGCCUUUGUGGGGCCUUUGAUUUAGGCUUUAAGACUUACAAUCAAAGCUAACAAAGAUCUGAGCGUGCCACUGUUAUCUUUUUGUAUAAUAGAUUGUUGUAUAUGUGUGAAUUACGUCAAUUACUUGUGCUUCAAGUUAUUUAGACUUCUUGUUUAUCAAAGGAUUGUCAUAGAUGCGUUAAGUCUGUAUAAGGUUCUUUUCCUACCUUGUAAAUAAUGACUUUUACUCAUAACAUUGUAUGUCCAAAAUGAAGGGAGUUCAGGGCUCUUCCAACCAUUUCCUUAAUCAAAGUUUGCUUUAAUGAAAACAAGUUCAUUAACUUAUCCAUAUUUGAUUAUAGAUGAAACUUUUGAGUGGAAAACAGUCGAAAAUGACUUAAAUACAUGAAGAAAAAUGCAUUAAACAACAGAUCUACUAUUUAUAAGUACAAACAAAAGAGAUUCGGGCAACAUUUAACCUUGUCAGGCAAGGUUGAACUUUUGCAACCACUUUACUUUGUGUUUACAGGGGUUUGUAUACUGUCAGGGAUGAAAAGUAAAUAGGCUUUACUAGAGGGAAUCGAUGUUACAUCACUAAGGGAAUGUAGCAGAGCUUCUAAACUCGACAAAAGAUGGCUUUCUAUAAGGGAACUACAGCUAAAAAGGAAAAAAUUUGGACAAAUUGCAGCUUUCUGGGUACGAACUUGUUUGAGAGAAAAGUUUGUAUGUCUUUUGAUUGAUUGGCUGAGUGUCCUUGUCUCUGGUGUCCCUUUAUACUUUUAUAGACAAUAUGGCCCAACUGUCCAAGCCUUGCCUUUAGCUGAUAGUUCUCGGAGGGCAGUGAGUCAUCACCUAUUUACUCAUCCAUACCCUUGAAAAGUGUUUUUUGGUUAGUGGUGAGGUGCCCUCUGUUGCCCAUCACUUCAAUCAUAGGCAUAUGGCCUAUGCCUAUGUUGAAAUAGCUUCCAAUUCUUCUCAGACCUAUUGGCUUGUCUGAGUCCAGACUUUUCCUUGCUUUUGCAUCUUUGGGCCUCCAUUAUCACAAAGCCCAAAGUCAAAUAUAAACCCAAACACAAGGGACUAACAAAUUACAUGGAACUUUUUAUUUAGAGCCUCGAUGGGCAUGUACAUGCCCUAUUUUUACUCAGCCUGUUUACUUGCUUGAAAUUUCAUAUGCAAACAUUGCUUUGCUUCCCUCUUUUCAUUUUGGAUUUGACGGCUUGGCUACAUAGACUUUUUUUUGGGCAUGUGACUUUCUUGUUGUUCAAUUUUGUGUGAACAUUGUAAUUUACUUUACUAUGUUUUCGGUUUGGUAGGUCGCUUAAGCUAUAUACUUGAAUUAGUGAAACUUGCUCGGUGAUGUGAACUUGAAAUACCUAUUAAUCAUAUAAGCAAACCCAAUUUAACUUGCAAUUUUAACUUGCAAACCCAAUUAAUCAUAGUAAGAGCAAGUAUGAAGUCGUUCCCACGAGUAGGUUUUUACUUUAAUUUGAGUCUCAACUCAAAUUCAACGAACUUUUAAUACAAAUAGGGCUGAAAAUUUUACCUAGAAUGAAAGAGCCAAGGAGAUCUCAAACCCUAAAUCACGAGUAGGUGGGAAGAAUAUUUGAGUGCUUGUAAUUGUUUCUACAUAUGCUUCUACAGUAAUCAAGGGUCCUAUCAUUGUGCGUGAUUAGUUUACUUUUGUGUUCUCGAUCGCAUGUAUAUCAUUUUGCACUCAUUGGUUUGAGGAAAUUAAGGCUCAGACUUCGUGAUAUUUUCAUGGUUCUUUAAGAAAUCCAUUGAAAUCUUACUAAAUUGUCUAACAAAUGAGCAAUUUGAUUCUUACUGUUGGAGGAAAGAUUAGCAGUUUUCAAUUACACUGCAGAAAGGAAGAAUACAAGAGAAUAUAUAUGGAGGAUGACUGGAUGAGUUUUGAAUGGGUACUAAAAUUUACAUAACUUUAUUGCUUUUAGAUUUUUAUUACAACACUUGGCCAUCUUAUUGGCUAUCUAUAUUAACAUUCAGACCUUUAGAUGACAGCCAUAACUGUUAACUACAUUGUAAUAUUUGGGAAUUGAAAGAAAAUCAAGAAGAAAGAUGAAGAGAAGAAGGAUCAACACAGAGAGUUUUAGAGAGAGAGAGAGAGAUUUAGAGAGAAAUAUGUUUUUGUAUUGAUUGAUAGAAUGAAGGUUACAUAACUGUUUUUAUAAGAGAAAGCCUAACUACUCUAACCAACUUACUAACUGUACUGUAUUACAUUUGUACCCUUAAUACUCCCCCUCAAUCUCAACUGGGUUAACCCAGUUUGAGAUUGGAAAAACAUCUACAAUCACUGAACACAAUGUUGAACCAUCUGCAAUCUUGCAAUCCCACAGCAAAGUCUCAUGAGCAACUCUGUUGACACACCAAAUUCCUUAUCGAAAACCUUGGUCCUGCCAACCAUAGCCACUUCCAAAGCAGCAACCCUCUCUGCGAACUUGAAUCUUUUGACAUCACAUUGCUUUUGCCUCCAACAUGUCCAUCAUUGUUUAGCAUCACUUUGCUAUUGAGUCAAACUUCUCCAGCAUUGAUUGGCAUCACUAAACUGCGCAAUUUCAUAUUGGUUCUUUCCAAAGAAUUUCAGCCCCACAAACUGAUGUCUACACCUCUGUAGCUACUGCAAACCAAAUAGAAGAGCAGCCUCUUAUAAAAUUGUAACACAUCCUCAGGCCGGUUAUAACAAUUUCUUACGGAAUUACCCUUCGUGGGAUUUACCGUCAACAACUUCUUUUAACAAUGGCUUCGUGCCCACAAUCAAAACUAAUUACUAACGGCUUCGUGCCAACAAAUUUCAACUUCUAAUGGCUUCGUGCCAACAAUCUUCAAGUACUAAUGGCUUCAUGUCCAUUUCUAAUGGCUUUCUGCCAAUACUAAACCACACUACACUAAUGUCCACGGGAUCGCCCUUUGUGGAUUUACCAAUUCACAACACUACCUAUUCAUAACAUGGAAUUACCCUUCGUGGGAUUUACCAUUAACAACUUCUUCUACCCUUCGUGGGAUUUACCUAUUCACAUCACGGAAUUACCCUUCGUGGGAUUUACCCUUAGCAACUUAUUCAAACUUCAUCGUAUAACCGGACUUACUGUAGAUUCAUGCUAACAAUUGAGUUGGUUAGACUCGACAUUAUAGGUUGUGAUAAGAAAAAAAAAAAUAUUGCACAAACUUCUCAAUUAACUCAUGAACAAUCUUCCAUUCAGCAGUCAACACAAUCUAUGCUUCAGCAGCAUCCACAGUCAGUUCUCUGGGGUCCAAUUUCAGGAUCCUUCAGUUUCCUAUUGUUUGACAUCACCUUUGCAGGUCUUACUCUCCACCAUUCAAGACAUAAUUGCUGAAACAGUAAGGGAACACUAUAUUUUGCAAUAAAUCCAAAACCUGCAGAGAGUAAAUUACCAAGUAUGUUCCUUCUUCAUCGAUUUCCAAAACAUUUUUGAGCAAUGGGAAAGAGGAAGUCAUUAGCAAAACCGCCUCCUAAGAAUCGGAAUGACAAGCUUGAUACCGUCUUCAACUGUCCAUUUUGCAGCCAUGGCACUAGUGUUGAAUGCCGCAUUGACAUGAAGAACUUGAAUGGGAAAGCUCCUUGUAGAAUAUGCCAAGAAAGCUUCAGCACCACCAUCACAGCUUUAUCUGAACCAAUAGACGUCUACAGCGAAUGGAUUGAUGAAAGCGAAGCAGGUGCAGUCACAGCACCAAGCCAAAUAUUCCAAAUAUCACAAACACUGAUCUUGAAGCAAUGACCAAUCUUGAAUCCAAAUAUCACAAAAUAAAGAAUCUUGAAAGCAAAUAUCACAAACAACUGGAAGAACCCAGAAAAGAUUCACAAGAAAGAUGGCUCUGAUUACUUUGCUAAAAAACUUAACCUUCACAUGAAAAUUCUGAGCUGGGCAUUUCGACAAACACUUGGACUACACAAAGGUCUAAACUUUCUUCCACACCAAAGAGUAGAGCACAGAUCAAAUUCGCGGACAAUAUCGAAAGCACUGAAGAAAACAUACCAUAAAUUGAUGACCAGAAGCAGUAUAAGCCUAUAAGUGCACCAAUGCAAUGACCUUCGCAUGGAAAGAUUGCAUACUAUCAGGUACAGAACUAUGGAAUACAGCGGCAACAGCCCCAGAUCGAAAGUAGAGGGGGCAAUUAUUACGGAUUGCAGUGGCAUGACAACCCAGAGACAAUGCUCGACGGUGGUGAAGGAGCAAUGGUCGUCGUCUUCCUCUCAAAGCAUCGACACUUAUUUGACAUUCCAUCUUCUUUCGAGGUGAAGAACUUGAUGAAAAUCUGAAAAAUUCCCGAAUUCAAGAACAGAAAAUUCGAGAAUAGAAAAUCAACCUAGAAGUUAUAGGAUGAUCGCGGAAGCACCGAAGAACUUGACGGAAUUUCUGACGAAAAUCCGAAGAGAAAAUAAAACUAGAACAUGAAAUCUAAUACAAAACAGAACCACCAGAAUCAUGGCGUGAGCCUGGUAGCUCUGAUACCAUGUUAACUACAUUGUAAUAUUUGGGAAUUGAAAGAAAAUCAAGAAGAAAGAUGAAGAGAAGAAGGAUCAACACAGAGAGUUUUAGAGAGAGAGAGAGAAAUUUAGAGAGAAAUAUGUUUUUGUAUUGAUUGAUAGAAUGAAGGUUACAUAACUGUUUUUAUAAGAGAAAGCCUAACUACUCUAACCAACUUACUAACUGUACUGUAUUACAUUUGUACCCUUAAUAAUAACUCUUGGAUUAGUUUCAAGAGACACAACUCUACAUUACAGAAAGUGCAUUACGUUUAACACUUACAUCAUUGACAUGAUCUUAGUUGAUCUAAGGUUGUUACAUAUAUCCUCCUUAGGUUCCUGAGUAAUCCUCUCUAGUUCCUGCUGAAAUCUCUCCAUGGCCGAGAAUGGCAAGCACAUUGGUACCAAUAUUCCAUCCUCAGUGUUGUUUUUGUGUUGAAUGUAGAAGCUAAUCAAAUCCAUGGCCUUGGCGGGUCCAGCAAAUACCGGCUGUUCCCAUCCAAAAUUGACAUCUCCAACACCUACACGAGUUAGAUCAGAAACUAAAAAAUUACUUCCUGUCGAUGAAUAUUGAGGUCGCCCUCUUAGUACCAAAUGAUCUGCCACUGAUCUUAAGUAUUCUUCAUUCAUGGUAGCUUUAGCCUUCUUCACCAACUCUAAAGCAUAUCCCAGUGGAUUUUUGCAUAGAAGUUCAGCCUUUGAAAUUGCAGCUGGAAAUGCAAAUGCAUUGCCAUAGUAUCCCAAGGGAAGACGUACAUUGUGGUGCUUUCCCCGUGCAUUGACAAUGCAGGAAACUCGAACAGCCUGUUUUGGAUUAACUUUAAGUGCAAGAGUGCGACAUUUCCACAAACAAGCUGUGAUCAAGUCAAAUGUGGAGCAAGUGGAAAUUAGGUGGGGUGGAAUCUGUUUUCGAAGGACUCUCAUCUUCUUGGCACCAAAGUAGAAGGAUCGUUGAACCAUGUUUGACUGGUUACUGGAUGCGUAUGAGCCAUCAGAAUGAUCAAUCACGUCUUCAUAUUCAUGAUGAGCACAUGUAAUUCUUGGUGGAUCUCGGGCAAACAAGAGCUCUCUCUCCCACACUGGUAUAAUAGAUGGUGCAUGUAUUACGCCUCUUGCCAUCUCCGCAACGGCGGUCAGGAACUGGAGAAAUCCAGGUGCAUCACACAUCGUGUGGUUUAGGCGCAAUGCAAGUAUGAAACCUCCACAUGUAAGACGGGUCACCUGCAUAUUGAAAAAGUUAGUUACUAGACUUUUUUCUUGAUCAUUCUAUUCGUGCUAGUUAACAAUUCCUUAGAAAAGACCAAAAAAACUAUCUAAAUUGGAUGAUCUAAUUAGGAAACCAAAAUUUCAUAAAAAUCAGGAAUAAAAUUCAAGAAAGAUGGAAUCUUUUCGAAAGAGUCUCGUGCAUGUUGUAGUUACUUGAAAAAGUCUUUAUAAUACAGAGGAAUUUAGACAAAAUGCUUAUAGAAGAUAGAAAAGCAAAAAACCUAGAAGAAGAACGGCAUAGGAAAACCUAUGCAAUAAAGGUGAUGUGAGACUGAUAGAAAACCUAGGACCUAUUACCAUGUAGAAAUGUAAUUUCCUCGAUCCGGUGUGUACACAAAUUUUACAAUAUAUAGGGUUAAACAUAAGGAUUGUCGAAGAAAAAUCAGUUUCGAAAAAUAACAAAAAGCGUCUCAUAAUCUUUUCUUUUCAAAACCACCUAAUGAACUUUCUUUAAUCAUAAGAACAAAGAGGCGUGGUAGUAUCGUAGAUAAGUUCAAGUUUGGGUGUAAUGGCAAUAUGAUAAAUUUUCAUUUAUGAAAAAGGUUGCCAAUUUUAUGAAAAAGUUAAAAACAGUUGCGAUGCCACCAAACUUCAACUUAUUUACAAUAUUAUUAGCGCUUUCCUGUUUAUGUCCUUAUUUUCAGUAAAAAUUCAUAUGUUGUUGAUUGCACUAAUUUCUUACAAAAAAUAUCCGGCGUAUGUAUGUGAUCUUAACUCAAAAAAUACUACUCUUACCCUUAACCUACUUCAAUUUUUUUUGUAAAGAAUUAAUGGCUAUGACCAAAUAUGAAUACGAAAACCUAAUUAACAUGUUAUUAAUAAUUAAUUGACUCACUUGAACCAGCAGCAAAGGACAACCAAUAAUUCCAUCAGAGCUUGGAAAAUUAAAUAAAAACUCCUCUAAGAGUGGACAAGGGGGUAGAAUUUUGUCUCCUAGUUGCUCAAGUGUGACAUCAGCAGAAGCCUCGACAAACAAGAUACCUUCACCAUUGCAAUCGACCAUGAGCAUUCUGUUAGGCCCUUCCCUAAGCCUACCAGCUAAAGGGUAGUAAUACACUAAUGCUCUACUUAAGGCUUCCCUAAUCACCUUAAUGGGAUUACGAUUUUCAUUAAGUGAAGGGUUGUCUUUGUAACACAUUAUGACUGGAAGCUGAAACCUCAAGCCUUCUUGGUCGUCAAUAUCUGAGAGAAACUUUGUUUCUCGAGGCGUUGGCUUUGCCGGAAUUAUAAGUUCCGGCUGCAAUCGUUUCACAUGAAGUACUGAGGAUGGCAUCAUUUCAGUAACGAGCUUAAGAACCAGCAAAAGAUCAAAGGAUUUGGAACUUUUAUUUUGUGGUAUGCAUGCUAACUAAAAGUUGAUAGCCAGUACUUAUAUAGCGUUAUGCAGAUGCUCUAGGGUUCCAUCCAAGUUUCCACACAUUGUGAAUGUGAUUCUUUUCUUUUCCAUUAAAAAUGUUGUUAGAAAGAAAGUUUAAAUCACGCAAUCAACAUGGGCUGCAGAAGAAAAAAAAACAAAAAAAAACCCUAGAUUCGUACGUAUACAUUAAUGCUGAAUUUCAUUUCAACGACAGAAAACUGUACACUAACAGAGAUAUGAGGACAAUGGUGAAGUGGCAUCCUCUAUUUGCAUAGACAUUAAUGCUGAAGUGGAAGAACUCCCAAAGAGAGAAGUAAUGAUGAUUUUCAUUUCAACAUCAGAAAACUGAAUACUAACAGGGAUAUGAUGACAGGUGUGCGGUAAAAAACCCUUGAUAGGAAUGGAAGGAAAAAUGCCAACGUCGUAUGUACCUGCCCCAAUUACAGCUGUCACUGUUGUAAAACAUCGAUCAGACGUCCGCUAUAAAGGAAAACGUUGUUAUUUUAUAAUAACUGGCAUACUACUAGCAGGGGAGAAUAUUGUUUCACAUUAUUAUUAAUUUUGAUUGAUCUGGUACGGUGACUACUCAAUUUUCUCAUGAUAAUAGUUUGUUAUGAUAAAGAAAGAUGAGGCUCCGUAAAAUUAAGAUUCAAUCUGGUAUUGUUUCAAAUACAUGAUUCAAUCUAGUUGUAUUUAUUUAAGAAAAUAGAAACAAACCCAAGAGGAUUUCAAAGAAAAGUGACGGCUUAGGGCAGAACAUCGCAGCUCAAACAUCGCUUAUAUACUUCAAUGAUUUAGGGUUUGGGUCACAAUACCACCUUACAUCUCAUUUAAAUUAGCUAGCUAACAAAAGCCUUCAAGACCCCAGUUGUUAGCUAAUAUAAACCUCACACCAAAGCAAACCUAUCUCAGCCCUACACUUGUAAUUUUGGACUGAGUCAACAUAUUGGCUGUUACAAAUUUAGAAAAAACUAAGCCAUUACUUUUGUUUAAUACAAAAAAUUGGACGCUAGAAAUCAGUUUAGGCAUCAACACUCUCCUUCAAAUUGUUUCUAGUUUUGACACCACGCACAUCCCUGAGGUAUACAAAACUCUCUUUUAGCGUACCCUUAGUAAAUAUAUCAACAAUUUGAUCCUCAUAUUUGCAAUAGAGUAAUUCAAUCACAUUAUCUGACUUACAAAGAAACUCUAAUAAAGUGAUGGUUCCUCUUGACAUGUUUUGUUUUUUAGUGAAUCAGAGGAUAUCUUGUCAUAGCAAUUACAAAGGUGUUGUUGAAUUUUAUUGAUAUAGCAUCUACUUUGAAAAAGUAGUUGGGUCGGGGAACCCAAACCCAAUAGAUAAAUAAUCUCAACUAAAAUUCCAGACGAGGAUUCAAGUAUGGUUUCAAUCAUACUACAUAAUAGUGAAGAACAAAAUGAAAUAGAGAAAAAUAACAAAAGACUCAUGAUAUAAUUCAUGGGCACACAACCAAUUAAAGAACCAUUGAGAAAUAAGUACUUUGACAAGACUCAACAAGACAAACAUCUACGACACUUGAAGUUUUCUCUUGUACUUUUAAUCUUGGAUGAACACAACGCACACAAAAGGUUCUCCUCACAACUAAAGAGAUUGCACUCAACUUCAUCACAUAGAUGGACACAACGUCUUCACACAAAUGAAUAUGAUGAAUAAUAUGAAAGGUACGAAGUGUUUCACUAAGAUCACUCUUCUAACCUAGCACUCAAGAACUUUGCUUUAAACCUUUUAUGCUCAAAUCUUAUAACCAAGCAAAGAUGAAUGAUAGGCUUGAUUUCCUAUGAAACCAACAGCCUUGAAUAAAAGAAACUGGAAUUAUGUACUAGAACAAAAUCAAAUUGGUUUUAUUUCUUAAAACUAGGCAAUUAAACUGAUCUUAUAAUCUUCAAGAUAUGCAAUGAUGUGAUUGUGAUUCUCGUUUCCUAUAUGAAUGCACAUGAUACUCCAAUAUAUGCCUUGAUGUGCACGUUUUCAAUAAUUAAACCUAGAAACUACGACACGCCUAAAAUAUAGAACUAAUAUAUUGCAGACCCAUUAAACUUGUCUAGGAAAUUAGCCAAAUACAAAAGCUUGUACUUUCACACUUGCAUUCAAUAAAGUCCUUAAGAACAAACCUCAACCAAAUUGCUUGAGAAGUAGCCUCCAGCACCAAGGAAGAACUUCACUUCGAAAAAUAGUCGUCUUUGACUUUGGGCUUAAUCAAGGGUUGUAAUUCCAAUUCUAAUGGUGAAAUUGGGUUAAGAUAAAAAAUACUUUUUUAUUUAACAAAUGAUAUUAUCUAUACUAAGGGGAGAGGGUGGGCUAAACCUCACAAUGUGUUAGCAUAAUGUGGUUCAAAUUCACUUUUAUCAAGAAUCGAACCUAAAACCUCUCAUUUACAAGUGAAGAGAAAAACCACUAAAACGUAGUAGUAAGUGGCAAUACUUUGGGUUAGUUUGGUAUUCCUAUGCUUUCUAAAAAAAAUGUGAUUUGUUGUCCUCUGAGAAUAAAAAGUUGUAAAAAAAAGUUAUUGAGUGUUUGGUAAAUUUUAUUUAUUUUUUAUUUUUAUUUUAUUAUUGAGUGUAUGAAUAUUUGGUAAACUUUUAUAUAAAUUGAUGUGAAUGUGUUAAAUAACUAGAAGGGAUAUGGUAUGUAGUGUGAUAUAAUAAUUGUAAAAGACAAUAACGUAGGGGCAAAAAUUAUAAUUUUGUAAAAUAUGUAGGGUUGUACUUGCUGUUUGAAAAUUUUAUUAAAUGAGCACUAAUUAAUCUAUUUUGACAAAAAUAAAAAGGCACUUUCUUUAGAUGACAAUUGUUAAAUUAUUUUGUAUAAACUUAGCAUCCAUAAAGCAUUUUAAGUUCGGAAAGGGAUCCUCGCUGGAUCCUUUUCCUGAGAAUCCUAAGGAUCUCGUGAUCGUGACCGUUCAUCGUACAUCAUGUGGUCAGAAAUCAUUUCAAAGUUUACAAUUUAAAAUUAAAUAUGAAUAGUACCUAACGAAAACUAAUCGCACAAUGUACGAUGAACUGUUACGAUCACGGGAUCUCAAGGAUCCCCAGGAAAAGGAUCUGACGAUGAUCCUUUUCACUAGCAAGAGCAUUUAAAUUGUAGGGAGUAGAAGACAAUUUUGAGAUCAAUCCCAAUCAUGUUUCGAAUUCAAGAGAGAAGUCAUUUUUUUUUUUUUUUUGUAUUCAUUUGAUUUAUUCAAUUUGAAACCCAAAUGUCUUAUUGUUGUGCUUUUCAGAAUACCUUCACCCCAAUCUCCUUGCUCUAUAUCUUGGGGAAAGAAAUAUAGAUUUCAAUUUUAAGCCAAAAUGCUUGGUUAUAAUGAUUAACAGAUUAAUUUUGUUGGAAUAUUUACAUUUUUGCAAUUUAUUUACAAUUGAGUUGUAAGGAAAGACAUUCACUAUUCUUCCAAGAAGAGGCCAAAUUCAGAUUCAUAAUUUGAAUUGAGAGCCCAAAUGCAAAGCGUGAGGAGACGGUGGCUAUCAACAACAGAGGAAGCAGAGAGGAAGUCGGAGAAUUGAUCCUGCCUUCCUCCUUGCGGUAUUUCAAAAUACAGUCUUGUGUAGGCAUUUGUUUCCUCUGUUCUACAUGGCAAAUUAUUGAUCCUCACAAAGGUGCACAACAAUGUAUUCCGAGUUGAUCCCUUGCAUUAUUUUAUUUUGUUUAAUGCUUCAACGUGUAACACAUUUUAAUCUUCCAUAUGAAUCCCUUAACAGUCGUUGGUAACUUAGAACCUGUCCUUUCCUCUCUUGACCUGUCAUUAGCUAAUAUAUCGUUUAAUUUCUAGGGCAAUUAGCAGGAAUGAUCACUUUUUGACAUUUGGCAAUAGAAAUGAUCAGGCGUUGUUAUGUUAUUAUUGUGUGGUCGAUAUGUGAUCAAAAUAUCGCCGAUAUUAAAAAAUGAUCAUUUCUGCAACCAAAUGUCAAAAAGUGAUUAUUCAUGCUAAUUGCCCUAAUUUCUAUUUACCAAAUACAAGAAUAGUACUAUUAGUCGGACUCCAGUAUUGCAAGUGCACAAAAAAAGGUCGAAGGUAGUACCCCAUAACUUGCUACAUGAGACAUUAUUUUUUAGAGACGAAAUCGACUCUUAAAGAUAGUGUCUAAAUUGCCUCAACUUAUAGUGUUGUUCUAAUUAAACAUCGGCAAAGAGCGAUUUCUACACCCUAAAAGAUAAGUAUUCAAUAUGUUGUUGAUUUCAUUUAAUCGAUUGUGGCAAUGAAAAUUCUCAUUAACCGUAUUUAUCUAUUGUGAAUUGUUGUAGAAGUAGCAGCAUCAACGUCGCAAAAUUUUUCAACAACAAACACCACUUGUAAAGCAUCCCUUUCUGAAUGAAAAUACGAAAGCUCAAUAGGAUGGCUAGUUAACACUUCAUAACGCUACCAAUAUGCUUCUACGUGAAAAGGACUAGCAGUACCCAUCUGAAGAGUAGCAACCAAAACAAGACAGGUCGCUUCCCCAUCCCUAACCACCCUAAUGCCACCAUUACCACUGCACUCGCGUAAACCAUAAUACAAAAUAAUAUUCACCCAACUGUGACCCAGAGGACUCCACCAUUGAUGCUGCACUGGCUGCUUGCCCCGACUACCGGUCACACAUGUUGUCCUUACUGCAGAAUACUAGUCCUCGACUACCACAAAGACCAUAUGAGCAUCAUGAAGGAAAGCAAACUAGUCCUUGGACAUGUCAAUCGCCAUUGGAAUAGCCUUUCUUUAAGGCUACGAGAUCGCAACAAACUUUUGUGAAAAGACAAGGGACUAACAAACUACAUGGAACUUUUUAUGUAGAGCCUCGAUGGGCAUGUACGUGCCCUGUUUUUCCUCAGUCUGUUUACUUGCUUGAAAUUUCAUAUACAGAAAUUGCUUUGCUUCCCUCUUUUCAUUUUCUAUUUGACGGCUUGGCUACAUGGACUUUUUUUUUCUUGGGCAUGUGACUUUCUUGUUGUUCAAAUUUGUGUGAACAUUGUAAUUUACUUUCUGUAUUUUCGGUUUGGUAGGUCGCUUAAGCUCUACUUGAACCAGUGAAACUUGCUCGGUGAUAUGAGUUCGAAAUACCUAUUAAUCAUAUAAGCAAACCCAAUUUUAACUUGCAAGUGCAUAAGACGAAUAGUAUUAUAGUAAGAGUAAGUAUGAAGUCGUUCCCACGAGUAAUGAUUUUUACUUUAAUUUGAGUCUCAACUCAAUUCAAAUUCAACAAACUUUUAAUACAAAUAGGGCUGAAAAUUUUACCUAGAAUGAACGAGCCAAGGAGAUCUCAAAACCCUAAAUCAUGAGUAGGUGGGAAGAAUAUUUGAGUGCUUGUAAUUGUUUCUCCAUAUGCUUCUACGUACAGUAAGCAAGGCUCCUAUCAUUGUGUGUGAUUAGUUUACUUUUGUGUUCUCGAUCGCAUAUAUAUAUCAUUUGCACUUAUUGGUUUGAGGAAAUUAAGGCUCAUACUUCGUGACAUUUUCAUGAUUCUUUAAGAAAUCCAUUGAAAUCUUACUAAAUUGUCUAACAAAUGAGCAAUUUGAUUGUUACUGUUGGAGGAAAGAUUAGCAGUUUUCAAUUACACUGCAGAAAGGAAGAAUACAAUAGAAUAUGGGAUGUGCUAUUCACACACCUUAUUUUACUUCUCACACACCCCUGGAUAAUUUAUGUCCGUUGAUCUUCUUCAAUUCAUCCGAUCUGACGAUUGAAAAUUAAAAAGGUAUGUGAGAAGUAAAAUAGUGUGUGUGGAUAUCUGAAAUUUACUUAACUUUAUUGCUUUCAGAUUUUUAUUACAACACUUGGCCAUCUUAUGGGGAUGCCUAACCCAAUUUCCUCCAUCAAUAUUCGGUUCUUCAUCAAGCUAUGCAAACUCUUUUGAGAAUUCAACUUAAUUAUAAGGAAUAUGAAACCAGCAGCUCUUUCAACUACUUGUGAAUGAUGUCCAAAGGAAAUCAAAACCAAACUAGACUCAAGUGUUCAUAUAUUCAUUGGAGUUGAAUAUGUUAAGGAAUCUCCUACAUCAAAGGAGAUCAGUUCGUCAACAACACAAUUUGCUCCAUCUACCGCACAAUCGGCUCCUCCGUAUGAAAGUCAACUAUGAUAUAUGCUAUGCUGUCUUUCCUAUUCUAUUUGAAUAGGAUUGAUUCAGUCAUUCAAGUAUGAUUGUAUUUACCAUAUUAGGAUUGUAUUCAAAGUGUAUAUAAUCAUAGACCUGUACCUAUAAACAUAUCAAUGAAAUAUACCCAUUCUAUAUGGUAUCACGAGCCCAAAAACUCCAACGAGCAAUCUUUUUUUUUUCUGAUCCCUCUCUUCCCUGUCUUCAUCCAUGGCCACUGACGCCUCUACAACCAACCCUUUACCAGAGCUCAACUCCACUACUCCCACCUUGAUCACAAUCAACGCUACAGCCCAACUACCUGUGAAACUCACACCCACCAAUUACCCAUCCUGGCGUGCUCAGUUCAACGCCCUCCUUUACGGCUACGACCUCAUGGGUUAUGUGGAUGGUUCUAAUCUCUGCCCAUCAACUGCUCAAACCGUGCUUCGCACCUUUUGGAUUCGGCAAGAUCAACUCCUCCUUCAUGCGAUUCUUGCUUCCGUCUCACUGCAGGUCAUCUCCCUUAUUGCCUCUGCCAAGACAUCCAAGGAGGCUUGGGACAAACUUCUCCAUCUCUUUGCUAGCAAAGCCCGUGCCCGUGUUCUUGGUCUCAAAGAACGCCUUACUCUCCUGCGCCGUGAGAACAAGCCUGUCUCUGAAUAUCUGCAAGAAGUCCGCGUUAUUGCAGAUGAGCUUGCCAUCAUUGAUGUCCCCCUCUCUGAUGACGAUCUCCUCCUCUACAUUCUUAAUGGUGUUGGCUCUAACUUCAAGGAAAUUGCUGCGGUAGUUCGUUCCCGCGACACCUCAAUCUCUUUUGAAAACCUGCAUGACAAACUGGUUGAACAUGAAGCUGCUCUCAAGCGUGAUGAUACCGUUGUUGCAGCCCCAGUGAUCACUGCCAAUGUCACUCAGACAUCUCGCUCCCACACCUCAACCCGUGGCUACCGCUCUCACAACUCCAACUCCAACCGUGGGUCCUUUGCCUCUCACAAUCCUUCUCGUGGUUCCUUCGGGCACCCUCACACAUCUUCCAUUGACACCAAUUCUCGUAGUUCCUAUAAGCCCACCCAACAAUCUUUCACCGACAAUGGGCGCCGCUCUACCAACAUGAACAACACAGGUUAUCGUGGUUUCUGUCAAUGGUGUGGCACUCAAGGUCAUAGUGCCAAACGCUACCCUCAACUCCAAUCUGGACCUCACAGUCCGCAAGUGGCCAAUCCUACCACCCAUGGCUGGUCCACCUCUUCUCCAACAUGGUUGCUUGAUUCCGGUGCCUCUCACCAUGUUACCACCAAUGUCAACACUCUUUCUGGUGCCUCUAUAUAUGAUGGUCCUGAUGAAAUAAUUAUUGGUAAUGGUUCAGGUUUGAGUAUCACUCAUGUCGGUUCAACCACUUUACCCUCCUCAUCCUCCCAAUCUUUCAACUUAUCAAACGUUCUGUGUGUUCCUUCUAUGCAAAAAGACAUUAUUUCUAUCUCUAAAUUUAAUAAACAAAAUAAUACCUCUAUUGAACUUUUUCCUGAUUUCUUUCAUGUCAAGGAUCUGAGCACGGGGGUGGUUCUUCUUCGAGGCCCGAAUAAUGAUGAUGUGUACGAGUGGUCUCCUAAAUUUUUUUGUCAACCACAAGCUAUGGUGGGUGUGGUGGUCUCUCCCAACCUUUGGCAUCGUCGUCUUGGUCACCCCAGCCACCAAACUCUCCAACAAGUCCUUCGUAUGUCUUCCAUUAAUGUGUCUUCCAAGUUGUUCGAGUCUGUUUGUCAUUCAUGUCUAUGUAAUAAAAGCCAUCGGCUCCCGUUUGGUACUUCGUCUCUCACCAGUCAUGGUCCAUUAGACCUCCUUUAUAGUGAUGUUUGGGGCCCUGCUCCGUACUCUUCUAUUGAUGGUUUUUCCUACUAUGUUAUCUUUGUUGACCAUUUUACAAAAUACAUAUGGCUCUACCCUCUCAAAAAGAAAUCUGAUGUGUUUUCCACUUUUGUCACCUUCAAAGCGCUUGUCGAAAAUUACUUUAAAAGAAAAAUCACUAGAUUAUACACUGAUGGUGGGGGCGAAUUCAUCAAACUCCAACAUUUUCUCUCAUCCAAUGGCAUCACCCAUCUUCUUACACCACCUCACACUCCUCAACACAAUGGAGUCGCCGAACGACGACAUCGUCAUAUUGUUGAAACUGGUCUCACCCUUCUUCAUCAAGCUUCUUUACCUCUCACCUAUUGGUCUUAUGCCUUUAAAACAGCUGCCUAUCUUAUCAACCGCAUGCCUACUCCGCUUCUUCAUAAUCUCUCCCCAUUCACUCAACUUUUUGAUGAACAACCCAAUUACUCCCGUCUUCGUACAUUUGGGUGCUUGUGUUUUCCUUGGUUACGUCCUUACAAUUCCAAUAAAUUACUCCCUCGUUCCCGCCCAUGUCUCUUCCUUGGUUACUCAUCUAAUCAAAGUGCUUUUCAGUGUCUUGAUCUUUCCUCCAACAAACUUUUUAUCUCUCGGCAUGUUCAAUUCGAUGAGUCCACUUUUCCUCUUGCCAACUUCCCUUCCUCCAUUCCCCAUGUCACUGUUGAUAACUCUCACACUUGGGUCUCCUCUCUUUCUCCAGUUACUCAUAUUCCUGUACACUUCCCCACCAGGCCUGUUGAGUCGGUUGUUUCUUUGCUGCCACCACAUGUCACAUCAUCAUCAUCAGAAUAUGCCCCUGUCUCAAAACCGUCACCAUCCGCUGCCCCGGCCCCUAUUACUGCUGCUACCACUCCUCUCUUACCGUCACCCAACCACCACGCCUUGGCCCCUACCUCUACCACACCUCUAUUCACCCCACCACAUUCUCCAGCCCAAACUGACCACGUCCAGCCACCUCUUCCCCUCAACCCCGUUUGUACAUACACUAGAAACCCUCAUAGGACUGUUGUCACCUUUUUAUCCUCUGACCCACACCCCCCAACCCCCCCGUACCUCAUGUGCUCCCCGAUCAUUCCAUGAUCACCUGUGCCAAAUCCGGUAUCCACAAACCCAAUCCUCGAUAUGCUAUGACUGCUACUAAACAUCUCAUUCUCUCAUCAGUUGAACCGACAUGUGUUUCCCAGGCCGUCAAUGAUCCCCUUUGGCGGCAAGCAAUGUCCAAUGAGUUCAAUGCGUUAAUUCGCAAUGGUACAUGGGAGCUCGUUCCUUCCCUCCCCUAUAAUAAUCUUAUUGGUUGUAAGUGGGUGUUUCGUAUCAAACGGCAUCCUGAUGGCACUAUUGACAGGUACAAGGCACGCUUAGUUGCCAAGGGUUUUCACCAACGCCCUGGUGUUGAUUUUUCAGAUACUUUCAGUCCGGUGGUCAAACCUACUACCAUACGCAUUGUUUUGCAUCUUACCGUAACUCAUGGGUGGCCAAUUCGUCAGUUAGACGUUAACAAUGCUUUCCUUCAUGGCACCAUCCGUGAAAAUGUCUAUAUGAUCCAACCGCCUGGUUUUGUUGACUCUAAUCAUCCAUCUCAUGUGUGUAAAUUGAGGAAAGCCCUCUAUGGCCUCAAACAGGCUCCCUGGGCAUGGUACAAGGAAUUACACUCAUUUCUGCUCUCCCAUGGCUUUGUCAAUGCCAUCUUUGAUGCCUCACUUUUUCUCUUGAAAAAUGGGACUGCUGUAAUUUAUGUUUUGGUUUAUGUUGAUGAUCUUCUUAUUACAGGCAACGAUUCCUCACUUGUAGCAAAGUUCAUCCAACUAUUGGCAACUCGGUUCUCCGUCAAGGACCUGGGCUCAUUACAUUACUUUCUUGGUGUUGAGGUUCUUCCCACAGCCACUGGCCUUUUCCUCUCUCAGCACAAGUACAUUCAUGAUCUUCUCGUCACUGCCAAGAUGGAUGGUGCAAAGGCUGUCAGUACGCCUCUCUCCACCACUAACUCACUCAUGCUCCAUGAUGGCUCCUCCCUAACGGAUGCCACUCCCUACCGUCGUCUUGUUGGUGGUCUUCAAUACCUAAGCCUUACAUGCCCUGACAUCUCCUUCACAGUCAAUAAGCUCUCUCAAUUCAUGCAUUCUCCUUCCGAGACUCACUGGCAGGCACUCAAGCGUCUUCUUCGCUACUUGAAGGGUACCAUUUCCUUUGGCCUUCAUCUUUGUCGUCGCCCCUCUCAUCGUCUCUAUGCCUUUUCUGAUGCUGAAUGGGCUGGUGACCGUGAUGAUCGCAAGUCUACGACUGGCUAUGUUGUCUAUCUCAGUGGAAAUCUCAUCUCUUGGAGCUCUUGUAAGCAGCGGUCUGUCUCUCGUUCCUCCACCGAAGCUGAAUAUUGGGCCAUUGUUGCCACCACUGCUGAACUCAUAUGGAUUCAGUCCUUACUGCGUGAACUUGGCAUUCCUCUCCCCACAACACCGGUUGUUUCUUGUGAUAACAUUGGAGCCAUGUUCUAUUGUGCUAAUCAUGUCCUACAUUCUCGUAUGAAACAUAUCAAUAUUGAUUUUCAGUUUGUCUGGGAUCGUGUCACUCGUGGUCUUCUUCAAGUGUCUCAUGUCUCCACUACUGAUCAGCUUGCUGACGCUCUCACCAAGUCCUUGCCACGUCCUCGUUUCCAUCUCCUUCGUUCCAAGAUCGGUGUCUCCGAUGGUGCCACCGUCUUGCGGGGGCGUGUUAAGGAAUCUCCUACAUCAAAGGAGAUCAGUUCGUCAACAACAUAAUCUGCUCCAUCUACCGCACAAUCGGCUCCUCCGUAUGAAAGUCAACUAUGAUAUAUGCUAUGCUGUCUUUCCUAUUCUAUUUGAUUAGGAUUGAUUCAGUCAUUCAAGUAUGAUUGUAUUUACCAUAUUAGGAUUGUAUUCAAAGUGUAUAUAAUCACAGACCUGUACCUAUAAAAUAUCAAUGAAAUAUACCCAUUCUAUAGAAUAUAACAAUACGUAAAAUUCCAUCACUAAGAAGCCAAAUUGUAUCAAGACUUUGUAACAGCAGCACGAAGGUCAGGAGUCGACUUGGAGGAGAAGAUCGCGAGCGGGUUUGGCUAGCAUUGGUUAACCGAACCCCCAAUUCCAUGUUCAUGGCUAUCGGCUAAUCCUUCACUCUUAUGUUCGGUGUUUAACUUCCGAACAUUGAACUUUUUGUCAAAUUUUGUGUUCAGCAUGUUAAAAUACAUGAUUCGAUCUAGUUGUAUUUUAUUUAAGAAAAUAGAAACAAACCCAAGAGGAUUUCAGAGAAAAGUGACGGCUUAGGGAAGAACAUUGCAGCUCAAACCUUACUUAUAUACUUCAAUGAUUUAGGGUUUUGGUCACAAUACCACCUUACAGCUCAUUUAAAUUAGCUAGCUGACAAAAGCCUUCAAGACCCCAGUUGUUCUAAGCUAAUCUAAACCGCACACCAAAGCAAACCUAUCUCAGCCCUACGCUUGUAAUUUUGGAAUGAAUCAACGUAUUGGCCUUUACAAAUUUGGAAAAAAACUAAGCCAUUACUUUUGUUUAAUACAAAAAAUUGGAAGCUAGAAAUCAGUUUAGGCAUCAACACUCUCCAAAUUGUUUCUAGUUUUGACACCAAGCAAAUCCUUGAGGUAUACAAAACUCUAUUUUAGCGUAGCCUUAGUAAAUAUAUCAACAGUUUGAUCCUCAUAUUUGCAAUAGAGUUAAUCAAUCACAUUAUCUGACGUACAAAGGAUCUCUAAUAAAGUGAUGGUUCCUCUUGACAUGUUUUGUUUUUUAGUGAAUAAGAGGAUAUCUUGUCGUAGCAAUUACAAAGGUGUUGUUAAAUUUUAGUGAUGUAGCAUCUACUUUAUAAACGUAGCUGGGUCGAGGAACCCAAACCCAAUAGAUAAAUAAUCUCAACUAAAAUUCCUGAUGAGGAUUAAAGUACGAUUUCAAUCAUACUAUGUAAUAGUGAAGAAGAAAAUGAAAUAGGGAAAAAGAACAAAAGACUCACGAUAUUCUUAUACGUGGUAAAACCCCACACACAAUGGGGAAAAUUCAUGGGCACACAACCGAUUAAAGAACCACUGAGAAAUAAGAACUUUUACAAGACUCAACAAGACACACAUCUACUAAACUUGAAGUUUUCUUUUGUACUUUUAAUCUUGUAGCACACAUUCCUUCUUUUGCUCUCUUCUGGAUGAACACGAUGCACCCAGCAAGUUCUCCUCACGACUAAAGAGAUUGCCCUCAACUUCGUCACAUAGAUGGACACAACUUCUUCACACAAAUGAAUACGAGGAAUAAUAUGAAAUGUAUGAAUUGUAUCACUAAGUUCACUCUUCUAACCUAGCACCCAAGAACUUCGCUUUAAACCUUUUAUGCUCAAAUCUUAUAACCAAGCAAAGAUGAAUGAUAGGCUUGAUUUCCUAUGAAACCAACAGCCUAGAAUAAAAGAAACUGGAACUAUGUACUAGAAUAAAAUCAAAUUGGUUUUAUUUCUUAAAACUAGGCAAUUAAACUGAUCUUAUAAUCUUCAAGAUAUGCAAUGAUGUGAUUCUCGUUUCCUAUAUUAAUGCACAUGAUACUCCAAUAGAUGCCUUGAUGUGCACGUUUUCAAUAAUUAAACCUAGAAACUACGACACGCCUAAAAUCUAGAACUAAUAUAUUACAGACGCAUUGAACUUGUCUAGGAAAUUAGCGAAUACAAAAGCUUGCGCUUUCACACUUGCAUUCAAUAAAGUCCUUAAGAACAAACCUCAGACAAAUUGCUUGAGAAGUAGCCUCUAGCACCAAGGAAGAACAUCACUUCGAAAAAAGUCGUCUUUGACUUUGGGCUUAAUCAAGGGUUGUAAUUCCUUUAAUUCUAAUGGUGAAAUUGGGUUAAGAUAAUUAUUAUUUUUUUGCUUUAUUAUUAUUUUUUUAACAAAUGAUAUUAUUUAACCCUAAGAAGAGAGGGUGGGCUAUACCUGACAAUGGGUUAGCAUAACGUGGUUCCAAUUUGCUUUUGUCAAGAAUUGAACCUAAAACCUCUCACUUACAAGUGAAGAGGAAAACCUCUAGACCGUAGUAUUAAGUGACAAUACUUUGGGUUAGUUUGGUAUUCCUGUGCUUUCUAAAAAAAAAUGUGAUUCGUGUUGUCAUAUGAGAAUAAACAGUUGUAAAAUAAAGUUGUUGGAUGUUUGGUAAUUUUUUUUGUAAAUGUGCUUUUAACAAAAAAAAUCAGUGUCAGAGUGUUUGGUAAAUUUUUCUAUAAAUUUUUGUAAAUGUGUUAAAUAACUAAAAAGGAUAUGGUACGUAGUGUGAUAUAAUAAUUAUAAAAAACAAUAACGUAGGGACAAAAAUUGUAAUUUUGUAAAAUAUGUGGAGUUGUACUUGCCCUUUCAAAAUUUUAUUAAAUGAGCACUAAUUACUAUGAAAAAAAAAGGCACUUUCUUUAGAAGCAUGAUAGACCCUACUUUUGUUUUUCUAUGCUUUUCUACUGUUAUUGACAAACACACUUAAUAUUUCCGAUUUUUUAACAGCACUACAAUCCUAAUCCAGCCAUUUGUUACAAUGUUUAGAAUUUUCUCAACCAAAUGGCUCAAAUGUGUAGGGGGAAUACUAUGAUCUAGUUGGCAUUCAGUGACUUGCUUGAUUUCAUUGAUUAGUGAAUAUGUUCUGGAUUGUUAAAUUAUUUUGUAUAAACUUAGCAUCCAUAAAGCAUUUUAAGUUAAACCAUAUUCACUAGGGAGAGCAUUUAAAUUGUAGAGAGUAGAAGACAAUUCUAAGAUCAAUCCCAAUCAUGUUUCGAAUUCAAGAGAUGGGGUCAAUUUUUUUAUUUUUUUUUUGCAUUCAUUUGGUUUAUUCAAUUUGCAACCCAAAUGUCUUCUUGUCAUGCUUUUCAGAAUAUGUCAUACAUAUUCCCCUUCACCCCAAUCUCCUUGCUCUAUAUCUUGGGGAAAGAAGUAUAGAUUUCAAUUUGAAGCCAAAAUGCCUGGUUAUAAUGAUUAACAGAUUAAUUUUGUUGGAAUGUUUACAUUUGCAAUUGAUUUACAAUUGAGUUGUAAGGAAAGACAUUCACUAUUCUUCCAAGAAGAGGCCAAAUUCAGAUUCAUAAUUUGAAUUGAGAGCCCUAAUGCAAAGCGUGAGUAGACGGUGGCUACCAACAAUAGAGGAAGCAGAGAGGGAGUUGGAGAAUUGAUCCUGCCUUCCGACUCGCGGUAUUUUAAAAUACAGUCUUGUGUAGGCGUUUGUUUCCUCUCAUCUACAUGGCAAAUUAUUGAUCCUCACAAAGAUGCACAACAAUGUAGUCCUAGUUGAUCCUUUCCAUUAUUUUAUUUUGUUUAAUGCUUCAACGUGUAAUUAGUUUCAAUCUUCCAUAUGAAUCCCUUAACAGUCGUUGGUAACGUAGACCCUGUCCUUUCCUCUCUUGAACCGUCAUUAGUUAGUAUAUCAUUUAAUUUCUUGGGCAAUUAGCAGGAAUGAUCACUUUUUGACAUUUGGUUGCAGAAAUGAUCGUAUGUCGUUAUGUCAUCAUUGUGUGGGCGAUAUAUGAUCAAUAUGUCGCCGAUAUUAAAAAAAGAAAAACUAAUGAAAAUAGCUUGAAAACUUUGAGUUUUAACGAAAAUGACAAAAUACAGGGUAAGGUGAAUAGUACCAUGAUUGACUUUUAGUGUAAAAAUAUAGUUUUUCGUUAAAAUGAACAGUACUGUGAGCUUUUCGUUAAAGUUCCCAUUAAAAAUGAUCAUUUCUGCAACCAAAUGUCAAAAAGUGAUUAUUCAUGCUAAUUGCCCUAAUUUCUAUUUACCAAAUAAAAGAAUAGUACUAGUAGUCGGACUAGAGUAUUGCAAGUGUACAAACAAAGGUUAAAGGUAGUAUACGAAAGCUCAAUAGGAUGGCUAAUUGAACACUGCGUAACGCUACCAAUGCUUCUACGUGAAAAGGACUAGCAGUACCCCUUUGAAGACUAGCAACCAAAACAAGACAGGUCCCUUCCCCAUCCCAAACCACCCUAAUGCCACCAUUACCACGGCACUCGCAAAAACCAUAAUACAAAAUAAUAUUCACCCAGAGGACUUCACCAUUGAUGCUGCACUGGCUGCUUACCUCGACUACCGGUCACACAUUCUCCUUGCCGCAGAAUACUAGUCCUCGACUACCACAAAGGCCAUAUGAACAUCACGAAGGAGAGCAAACUACUACUUGGACAUAUCAAUUGCCAUUGGAAUAGCCUUUCUUUAAGGCUACGAGAUCGCAACAAACUUUUCUGGAAAGACAAGGGACUAACAAACUACAUGGAACUUUUUAUGUAGAGCCUCGAUAGGCAUGUACAUGCCCUGUUUUUCCUCAGUCUGUUUACUUGCUUGAAAUUUCAUAUGCUAAAAUUGCUUCGCUUCCCUCUUUUCAUUUUGGAUUUGACGGCUUGGCUACAUGGACUUUUUUUUUCUUGGGCAUGUGACUUUCUUGUUGUUCAAUUUUGUGUGAACAUUGUUAUUUACUUUACUUUGUUUUUGGUUUGGUAGGUCGCUUAAGCUCUACUUGAACCAGUGAAACCUGCUCGGUGAUAUGAGCUCGAAAUACCUAUUAAUCAGAUAAGCAAACCCAAUUUUGACUUGCAAGUGCACAAGACCAAUAGUAGUACAGUAAGAGGAAGUAUGAAGUAGUUCCCACGAGUAUUGAUUUUUACUUUAAUUUCAGUCUCAACUCAAUUCAAAUUCAACAAACUUUUAACACAAAUAGGGCUGAAAAUUUUACCUAGAAUGAACGAGCCAAGGAGAUCUCAAAACCUUAAAUUACGAGUGGGUGGGAAGAAUAUUUGAGUGCUUGUAAUUGUUUCUCCGUAUGCUUCUACAGUAAGCAAGGCUCCUAUCAUUGUGUGUGAUUAGUUUACUUUUGCGUUCUCGAUUGCAUAUAUAUCAUUUUGAACUUAUUGGUUUGAGGAAAUUAAGGCUCAAACUUAGUGACAUUCUCGUGAUUCUUUAAGAAAUCCAUUGAAAUCUUACUAAAUUGUUUAAAAAAAGAGCAAUUUGAUUGUUACUGUUGGAGGAAAGAUUAGCGGUUUUCAAUUACACUGCAGAAAGGAAGAAUACAAGAGAAUAUAUAUGGAGGAUGAGUUUUGAACGGGAACUGAACUUUACUUGACUUUAUUACUUUCAGUUUUUUAUUACAACACUUGGCCAUCUUAUUGGAUAUUUAUAAUAACAUUCAGACCUUUUGAUAAUAGCCAUAAUUCUUGGAUUAGUUCCAAGAGACACAACUCUACAUUACAGAAAGUGCAUUACGUUUAACACUUACAUCUCCGCAAUGGCUUUCAGGAACUGGAGCAAUCCAGGUGCAUCACACAUUGUGUAGGCGCAAUGAAGUAUGAAACCUCCACAUGUAAGACAGGUCACCUGCAUAAUGCAAAAGUUAGUAACUAGAAUUUUUUCUUGAUCAUCAUAUUCGUGCUAGUUAACAAAUACUUUAGAAGAAAAGACAAAAAAAGGGUCUAAAUUAGAUGAUCUAAUUAGGAAACAAAAGUUUCAUAAAAAUUAGGAAUAAAAUUCAAGAAAGAUGGAGUCUCUUUGAAAGAGUAUCGUGCCUGUUGUAGUUACUUGAAAGAGUCUUUAAAUACAGAGGAAUUUUGACGAAACGCUUACAAAAGAAAGAAAAAUUUAGACAGAAGACGAAGAGAACAACAUGACAAUAGGCAAAAACCCUAGAAGAAGAACGGCAACAGAAAGCCUAGACACUAAAGGUGACGUGAGACUGGUAGAAGGAACCUAGGACCUAAUUAGGCAGAUACCAUGUAGAAAUAUAAUUUCCUUGAUUUGUUGUGUAUAUAAAUUUUGCAAUAUAGAGGGUUAAACAUAAGGACUGUAAAAAAAUAAUGAAAAGCGUCUCAUAAUCUUUGCUUUCCAAAACCACCUAAUGAACUUUCUUUAACCAUAAGAACAAAGAGGCGUGGUAGUACCGUAGACAAGAUCAAGUUUGGGUGCGGUGGCAGUAUGAUAAAUUUUCGGUUAUGAACAGGGUUGCCAAUUUUAUGAAAAAAGUUAAAAACAGUUGUUGUGCCACCAAACUUCAACUUAUUUACAAUAUUGUUGGCGAUUUCUUUGUUUAUGCCCUUUUUUGUUAUUAAAAUUUUCAUAUGUAGUUCAUUGCACUAAUUUCUUACAAAAAAAUGUCUAGCAUGUGUAUGUGACCUUAACGCAAAAAAACACUACUCUUACCCUUAACCUACUUCAAUUUUUUUUAUUUUUUUUUGUAAAGAAAUAAUAUGGCAAUGACCAAAUAUGAAUACAAAAAACAAUUUAACUUGUAAUUAAUAAUUAAAUGAUUCACCUAAACCAGCAGCAAAUGACAACCAUUAAUUCCAUCAGAACCUAGGAAAUUAAAUAAGAACUCCUCUAAGAGUGGACAAGGGGUAGAAUUUUGUCUCCUAGUUGUUCAAGUGUGACAUCACCAGAAGCCUUGACUAACAAGAUACCUUCACCAUGGCAAUUGGCCACAAGCUUUCUGUUAGGCCCUUCCCAAAGCCUGCCAACUAAAGGAUAGUAACACACUAAGGGCACGUUUGUUACACCUCCUUAAGAGGGAUUAGCUUGGACUACCUUAAGUAGGACUAUAAUCCUACGUUUGGUGGGUUGUGGGACUAAAAUAAAUAGGACUCGCCUUGACUACGAGUCCCUGCGCGCUUCGCUAAAGCUCUCAGCCUAAUCCCACGCUUUCGCUUGGUAUUAAUAAGGACUAGAAGAAGGAAACUAAGCUGACAUCCAAUCCCCACUUUGGCUUGAUAAACCCCCCAGUGCUCCACACUCCGCCUUCUUCUGCGAAGCUGUCAUCAUGGCCAGGCCAUCGGCGGCAACCCACCUUCAUCUUUUGUGAGACCAAGAUUCGGUGUCGUCGAGGGAGGACGACGACAAGCUUGAAGAAGAAGAGAUCGUCGACGACCAAGAUUCGGCGUCGUCGAAGACACAGAAAGGAAUAGCGUUGCAGUUACACACUCUAGAGCAUUCUUGGACCUUCUGGAGUUCUAGUUUAAUUUUGAGUUAUGGGUUACUUUUGUUUGGUUGGUAGGAAAACUUAUAUGGAUUUGGCGUUGCAAUGUGGAGUUCAGGGUUUAAUUUUGAUGUUAAUUUAUUCAUUUCCUUUUAUUUUGGUUUAAUUUUGAGUUCUGGGUUAAUUUUGUUAGGGCCUCAAAGUCUAUUUCUCGAAGGAAUAUACAGUGUGUUUUACAUUGCCCAUCAUCUUUUCCAGUUCUGGGCUUAGUUUUGAUGUUAAAUUUCUUUAAUUUUUUCUUUUUUGGGUUUAAUUUUGUUUGUUUGGGUUUAAUUUUGUUUAAUUUGGGUUUAAUUAUGAAGUUCUAGACAUUUUGAUAUCAUAUCGAUUGCAUUCUUAAAAAUUGGAAACUAUGAAUUUGGCUCAAUGUGGCGUUGCAUUUCUUAAUUUCAUGUUCUCUUAUUAACAAAAAAAUUGGGUCAACAGUUUAGUCUGACACUUAGUCCGGCACUACACCAAACUCUUCACUAUUUUUAUCCUAUUUAGUCUAAGCCAAGCCAAUCCAGCUUAGUCCCUGAAGCUAGUCCAGUCAAAGAUAGUCCGGUGCAACAAACGCACCCUGCUUAAGGCUUCCCUAAUGCUCUGCUUAAGGCUUCCCUAAUCGCCUUAAUGGGAUCAUGAUUUUCUUUAUAACCACUAGUAGAAAAAAUAGCUUGUGCGACGAUAUUUUGAGCAACGAAUAAUAAUUUGUCGCACAAGAGGCACUUGUGCGACGUAAAAACAUAUUCGUCUCACAAAAUAGAAAACAUAUUGAAAAAUAAAUAAAAUUGUGCAACGAAAGAAAUCGUCGCGCAAGAAUACUUAGUGCAACGAAUAAUUGUUGUCGUCACGUAAAGUCAGCCAGAAAACGCGAGGUAAUUUUUUUUGGUGCGAGAAACUUGCGCGACGAAAAGUGCUUUUGCGCUACCAAUUUUUCGUCGCGCAAGUUCCAGUAAGCUUUGACCAUUUAAUGCAAGUGAAUCAGAGGACAUUUAAUACAAAUGUUUGAGCGACAAAGCCUUCGUCGCGCAAAGAUCUUAACUUUGCUAUAAAUAGGCGCUUCUAUUGUCCUUAUUCUUCACAAUUAUGUUAUCCUUAAUCUUCAUAAUUAUGUUUGUGCUGAGAUGGCGGAUAUAAAGAACGAUAAGAGUGUGCGCGUCGGCAACCCGCAUGAUUUGAGAAAGCAUUUUGAGUUUGCUCAUGCUAUUGUUGUAGCUAUGGGGAAUAAUUGCCCCACUGUUGAGUGGCGUUCUUGGAAAGAUGUGCCCGGGAAUUUGAAGAAGGUUGUGAUGGAUGAACUAUUUGUAAGUAUAUUAUUGAUGGAUCAAUAAUGAAGUUUGUGAAAUUUUUAGUUAUAUGUUGGAAUUAAUUAUUUGCAUAUAUAUGUAACAGUGUAAGUAUGUUUUUGAUGAUGAACAGAAAGAACAAUUGAUGAAGUUGCUAGAGGAUGCGUUGGAGGGAGGUUACAAUCGGUGGCGUUAUCAAGUAUUGCAGAAUGGGGUAGGAUCAUCGAAAUAGUAGUUUAAAAUUUAUGUUUUGUAUGACAAUAUUUAAAUUUCAGGUUUUUUUUUAUUUUUUUAUUUUUAUAAUUUAUGUAUUUGGACUUAAUUAGGUUCCAAUUCCUGUUGUGUUUUUUUUAUUGAGACCUAAUGUAAGCACCCUAGCUAUCCUCGGUUUAUAUGUGCUUUUAAUCUUUAAUGAAUAUUGUACUUAUGUUGAAAAUAAUUGUAUGGAUUAAGCCAUUAAUUAUUUGUAGAAUACAUAUUUAAGGUAUUGACUAUUUAUAGAAUAAUAUUUUAGGUAUUAAUUAUUUAUAGAAUAAAUAUUUAAAGUAUUAAUUAAUAUUAGAAUAGAUAUUUAAGGUAUUAAAUUGUUUUGUGAAUAUUUGUUUGUAAUUAUAAAGUUUACGUAAACAUAGAUAUCUAUGUUUACGUAAAUUUUGUAAUUACAUUUAUAAGUAUCGUCGCGUAAGAUAUUUUUGCGCGACAAAUACAUGUAUUUGUCACACAAAGCACGGUCAAACUACGUUCAAACCAACCAAUUUAUUGCGUAUUUAUGACGCAUUUUACGCGACGGACUUAGAGGUUUGAGUGUCAAAUAUUUCGUUGUGCAAAGGUGUCCUACUGCUAUAUAAUCACAGUUUUAGAGGCGUAGUUUUCAAAUUUUUUUUGUUUCAAAAAGAAUGGGCGAUUAUGGAGAAGGUUCUGGCAAAAAAAAAGUUGUUGUGGGAUUAGAGAGGUAUAGACGGAAGCAAGUGCCGUACUUUGAAGGCAAAAAUAUGGUUAAGGCGUACGCCGAAUUUAAGUAUGACAUUAGAAAUUUGGUGCAGAGGGAUUGUUCUGCCGAGUUUGAGUCUUGGAAAAAGGUUCCUGAGGAGUUGAAGAAGUCCAUGCUGGGAGAGUUAUCAGUAAGUUUGUGGUAAAUAAUUAACAAUUAUUUUUGUUAAACGUAAUAUUUUUUAAAUUACUAAUUUAUUAUUAUUGGCAUUAAUGUAGGCUCAUUGGGAUGUUGAUGAAACCGAUGAGAAGCAACGGAUUUAUGUGAAUGGGCUUUUCAAGCAGAGUUUCCGGCAGUUGAGGUUUGAUGUGUUGCGGGAGAAGGAGGAGUGAAGUUGAUGAGAGUUGUUUUUUAUUUUUAUUUAAAAUAAGAUUUUGUGGACUUUAUAUUUAAUUUAACGAAUAAAUAGAUGUUAUGUGGAUGAGUAUUAAUAUUUGCAUUAAUUAUAAUUUCUAUUUGGGAUAGUAAAUUAGUUUUGUUAAUUAAUUUAAUGUUUAAUUAGGUUUGAGUUUUUGAUUUAUAAUAAAAUAAAAAUUUACAAUGCAUACAAAUAAAAAAGAAAAACAUAAAAAAAAAAUGGAUUGCACGACGAAUGUUCCUUUUUCGUCGCUCAAAGUUAUCUUACGCGAUGAAAUACGUAAUUCGUCACGCAAAAUCGUUCGUCCUUUUCAAUCUAAAUUCAACCAUGUGCAGAGGCAAACUGCAAAAAAAAUGCAAAUUGUGCCUCUGCACUCAUCCCUUCGAUUUUGCUCAAUCCGGCAUUUCCAUUUUUUCUCAAUUUCAUCAUCUAAUACACCCUCUAUCUUCUUCUCUAGGUUGAUCGAGCUAUCUCGAUGUGUCUGGUAAGCGUUUUUUGUAAUUACUGUAAAAGUAUUAAUAUAAAUUCGAACUAAUGUCAUUAAUUUCGUUGUCUAUAGGGAUAUUGUGUGUGCAUAGUGAUUGGUGGAGAACGAUUGAGAAGGUAUUUUGUUCGUUUUAUUUUUUAAACAUAUAAAAUUAAUUAAAUUAUGUUGAACUUAGUUUGUUAUGUUUAUAUUGUGUCCUAAAAUUAUAUUUAUAUUAUGUUGUUAAAUUUGUACGUGACGUACAAAUAUGUGUUGUGAUGUACGGAGUUAAUUGAAAUUAACUUUGUACUUGUUUUUUAUUUUUAGUAAAACUUAGUUUCCCGUUUGAGGAUUAGUUGGAUUUCGUGCAUAGAUGUGAACGCAUGACUGCGGUCUAAGUAAUUCUUGAAUUGUCCCAUUAUUUGGACAGUUUGGGAAUGCACAGUUAUGAUGCAUAGUUUAUGGUUGAAGGAUUAGGUUUUGGUUGUGGAGAUUUCGGUGUCAUUUUUGUACGUUUUUCAAGUCGUACACCCGAAGAACUGCAUCGAGAUGUUGCCGAAAUUCAUCAACGUCGAAAUCUAAUCUGAUGUAGCUGUAAAUUACGUGACAUGACUAUGCAUUCCCGAAUGGGAUAGGGCCCUUACCGAAGGCAUAAGGUGACAUUAUCAUUUUGUAUGAAGUUGUUGUGAUUGUUGUAUUGUUAUUGUGGUUCCAGGAAUUAUGGACAUGACAUGGAUACAGAACCCGAAUAGAUGCGCAGAUGAAUACUUGGAUGGAAUCGAGGAUUUUAUUGACUUUGCACAUACACACAACCCGGGUGCAACAAGAAUCUGGUGUCCUUGUAGAAGGUGUAACAACACGUUAAGGGAGAUAAUUGAAAAUGUUUGAUUUCAUUUAGUAAGGAACGAAAUGAUUGAGACAUAUAAUACUUGGAACCAUCAUGGGGAACAAUUAGACAAUGCUUCGUCUUCAAACGCCACAAUAGUGGAUAAUGUUGAACCUAUUGUGGAUCCUAAUGAACAAGUCAUGGAUAUUAUAAAUGAUGUUUUUCCAUUUGCAUCAACAAACACUAAUCAGGAAGGGGAAAAUGACGUGCCUACAUCAAUGGACAGUGCAGAGUUAGAACAAUAUGAAAAACUAUUAAAAAAUGCCAACCAAGAGUUAUACCCAGGGUGAGAGAGCUUUUCCAUUCUCACGGCCAUUGUGGAACUAAUGCAUGGAAAAAUAAAGUAUCGUAUGUCGAACCAGUGUUUCGAUUACUUUUUGGGGGUUUUCAAGAGAAUGUUUCCGAAGAAUAAUUGUUUGCCGAAAGACUAUAGACACAUGCAAAACGUGUUGAAUGGUCUUGGAUUAGGUUAUGAAAAAAUUCACGCUUGCAAAAAUAAUUGUAUUUUAUUCUACGAAGAGAAUAAAGCAUUAGAUAAAUGCCAUGUAUGCAAUGAGUCGAGGUUCAAAAUGACAUCUCAGAAUAGAACGACUAAGAUCCCACAAAAAAUUAUGCAUUAUCUGCCCUUGAAACUUAGGAUGCAACGAUUGUAUAUGUCGACGCAUACUGCCACAGACAUGAGAUGGCAUAAGGAAAAAUGGGUAGACGAUGAUGUGAUGUGGCAUUUUGUAGACGGAGAGGCAUAGAAAGAGUUCGAUCGAACAUUCCCCGAGUUUGCUGAUGAUUCUCGUAACGUUAGAUUAAGACUUGCCACUGACGGAUUUAAUCCGUUUGGGGUUUUAAACCAACACCAUAGUACUUGGCCGAUUUUCGUAUUUCCGUAUAAUUUGCCGCCCAGGAAAUGUAUGAAAAAAGAAUACAUGAUGAUAACUCUACUGAUAACUGAGGAUCCUGGUAGGUCAAUCAAUGUUUACUUAUGGCCGUUGGUAGAUGACCUAAAAGAUUUAUGGACACACGGCAUGCGCAUAUACGAUAAAUGUACUGGCAUGAUGUUCACUUUGCGUGCUGCAGUGAUGUGGACUAUGAAAGAUUUCCCCGCAUAUGCAAUGGUUUUCGGGUGGAGCACUAGGGGUGAUAUGGCAUGCCCUGUAUGCAAGGAAGACGUAACGUCUAGUUGGCAUGUCGAAAAAGUUUGUUACCUUGGUCAUCGAAGAUGGUUGCCUUGGGACCACAAGUGGCGAGAGAAGAAUAAAGAGUUUGACGGGGAGAAAGAACAUUGCCUCAAACCCAGAGAAUGAUCCGGUGCUCAAAUUUUGGAACAGCUUAACCGUUCGAAUUUUGCUCAUUUCGGGACCAAUGUCAAUAAGACAAGACCUUUUACACUUAUGAACUGGACGCACAAGUCUAUGUUUUUUGAGUUCCCGUAUUGGUCCAAACUAAAAUUGAGACACAACCUCGAUGUUAUGCAUGUUGAAAAAAAUGUAUUUGACACAUUGGUCGGCACAAUUCUAGAUUUUGAGGGCAGGACAAGGGACACGAUCAAAGCUCGUCUUGAUUUGGAACGAAUAGGAAUACGACGGGGUUUAUGGAUGAAUAAGGACAAUGAUAAAGCCAGAAGGGAUAUUGCAUUUUUUUCAAUGAAACCGAAUGACAAAAAAGAAUUUUUGAAGUUUUUAUCGUCUGUAAAGUUUUCCGAUGGGUAUGCUUCAAAUAUCACAUGUUGCGUGAACGUUGACGGGAGUAAAUUAGCUGGCCUAAAAAGUCAUGACUGCCAUGUGGUUCUGCAAUGCCUACUUUCUGUGGGUAUUAGACAUCUCUUGCCAGCCGAUGUAGUGAAACCAAUCAUGUUGUUGUCCAGUUUUUUUUUUUUUUUUUUUUUUUUUCCAAUUAAUGUUAAGAAUGUUGCAAAAAAUUUACGUUAAUCAGUUGCGCCAUGACAUUGUGCAAGUUCUAUGCAAGUUUGAGAUGAUAUUUCCUCCAGCUUUCUUCACAAGUAUGAUACAUGUGAUGGUUCACUUACCAAAUGAGGCAUUGCUUGUUGAACCAAACAACUUUCAAUGGAUGUAUCCAAUAGAAAGGUAUAUAUUCCCUGUCUUUUUUAUUAAUCAAUAUUAAAUAUAUUAAGAUUAGUAAUAUGUGUAUCAUAUCAUUUUCUUUUGGUAGGCUUUUCGGAGACUUGAAGAAAAGUGUAUGAAACAGAGCGAAGCCCGAAGGAUCCAUUAUACAAGCUUGGUGGCAUAUGAGGCGCUUACAUUUUGUGGAAUGUAUUUAAAGGAUGUUGAGACAACUUUCAAUUGUCUUCCUCGCAAUAAUGACGGGGGUGUGAGAAAGGAGAAACUUUCAGUUUUUGCCUAAAUCGCUUGACCAUUAGGAGAUCUGAUUUUUGGCGAGUCAUUUUCCAAGAAGGAUAUGGAGGUAGCACAUUGGUUCGUACUCAAAAAUUAUGAUGAGACACUGUCAUACCUAGACGAGCAUGAAAAUAUGAUGAAUCAGGCACAUCCUUCACAUUUGUAUGCCAAGAAAUAUCGUGAAUUGGUUCCGUAGUGGUUUCUCGAAUAUGUAAGUUUGAAGUGUUUUGUAUUUGACAUAUAUAUUGUGCCAAUUAAGUUGCUCAAACUAACAAAUUUAAAUGUUUGUCUAAUAUUAGGUGAAUCAACUGAAAGCAUCGAAUUCCCCCGCGUACAGUGAAGAGUUAUAUAACUUGGUGUUCGAACCAAUACGCGUUGAAUUGUACUCGGGUUGCUAUGUGAACGGCGUCAAGUUUUUAGCGGGUGCACGAGAUGACAAGUUGUGUAUGCAAAACAACGGAGUUCAUGUCCUCGAGGGAGGUGAAAGUACAGACAUUGAAUUCUAUGGUAAACUAACAAGUGUCGUGCAAUUGCUUUACAAAGACCGGUGCCAAGUGAUCCUAUUUAAGUGUCGAUGGUUUGAUACAAACCCAAAUAGGCAUGGAAGUGUGAAAAGAGAUCAUGGAUUACUAUCAGUUAACACUACCAAAACUUGGUACGAUGACAACUGUUACAUCUUAGCAAGCAUGGCAAAACAAAGUGUGUAUCUAGAUGACCCUAAAGCCGGGAAGGGUUGGAAAGUUGUUCAAACGAUGGAUCAUAGGAACGUGUAUGCUAUACCAGAACAAGACCAUACUGACAAUGACAUCGACAAUGUUGCUGACCAACGUCUUGAAUCUUUGAUGGAAAGUGAUGCGGAAACACUCUGAGAUACUAAUCUUAUCCAAGAACCAUUUCAGAUAGAAGGAGUAUCUUCAAUCGAAAUAUAGAUUCAGUCGAUCACAAUUGACCUCAGUAAUAUUCCACGAUACGAUGGUCCAGUGCGCACAAACAACGAUGGUGACGUACCUAUCGAUGAUGAGGAAUGGGAAGCUGAAAAUGAUGAUAGUGACGAAAGGGAAAGUUAUUAUAGUUCGAAUGAAGAUUAAGACAAUUUAUUUGUAACUUUUUUUGUAAAACACAUGAAAUGGUUAAUGUGUGAUGGAAAAAUGGUAUGAAUGAUUCCCAUUUUAUAUGUGAAAUACUUUGUAAAUAAAUUUGGUAUGUUUGUAUUUUAUAAUAAAUUGUAAACAAAAUAAAAAAAAAUUAAAAACCAUUUUAAAACAUAAUUGUGUGACGCAUAACAAUUUUUGGUCGCACAAGCUAGGCCUGUCAAUUCUUGACACGACAACCAAAAUAUUAAUUUAAUAAUUUUAUAACCCUAAAAAAAUACUAUAAUAAUUAUAUAUAUUAAUUUAACAAUUUUAUACCCCUAAAAACUAUAAUAAUUAUAUAUAUAUAUUAUAUUAAAUUUAAAAAAUUGGUGACCACUAGAUCGGCUUAAAUAAACAUACCAUUCAACUUCUUAAGUGUUAUACUUAUACAUACAAAAUAAAUAAAUUUAACUCUACUUAUUAAAUAUAUAUAUAUAUAUAUAUAUAUAUAUAUAUAUAUAUUGUAUAUGGUUUGAGAGAGAAUCAUAAGUCAGGGGUGAGUCAUACGAACUCAGGAUCGGUAGAGAGGGAAGUUUCUCAAAAACCUAGGUUAGAAAAUGGAGCUUGCUUACUUUUGCCCUAUGCUAGAGUCGAAUUUUCAAAGUCAUUCAAAUGAUUCCCCAAAUUCUAAUUAUUAAAAAAAAUGAGAUCCAUUAUACAGGCUAAUCCGAUAUAGAAAAAGGCUCCCUGGCUUCGCCUAAAUCUGUAUCAAUAGCAAUGGCAAGAUCAACUACUGAAGGGGUUGUGGCACCCAUUUGGCUUUGUUUGCAUGACUCUAGGAAUUGAUCUGAAAUGGUAGCCUGUUGACCGCAUACGUCAAAAAUCGCAAAAAAACAAACAUUCAGAGAUGAAGUAACGGGAUAAAACUUUUCGACAGUUAGAAACGAAAAAUCAUGAUUUAACAGUUAUUUUAACUCCGAUUUUGAUGAUUUUUUAAAACUAUUUACCCUAUAUGAAUACAAUGAAUGAAUUCGAUCUUCAAUUUAAACUAUUUACACUAGUGGAUAACACAAAAUCUUAUGUUAUACUUAAUGAAAGUAUAAAUAAACUCUAAAUGCCAGUGAAUCUAUCUUUUUGAUGUGAUAUGCAUUCUACAGAACUAAUUUGAACGAUCCAACCAUCAAACUUGUUUGUAUAUGGUUUGAGAUCGCAUACACCAAAAAUCACAACAAAAAAAAACAUUCAGAGAUCAAGUAACGGGACAAAACUUUUCCAUAGUUAAAAACGAAAAAUCACGAUUUAACAGUUAUUUUAACUCCGAUUUUGAUGAUUUUUUACAACUACACUCCUUGACCCUAUAUGAAUACAACGAAUGAAUUCGAUCUUCAAUUUAAGCUAUUUACACUAGUGGAUACCACAAAAUCUUAUGUUAUACUUAAUGAAAGUAUAAAUAAACUCGAAGUGUUAGUGAAUCUAGCUUUUUUAUGGGAUACGCAUUCUACGAAACUAAUUUGAACUAUCCAACCGUCAGACUUGUUUGUAUAUGGUUCGAGAUUGCAUAAGCCAAAAAUCGCAAAAAACAAAACUUUCAGAGAUCAAGUAAAGGGACAAAACUUUUCGACAGUUAGAAAUGAAAAAUCACGAUUUAACGGUUAUUUUAAAUUUACGCGGGAGUAUUGCGCGACAAAUACAUAUAUUUCGUCGCACAAAGUAUAUUUGCACGACGAAAUAUUGUAUUCUUAGCACAAGUGUCUGAAAUUUCAAUUAAGGCAUUUUUUUUACAUGGAAAUUUUUAAAAAACUUGCACGACGAUUUUUGGCCUUGCGAGACAAAGGCUCUGUCGCGCAAGAUUCUAUAUUUUAACCCCAACUCUCCUUCUUCCCCUCACUUCUCUCUUCUUCCUUUUUCCCUGCGCGAUACCCUCUCUCUCAUUCCUCUGUAUCUCCAUCUGUCUCUCCAUCCCUCUCUCCGGCCGUCACGACUUCGUCUCCAAGAGGUAAUUUCCUCUUCAAUUUUCAUUAUCAAUUUUCUUUAUUUACAAAUUGGGGGUUCGAAUUAGGGUUUUUUGGUUUUUUUUCUUUUUCAAAUUGGGGGUUAGAAUUAGGGCAGUUAGGGUUCGUAAAUUGUGAGUUACAUUUAGGUUCUUAAAUUAGAGUUUUUAGGGUUCUUAAUUGGGGUUAGAUUUAGGUCUUAAAUUAGAGGACCGAUUUUGGGCAGUGAGGUUAGAUUAGGUUUUCUUAAUUUGGGGGGUUAGAUUUAGGGUGCUUGACUGGGGGUUAGAUUAGGGUUAUUAAAUUAGGGUUUUUUUUAAUUUCAAGUAUAGGGUUCGAAUUAAGGGUUGUUUUUUAAUUUAAGUACAUGGUUCUUAAAUUAGGGAUUUGUUAAUGUUUUCAUGUGUUCUAUGCAUCCACAACAUUGCACUUACAUGUUUCCAUAUGCAAGAAUCCUUUUAUUUAUUUAUCUUUAUAUCGUAUAAUUCACCUUUUCAAUUCUCUUUUAUUACGAUGAUAUGAAAUAUAUUUAUGUUUGUGGUUUUUAUGUUGGAAUUUAAGAUAUUGUAGGAUGUGUUCUCUAUUGUAGGUUUGAAAGAAAAAAAAUUGAAUUGCACUGUACAUUUGUGGAAUAAGUUUUUAGAGAUUUGCAUUGUAGACUGCCAUGAUUUCUUCAUAUAUGAUGGGGCAUCAGCCUUUGUUGUUGCCUUAUUAAUAUGAUAGAUGGUUGCGUUGCUUGUUGAAUUCGGCCUCCCAAUUUUGAAGUUACAGUUUUAGGAAUGUUAUGAAUGGAUUCUCUCCUGAGUCAGGCUAUACUUAAUUCACCAAGAAGGACAAAAAAUGGGAAAUGUAUAUGUAAAAUAUGUUUUCAGCCAGAUAGGGCAAUGUCAUGGUGAUUAGGUAUAACAAACCAAUAGGAACACAUUAAACCAAAUGAAAUAUGUUUGUGAACUCCAUUAUUAUUAUUAUUCAAAGAUAUGGGAACCCACAUGAUAUAAGCAAUUCUGGAUUUUACUAGUAAAUAAUGAUAUGCUCUCUCUUACAUUAUUAGUUUGUUGUGAGGUCUUUAUUUAAACAUAAGGUAGUAAGGAUAUCCAAGGCACCUCACAUUUGUUUGGUUUUAGGUAGUAAACUUGUAAGGAUGUCAUUUAUGCUAGUUUCUUCUUAUAAGUUAUAAUUGCUGGGUCUAUAUCCUAUCUGAAUUGAUUAGUUUGUGUAUAGUAUAUUAGUUUUAAGUUUUGUUACUGCCAAACUUGAAUUGGGUAUAGAAUUAGGGUUUUUAAAUUUUGUUUUAAAUUUAAGUUCAAAUUAUUAGCAUGUGUACCGUAAGUUAAAUCUUUGUAUACGAAACAAAUUGAUUUCCAAUUUUGUAGAUGUCACACCUCAUUAAAACCCGGAGGGCGAUGACUUCUACACCUAGUCCAAUGGCUACACCUAGUCCAAUGGCUACACCUAGUCUGUCGACUACACUUACUACUGCCACCACUGCUCUGGUAAAGAUGGACCAUAGGCCGGUCAAUCCGGUUGACCCAAUUGGUCCUCCAGUCCCACAAGCGUAGGCAUUGUCGACUUCUUCAGUGGCGUUGCCUGUUAGCUUCUGACGUACUCACUGGCACCCUCGCAGUACGGACUAGAUGUCGUCAUUGGGAUCCACAACCGAUGCCUCGGGUACACGACCAGAUAUACAAUCCUAAUUCACUCCCUCAUUCCCAUGUUAAUUGAGUUUUGUUAUUUUAGGUUCAAUUUGUUAUGCCAUGUCAUGUAAGGAUUAAAAAGUUUCCAUUGUUUUCUCUUUUUUUGUUUGCAAUUUCUUCACUUUCAGAAAUGGGUUUGUCAUGAAAUCGAAAUUGUGUGUAUUCCGUAAUUCAUUUCUGUUAAUUUUUAUGUUUUUGCAAUUUUUUUGUUAAUUUAUGUGUCAUUUCUUAGUUACUCAAUAGGUUUUUCACGGAAUUGAAACGGUAGUGUUGUGGAAGAGAUUUGAUGCUGAGGAAAUGGCAAAAAUGUUUAACUAGGCAAUGAAAACCUUGGUAAUUAUAAUGAAGCGAAGUUUUUAGAGUCAUAGAAGUUUCGGUUGUGACUGUAAGAGUCUUACAAAUGUCAAUGUGGAAGAGGUUAUAUGGAAUUGUUUGCUACGGUAGUUCAGAAUUCUUUGCCAAGCCUGUUGCCAGCAAUGUUUUUGAGCCUGUGUAUACAAGCUCGAAAAUUGGCCAUCUUGGAUGGCAGUUGUCGCCAUUUUUAGAAGUUUGUUAUGGUAUUUCAAAACGCUCGAAUUGGAAAUCAUAUAUACUAAAACUCAGUUUUGGAGCACUAUGGAUGACCAGUGGUCUUACGUUUUUGCCCUUAUGUUUUUGCUUUGUUUGCCUUGCUGUUUUCUGUUUGCUGCAGUGAAAAGUCUAUUUUGCCCAUUCGCUCCACGCGUCCGUCAUCCUUGAUUUGUUCCAUUCGUUUGUGAAGUUUCUUUUCGGUUUAACCCUCUGCUUCUGCUGCUCUCUCUCUUUCUCUCAUCCCUGCUUUGUUCUCACUGCUCAUCUCCGAUUGUUUGCUGUUCUUAAAUAUUGUGUUGAUUGCCUCGAAAAAUAUUGGGGGGAAACUUCCUGAUUUUCGUCUUUUAAGCUAUCUUAUUUCUGCUAUCUGACUUGAAGAGGGUUUUACAACUAGUAUGUUCUAAUUAGGAGAAAGGAAAUAGUGGCCUCAACCAGAGAAGUAGCUGUGAUGCUCAAUAAGUAACUUUUAGGAGAAAUAGAGGAAGAAAAUGUAUGUGAAUGUUAACUGAUCAGUUUUGUUAUUUUAGGUUCAAUUUGUUAAGUUAUGUCAUGUAAGGAUUAAAAAGUUGUCAUCCUUCCAAACCUUUUAUUAAACUGUUGUGAUCAUUGUGUUAACCUGUGAUUCAUUUGCUUCGUAAAAUGUCUGAGGCACAACAUGCUUAGAUAUGUUACAAAGGAAUGCAGUGUGAGCAGGUGACAACCUUUGAUAAGGCACGUAGUUGGAUAGUGGAUGCCUUGGCUUGUAAGUGACAAAGACUUAGAGUCUUGCUGAAGGGUGCCUUUCAUGCAUGAGAUUACGUCAAGGAGCAGCUGGAUUGGACUGAUGUUGUGACACUUCUGGAGCAACACUUUGGAGGGAUUCCUCUUCAACCUGAGUCGCAGUGUCACCUCCUGAAUCUGCUUGACACCUCAGAAGGAUGCCCGCUCUGAUGUUGUUAUCUCAUAUGUUGUUUAGGAUUGAGACUUGUAAUGGUUGUCUACAUCGAUUGGAUUAAAGCCUUGUAUAUAUUACGUUGGAUUAAUUCAAAGAGAAUUUGAGUUUCACAAGUACCCAAAAUCCAUCGUAUCAAAGAGAAUUACAAAAAAUUGCUUGCUUUUUUUUUUUUUUUUAAAAGCUUUCAAGUACAGGAUACAAUGGAUUCAUGUUUUCCUUGCGUAGUUGUAUGAUUCAGAUUACUAAUUUUAAUAUUAUGAGGUAUAUAUGUAUUUGUGAUGUUUUCACAACUGAGUGUUUAAUUAGUUGAAUUCAUUGGACUGACGCUAGAUAGCUUAUCUCAUUCCAGGGCUUUAACUAUUGUGGGGACAUUGCCAGGUAACCGAAAGGAACAAUACAACAACAACAACAACAAAGCCUUUUUUCACUAAGUGAGGUCGGCUAUAUGAAUCCUAGAACAUCAUUGCGCUCGGUUCUGUGUCAUGUCUUCUGUUAGAUCCAAGUACUCUAAGUCUUUUCUUAGAGAACAAAAAGAAACAAUGUAGAUGGAAAAUGAACUCUUUUGAUUUUCGUACAAGUCGAAUUCAUGGAUUGACCGUGCCAUAUGUGCACGAAGACAUAUUCAAGCGCUCAAUCAAUCACUUGUUGGUUGUGAGAAUCUUUCCACAACAAGGGUAUGUGAAACCAAUACUUCUUGACUCCGCUUUGAUUGCAGCUUGGUUUACCAGUACUUAACUGCCAUUAAAAUUGCAUUACUGUUUAUGAAUAUCGUAUAGCCCUCAUCUAGUGGUGCUUUGGAUAUACUGUUGUUGCCAUCUAUGUCUUUCGGAUCGCCCCGAAAAUUUACUUGCUGUCGUCUUUGUUCUUUUACAUCUUAUUUGAUUAAAGUUCAACCAUUCACAAAAGAUGCAUAAGCUUGUUAAUGAUCACACAUCCUCUGUUUGGAUUGUUUCACCAUUAGGCCAUUUUUUUUUUUUUUUUUUUUGUAUCUUUCUCAGAAAAUACUUUGUUUUAAUAUUAUUCUACUUACUCUUCAUACAAGCGCCUGGAUACUAUUAACGGUAAUAUACUGAAAACAAAACACUUCCAUUGUCCGAGGCUCUCAAGUGUCAGCUUGAAAGUACAAAACAGAUUUGCAAGAGCAGCUUGAGGUGUGUUGCUUUUGCUAUCGUUUACCUAAACCCGAACUUAGUGGCCAAAUAAUAUUCUAGCUAGCUUUCACUUGUGAGGAUGUAAAAGGCAAAGUCCCACCCGAACUUGUAAGGAGGGCAACUUCCCAUUUCUAAUUGGUUCUUGGAUAGAACCUCAACAUUCAUACGGCCCAUUUCCUAAUCAUUGUCGCUGCUUUCUAAAAUAGGUUCAAAAGAAGUUGCAGAUGAGAAAUGAAGCUCAAGAGAAGUUGCUAAAUGCUAAUAUACAAGGUUCUAAAAAACGUUAGGCGCUAGUCGGGCGGUGAACUAGCGCCUAGCGCCUAGGCGGCUAGGUAGGGUGUAGGCGGGCGCCUAGGCGGCCUAGGCGGAUUUAGGUAAAUUUCUUAUAUAUUAUAUGAAUUAAUUAAAUUUACUAUAUUAGAUGUAAAUAAUUAUUGAAUAAUAUGUUAUUUCUUAUAAAAGAACAUACAUAUGUGAAUGUUUUAUGUACAUAUAUAAUAUGCUUGCCUAGGAAAAAAAAUAUUAUCUAAAUAAUUUAUAAUUUUAAUUUAUAUAUAUAUAUAUAUAUAUAUAUAUAUAUAUAUAUAUAUAUAUACAGAGGGAUCCCCAUUUUUUGAAAAAAAUGGGGAUUAGGUGUGGGGCCCACUUCACAUCUAAUUUUAACGAUCCGAACCGUCUAUUUUGUUAGUCUCGAUUCAUAGAUCAUCCUUGCAAAAUAUUAGCUAAAUUGGAAAUGUUUAAGACAUCUAAUUGGGUUCAAGGAAAUGAAAGAAUACUUUGUUAUAUAAGAAAAUAUGAAAUUUGAUAUUGAUAAUUAAAUAGGCAAAUGGUUUCGGAUUGAAUUGAAUUUUUGCAAGGAUGAUCUAUGAAUCGAGACUAACAAAAUAGACGGUUCGGAUCGUUGAAAUUUGAUGUGAAGUAGGCCCCACACCUAAUCCCCAUUUUUUUUCAAAAAAUGGGGAUCCCUCCCCUUAAGCUCUCUGUAUAUAUAUAUAUAUAUAUAAAGCCCACGCAAGUGGGUGAUGAUGACACAUACAUAACAUUUAUAUAAAAAGCCCACGCAAGUGGGUGGUUUUGAUAAUUAAAGUUGUCCAUCCUAUUUCACAUCACCCAACCCCUAGACCUCAGUCAUCAUUAGUUUUUUAUCUUGGAAAGUGAAAUGCCAUCAUCAGUUUUUCACAUCACCCUAUUUCGUUUCUUCUUAUUUGCCUUUUCAGAAUCUCAAAAUUUUAGUCUCUUUCUCUGUCUCUCAUUCUGUUUUCCAGAAACCUCUAGCACUCUUUUAGUCUCUCUCUCUCUCUCUCUCUCUCUCUCUCUCUCUCUCGUUCUUUUUCCAGAAACCUCUAGGAAAGCAACCAUGGCUAUAUUUAGAUGCAGACACAUAUGGGAGUUUCGAUGCAGAUGCGAGAGUUAGAGUUGCAGAUCCGAUGAGAGUUCGAGACGGGAAGAGUUGCAGAGCCUUCAACGCCGACAAGAAUGGAGACCGUGGAAACUAAGAGAGAUGAUCGAAGCCGAUGGCCUAGAAAACCUCUCGAAGUUGCAGCGGGUGAGUGCACUGCAGUUGAGGAAAAAGAGACGAAGUGGACGACGAGACUUGGUUUCUGAAAUUGGUUUAAAAAAAAAAAAAAAAAAAUCACUCAGCUCCGCCUAGCCGCCUAGCCCGCCUAGGCAACCACCUAGAGCACAGCCGAUUUUUCCGGCCGAUUUGCAAGAAAACGCCUCGGAUGGUGACCGCCCAGCGCCUAGGCAGCCGCCUAGGCCGUUUUUUAGAACACUGCUAAUAUAUUAUCAAUUUUAGCAAGAAAAAAAAAUUGGCUUUUAUUAUUUGUAAUUUUUUUUAACCUUUUUUUUUUUCGUAGACAUAGUGCAUCGUUUAUUAUUCAGAGUUUUGUUUAUCUACACCCCAUCUCCUAUCAAAGUUCGCUCACAUCUCUAUCUAUAUUUCAUCUAAACAAAUGCAAGUUUGGUACACAAAUAAAGAAGGAGCAGGUGUUGUAGCUAUCAAAAGACAUCUGGCUUGUUAAGCUGGUAUGAUAUGGAUUACCGAUUGAUGCUCUCCUUGGAAGAAAUUUAACUGUAAUUUGUGGACUUCCCCUUAUUAUCUCUUCCUUCUCCGAGCUCGGGUUAUGGAAGAAGGAGAAGAACCCUGGAGAACUCUGUGACAGAAUUGACGCGUGAGGGGAUGAACUUCACUUGAUGAAGACUGAUCAAACUGCAUCAAGCUGCCAAAACUUCUCCAGUUGUGACAAUACUCAAAUCAUUCUCAAGAAACGGUUACAUAACAUUAAUUUGCAUGUAUCAAAUAAUGUGCAUUAUCCUUGACUAAUUAACUGGAUAUCAUCGUUCAUACAGUUAAUUAGCCGACGCUUGGAGUUUUUAUUCCCUUUUCGAUUUUCGUACAAGUAGAAUGCAUGUGCAUGGAUGGACGAUGCAGUAAGUACGCAAAACAUCUAUUUGUUGGUUGUGAAAAUCUUUCUUCAAACCGGUGAAAGGAUCAUGAAAAGUUCAGUUUUAGUGGUUAUGGGAAAUUAUGACACCUAAGCCAAGGUUUUGAACAUUGGUCUCUGAUAGGAUUUUCACCACCUGCAAAAGUAGGAAUAAAACCACUUUAAAAUAUUUGCAAGAGAACAAAGUUAUUGAAGUAUAAACAACUCAAGCAAGACCAUUUUCCAUAGGGAUUGAUAUGAAUAAAUUGUAUUUAAAACCAAUUCUUAGCUAAUUAACUAUUUGACACAAGAUUUUGAAAACAUUUGAAAUUGUGAAUUAUAAUGUAUACUUUUUUUUUUAAUUUUGUAAAGAAUGAUUAGGCGAGAUUAGCUCUUCGUGAACAGUCGUGAGCAAGGCACCAACCCUCUCUUGAAGGAGAAAGGACCGUUACACCCAGAAACUCCCCGCCCGUCCCUUCUCUACUAGAUUUUAUUAAUAAUAUGAAGAAAAAAAGAAAAGUAAUACAAGUGGGGGACCAGGCCAAUACCCACUAAAAACAAUUUUAAAGCCAAACCCUAACAAGAAGUAGAAAACUACUAGAAACAAGGAAACCGAAUUACAAAAAGACAAGGUAAAACCCAUCCUAACAAAAUCGAAAAUUGGGGCGAAGAGAAAGAUUAUGAUGAUACGCGACAAUAGCACAAGGAGGACAAAAGUCCCACCAAUAAACCCCAGGAUGGUCCACUCCAAAAUUUACCAAACAGUCAGUCACCCAACUCCCUUCAUGAAAAAUUUAUGUGUAACUCUUAUGCACAUAGAAGAGUGCAACGCUUGACAAUUCAACCAACGAACCCUCAAACGUCAGGGAACGCGAUUAUGAGAAGCAGAGAUGAAAAGAACAACCAAUGAUGGAUUACACUGAAUCCAAAGGGAACACCAACUCUUCUCCCAAGCUAAGUUUACCGCAUGAAUUACAGCAUGCAAUUCAGCGUCAAAAGAGGUGGCCACCAUUAAAGAAGUAGCAAAACACCCUACGCAUGAACCAAAAUAAUCACGAAAGAUAUCGCCAGUACCAGCCAAUCUUAGUAAUCCAUGAGUUGCACCAUCAGUAUUCACCUUGACCCAAUGUAGAGAAGGUGGUUUCCAUAAAACUUCAAAUAACACGAGGUGACCUGGCAGGACAACCAGACAAACCUAUAGCGAGAAGAAUACAAAGUUCUUCCCAAGAUUUUUUCAUGUUUCCCUUGCUAAGUGAAUCAAUUUCAAGAAGCUGACAAUUAAUUGAGCAAACAAUAGCAGUAAUGGAUGGUUGAAUAUCAUUAAAACAAAGCUUAUUAUGUGAUGUCCAAAGACAACACAAACAAGCCCCAAUUAGGCCUCCACCAUAGAAGUUGAAUUUGAGAGCCAUAGCCUUUGUGAUUAGGAUAAGUGAAAAAGGUCAUAAUAUCAUCAAAAGGAGAAAUCACCCCAAACCAAUUUAAACAUGAAGACCAAACUUGACAUGAAAAGGAACCACUACUACAUUAAACACUUUGCACGACGAAGAGUAUUUGUCAUGCAAAGCAUUUCCAGGUCGCACAAAACCUAUGGCGACACAGAAAUCGUCGCGCAGAAUUUGUCGUGCAAAGGUCGUGAAGAAAGACCUUGGGUGACAAAGAGUGCAGUUUCGUCGCGCAGCAAAACGAUUGUGCGACACUUUACUGCUUGUCGCAAGAAAGGUAUACGGACAAAGGUUUCGUCCCACGAUACAAGAGGGUACAAGUGUGCUUUGUGAUGAGAAAUUUUUGGGAACGUCUAUGGUUUGUCUCGAAAAUGUUUGCAUGACGAAACAUGUAAGACAUGCGUCAUUUUGCACGACGAUAUAUCUUCACUGCGCAAGUGUAAUUUUUAAGUUAAAAAAAAUUAAUAAAUAGAAUAAAUAGAAUGUUAUUAAAAAAUAUAUUUCAUACAAUUGACAAAAAAAAAACAAAUUAAUGAAUAGAAUAACAAUUUAUUUAUAAUAUAAAUAAAAAUGUACGUACAAAUACAAAGUUUAAAAACAAAGUGGGAAAAAAACUACGAAAAAAAUGAGGCAUAAUCUAUGGGCAAGUCGUUCAGAGGUGCUUGGUAAUCUUACUGGUGGAAGGGAGUGGGGUUGGGGAUAAGGUUGGAGGUUAAUGGGUCUAAUUGCUGUGUAUGCUCGGGGUGGAGGGGCUUUGAUAGCGGUGGUGCAGAAAAAUCGAGGAGACGAAUGUUGGAGGAACUGAGGACCUGUACAAUCAAUGACAUCUGAGUCUUGUACGAUGCGAGCUCAGUCCUCAAGCCAACGACUUUCUGCGUCAAAGCCGUAACCUCGCCCUUCAACUGCGAGGAUGAAGAGGCUCCACUCCCCCGCCACCUGGCAUUUCCUAUUCCCCGACAAUAUUUCCCUGGCCUCCGAUCGAAAGUCUGGUCCAACAUCUCUAUAAGGAUGUGAAACCCCGCAUCCUCAGGGGGAUUCACAGACUCGAUCGGCGUGUAUGGGGGAAGCUGGGAGGAGGACUCCUAAAGGACUGACUGACCCUUCUCCACCAAUGCACUAUGCUGCUCCGCCAUUGGUGCUGCCCGAUGUCACUCAUCAUAUCCUAUUGUGAUACGAUUGUUGGUCACCCGGGUGGCCUUUGCCUUCUUCAAUUGCCGACAAGGUCCCUAGGUGUUUUUCUUGGUUGCAAAGAAAUGAAAAAUUAACGUUAACCCAAACUAAUAACAAAUCCUACCAAAAUUUCGGCAGAACCUCUCUAUAAUUAAAACAUUUCCCAACACCCUAAAAAUAACAUAAACAAUAUAUGUAUCCAACACAAUGAUCACAACUGUUUAAUAAUGAGUCUAAAACGAUGACAACAAUAAACAAUAUAUAUAUAAUAACUUUUUAAUCCUUAAAUGACAUAACUUAACAAACUGAACCUAAAAUAACAAAAUUAAGUUCACAUGGGAAUGAGGGAGUAAAUUAGGCUAGUAUACCUAGCUGUGGACCCAAGCCAUCGGUUGUGGAUCCCGAUGGCGACAUCUGCUCCGGAGUGCGGGGGCGCCGAUGAGCGUGUCGAGCGCUAACAUGUAGUGCCACUGAAGAAGUCGAAGAUGCCGAUGCCUAUGAGACUGGAGGACCAACUGGGUCAAUCGGAUUCACCGUCCUAUGGUCCAUCUCAACCAGAGCAAUGGCAGCAGUAGUAGGAGGCGUAGUCGUCGGACAAGGUGUAGUCGGCAUUGCCUUCCGACUUCUAAUGAGUUGUGACAUCUACAAUAUUGGAAAUAAAUUUGUUAGAUUACAAAGAUAAAAAUUAUCGUACACAUGCAUAAUAAUUUCUACUUAACUUUAAAACGAAUAAACCAUUACAACCCUAUAUCUAACUCACUGCCCUAAUUUUAAACCCAAAUUUCAGAACCCUAAUUAUAACCUCUAAUUCAAAAUCAACUAACCCCCAACCUAGGAGCCCUAAAUCUCACCCUGUAAAUCUGAAACUAGGAUGAAGAUUUUCAAACAGAAGCAGUAAUGCAACACAUGGACAGCCAUGUCACAUGCACUGUCAACCAAGUACAUUAAUUAGGAACGCCAGUUUUAGGUCGUGUAUGAAAGUGCUUUCAACCUGUACAUUGGUCAAAAGUGUUUUUUCUAGGAAUGUGUGAAAAGUUUCAUAAAUAAACAUAUGCUCCUAUCAACUUUACACAGGACACACAAAUGAAGUACUUUGAUCCUAUUAGACGGGGGAUGGUGAAAAAGCUAGGACAUAAGGGUAGAGUUCAAGAGAGUAGAAUGCGUUUAGGAACGUGGAAUAUAGGAACCUUAACGGGAAAAUCUAUGGAAGUAGUGGAAGUUAUGGUGAGGAGAAGGAUAAAUAUUAUGUGCCUACAAGAAACUAAGUGGGUUGGUCUUAAGGCAAAGGAUCUAGAAAACUCAGGGUUUAAGCUUUGGUAUUCGGGCACAAAUAAAACGAGAAACGGUGUUGGCAUCAUUGUGGACAAGACCUUGACACAAGAUGCUGUAGAUGUCAAGAGGGUAGGAGAUAGAAUCAUGGCAAUCAAGAUUGUAAUAGGACAAGAACUCAUCAAUGUGAUUAGUGCGUACGCACCUCAAGUAGGGUUGGAUACGAGUUCGAAUGAGAAAUUUUAGGAAGACCUUGGAGACUUGGUGCAAGGAAUUGCUCAGACGGAGAAGUUAUUUAUAGGAGAAGAUUUAAAUGGACACGUGGGCAGGGAGACAGGCAACUAUGGAGGUUUUCAUGGUGGCCAUGGUUUUGGGGAGAGAAAUGAGGAUGGGGAAGCUAUCUUGGAUUUUGCAAUGGCAUAUGAUCUCUUCUUAGCCAACACCUUCUUUAAGAAGAGAGAAGAACAUGUGAUCACCUACAAGAGUGGGUCGUCAAAAACACAAAUAGAUUUUCUUCUAAUGAGGAAAGGGGAUCGUAUAACUUGUAAGGAUUGCAAAGUUAUACCGGGGGAGAGCUUGGCUAAUCAACAUCGCUUGUUGGUGAUGGAUGUACAUAUCAAAAGAGUGAGAAAAAAGAACAAGACUUGGAAGUGCCCAAAGGACUAGAUGGUGGAAUCUAAAAGGAGAAAAACAAGUCCAUUUUCAAAGAGCAAGUAAUCACCCAGUGUGUGUGGGAUAGAGAGGGGGAAGCUAGCCAAAUGUGGGAUUCCAUGGCUAGCUUGUAUCCGAAAAGUAGCAAAAGAGGUAUUAGGAGAGUCCAAGGGCUUUGCUCCACACCAAAAGGAAUCUUGGUGGUGGAAUGAGGAGGUACAAACAAAGGUGAAGGCUUAAGAAGGAAUGUUGUAAAGCCUUAUACAAGGAUAGGACCGAUGAAAAUGGUGAAAGGUAUAGAAGAGCGAAGCAAGAGGCGAAGAAAGCUGUGAGAGAAGCUAAGUUAGCGGCUUAUGACGAUAUGUAUAAGCGACUAGAUACCAAAGAAUGAGAGUUGGAUAUCUAUAAACUAGCUAGAGCAAGGGAAAAGAAGACAAGGGACCUAAACCAAGUGAGGUGCAUCAAGGAUGAGGAUGGAAAGGUUCUUGCUACAGAGAACGCGAUCAAAGACAGAUGGAGAGGUUAUUUUCAUAAUCUUUUCAAUGAAGGACAUGAAAGGAGUACUCUUUUAGGGGAGUUGAGUAACUCAGAAGAGUGUAGAAACUACUCAUUUUAUCGUCGAAUCAGGAAGGAAGAAGUUGUUGUAGCUUUGAAGAAGAUGAAGCAUAGAAAAGCAGUGGGCACAGACGAUAUACCGAUUGAAGUGUGGAAAGCCUUGGGAGAGAUAGGUAUAGCAUGGCUCACUGACCUUUUCAAUAGGAUUUUGAAAACGAAGAAGAUGCCAAACGAGUGGCGAAAGAGCACCUUUGGUGCCUAUUUACAAGAAUAAGGGCGACGUACAAAAUUGCAUGAACUAUAGGGGUAUUAAGCUAAUGAGUCAUACAAUGAAGCUCUGGGAGAGAGUCAUUGAGCAUAGAUUAAGGCAAGAGACACGGGUUUCGGACAACCAAUUCGGGUUCAUGCCAAGGCGCUCAACCAUGGAGGUAAUCUAUCUCUUACGAAGAUUGAUGGAAAGAUAUAGAGAUGGGAAAAAGGAUUUACACAUGGUCUUUUAUAGAUUUGGAAAAAGCGUAUGAUAGGGUCCCAAGAGACAUUCUUUGGAGGAUUUUAGAGAAGAAAGGAGUACGAGUAGCAUAUAUCCAAGCUAUAAAGGAUAUGUAUGAAGGAGCAAAGACUGCCGUAAGAACUCAUGAAGGACAAACCGAAAGCUUCCCCAUAACUGUAGGAUUACAUCAAGGCUCAUCCUUAAGUCCUUACCUUUUUGCGUUGGUAAUGGAUGAGUUAAACAGGACAUAUUCAAGAUGAUAUUCCUUGGUGUAUGCUUUUCGCAAACGAUAUAGUGUUGAUAGAUGAAACUCAGGAAGGGGUAAAUGCGAAACUUAACCUUUGGAGAGAAGUGUUGGAAUCUAAAGGUCUUCGCCUAAGCCGAUCAAAGACAGAAUAUAUGGAGUGCAAGUUCAGUGCAAAUGGAGGCCAAAAUGAGUUAGGGGUGAGGAUCGGAGAUCAGGAAAUACCAAAAAGCGACCGUUUUCGCUACCUAGGAUCUAUCUUGCAAAAGAACGGAGAAUUAGAUGGAGAUCUCAACCAUAGAAUACAAGCUGGAUGGAUGAAGUGGAAAAGUGCAUCCGGCGUGUUGUGUGAUCGUCGUAUGCCACUGAAGCUUAAGGGAAAAUUUUAUAGGACGGCAAUAAGGCCGGCGAUGCUGUAUGGCACAUAAUGUUGGGCGGUGAAGCACCAACACGUACACAAAAUGGGUGUAGCGGAGAUGAGGAUGCUUCGUUGGAUGUGUGGGCACACGAGAAAGGAUAAGAUUAGGAAUGAGGAUAUCCGAGGUAAAGUAGGAGCAGCCGAAAUUGAAGGAAAACUGAGAGAAAAUCGGUUACAAUGGUUUGGACAUGUGCAAAGAAGGCCUACUGAAGCUCCGAUUAGAAGAUGCGACUACGGGACAGAGGUUCAGGGCCGAAGGGGUAGAGGAAGACCUAGGAAAACUUUGGAAGAGACUCUAAGAAAAGACUUAGAGUACUUGGAUCUAACGGAGGACAUGACACAGGAUCGAGCACAAUGACGUUCUAAGAUUCAUAUAGCCGACCCGACUCAGUGACUUGGAUUUUUCAAGUCUCCAAUCGAGAAGUUUUCCCCACUCGGGAAAUUAAGGGAAUACUACCUCAACCUACAUGCUCCACUCACAAAGCUUCAACAUACAAGCUUCAACAAAAGAAAAAUUCAAAGAACUUAGUGAAGAAGGCUUUGGUGUAUUUAACACAAUACGUUGAAAUGAAACAAAGCUUAUUUAUUGAUAUCUCUAAGAAGUUACAAAUAUGUACAUAUACACGAGUCAAAAUAAACAAACAAGAGGAAGCCUUCACAAAGGUUACUUAGGAGAAGUCUCAGCAGUCGGCAGAGCCCCAGAAAGAGAAGGCACCGGAGGGGGAUCAUUCGGAGCCUCAGUACUGGACAGCACCCUAGAAGGAGGAGGCAUCAGAGGUUGAUCAUUUGGAGCUUCAUUACGCGUUACAGCCUCAGAAGACGAAGGCAAUAAAUGCCUUUGGAACAAACCCAUAAACCUCUGAUGAUCAUGUAAAAUCUGACCAUCAGAUUCCUUCAUCUGGUCAAGCUUCCUCUUCAUGUUUGUAGCAUAGUCAUGAGCGAGUUGGUGCAACUGUUUAUUCUCAUGCUUGAGCCCUCUAAUCUCCUGUUUGAGACUCAUCACUUCAGCCGCCAAUGAUUCAACUUGGCGGGUUCGAGCAAAUAGGCGUUGGGCCAUAUUAGACACAGAUCCUGCACACUGAACACUGAGAGCCAGAGAAUCCUUAACAGCCAACUCAUCAGACCGUUUGGAAAGUAGUCUGUUAUCUUUGGGAGUGAGAAGGUUCCUGGCCACCACCGCAGCGGUCAUAUCAUUCUUCAUCACGGAAUCCCCAACGGUAAGAGGACCAAUAGGGGAUAAGAAGGAUGGGCGCCAUAUGUUGUCUGGAGAAGGUGUGGCUGCCUCUUCAACAAGGUUCAAGUCAAAACGACGGUCGGAGGGGCCAGACAUUUUCAAAGGUGUUGAAGAGAAAAGAGGUCGGACAAAUCAAGAUCUUAGAAAUGUAAGAAGGGAGCUUAUACUGGUGGAGAUUCAAGUGUACUUUGGAACUUAAUACCAGCCUCUAUAAAAAUCCGCACUCGAUGGAGCUUCAGAAAUCGAAGAAGCGCCUGCUCAGAAAUCGAAAAGGCGUUUGCUUUCUCAAAAGUUGGGCUGCUCAGAGACCAUGAGGCCCGAUCUCAGGAAUCGAAAAGGCGUUUGCUUUCUCAAAAGCUGGGCUGCUCAAAGACCACGAAGGUCGAUCGCAGAAAUCGAAGAGGCGCUUGCUUUCUCAAAAGCUGGGCUGCUCAGAGACCACGAGGGCCGAUCUCAGAAAUCGAAGAGGCACCUGCUUUUUCAGCCUUGUCAGCACCUGUCACAUGCACAGUCAACUUUGCGAAAAUUACAGGCAUUCUGUCGAAGAUUUCUAGUGAAGUAGAAAGCACGUGAAUGUUACUGUUCAAUCAUUCACUUUCCACACGCAACAUCAGCUCACGGGUACCAUAGAUAACUUUUCCAAAAAUCUCUGACAAAGUUUAGACACGUGAAGCUUCCAGCUCCCAUUACAUCGCUAUGACCAAGAAGGGUAGACACAUAAAUUUUGAAGGUCUAGCUACCAUAUUAUUACCCACAAAGGUAAAGAAACAGGACCAUUGCUAGAUAAUUGGAAAGUCCCUGUGGGUCAACCUCUGUGCUCCGUGGCAAGGUAGACUAGCAAACAGGCCUAACCUUUACUCACAUUCGAGAAAACACUCCCAACAAGAUUGCUUGCUUCAAGAUCGAAGAGGCACCGUCCUCCGAAUCUCGAGAGCCAGACUCCCAACAUGAUUACUUUCUCAAAAAGCGACGAGACACCGCUCUCCGAAUCUUGAGAGCCAGACUCCUAGCAGGAUUGCUUUCUUAAAAAUCGAAGAGGCACCGUUCUCCGAAUCUCGAGAGACAGAUCCCCGACAGGAUUGCUUGUUCGAAAACCGAAGAGGCAUCGCUUUCUCAACUUCGAGAGCCCCUUAGAUAAAGCUUGUCUGUAAUCCUCACACCGCUUUCUCAACUUCGAGAGCCAGAUCUCCUUGGAUAAAGCUUGUCUGUAAUCUUCACACGUAACAUCAGCUUUCCAGAUACCACAGACCACUUUUUCAAAGUGUUCUGACAGAGUUAAAACACGUGAAGCUGGCAGCUCCCAUUACCGUGCUAUGACUAAGCAGGGUAAAAGAAUAGUAUUACUCCUUGUUAGGGAGACUCCUAUAUAUGUCGACCUCGAUCCUCAACGGACAGGCAGACCUGCAAAAAUGCUCAACCCCUCCUUAUAUCUGAGAGGGCACUCCCAACGAAGCCUCUCGAAAUACUCAGCUUUCUUUCCCCCCGAGAAUACCUCUGCAAACAAGCUACACUAGAGCAAGAAUAUCUCAUAUCAUCAGGGUUAAAAGCAAGAGUAUCCCAUAUCAUGUUUUUUCCCUGUCUUUUCCUUUAGCCUUGUUCUUACCUGCAAGACAAGGAGAAAGAGAGCAAUCAGUCAGCACUUGGAAUCAAGCUUCUAGUCCGGAACUGACUGCCUGGAACCCCAUUGCUCUCGAGUACUCAUAUUCAACAUCUUAUGCUUCCCGAGAAGAUACCACAUCUGCCUGAGAAACAAAUAGGGCAAGUGAGAAGGAUACAAGGAAGCAUGUGGAGACAAGCGCAACAGAACACGUGCCGAUACAUCCACUACUUUGUCAACAGCAAAAGUAUCCCAUAUCAGCAGGGUCGAACAUACUCUAGAUUUGAUGGACUUGUUUUGACCCUCAAAUUCUUCAGUCGGCCUUAUACUCUGGCGGAAACAAGAAAACCCUUCAGCCCAGUUCAAGAAUAAGCCUGUGGAAAGUUACUUCUUCAAAAGCAAAAGUAUCUCAUAUCACUUUUUCUCCUUUUCUUCUCUUUAUCCUUCAUGCUACCUGCAAGAUAAGGAGAAGGAUAACAAUCAGCCGGAACUCGAAAUCAAACUUCUGAUCUAGGACUGAUUGCUUGGAGCUCUGAUUGCUUACCUUGUCUGUCACCUCUUUCAGCAGAUCCCCUAGCUCGGCGACUUGGGGGACUCCUACUACAUGGUUUGUAUCGCGCUUGACCAAGCCUGAAACUACAAGUAAGCGUCAAGUGAAAUUGAUACAUUACCUUGUGCAUCUCCACCAGUUAAAGAUACCACCCCUGGAGUGAGGAAGAGUACUUCCAAAGAAGAUGCCACAUCUACCUAUGAGACAGAUAAGGCAAGUGAAGACGAUACCACACUUCGGUACUUAAAAGUUUCGUGAUUACGAGAUCAUUCUUCCACAAUAUUUCCUAAUGUCAUUUGUACUAAAUCAUUCACUUGUACUCACUAAAGGAGAGAUUGAACCUAUAUCCUGUGUAAACCCUUCACAAUUAAUGAGAACUCCUUUACUCCGUGGACGUAGCCAAUCUGGGUGAACCACGUACAUCUUGUAUUUGCUUCCUGUCUCUAUCCAUUUACAUACUUAUCCACACUAAUGACCGGAGCAAUCUAGAAGAUCACAAACUUAAUAUUUAAGAUGAUAUUCUUUGGUGUAUGCUUUUCGCAAACGAUAUAGUGUUGAUAGAUGAAACGUAGGAAGGGGUAAACGCGAAGCUUAACCUUUGGAGAGAAGUGUUGGAAUCUAAAGGUUCUCGCCUAAGCUGACCAAAGACAGAAUAUAUGGAGUGCAAGUUCAGUGCAAACGGAGGCCAAAAUGAGUUAGGGGUGAGGAUCGGAGAUCAGGAAAUACCAAAGAGCGAUCGUUUUCGCUACCUAGGAUCUAUCUUGCAAAAGAACGGAGAAUUUGAUGGAGAUCUCACCCAUAGAAUACAAGCUGGAUGGAUGAAGUGGAAGAGUGCAUCCGGCGUGUUGUGUGACCGUCGUAGGCCACUGAAGCUCAAGGGAAAAUUUUAUAGGACGGCAAUAAGGCCGGCAAUGCUGUAUGACAUAGAAUGUUGGGCGGUGAAGCAUCAACACGUAGGUGUAGUGGAGAUGAGGAUGCUUCGUUGGAUGUGUGGGCACACGAGAAAGGAUAAGAUUAGGAAUGAGGAUAUCCGAGGUAAAGUAGGAGUAGCCGAAAUUGAAGGAAAGAGGAGAGAAAAUCGGUUACGGUGGUUUGGACAUGUGCAAAGAAGGCCUACUGACGCUCCGGUUCGAAGAUGUGACUACAGGACAGAAGUUCAGGGCCGAAGGGGUAGAGGAAGACCUAGGAAAACUUUGGAAGAGACCCUAAGAAAAGACUUAGAGUACUUGGAUCUAUCGGAGGACAUGACACAAAACCGAGCGCAAUGGCGUUCUAGGAUUCAUAUAGCCGACCCCACUUAGUGGGAAAAGGCUUUGUUGUUGUUGUUGUUGUUGUUGUUGUAUAAGCGCUUUUAGCUACUUAAAAAGAAGUUCCAUGCAUGCCGUAAAUAGUAUAUGACCAAGCUAGAAUAAAAGAAAGGUAGCAUGAUUGCUCCUAUCUGAUCUUUAUCAUGAUCUGUGCAGAAUGAUUCAAACAACAUGAUCAAUCCAACUUUGCUUGCUCAAAAGUCUAAAAAAAACGGUGUUCAACUUAACACACAAAUUCAAUUAUACAACCAACAUGCACAUAACAUUCUUAUCUCUCUAAACCAUAAGCAAUGUGAUCAAAAACCACUCCAUCCGUGUGUGCAUAUAUAAUAUCCAAUCAUUAAAUAAUCGACGAAUAAACUAUUAACAAAAUAGAAAAAUCCCAAGAACUAAAAACCUAAAAAGGAGUUGCAAAAAAUUGAACUUUAAUUCCUCAGAAACUAAAACAUGGGAAAUUUCAGAUCUGGGAUUUUAAUUUUAUACGAUUUCAACUACACUGCCCAAAUUGAGCACCCUAAACCUAACUCCACUGCCCUAAUUCUAACCCUUAACUUAAAUUUAAAAACCCCCAAAUUUAAGAACCCUAAGUCUAUUGGGUUUUUGAUAAAAUUAAGCACCCUAAACCUAAACCCACUGCCCUAAUUCUAAUCCCUAACUUAAAAUUAAAAAACCCCCAAAUUUAAGAACCCUAAUUCUAUUGGCUUUUUGGUAAAAUUAAGGCCCCGAAACCUAACCCCCACUGCCCUAAUUCUAACCCCUAACUUAAAAUUAAUAAAAAACCCCAAAUUUAAGAACCCUAAUCUAACCCCUAAUUUAAGGACCCUAAUUGCAACCCACUACCCUAAUUUAAAAUCAAGAACCCUAAUCUAAACCCCAGUGAAGCACCCUAAAUCUAACCCCCAAUUUAAGAAAACCAUAAUCUAACCUCACUGCCCAAAUUCGUUCCCCUAAUUUAAGACCUAAAUCUAACCCCCAAUUAAGAACCCUAAAAACUCUAAUUUAAGAACCUAUAUGUAACCCCCAAUUUAUGAACCCUAAAUCUAAGCCCACUGCCUUAAUUCUAACUCCCAAUUUAAAAUAUAAAAAAACCCUUAAUCUAUAAACCCUAAUUAUCAUGGUAAAUAAAGAAAAUUGAAAAAAAAUUAAGAGGAAAUUACCUGAAGACAUGACGGCCAGAGAGAAGGUCGGAGAGACGAGGUGAAUGAUGGAGAGAGGGGCGAAGAGACGAGGUGAGCGACAGAGAGUGGUAGUGAGAGGGUGAGAGAGGGUGUCAGGGACGAAGAACUAAGGGUGAGAAAGGGGCUGCAAUGGAGUCGGGAGAGAAAAAGGAAGGGGAGAAAGAGGGUAUUGGGAAAAAGAAAAGGAAGAAGAGAGAAGUGAAGGGAGGAAGACGAUACACGGAAGAAAUACUUAGAAUUUUGCGCGUCAGAGGCUUUGUCGCGCAAGGUUUAAAAGUUCGUUGCGAUAUAUUUUUUAAAAUUUAUGCAGAAAAAAAGGUGCAAAUGUAUUUUGCGCAACGAAAUCUAGGUAUUUGUCAUGCACGUGCCUGCAAAUUAAAUCUACCUACGCAUAAUUAAAACGCUUGCGCAACGAACAAGUGUUCUGCGUUGGCAAUUACUUUUAAAAAUGAGUUUUUUUUGUAAAAUUUUGAUUAAAAUUUAUUAUAAAAUACUAAUAAAACAAAUUCAUUUACAAAGUAAGUCACAUAUAAAAUUCAAUAAUCAUUUAAUGUAUUUUACAACAAAAAUUACAAAUAAAUUGCAUUAAUCUUCAUCCAAACUAUAAUAACUUUCAAUUUUGUCACUAUCAUCAUUUUCAGUGUUCCAUUCCUCAUCAUCAUCGCUAGUUACGUCACCAUUGUCGUUUGUGCGCAUUGGACCAUCGUACUGCGGAAGACUACCGAGGUCAAUUGUGAUUGAUUGAAUUGGUACUUCGAUUGAAGAUACUUCUUCUAUCUGAAAUGGUUCUUGGAUAAUAUUAGUUUCUUGGAGUGUUUCCGCACCAAUUUCCAUCGAAGAUUCUAGCCCUUGGUCAACGACAUUGUCGAUGUCGUCGUUAGUUGGGUCUUGUUUUGGUAUAGCAUACACCUUCCUAUGAUCCAUCUUCUGAACAACUUUCCAACCUCCCCCUGCUUUAGGGUCAUUUAGAUACAAAAUUUGUUUUGCCAUGUUUGCUAAGAUGUAAGGGUCGUUAUUGUACCAAGUUUUGGUAGUGUUCACUGAUAGUAAUCCAUGAUCUCUUUUAACACUUCCCUGCCUAUUUGGGUUUGUAUCAAACCAUCGGCACUUAAAAUAGAUCACUUGGCAUCGGUCUUUGUAAAGCAAUUGCACGACAUUUGUUAGUUUGCCAUAGAAUUCAAUGUCUGUACUUUUGCCUCCACCUGGGACAUGAACACAGCUGCACAACUUGUCAUCUCGUGCAACCCUUAAGAACUUGACGCCGUUAACAUGGCAACCUGAGAACUCAAUGUGAAUCGGUCUGAACGCUAAGUCAUAUAACUCUUCAAUGUACGCUGGGGAAUUUGAUACUUUCAAUUGAUUCACCAAAUAUUACACAAAACUUAAAUUUGUUAGUUUAAGCAAAAUAAUUAUUACAAUAUAUAUGUCCAAUAAAAAACACUUCAAACUUACAUAUUCAAUAAACCCCCAGAAACAAUUCACGGUGUUUCUUGGCAUACAAAUGUGAAGGAUGUGCCUGCUUCAUCAUAUCUUCAUGCUUGUCUAGGUAAGACAUUGUCUCGUUACAAUUGUUUAGUACAAACCAAUAUGCUACCUCUAUGUCCUUUUUGGAAAACAAGUCCCUUUGUAUCAGAUCUUCGAAGGGUUCAGCGAUUUGGGAAAAAACUGAAAGUUUCUCCUUUCUCACACCCCCGUCAUUAUUGUGAGAAGGACGAUUGAAAGUUGUCUCCACAUCCUGUAAAUACAUCCCACAAAAUAUAAGCGCCUCAUAUGCCACCCAAUGACACGCCCGACCAUGAUAUUCCCCGAACACCAAGAUAGGCACGUGCUGGCCAACACCUGAAGGUGAUGAAGCCAUAUUAGAAUGCAUGAGAAAAAAUGAAUAUAAAUAAGGCUUAUAAAUUUAAAAAUAAUGAAUAUGCAAAUGAGGAACGUGUUCUAAGCAUACAACUUAUCAAUAACACUAAAACAAAUAAUAUAAAAUUGAAUGAACAAAGGAUGGGUCCUCCACCUAGAGGACUCGAAGAUGCCGAUGCAGAAGUGCCUUGAUGCUGGAAUUGUAUGCCUUGAUUCUAAUUCCUGAGGGGGUGCAAAACAAACAUGAGUGGACCAAGUUGAUAUAAUUAUAAUACUAAAAUAGUUAUUCAACAUACUAACCCCCAAAGUUUUAUGAAAACAUCAAUAGCAUAAUAUGUAAUAGGGUUUUCUGAAAAAAAACCCUAGCAUGCCAUAAAACCUUUCAAAAACAUAUCUCGUAUAUAGUGCAAUAAAUAUUUGUAUCCAAUAACAAUAUCUCCCUGCCCAAUGCCAACUCCAUAUCUCUGUGCUCGUAGCCAACUCCAAUGCCAACUCCAUAUCUCCCUGCACAAAACCAUUUAACAUAGACUUUCCAUACAUAGGUAUACAUAGGUUUUUCUGAAAAACCAUUUAACAUAGACUUUCCAAACAUAGGUUUUUCUGAAAAACCCUAGCAUGCCAUAAAACCUUUCAAAAACAUAUCUCGUAUAUAGUGCGAUAAAUAGUUGUAUCCAAUAACAAGAUCUCCCUGCCCAAUGCCAACUCCAAUGCCAACUCCAUAUUUCCCUGCACAAAACCAUUUAACAUAGACUUUCCAAACAUAGGUAUACAUAUCUCAAAAACAUCUUCAUAGUAUAAAGUCAUCCAUCAUCUAUACUAUAAAGAAGUGUGCAAAAGCAUGUUCAUAAGCAGUAUUAAAUCAUCCAUCAUCUAUACUACAAAGAACAUGAGUUCGAUAAAACAUGGUAAUUCAAAAUAUUCUCAAUAAGCAUAAUAUCUCAUAAAACGUUUCCUAAAACGUAAUCAUUAAAUCAUAUUUUUCAUGUAUGCAUUUCUAACACUAAAACAAGUAUUUUAGAAAGGAUCUACUCACAGAUACUCCGUCAUUGUAGAGCCGUAUGAAAACUAGUGAAGAUAGAAACGCCACAAAUAAUUGCACCUAAGCACAUAAAGGGUCCAAUUAAUCAAACUAUAUUCAAAUGAUUGAAUUUGGAAAAACAGACGUAAAAACCGGAUUCAGGACGUCAAAAUUAGCCUAGGAGGGGUUCUAACCGAAACCCGAAAAGUCAACGAAAAGUCAACGUUGGCUGAUCAAAGUCAACAAUCAACAUUGAUUGUGAGUCAACGGGUCUGGGUCAAAUGGGUUUAGGCCUAAGGGUUCAAAGGAUUUUGGGUAUGAAGGUUAUUGAUGCACAAAAUCAGUAAGGACUUUGGUACAACAGAAAGUGUUAAGUUUGUGACCUUCGCUAGAUUACUCCGGUCACUAGUAUGGAUAAGUAUGUAAACGGAUAGAGACAGGGAAGCAAACGUGGUUCACCCAGAUUGGCUAUGUCCACGGAGUAGAGGAGUUCUCAUUAAUUGUGAAGGGUUUACACAAGUACAUAGAUUCAAGCUCUCCUUUUGUGAGUACUAGUGAAUGAUUUAAUACAAAUGACAUUUGAAAAUAUUGUGAGAGAAUGAUCUUUAUUUAUAGAAGAGAGUUUCUAGUUUCAUUCUAACAUUGACACAUGUCGUGCUGUGAUUGGCCUCUGAUGUCGACACAUGUCGCGUUAUGAUUGGCCUCUGAUGUUGACAUAUGUCGCGUUGAGAUUGGCCUCCUAGUUGGAGGGAGACUCUUGUAGGUCCUUGGCUGUAUAAUGUUGACCAGUUCUUAAUAGUUUCGGGGCUGGUCAAGUAUGGUACAAACAGUGCUUCUCUAAGUUCCCGAGUGAAUGAAGCUUCUCGGUUGGGGACUUGCAAGAUCCAAGCCAUUGAGUAAUCACGAAACUUCUAAGUACCGAAGUGUGGUAUUGUUUUUACUUGGCUUAUCUGUCUCAUAGGUAAAUGUGGCAUUUUUUCUUGAAGUAAUUUUCCUCCAUCCAGGAGUGGUAUCUCUAACCGGUGGAGAUGCACAAGGUAAUGUAUCAAUUUCACUUGAAGCUUACUUGUAGUUUCAGGCUUGGUCAAGCCAAUAAAAACCAUGUAGUAGGAGUCUCCCAAGUCGUCGAGCUAGGAGAUCUGCCGAAAGAGGUGACAGACAAGGUAAGCAAUCAGAGCUCCCAGCAAUCAGUCCCGGAUCAGAAGUUUGAUUUUGAGUUCAAGCUGAUUGUUCUCAUUUUCCCUAUCUUGCAGGCAGCAGGAAGAAUAAAGAGAAGAAAAAUGAGAAGAGAUGAUAUGAAAUACUUUUACUUUUGUAGAAGUAACUUUCCACAAGCUUAUUCUUGAAAUGGGCUGGAGGGUUUUCUGGUUUCCUCCAGAGUAUAUGGCUAACUUAAGAAUUUGAGGGUCAAAACAAGUCCAUCAAAUCUAGAGUACGUUCGACCCUGUUACGCUUGUCUCCACAUGCUUCCUUGUAUCCUUCUCACUUGCCCUAUCUGUUCAUCAGACAGAUGUGGUAUCUUCUCUGAAAGCAUAAGAUGUUGAAGAUGAGUACUCGAGAGCAAUGUCAGGUAAGUAAUAAGGCAAGGGGUUUCAGGCAGUCAGUUCUUGACAGGAAGCUUGAUUCCAAGUACUGACUGAUUGCUCUCUUUCUCCUUGUCUUGCAGGUAAGAACAAGGCCAAAGGAAAAGACAGGGAAAAAACAUGAUAUGGGAUACUCUUGCUUUUAACCCUGAUGAUAUAAGAUACUCUUGUUCUAGUGUAGCUUGUUUGCAAAGGUAUUAUCGGGGGGAAAAGAAGGUGAGUAUUUCGAGAGACUCUGCUGAGAGUGCCCUCUCGGAUGUGAAGAAAAGUUGAGCAUUUUUUUUAUUUGCAAGUCUUCCUGGCUGUGGAGGAUGAAGGUCGACAUAUAUAAGAAUUUUCCCAACAACGAGUGGUAACGCUAUUCCUUUACCCUUCUCGGUCAUAGCAAUAUAGUGGGAGCUGCAAGAUUCACGUGUUUUAACUUUGUCAGAGCACUUUGAAAAGAUGGUCUGUGGUAUCUGGAAAUCUGAUGUUGCGUGUGAGAUUGCAGACAAGCUUUAUCCAAGGAAAUCUGGCUCUCGAAUUUUAGAGAGCAGUGCCUCUUCGAUUUUCGAAAAAGUAAUCAUGUCGGGGAUCUGGCUUUCGAGAUUCGGAGAACGGUGCCUCAUCAAUUUUUUAGAAAGCAAUCCUGUUGGGAGUCUGACUCUUGAGAUUCGGAGAGUGGUGCCUCUUCGAUUUUUUAGAAAGUAAUCCUGUUGGGAGUCUGGCUCUUGAGAUUCGAAAAGAAGUGCCUAUUCAAUUUUUGAGCAAGAAAUCUUGUUGGGAGUGUUUUCUCGAAUGUGAGUAAAGGUUGGACAUUUUUUGCGAGUCUGCCUUGCCACGGAGCACGGAGGUUAACACACAUAGGAACUUUCCAGUUAUCAAGCAGUGGUGCUGUUCCUUUACCCUUGUGGAUAAUAGUAGGGUAGCUGAACCUUCAAAAUUUAUGUGUUUAAACUUUGUUAGAGAUCUUUGGCAAAAUUAUCUGUGGUACCCGAGGAUCUGAUGUUGCGUGUGGAGAGUGGUGCCUCUUCGAAAUCCGAAGAGUGGUGCCUCUUCCAUUUUUGAACCAACAACCCUGUUGCUCUUUCUUUUAUAAGGGCACCAAUUGUGUGCAAGAAGUACAUUCAAAGAGUUAUUGCUUGUAGGAAUUUUCCCUUUAUUUUUGUACUUUAGAGAUUUAUUGAACCUCAUUUCUCCUUCAUCAUUUCUGAAAAUGUCUGGCCCAUCCGACCAUCAUUUUGACUUGAACUUUGGUGAAGAGGCAACUAUGUCUCCUCAAGACAACAUAUGCCUCUCAUCCUUCUUAUCCUCUACUGGGCUUCUUACCGUUGGGGACUCUGUGAUGAAGAAUGAUAUGAUCGCUGCGGUGAUGGCCAGGAACCUUCUCACUCCCAAAGAUAACAGACUAUUUUCCAAACGGUCUGAUGAGUUGGCUGCUAAGGAUUCUCUAGCUUUCAGUGUUCAAUGUGUAGGUUCUGUGUCUAAUAUGGCCCAAUGCCUAUUUGCUCGAACCCGCCAAGUUGAAUCAUUGGCGGCUAAAGUGAUAAGUCUCAAACAGGAGAUUAGAGGGCUCAAGCAUGAGAAUAAACAGUUGCACAGGCUCGCACAUGACUAUGCUACAAACAUGAAGAUGAAGCUUGACCAACUGUAGGAAUCUAAUGGUCAGAUUUUACUUGAUCAUCAGAGGUUUGUGGGUUUGUUCCAAAGGCAUUUAUUGCCUUCGUCUUCUAGGGUUGUACCGCGUAAUGAAGCUCCAAAUGAUCAACCUUCGGUGCCUCCUCCUUCUGGGUUCUGCCCAGUAUUGAAGCUUCGAAUGAUCACCCUCUGGUGCCUACUCUUUUUGGUGCUUUGUCGACUGCUGAGACUUCUCCUGAGCAACCUUUGUGAAGGCUCCCUCUUGUUUGUUUAUUUUGACUCAUGUAUAUGUACAUAUUUGUAACUUAUCAGAGAUAUCAAUAAAUAAGUUUUGCUUCAUUUCAACGUAUUGUGUUAAAUACACCAAAGCCUUCUUCACUAAGUUCUUUGAAUUUUUCUUUUGUUGAAGCUUGUAUGUUAAAACUUUGUGAGUGAAGCAUGUAUGUUGAGGUAGUGCUCCCUUAAUUUCCCGAGUGAGGAAAACGUCGCGGUUGGAGACUUGAAAAAUCCAAGUCAUUGAGUGAUCGUGAGACUUCCUAGUAUCAAGGUGCAGUAGCAUAUGGUAGAAGUCCCCCAAGUCUCCGGUUGAGGGAGUUGACAAAGGAGGUGUCUUGCUAGUAGCCAAGUUUCCAAAGUAACAAAACUUCACCAUUUUCCUUUCUAAGUGGUAGCCCAAAACUCUUCCUUCAUAUAUAUUUGUUAUGAAAGUUGUUAGGCCCAAAGAAAAGUAGGCCUAGGCAAUUUUUAUUUUUUUAAUUUUUUUUUUAAUUUUUUAUUUUUCAAAUUUCUGAAUUUCUGAAUUUUCAAAUUUCUGAAUUUUGAAUUUUUGAAUUUCUAAAUAUAUAUAUAUAUAUAUAUAUAUAUAUAUAUAUAUAUAUUAAGCUUUAUAGGUGAAACUUUGUUGGUGAAGUUUUAAGGUUGAAGCUUUGUUGGGUACCAUGAAUUGAUUUUGCUUCACACUAUCUUGAUCAAGAUAGUGUGAAGCUUUUGUAGGUGAAGCUUUUGUGUUGAAGCUUUGUUGGUGAAGCUUUAUAGCUGAAUCUUUUGUGGGUGAAGCUUUUGUGGUGGGUGAAGCUUUUGUUGGUGAAGCUUUUAUGGGUGAAGCUUUUGUAGGUGAAGCUUUUGUCGUGGGAGAAGCUUUUGUGGGUGAAGCUUUUGUUGGUGAAGCUUUUGUAGGUGAAGUUAUUGUGGGUGAAGCUUUUGUGUUGAAGCUUUGUAGGUGAAGCUUUGGAGUUGAAGCUUUGUAGGUGAAGCUUUUGUUGGUGAAGCUUUUAUGGGUGAAGCUUUUGUAGGUGAAGCUUUUGUGGUGGGGGAAGCUUUUGUGGGUGAAGCUUUUGUUGGUGAAGCUUUUGUAGGUGAAGCUUUUGUGGUAGGGGAAGCUUUUGUGGGUGAAGCUUUUGUAGAUGAAGCUUUUGUAGGUGAAGCUUUUGUGGUGGGUGAAGCUUUUAUGGGUAAAGCUUUAAUGGGUGAAGCUUUUAUGGGUGAAGCUUUAAUGGGUGAAGCUUUUGUAGGUGAAGCUAUUGUGGGUGAAGCUUUUGUGGGUGAAUCUUUUGUGUUGAAGCUUUGUAGGUGAAGCUUUGGAGUUGAAGCUUUGUAGGUGAAGCUUUUGUGUUGAAGCUUUUGUAGGUGAAGCUUUGGGGUUGAAGCUUUGUAGGUGAAGCUUUGGAGUUGAAGCUUUUGUUAGGUACCAUGAAUUGAUUUUGCUUCACACUAUCUUGAUCAAGAUAUUGUGAAGCUUUUGAGAAUUUGUAGUUGUCCUCCAUUGAUGGAGCUUUUGUUGGUGAAGCUUUUGUGGUGAAGCUUUGUUGGGUACCAUGAAUUGAUUUUGCUUCACACUAUCUUGAUCAAGAUAGUGUGAAGAUUUUGAGAAUUUGUAGUUGUCCUCUAUUGAUGAAGCUUUGUUGAAUUUCCCAAUUUCCUUUUUUUUAUGGGAAAAUUAGAAAUUUGAAAAUGUGGGAGAGACAACAUAUACAAAUUUUGCUUCCACACUGUUGAGUAAGAGAUUAUGAUGCAAGCCACACCUUGUAGUAGUCGAAGGUUUGGAUGAACCAUAUAAAUUGAAUUUGCUUCGAAUAGUCUUGAUCAAGAGUGUGUGAAGCAUUCUACGAGUUGUAGUUACCCUUCAUUGAUGAAGCUUUUGUUGGCACCAUAAAUUGGUUUUGCUUCACACUAUCUUGAUCAAGAGUGUGUAAAGCUUUUGAGAAUUGUGGUUGAACUCCCAUAAAUUGGUUUUGCUUCACACUGUCUUGAUCAAGAGUGUGUGAAGCUUUUGAGAAUUGUGGUUAAACUCUCAUAAAUGAAGGUCUUGUUGGCACCAUAAAUUGGUUUCGCUUCACACUAUCUUGAUUAAGAGUGUGUGAAACUUUUGAGAAUUGUGGUUGAACUCCUUUGAUGAAGCUCUUGUUGGCACCAUAAAUUGGUUUUGUUUCACACUAUCUUGAUUAAGAGUGUGUGAAGCUUUUGAGAAUUGCGGUUGCCCUCCAUUGAUGAAACUCUUAUUGGCACCUUAAAUUGGUUUUGCUUCACACUGUCUUGAUCGAGAGUGUGUGAAGCUUUUGAGAAUUGGUUGAACUCCUUUGAUGAAGCUCUUGUUGGCACCAUAAAUUGGUUUUGCUUCACACUGUCUUGAUCAAGAAUGUGUGAAGCUUUUGAGAAUUGUGGUUGAACUCGUUUGAUGAAGCUCUUGUUGGCACCAUAAAUUGGUUUUGCUUCACACUGUCUUGAUCAAGAAUGUGUGAAGCUUUCUACGAGUUGUGGUGUUUGCAUUGUUACAGAGGAGAAAUGUCUGAAGCAGAUGCAAGAGGGUUGAAUAGCUUGAUCUUCGAAUGCCAUGCACUGAAGUUGUUGUUGGCUUGCACUAAGACUUUGUUGGUUACUAUAACUCUUGUUAGGCAUAAGUGUUCCCCUCUUUGAGUUGUCAAGCUUGAGGGUUUUUUAUUGUUUGUGAAUGCUAGGAGUUCACAUAUACAAGUUGUACCACUCGUCUUCUGGUAAGUGGAAUGAAUGGUAAGUUGCUUUCAUCACUUGGUUGGUGGUACGAAGGUGAGUUCCUUCAUCACCUUUCAUCAUAUUUCAUCACCUGGUUGGUGGCACGAAGAUGAGUUCCUUCUUCACUUGGUUAGUGGCAUGAAUGGCAAGUUGCCAAAUGAUAUUAAAGUACGGGUUGUACAUUUCAUCACCUGGUUGGUGGCAUGAAGGAGAGUACGAGUUGUACAUUUCAUCACCUAGUUGGUGGCAUGAAGAUGAGUUCAUUAUUCACCUGGUUGGUGGCAUAAGUGGUAAGUUGCCAAAUAAUAUUAGAGUACGGGUUGUACAUUUCAUCACCUGGUUGGUGGCAUGAAAAUGAGUUCCUUCUUCACCUGGUUGGUGGCAUGAGUGGCAAGUUGCCAAAUGAUAUUAGAGUACGGGUUGUACAUUUCAUCACCUGGUUGGUGGCAUGAAUGAGAGUACUGGUUGUACAUUUCAUCACCUGGUUGGCGCAUGAAUAUGAGUUCCUUCUUCACAUUUCAUCACCUGGUUGGUGAGAAUAAAGGCAAGGUGUCGAGGCACAUUGUAGCAAGUGUCAAAUGACACAAAGUAUGUUGAACCCUUUUGAAGCACAUUUGGCUUAUGUAUGAAUGUGUUGGAAUGUAUGAUUGAACGAAUAUAUUGUGAAGCUGUUCGUUUAUUGGUAUAGUCUUGUUGACAUAUACUUAGACUUUGUUUCAUGUUGGAAGCAUUCAUGUUGAAGCUUUGAACCCGAGUGUUUCAUUGCUAGAAAUGUAAGAGGAUUAGGACCGAGUUGUCUAAAUCACCUCUUCAUUGAAUUCAUGCCAAAUAGUCUUCGUUACAUAGGAUGCUGAACGGCUGAAGCUUAACACUUGUACAAUGUAAGUUUACUUGUAAUAGUACUUCAAGUUAUCAGCGUUCCAUGGAUGGCCAAGGGUCUUGCCAUCGGAGCUUCUAAGCUUGUAAGAGCCAGGGCGACUGAUGCUAAUAACUUCAAACGGUCCAUCCCAGUUUGGACUAAGUGUUCCUUCAUUCAGGACUCUAUCGCAGAGUAAUCUUUUCUUCAAUACCCAGUCCCCACUUUGAAAGAACGAGGUUUGACCCUUGAGUCAUAGUAGUUGGAGAUGCGCUGCUUGUAGGCGACAUUCCUCAAGUGAGCCUGGUUUCUGUGUUCCUCGACUAGAUCUAAGUUGAGGGUAAGUUGUUUGUCAUUUUCGCUUUACACGUAGUUCUGGACUCGGAACAUUGCUUGUUCAAGCUCAACUGGGACAACUGCCUUUGUACCAAAGGCAAGUGAGAAUGGGGUUUCUCCUGGUGAUGUUCGAUACGAAGUGCGGUAUGACUAAAGAACUUGAGGUACAAAUUCUGGCCAACAACCUUUAACCUUGUCUAAGCUGGUUUUCAAAGUUUGCUUGAUUAUUUUGUUGGUGGCUUCAACUUGUCCAUUAGACUGGGGAUGAGCUAGGGAGGCAAAACAUAAGUUGAUGUUGAACUUAGAACAGAACAUCCUGAACUUAUUGUUGUCGAACUGUCGCUCGUUGUCAGUGACUAUCGCAUUGGGAAUGCCGAAUCUGCAAAGGAUGUUCUUCCGUACAAAGUCUUCUAUUUUUACCUCAGUAAUGGUUGCCAAGGGUUCUACUUCGGCCCACUUUAUGAAGUAAUCAACUGCAACGAUUGCAUAGCGGACCUUGCCCUUCCCUGUAGGCAUUGAGCCGAUCAAAUCAAGUCCCCAUUGGGCGAAGGGCCAAGGGCUGAUCAUAGGAGUGAGCGGCUUGGGAGGGGAGUGAGGAAUAGUUGCGUAGCGUUGACACUUAUGACAUAAGCGGGAUAUUCUGAUGGCAUAUUGGUGGAGUGUUGGCCAGUAAUAUCCUUGGCGAAAAGCCUUGUGUGCUAGGGAUCGAGAUCCAGCAUGAUCUCCGCAGACUUUUUCAUGUAUUUCCCGAAGAACAGUUUCCGCCUCUACGAGCGUAAGGCAUCUUAGGUAUGGCAGGUUAAAACCCCGCUUGUAGAGUUGGUCAUUAAUGAUCAAGUAAUGGGUAGCCUUGUAUCGAAUCUGCAUAGCUUGGACUUUGUCAUUUGGAAGGGUGUCAUGAGCAAGGAAUCUAUAAAUCGGGGUAAUCCAACUAUCCCCCUGUUGUAAGUUGCACACUUCCGCAACCAUGUACUUGGUGCAGCUAACAAUUCGACCUAAAUUUUUCUCCCAAUCUUGUCUUCCACCGUUAAGGUGAGGCGAGCCAAAGCAUCUGCAUGAUUGUUUGCCGCUCGAGGAAUUUGGGUGAUCUGGUAGUGGAAGUGUUUGAGCAACAAUUGUGUUUGUGCCAGAUAUGCUGCCAUGGAGCUAUCCUUAGCGUCAAAGUUAUUGGUGACCUGGUUAACCACCAAUUGGAAGUCACUGAAGAUAUAAAUUCGUUUAACCCCAAGGUGUUUGGCCAAACGUAAGCCUGCUAUGAGGGCUUCAUAUUCGGCCUCAUUGUUCGACGCCUUGAAUUUGAAACGAAGAGCAUACUCCAUCGCCACUUUGUCAGGGGUCGUAAGGACUAGUCCUGCUUCACAACCCUGUUGGUUGGACGAGCCAUCAACAUAUAGACCCCAUGAUGGGGCUGUUGGUUAUAUUUUCUGAGCUUCCGAGGGUAAUAAAACAACUUCUUUAGGCGUAGAAACAAUGUCAACAAGAUAUGUGAAGUCGGUGAUGAAGUAUGCCACUGCUUGGCCCUUCUCAGCUGGCUUUGGUUAGUAGGAGAUGUCAAACUCACCCAAUGUUAUCGCUCAUUUUAUCAUUCACCCGGAAGUGUCAGGACUUUGGAGUAUCUGUCGAAGAUGAUGAUUGGUAAGCACGAUGAUGGAGUGUGCUUGGAAGUAAGAGCGAAGUUUUCGAGCAGACAUGACUAAUGCUAAAGCCAAUUUCUCAAUGUUGGAGUAUCGUGUCUCCACAUCUUGUAAGGCCUUGCUAGCGUAGUAGAUAGGCCGUUCGACAUUACCAUCUUUUCGAAUGAGAACGGAACUUAUUACUGAAGCUGAUACCGACAGAUAGAUAAUGAGAGUGUCACCAACCUCAGGGUUAGAGAGCAGAUAGGUUUUACUCAUGUAGUCUUUGAGGUUCUUGAAUGCCUCGGCAUAUUCAUCAAUCCAUGUAAUGUACUUCUUACUUCCUUUAAGUGCUUUGAAGAAAAGAGCAUAUCUGUUUGUGGCCUUUGAGAUGAACCUAGUUAAGGCUGCCACCUUGCCAGUAAGGCUCUGGAUGUCUUUUGAAGUUAUCAGUUUCUUCAUGUCGAGGAUUGCUUUGAUCUUCUAAGGAUUAGCCUCAAUGCCUUAUUGGUCUAUCAUGAAGCCUAAAAAUUUGCCAGAGCCUACGCCAAAGGCACAUUUGUUGGGGUUCAACCUCAUUCGAUACCUCUUCAGAAUGGUGAAAGUUUCAGAUAGGUUGGUAAUGUGUUGGUCAGCAUGUUUACUCUUGACUAGCAUAUCAUCAACGUAAACUUCCAUGCUCUUCCCAAUCUGUUCGACGAACAUUGAAUUGACCAAUCUCUGAUAAGUCGCUCCUGGCCGAAUGGCAUGACUUUAUAACAAUAGAGUCCCAUGUUAGUAGUGAAGGCUGUGUGUUCUUGGUCCAAAGGGUUUAUAAAGAUUUAGUUGUAUCCUGAGUAAGCAUCCAUGAAGCUCAAGAGUUCACACCCUGCCAUAGAGCCUAUAAGUCUAUCUAUGAGAGGAAGAGGAAAGCUAUCAUUCGGGCAUCCUUUGUUUAGGUCGGUGUAAUUGACACACAUUCUCCACAAGACCUUUUAGAGCAGGAGACUUUCUUUGGUCAGAUUUUUCUUAACAAUGACCACAUUUGCUACCCAUGUUGGGUAAUUAACUUUGCAGAUGAAGCCUAUGCCUUUGAGUUUUUCAACUUCUACCUUCAUUGCUUUGUAUAGUUCAGCGUCAUAAGAUCUUUGCUUCUGUCUCACCGGCUUGGUCUUGGGGUCAAUACUCAAGCGAUGACAUAUGAUAUCGGGAGAUAUGCCUAGCAUGUCCUCGUAUGACCAGGCAAAGACCUCAGUGUUCUCUUGCAAAAAAGAGAUCAAUGUCAACCGAAUGGGUGGUGACAAGGUGGUGUCAAUCUUCACCAUGCGAUCUGGAUAAUCUUUUGAGAUAGAAACCUUUUCCAACUCUUCAGCGGGUUGUGCUUGCUGGGUGAAAGAGUCGUCUCAAGGAUCAUCGGGUUGACUGUUGCCACCAUGAAGAUCCAAGUUGGCUUCGUUCGGGCUGGUCUUUAUAACUUGGUCAUGUAUAGAAAGGGUUUCCUUGGGCACAGGCAGGUGUUGUUGCUUGACCAAAGUGUUGUAACAUGAUCGUGCACUAAAUUGAUCUUCUCUGAUGUAACCAUUGCCAUAAGGGGCUGAAAAUUUCAUCAACAACAUAUGUGUGGAUACCAUGGCCUUGAGAUCAUUGAUGCAUGUGCGUCCAAAGAUAACAUUGUAUGUCGUUGGACAAUCGACUACCAAGAAGUUAGUGGUAAUGGUAGUUGUGUAAGGGCAUGUACCAAUGGUGAAAGGUAAGUAUAUGCUCCCUAUAGGUUGCAUGAUAUCACCGGAGAAGCUUAUCAUAGGAGAAAUCCAGUGAUCGAGCAAAUGUUCAGCUACAUUAAGUGCCCUGAAAGCUUCAGCAAACAUGAUAUUGACCGAAGCCCCCUUGCCUACCGGAAUUCGUCUUACUUCAAAGUUGGCUAUGUGAGCCUCCACGAUCAGUGGGUCGUUAUGAGGGUAGAUGAUACCUCUUUCUUCUUCAGGAUAGAAACAUAUUGGAUCCCAGUUAGGCUUUUGAUACUUACCUCCCCUGAUGUCUUCCACGUGAAACACUUGGUGGCUAGGCCUUAAAGCUUAUUUGUUGUUUUUCAUGGCCCUAUUGGAAGAAUCAAAUAUGAGUGUGCCGCUACUUAUUGAAUAUAUCACAUUCACUUAGCGUUAGUUACGGUUAUCCCUUGAAGGGUGAAUGAGGAAUCGAUCAAUUUUUCAUUCACGCACCAAAGCUUCAAUAUGAUCACGAAUGGUGAUACACUUCUCGCCGUCAUGGCCGUUAUGUUCGUGGUAGCAGCAAAACGUGCCCAUGUUCUUCGCAGGCUUGUAACCCGACUGCCUCGACAUUGGCUUUGGUAUCAGGUGUGCUAUGCUGGGGUAAAUGGCCACGCAUAUGGCGUUUAAAGGCGUAUAUGUUUUCAUACCUCGAGGUAGGGCCUGUCCUGACACGUGCUUGGCCCAUUGUGUUGACUGCCUGAAGGAGGGCAUUAUCGUGGCGAUACCCUUGGUAAUCGCAAUAGUGUCCCUUACUUCUUUUACUAAAAUGGGACUGGUAAGGAUAGAAAUCUUUCCUUUUGCCCUGAGAUUGAUAUGUCUGUUGACUUGGCGAAGUAUUAAGUAAGGCAGGAUGAGGCACCGCUGCCGUUUGGAAGGUCGAGGUCUUCUCAUUUGGUUGGAUCUGGCUUCCACUCUCUACUUGCUGAUAAGGGGUGGCUGUGGGGGGUUUCCCUUGAUAUGUCUUUGCCUCAGUGGAUGCAUGGUUGUAAGUUUGUGCCAUCACCUCAGAGUAAGUCUUCCAAGUGUUGGCAUUGAUCAUGUACUUGAAGAAACAAUCACGUAGGCCCACCGUGAAGGCUUUGAGGGCAGUCUUUUCGUCUGCCUUAGCACAACGAGAAUACUCAUGGCUUAAGCGGCUAGCAUACAUACGUAAUGACUCGUCUGGUUUCUGGCGAAUAGUGUACAAGUCAUCCGCAGAGUGCAAAUGAUCGGUCUGGAAAAUGUGUUGAGAAACAAACAGUUUCCUCAAUUCCUCAAAUGAGUCAACUGUCUCAAGUGGAAGACGACAAUACCAGUUUAGAGCUCCGCCAGAGAGGGUGGAGGGGAAGAGAAGACAUCGUUCUUCGUUGGUGUGCAUCUGGUAUGCCAUGGUGGACUCAAAGAGGUUAAGGUGUUCAAUCGGGUCCUCCUUUCCAGUAUAGAGUUGCAAGCCAAGCUUCUCCUUUGUCUUUGCUUAGAAAGGGGUGUCGAGGAUCCUCCUUGUAAGAGGCCAGGCCUAGGUUGGUUCCAAUAAGGUAUCUCAGCUUGUCGUUCAGCCUUCAACUUGUUUACUUCCUUAAAGAACUGUAGAACAAGAGGGUCCUGAGUGGAGUCAUGUACCAUUUGACCUUUCUUUCGUAAAUCUCCAUCUCCUCUUGGAAGUAGAAAGGUUUGAUCAAGAGCAUGUGAUUUUUCCCUGGACUCGCCGUACUGACUUCCAAGGUAUUUCUGUCGGAACAUCUCUGAGUCCUCUACACCUUUGUGUUUCUCUAGGACUUGUUGCCCCUUCCCCAAAUUGGUAGCUGGCCUGGGACAUGGGAGAGGAUCGAGUCUUUCAGAGACCCUUGGGUCAUUGAUCUUCGAGCUUACAUGGAUGGGAUUGUCUCGACGUUGCUUUAGGAAGUCUUAACAGUCGUGAAAGACGGCUUUCGAUCUUUCCACUCCUUCUGUAAGGAGGUGUCUUCCUGCACUCUUCCUGCUUCGGGUCGAAGCAGCUGGGUUGAGAGAAGUCUCAUGUUGGUCGCCAUUUCGAUAAGUAGCUCGCUCCCAACGGGAAUACCCAUGCCGAAAGCAAAUGACCAUCCGUGUUGGGGGGCACCCAGUUGAUGGUUGACUUCCACAGAGGUGAUGAGCUCGUGUGUUUUAGUAUAUCUAGCCUCGUGAAGUAUCUCGAAGACCUUCUCAUACUGCUCUUGGAGGAUCUCAUUCUUCAUCGCUAUCUUGUUGUUCUGAGCCUCCAGCUCAUCGACUUUAGCCUGAAGAGCAAACUUCUUUUAUUUCUUCUUUCGUUGCUUCGCACCAGGUGCAAGAGGGGUGUCAUUCUGUAUGUUGUGGCUUCCUUCGCUCCCCAUGUUGGAAAGGGAUGCCUGGUCAAAAGAGAGUGUAUGAAUGGUGGAAACCAACUUAACAAAGCUGAAAAGAGUGGGAAUAAGUGUUGUUCCCACAGACGGCGCCAAAUGUUGAUGCACAAAAUCAGUGAGGACUUUGGUACAACAGAAAGUGUUAAGUUUGUGACCUUCGCUAGAUUACUCCGGUUACUAGUAUGGAUAAGUAUGUAAACGAAUAGAGACAGGGAAGCAAACACAAGAUGUACGUGGUUUACCCAGAUUGGCUACGUCCACGGAGUAGAGGAGUUUUCAUUAAUUAUGAAGGGUUUACACAAGUACAUAGAUUCAAGCUCUCCUUUUGUGAGUACUAGUGAAUGAUUUAGUACAAAUGACAUUUGGAAAUAUUGUGAGAGAAUGAUCUCUAUUUAUAGAAGAGAGUUUCUAGUUUCAUUCUGACAUUGACACAUGUCGUGCUAUGAUUAGCCUUUGAUGUCAACACGUGUCGCGUUAUGAUUGGCCUCUGAUGUUGACAUGUGUCAAGUUGUGAUUGGCCUCCUGGUUGGAGGGAGACUCUUGUGGGUCCUUAGCGGUAUAAUGUUGACCGGUGCUUAGUAGUUUCAGGGUUGGUCAAGUAUGGUACAAACAAAGGUUAUUGGUUUUGGCCUAAGCUAAAAAAAGUUGGGCCUCUGAGAAGGCUUGAGUUCUUUGAUGAAUUGGGCUUAGGUUCUAAUAGGCUGGGUGACCCGGCCCAAAGGCCUCAAUUCUAGGGUGGUUUCUGGGCACCAUUUCAAACGGCCAUAACUUCAUCGUUACUCAACAAAAUCAAGUGAUCCAAAAAUUAAAGUUGUAGUAAUCGACGAGAUGAAGAGAUUGGUACCUUGCACGAUAGCUAACAUGUUGUGGUUCGGCCAGAAAAUGCCUCAAAAUGUGGCUGUCCGCAUGAAAACUGUUAACUCGCUAGAAUUUCUGGGUUAAAUUUAAACGUCUAUAACUUUGUCAAUACUCAACGAAAUUAAGUGAUUCAAAAGCCAAAAUGUAGUUAGUAAUGUGGAAAAAGAUUCAUACCAAGUGGGGACCGAGUAGUGGCCAAAGUUGGCUGGAAAAUGGCCCGAAAGAUGGAAAAAUGACCACGGCCAUUGACUUUCCUUAAGCUUUUCCGAGUUCCUACCACCAAAAAACUUACUAACCGUGAACCUAGACAUGACCUACAAUGAUAGGGACCAAUUUAGAGGCUUACUUCAUCGAAAAUCAUGAAAACACGUCGAGGAAGAUGAUGAAUAGUGAUAGCUUCACUGUGGGGCUUCCCGGUGCACGGCCUAGGGUUUGUGGGGCCCCUCUGUCCAGGUGUGCAGGUGGUUGUGUGUGUGUGUGUGAUCUCAGAGAGGAGGAAGGUGGGUUUGUAGAGUGAUGAGAGCUCAGGAAGAGGGAGUCCGAGAGUGAAGAGAGGGAGAGAAACUGAGAUAAAAAAGAGUUGUGAGAGAGAGAGAGAGCUCUCAGGUCCAACAAAGGAGAAAGGAAAAAGAAAAAGGGUCGGGGGAAAGGGAACCAAAAAGGAAAGUGGGCCCCAAAUAGCACACAAAAUAAGACCCAAAAAAGCAAUAUUUUAAACAAAUGAAACCCAACCAAACUAAAAAUAUGAAAAUACCCUUCCGUUAUGUAAAUUCCUGGAUGGGUUGUUACACCUAAGCUUGUAUAAUUGAUCAUUCGGGCUUCGCUUUGUUUUGUACACUUCUCUUUAAGUCUCCGAGAAGCUUGCCAAAAUAAAACGAUGCGAUACAAAUUUUACUAAUCGUAAGAUAUUGAUUAAUAAAAAUGAUGAGGAUUAUAUACAAUCGUAAGAUAUUGAUUAAUAAAAAUGAUGAGGAUUAUAUACCUUUCUAUUGGAUACAUCCAUCAAAAGUUGACUGGUCCAACAAGCAAUGCCUUAUUCGAUAAGUGAACCAUCACAUGGAUCAUACUUGUGAAGAAAGCUGAAGGAAAUAUCAUCUCAAUUGUGAAAAAAAAGCUGGACAACAACAUGAUUGGUUUCAUUACAUCAGCUGGCAAGAGAUGUCGAAUACCCACAUGGCAGUCAUGACUCUUUAGUCCAGCUAAUUUACCCCCGUCAACGUUUAAUCAACAUGCGAUAUUUGAAGCAUACCCAUCGGAAAACUUUACAGACGAUAAAAACUUUAAAAAUUCUUUUUUUUGUCAUUCGGUUUCAUGGAAAAAAAAUGCAAGAUCCCUUCUGGCCUUAUCACUGUCCAUAUUCAUCCAUAAACCAUGUCGUAUUCCCAUUCAUUCCAACUUAAGACAAGCUUUGAUUGUUUCCUUUGUCUUGCCCUCGAUAUCUAGAAUUAUGCCGACCAAUGUGUCAAAUACAUUUUUCUCAGCAUGUAUAACAUCGAGGUUGUGUCCCAAUUUUAGUUUCGACCAAUACAGGAGCUCAAAAAAUAUAGACUUGUGCAUCCAGUUCAUAUGUGUAGAAGGUCUGGUCCUACUUACAGUUUUCCUGAACGGAGCAAAAUCUAAAUAGUUAAGCUGUUCCAAAAUCUGGUCACCAGACCAUUCUUUAGGUCUAAGGUGAGGCUUUUUUUCCCGUCAAACUUUUUAUCCUUCUCUCGCCACUCGUGGUCCCAUGGCAACUAUCUUCGAUGACCAAGGUAACAAACUUUUCUGGUGUGCCAACUAGAUGUUAUGUCUUCUUUGCAUACAUGGCAUACCAUGUGAACCCUAGUGAUUCACCCAGAAACCAUUGCAUAUGUGGGGAAAUCGUUCACAGUCCACAUCACUACUGCCCACAAAGUGAACAUCUUGCCAGUACACUUAUCAUAUGUGCGCACACCGUGCGUCCAUAAAUCUUUUAGCUCAUCCACGAACGACUGUAAAUACACAUCAAUUGACUUACCAGGAUCCUCGGUUAUCAAUAAAGUCAUCAUCAUGUAUUCAUUUUUCAUACAUUUCCAUGGCAGCAAAUUAUAUAGAAAUAUGAAAAUCGGUCAAGUGUUAUGGUAUCGGUUUAGAACCCCAAACAGAUUAGAUCCGUUAGUGGCAAGUCUCAAUCUAACAUUCCGAGGAUCAACAGGAAAAUCAGGGAACGUUCGAUCGAACUCUUUACAUGCCUCCCUAUCUGUAGGAUGCCUCAGGACAUCAUCAUCUACCCGUUUUUCCUUAUGCCAUAUCAUGUCGGUGGCAGUAUGCGUUGACAUAUACAACCGCUGCAACCUAGGUUUCAAAGGCAAAUAAUGCAUGACUUUUUGUGGGAUCUACGUCAAUCUAUUCUGAGAUGUCACUUUGAACCUCAACUCAUUGCAUACAGGGCAUUUAUCCAACGCUUUAUUCUCCUUAUAGAACAAUACAUAAUUAUUUUUGCAAGCAUGAAUUUUUUUUAUAACCCAAUCCCAGACCAUUCAACACCUUUUGAGCAUUUCUAUUGACUUUCGGCAAACAAUUGUCCUUUGGUAGCAUUCUCUUGAAAACCCCCAAAAUAUAAUCAAAACACUAGUUCGACAUACGAUACUUUAUUUUCCCUUGCAUUAGUUCCACAAUAGCUAUGAGAACGGAAAAUCCCUCACACCCCGGGUAUAACUCUUGGUUGGAAUUUUUUAAUAGUUUUUCAUAUUGUUCGAAUUCUUCACCAUCCAUUGGUGUAGGCACGUCAUCUUCCACUUCCUGAUUGGUAUUUGUCGAAUCAAAUGGAAAAAACAUAAUUUAAGAUUUCCAUGACUUGUCGACUCUUGUCACGUUUGAAGACGAAGCAUUGUCUAAUUGUUCCCCGUGAUGGUUCCAAAUAUUAUAGGUCUCUACCAUUCCAUUCCGCCAAGGAUACGUAGGCAAUCUAGAGAUUCAAUCUAGAUGCAACCGCACAAGGACAAAAAUCCAAAAUUGAAUCCCUAGUUCACCUUCACCAAAUUCACCAUAAAAUCCAAAUUGAUUCCCAGGUUCAUUCAACCAAAUUCACCGAAUACAAAAUCUUUUUUUAGUGGGUCAUUCACUCACUAAAAAUCUCAAACCAAAUCAAAGGAACUACGAGUGACUUGACCCUCAAGAGGGUAUGUAGGCAAUCUAGGGCUUGACCUAGGUGUAGUUGCAAAAUCAAAUAAAUACCCAAAUCCCCAAGUUACGAUUUAUUCAUAAUGGAAUCAAAGGGUUUUUCCUUUUAAUUAAUGAAGGAUUGUAAUAGACGCAUAGUCUAGAAUGAGUUGAACUCAAAUUAAUAAAACCCUCUUUAGAAAAAUGAACGAGGGUGAAAUUGUGUCGAGUGAAUUACUUGUUUACAUAUUGUGUACAAUUUUUGCUCAACAAUGACCAUCAGGAGAAUCAGUCCAAAUCAAGGUAUCAUUAAUUUCAGCAGUCUUAGGCAAGCAAAUAAAACAAAUUUGACCCCAAAUAAGAUGUAAGCUAUCAAGGAGAGAGGCAGGACAAAACCGGUUCCCAUCAAUAAUAAAAUUGGAGACCCGUGCAUGCAAAGUUUUACUCAAAGCCUUGGAAUGUUUAAAACUUCAAUUAAGAAUUUAUCCAACAAAUUGGCAUGCCAAAAACAAACUUUUUUACCUGAACCAAUAAUCCAACAUCAGUUAUGUUGUAAAUUAAAAUAAAUUAAAAAGAAAAUUAAAAAUGGUUUUUGUAAAAUUAACUUGAUAAGUAAGAAAAACAAAUAGUUUUGAAAAAAAUUAAUUGUGAAGGGCACUAGGUUUAGCCAUUGUCAUUAACAAUUCUUUGUAAUUCUACCAAUAGUACCAGAAAAUAGAGCUUGCCCUACAAAUGUUUGCCAAGCGGACUAAAUUUCGUGGGGUAAAGGGAAUUUACCCAAUGCAUGUUUUAGUAGGUAGGGCAACGAUGGUCAACAUUUAGGGUUUACUCAAAACCUUUACGAACCGGAAACCUAUCAUAGGGCAAGUCACAAUUCUUCCGCCAAAAUUUUGGUGCGAAGAGGGCAAAAAGUGGCGCGCAAUAUUUAGAUAUUUGCCCAACAAAUUUAGUAUUCGUCGGCAAGGUUGGAUUUGCCCGACAACCAUGUCCGUCGGGUAAGUUCUACUAUAGGUGGUCAAAGGCCCACACUGACGUGUAAUAAAUAUCCACCGACACAACCCUUGUUCGACGCUUUCCAUGUACUUGCCAUAAUGAGUGGUGCGUCGGGCAAACCCCUAUUCAUCAAUUAUAAGUAUGUGUUUUUCGAUCCUCAUCCUCUUUCUCCUCUUUUUUUUUUUUUUUUUUUUUUGUUUCAAUACUCUAAGAAAUCAAACGAUGAAAGAUUGUUUAAAAGUCAAACUACUUGGUAAACUAAUGAAGACAAAUCCUAUGCAAGUACUAUAUCUCUAUAUACUAAAACUCAGUCGGAUGGUACUGUGGAUGACCAGUGUGAUGACAAUUUUGCCCCUCGAUUUUUUCUUUCCUUUGCCGUUUUGUUGCCUGCUUCGCACAGUUAAAUACCUGUGUUGCUCAUGAUUGCCACGCGUUGAUCAUCCUUUGUCUGUGUGGUUCGAUUCUAUCGUAGCGAAUGGACGACGUUUCCCUUCUAGCCCACGCGUCCAUCAUCGAUGGUCCCUUCAGUUCGACUUCUUCUCGAUUUCGCUUCUCCCCUUUUGGGUAUUUUGGAACCUAGGUUUUUUUCUCUCCCGCAUCGCCCUUUUUACUUGCUGUUUAGCGUUGCCAUCUUUCUCCAGAUUGGCAGGCCGAUAGAAUCCGGCGAGGUCAGCAUGUACGUCUAUAGAAUUACCGCCUGUGAUCUCAGCCAUCUCAGCCACACUCGCGUAACCGUUAAUUUCGUUGUUCUGUUCAGGUUCGCACAUUUAAUCUCAUUAUUUGCAUGUUUAAUUUAGUAUUCAUGCAAUUAAUUGUGCUUUUGAUUAGUGUGGAAGUUGAAAUGUUUGAUUUUAUGCAUGUACUUUAUUUUUUCUGUUUUCUGUUAGAAAUUAAAUUACUUUUCGUUGAAAAUCGUUGAGCUGCUAGAAGUUUUUGCCUUUUUUCUUAAUUUGAUCGAAAUUCAUUUCUUAUCCACAUAACCUAGAGUCUCCUGAUGAGUUUUUCGUCUUUGUCAGUGUGUCUGAUUUUAUUUUAUUUAUUUUUCGAUUUACAGAUAGAUUUGUGUUUAAAUUUUCUUUUUAUAAUUUUGGGGUUUUGUUUUGUUUGUGUGCUCGGAUGCUGUGUGUGGCUGUCUGGUUUCAUUCUUUUUUGCUUUCAGGAAACACUGGUGUUCUAAUUUUGGGGUUUUGCUGAAGGUAUAUAUUAGUUUUUAAUAUAUCAACAGUUUUGCAGGGUCAGUUUUGUGUUAGUUUUGUUACUGACUGUUUUUUCCUGUGGAGAAGUACGGUGGCUCUACAGCUCACAACAGUGUAUGUUAUUAUUUUAUUCUUGGGUUAGAGCAUGCAUAUAUUAUCAGUUGCUAGAUGUCAUGAUCAAUCCCUAUAUUCUAAUGUGAAGUAAAAAAAGAAGGAACACUCUAUAACUCUAAUCAGAUGUCCACUGAAAAGAAAACAAAUCAUAUUACCAAUAUGUGUUAAAAUUGUGGUGAAAUAAUAAGAUGAAUACAAUGUUUCUGAUAGAGAUGACCCAUGAUAACAAAAUGGUCAGGCGGAGUCAUUUAAUGGUUGUCAAGGUUGGGACUUUGUCUUAGUGAGUAAGAGUACAUCCUAUAUCAGGGAAAAACACUAAGAUCCGAUACACUAUCAAUCUCAUAUGACAGGAGAAAUAAAAGCUUUAGAAGGUACUCCUGUCUUUUUCUUUUUCUUUUUUUUUUUUCUUUUUUUUCAUGUUUCAGUUUGUUUUUCAAUUCAGUUAUCAAUGCUAUUUGCUUUUUACUAUUUUGUUUUUCGUUUUUAAUAGUAUACGAACAUAAAAAAGCCUCCAAACCUCCAAAGAGACCACAGGUUUUGAAAACCCCUGUGAGUGGAGUCACUGAGCUGCUUAGAUUCAAUCUUUGAGAUUUCCGAAUUUUCGAGCUUUCAAUUUUGUGUGGGGUUGAGAAUUUGGAUUAAUUCUAUGAUGUUUUAAAUUAUCCUUAAUUGCUUGGGUUUGUUUGGGGGGGGGGGGGGGGGGGGGAGGGGGAAGGAGCAGAGACAAGCGGAAGAGAAGAGGCGGAGGAUGGAGGAAGGAGAGUGGAGAGUAGAGAGAGAAACGGGCUGGGUCUUGCUUGGGGUUUUGUUUGGAGUUUUGUUGGGGUUUUGAUUUUGGGUUUUGUUUGAAUUUGGGGAAUUACCAUUGAUAGAUAGCAUAACUCCUACGCACAUUUUUAUUCAUAUUCCUUUUCUCUCAUCUCUUAUUUAGUUUUUUUCAUUUAAUAGACAAAAGAGAAGGAUUUUCUUUUUUUGUACUCUCCCGAACUGUAACAAAGUGGUAAAUUGCUAACAGCGCAUUAGAGAAAGUGUGGGGAUAAGGCCGACCUCGUUCCGCUACAUUCAUGAGAUUCUACGGUUUAGGGAGUUCGCUGCUCGUGAUUGACCGGAAAGGAUCCGCCCCUAAAUUCCUCACGCUAGUUUACGAUUACAUGGGUCAACUUAACAACAAAACCCAUAGAGGCAGAAGAAUGGCUUCCAAUAGCUGUUAUGAUCAAUCCAAAAAAAAGGAAAAUUAGGAUGCCUAAUCCAGACCCAUUCGCCUAUGAAAGACCUUAUGAUCCUAUUUUGGAUUUGGAUUCUGGAAGGAAAAGUCUUUUGACACAGAACAUUUGGUCUAUGUUCAUGAAAGCAACAAUAACCAAUUUGGCGAUUAUUGCUCCCUGCUUGCGUUCUUUGUGAUUUUAUUAUUUAAUAAUAUCGUGCAUCCAUGAUAAAUUUUUUCCAGCCUCCCCCAACCCAAUGCCAAACAAAGUUUUGUAUAUUUUUACAAUGAUAUAAUCUGGAAGGUGUCCUAAGAUUCAACAAUAUUGCUUUUAUUAAUCAUUUGGUUGCUCUUAAAUUGCAGCUUUUGUGUUGAGUAUUUUGGGUUAUUUUUUUCUUCCCUUUAUUUGUUGUUGGAAACACUGUUCUACUCUUGCUAAUUUUGAUGACAAGGAACUAUGUUAAACUGCAGGACUAAUUCCUAAACUGCAGGACUAAUUCCUAAACUGCAGGACUAACUAUAUAUAAAACAAGACAUAGUAUGCCAUAAUACAUUUGUGUACAUGUAAUUGAAGAGGAAUGUAUCCAUUAUUAUGAUAUGAAAUUGCAUGAAUACUAUUUAGCUAAAUAGUUUUCAUGAGGUAUAGUUUUUACUUUGUUGAUUGAAGAGUUUUUUUUUUUAGCCAUGAAAUCUGAAGAUUUUAGUUUUUGGUUUUCACCUCUUGAACCAUCUGAUCGAUUGCAUUACAUUAAUGUGGGUAGUCCAUUGUUUUUAAGCCUGGGAAAUAUUAAAGUAUAAAACCUUUCUUCUAAGAAAAUUUUCUGCAUGUUUUCUCAAUCAUCUUAGUUUAUGAUUGAAUUUUAUACUCCAUUCCUGUAUUUCAUCAAAUUAUCAAUUGGGUUGUUUUUCUUUUGUCAUUUCAAGAAUUGAGUUAGUUCUUCUUUGUGAUUUCAGUAAUUGAGUCUUUAGUCACUGCACAGAUUCAUGGUUUUUUCACCCUUUCAGAAGCAGUUGAUUGAGUGGAUGCGAUUCUGUUGAAGCUGAAAAUCUUUGGAUGAUAGUUUUAGUUUUAUGAUCAUUAACCUCCAUUUCUUAUGCACGGUCAAUAACUAUACAAUGCGUGAAGGUAGCCUAGCUUUUAUUGUUCCUCCCUGCGACCUUAUAUUAUCUGCACUCAAAAUAUGUUGUGCAGCAUAUUUUCUGUUUCAUUUUGUCGACAUAUGCACUGUUUAUAUUAUCUGCACUCAACAUAUGCACUGUUUAUAUGCAGUGGAGUGGAUUAGAAUUACCUCAUUUUGAAAUGUUCUUCAAAAUUUAAAGUGUGAUUUUGCAUUUUGUUAGUUAGGCGGCAGCCGGGUUGGAGAGGUAGUGGGAGAAGAAAUGUAUUGCCACCGAAGAAAAUUGUCUAGCUUUCGAUAAAUCACAGAUAUGACAGAUCAAAAGGUAAUGAUUUUUACACUUCCGUUGUCUAUUAUAUUGUAUCACUCUAUUCUCCUCCAUUCUUUUCAAUCCAAAAAAUUCAAUUCAGAUAUUGUAUGAAAGUAUGGUUUAUUUUAUUCUCUUUUAAAUUGAGAAUUGGAGGAUUUUUUUUUUUUUUUGGUUGAGUUCAAAUCAAAGAAAGUUUUUGGUCUUAUCUUAUUUUCUUUUUAUUAAUUUUUCUUUUCUAUGAAUAAUAUUAGUAAGACCGCUUUGGUAAGCAAAAUUCGAUUAUAUAGGCAUGGUUGCUUACAAGACAAAAGAUCUGUUCUUUUUGCUUUAUGAUUUCUAGGCUUUUAGAUUAGAAAUGUUAGUUUCUAACACCAUGGCAUAUGGUCAAGUACAAGAUUGGGGUAAUGACACUUAUAAAAUCUGGGGUUGUAAUAAGUAACUUUUUCUUUGUUCUCUAUCAUAGCACUAUGUAUUCGAAUUGCAUAGGGUGUUGUUGCUGGUGCUGUACUCUCCAUGGAUAUUUUGGAGCCGUUGUGUGAUUUAUUGCAUCUAGGCCGGCCUUGCUUAUGGAGAUCUUUGUUGAUGGUAAGCUAUUAAUCUCUGAGAUCUAUUUCUUUUUGUUUAUUUCACGUGUGGCUAUUUAUUGAAAUUUGAUCUGCCAAGAACUGGAGAUGGUCUUGGUUUUUAGGUUAAAAUUGAAUCAUCCAUCAUUUUGAAAACAUGGUAUUUCUGAUUAAACCUAUAACAAUGGAUGCAUAGGUUAUACAUGUGGAUUGUCACAUUAUUGUAGUUCUCAAUUGAUUUAUGAAAGGUAGUCUUAACUCUUCGUCUAUGUACCAAUUUUCUUAUUUUAGUGCUCAGGCAAAAAUUAUAGAGGAGUUUAUUUGUUGGAGACUUGAAGAGUAAAACUUAGCAGCGCAGUACCGCUGGAAGUGGUAAUUGCUAAUCAGGUUUCCACUCUUUUUUCCACAUACUUUGGUUCAAAAGUAAUGCCAUUUGAAUGAUGAAACAUUAAGUUGGCAUCUCAAGCAAAUGUUAUUUGCCACUUCCUUUUUAAAUGAAUUUUAAGAUUAGCCCCAGUCCAUGUUUGUUUAACAAUGUUGUAUCAUUCAUUAUAUAGUUUCACAAAGAGCGAGCAUAAUUCUUGCUGAACUUGGUUUGGUUUUCUUUUGUUUAGGGAUCGAGCAAGCGAAUCACAGUUCGACCAAGUCUUGAAUGAUGAAUUGAGGCAAAUCAUUGAGGUCUCUUUGUCAAGUUAAAUUUUCAUCUACUUUUCAUUUGUAAUGCUUAGUUCUUCACUCAUGAAUUUGCAUAAGAUUAAAUAAAUUUUCAAACUCGCAGCAACGUGUUGGCACUGUUGCUAGUUAGCUUCUAUUGGGCAUUAUUAAUAUUUCUAUGAUUGGGUGCGUAGUUCUAUGAUUAAGAUUAUUAAUUCAUAUUUUAUGUGGUAUAUAUGUAUUUGUGAUGUUUUCAACAACUGAGUUGUUUAAUUAGUUGAAGUCAUUGGACAUGAUUCCAGAUUUUUAUUUUUUUUUCCCACCCCACCCACACCAGGCCUCGAACCUGGGACCCCACACCCACACCCUCACCACUAGGCUAUUCCUAGUGGCUUAACAUGAGGCCAGAUUUGAUUGAAUAGCAUGAUCUCAUUCUCAUUGCAGAGCUUUAACUAAUGUGGGGACAAUGCAAGCUAACCGAAAGAAUAAUGUGGAUGGAAAAUGAACUCUUUUGAUUUUCGUACAUGUGAAAUUUAUGACGCCAGAUUUGAUUGAAUAGCAUGAUCUCAUUGCAGAGCUUUAACUAAUGUGGGGACAAUGCUAGCUACCCGAAAGAAAUAAAUGUGGAUGGAAAAUGAACUUUUUUUAUUUUUGUAAAUGUGAAAUUUUUGAAUUGACCGUGCCUUAUGUACAUGAAGAUACAUUUAAGCACUUAAUCAGUCACUAGUCGGUUAUGAGAAUCUUUUUACAAUUGGGUAAAAUGGAUUAAGAAAUGUUUACUUUAGUGGUAUUAAGCAUUUAUCCCACACCCCAGCAAAGAGUUUCGAACAUUCCCCUCCCAUUUUGGCCUCCAUUCCACAGAAGAGAGACAAAAAUAGAGAUUUGCUGAAACAAUUCUAAAUUUGUGAACUUCACUUGAAAAUUAUUUGAAUUUGUGGAACUGGCUUAGCGAGUUUUGUACUUAGUCAAGAGUUUGAGCAUUCUCUCCUCUGUGCCGAGUUCGAACAAUCCCCUCCCAUCUUGGUCUACUUCUAAAGAAAAUUAAGAAAAAAAAAUAUAGAGUAGUAAAAGUACACCGGCAUCUCUAGUGGAAAGAUGCAAUUAUGAGAUGCUAAAACACAUUUACUUCUCAUUUUGUAUCUCCAAGAGAUGUGAAUGUAGAUUCCAAUCCAAUGGAGGAGAUGUAAAUUUGGGACCCUAAUUUUCUUCUCUCUAUAACUUUGUCCAUGUUCUAAAAAUGUAAAAUAAGUGUACAUUUGCUUUCUUUUUAUUUACAUUUUCUGCCAAUGAUGAAUUUUUUACAUCUUUCCACGGAGAGAUUUUUGGCCAACAAGAAAUGUAAAAUGCCAAUUUCAAGGCAUUGUAGAGCAUCUCAAAAAUAGAGGUGUAAAAUAUUCACCUUGGCUAGAAUAUGUAAUUCAGAACUUAAUUUACAUCUUUUGGUGGUGGGUCCUGCCAAUCAAAUAAAAACAUUAAAUGAGAUCUCAAACUUGCAUAUUUCUCAUUGGAAAUACAACUCAUAUCUAAAUCUUCCAGAAAUGUAUAUUGUGAUGUAAAUAUGAUUUUUACAUCUCAAAUUAGAAUUUAUCUUUCCAUUGUUGAUGCUCAUACAUCUCCCAUUAGAGACGUUGUUCGAAAAUUAUUGGAAGUUCUUGAAAUUGACUUAGGAAGAAUUUCAUCGAGUUAGUUAUUAAUGAGUUAUGACCCCUUAGUUUGAUUUGAAAAGAAAAAAAUUGGACAUCGUAGUUUAAAGAAAAUUGAAAACUACAAACACAUAUCCGGAAGGUUUAUACUUUUAUAUUCACAAAGUUUUAUGAGGCCUGUCAUAUUCAUUGGUUUAAGAUGCAUGAAAAUAGAUUGCACUACAAUACUAAUCCUCUACCGGAUCGAACCCUAAAUUGAUGCAAGGCACCAAUAUUCCCUUCUCACUUAUUUACAAUAGAGUUGCAAGUUUGUAGUUCCUUCUCGGUUUCUUAAUUAGUUUAAUUAGUACUUAAAGCUACUGAAAUGUGAAAUUAAAGUGAUAGAUACGUCAUUAAAAGCAAGAAUUCCCAAGAUUAUUGGUUUAACACACACACAAUAUAGUGAAACUGAAAUACUUGGAAACUAAAAAAUAAGAGAAACUAGUGAUGAAAACUAAUGCCACUUUCGCAGGGAACUCGAUUGCAUUGAGCGCAUGCAACAAGCCUUUUAAACCCAUAGGUGACCCUGAUGGGACGAGUGAAGUCUCGUGAGGGUUUCCAGAGACGUUACCCACAAACAUUAUGUGAUAGUUAUGAUCAUGAAUGCCGAGUGGCUGUAGAGAGAUCCCUUUUUUUAGAGUCCGACUUUGUGUUGUCUUAUUUGAGGUUAGGGUUUGCCUUAUCUUCUUCAGGGUCAGGGUUUGCCUUAUCUUCUUCAGGGCCAGGGUCUGCAUUGUCUUCUUCAAGGCCAAGGUCGGGAUUUGCCUUGUCUUCUUCAAGGCCAGGGUUGGCAUUGUCUUCUUCAGGGUCAGGGUUUACCUUGUCUUCUUUAGGGCCAAGGUCGGGAUUUGCCUUGUCUUCUUCAAGGCCAGGGUUUUCCUUCGAAACUUCGACAACCCUUUUAUCGUUGAUUUUGAUGUUGUUGUUGUUGUUGCUACUGUCUUUGUUGUUGUUGCUAUUCUUGUUGUUGUUGUUGUUGUUGUUGUUUUCGUUAGUAGUUGUUGAUGUUGUUGUUGUUGUUGAUGUUGUUGUUGAUGUUGAUGUUGAUGUUGUUGAUGUUGAUGUUGCCUUGUCUUCUUCAGUUUCAGGGUUUGCCUUCUCUUCUUUAGGGCCAGUGUUUGCCUUGUCUUCUUCAGGUUCAGGGUUUGCCUUGUCUUCUUUAGGGCCAGUGUUUGCCUUGUCUUCUUCAUGGUCAAGGUUUGUCUUGUCUUCUUUAGGGCCAGUGUUUGCCUUAUCUUCUUCAGGGUCGGGGUUUGCCUUGUCUUCUUCAGGGCUAGGGUUUGCCUUGUCUUUUUUAGGGUUAAGCUUUGCCUUGUCUUCAGAAAGGGCUGCCUUCAAAACUUCGACAACCCCUUCAUUGUCGAUGUUGAUGUCUUUGUUGUUGUUGUUGUUAUUGCUAUUGUCGUUGUUGUUGCUGUUCUUGUUGCUGUUGUUGUUGUUGUUGUUGUUGUUGGUUGAUGUUGUUGUUGAUGUUGAUGUUGUUGUUGAUGUUGUUGUUGAUGUUGUUGUUGAUGUUGAUGAUGAUGAUGAUGAUGAUGAUGUUUCCAUGUUAGAUGGUAUGAUCACUCUCACUACUCUCUUCAUCUUUUUUCUCUAUUCUCUCUUCUCUCUUUCUCGUGUGUUUUACUUGCUCCAUAGCUUUGAAACUGCUAUCCUAUUUAUAAUCAAGGAUAAGCGCACACCAUUUUUCUCUAUUCACAUUAUGUGUUCACACUAAUGGUUUCGUAUAUAAGGUGUUUUUAUUUUUUAUUUAGGGUAAAUAUCAAUUUACUACACUCAAAUUUCGUGAUUUUCAAUAUUUGGUACAUGAAGUUUUUUUCGUUCCAGAGUCAUACCUAAAGUGUUAAUUUUUGGACAGUCUCAUACAUCCGUUAGUCUGACUAUUAAAUCUCCUAUUAACUGAUGACGUGGUGACGUGGUUAACUGAUGACAUGGUGCCCAUGUGGACAAUGAUUGAGCGCCACGUGUCAUUAAGGUACCGUUUGAUACGUGGGAUGGGACGGAACGGGACGAGCCGUUCCGUCCCACGUUUGGUGCGCCUAAAAAUUGUAGAACGAGUUGUCUCAUGAGACAAAAUUUGGCUGAUUUUUCGUUCCACCUCUUCCCCCUGGAACGACCUGUUCCACAUCCGUGGGACACAAAUUUAUAACAUUUUAUGACAAAAUUUCUCCUUAUCUUUUUCAAUAUUUACAUCAUUUGUUCCGUUCUGUUCCGUCCGUUUGAGUACCAAACGGUACCUAAGGGUUCACUUGGAAAUAAAAAAUUCGAUAAAAAAAAAAGGCUUCUACCUCACCCGCCCUUCCCACCACCCAAUCCUCCCUCCCUCUCUUCUUUCAUCUACUCCAAGCUGGAUACUGAGGUCAGCGCCCAAGGUCGAGUUGACUGCACGGUCGGCAGAGCCAAGGCAGAGGAUGAACUGGUAGGGGCGGAGGCGGCGCUUGGCUGCUCGUGGGUGUUACGCGAGGGACUAGAGGAGCACGGCGGAGGUGGACUCGAUCUUACCUUCCGCGAGGCGACUGAGCGGUUCGUGCUCAACAGCGGCGACGCCAGUCAAGAAGUCAUGCUCCAUGCAGAAGUCAUCGAUGCAAUUGAGAGUGACAACCAAUGGGAACGAUGAGGUUACGAUGAGGUAACGUGCUGUGCAAGCAAAAAGUGCUGUCCAGAGCUAUGUGCAUGGGACCAUUUCACACCACAGAUUCGUAGAUCUACAUUGAUACUGAAUUUAAUUUCAACGUCAGAAAAUUGAAUACAAACAGGGAUACAAGGACCGGUGUUUGGUAAAAAAAACCUUUAGAAAUCAAAGGAAAAGGGCCUACAUUGUAUCUGCCUUACGUUACAGCUGUCACAGGUCUAAAACAUCAGAUUCGUACAAAUACAUUAAUACUGUUCGGUUAAAAAUAAGAUCUAAAAUAUCGAUAUUAUUCUGAUAUUUAUCAUCGAUAUUUUAGACCUUGAUAGGAACUUUAUGUGGUAUUAUGUCACUAAUGUAUCUUACCAUGUAAUGCAUGAAGUGUAAAAUAUUGUACUAAUUCAUUAUAUAUAAAUGAUUAUGGUGUUUUUAAACUUCUUUAAUUAAUUACUAUAUAUUUUCUACACUCACAAUGUUUGCCAACUUGCUAUAGAAUCAACUUAAAUAAGUUAAAUCUAUCAUGCAAUGCAAUUCCUUCUAUUUUUUGUGAUAAACUAAUAGAUAAUUGACUAAAUAAACAUCCUGGAAAGUUUCAGAAAAAAUUUCAAAGUUUUUCUUAAAAUUUCCGUGGUUUUUAUUCAAUUUUUAUCGAUAUCGAUAAUAUUCCGAUAUUUCCAUUGAAAUUUCCGUGUUUUUGGACUACCGAUAUUUCCGAUAUCAUCGAUAUUUUAUAACUUGGGCCUCAGUUUUUUUUUUUAAUUAUAAUGUUUUUUGAAUUUUUAAUUUCCACGUAGUGCCCAAUCAUUAUUCAUAUGUGCGUCACGUCAUCAGUUAACAAAAAACUUAACAACCAUACUAACAAAUAUAUGAGACUGUCUUAAAAUUAAAACUUUAGGUAUGAUUCUGGAAUAAAAAAAUUUCAUGUACCAAAUAUUAAAAACCACGAAACUUCAGAGUAAUAAACUGAAAUUUAUCCUUUUAUUUAGUAUGUGGUUAGAAAGAAACGUGCAAAUGAUCAUGCGAUCAACGUCCUGUGCAAACAAAAAUGCUGUCCAGAGCUAUGUGCAUGGGACCAUUUCACACCAUAGAUUCGUAGAUCUACAUUGAUACUGAAUUUUAAUUUCAACGUCAGAAAAUUGAAUACAAACAGGGAUACAAGGACCGGUAUUCGGUAAAAAAAACCUUCAGAAAUCAAAGGAAAAAGGCCUACAUUGUAUCUGGCUUACGUUACAGCUGUCACAGGUCUAAAACAUCAGAUUCGUACAAAUACAUUAAUACUGUUCGGUUAAAAACAAGAUCUAAAAUAUUGAUAUUAUCCUGAUAUUUCCAUCGAAAUUUCUUUAUUUUUGGAGUAGCGAUAUUUCCGUUAUCAUCGAUAUUUUAAACCUUGAUAGGAACUCUAUGUGGUACUAUGUCACUAAUGUAUCUUACCAUGUAAUGUAUGAAGUGUAAAAUAUUGUACUAAUUCAUUAUAUAUAAAUGAUUAUAGUGUCUUUAAACUUCUUUCAUUAAUUACUACAUAUUUUCUACACUCACAAUGUUUGCCAACUCGCUAUAUAAUCAACUUAAAUCAGUUAAAUCCAUCAUGCAAUGCAUUUUCUUCCAUUUUUUUGUGAUAAACUAAUAGAUAAUUAACUAAAUAAACAUCAUGCAAAGUUUCAAUAAAAGUUUCAAAGUUUUUCUUAAAAUUUCCGUGGUUUUUAUUUAAUUUUUAUCGAUAUCGAUAAUAUCUCGAUAUUUCCAUUGACAUUUUCGUGUUUUUGAACUACCGAUAUUUCCGAUAUUAUCGAUAUUUUAAACCUUGGAUAAAAACCUUUGAUAGGAACAGAAGGGAAAAGGCCAACGUCGUACGUACCUGCACUAAUUACAGUUGUUACUAUAUAUUGAAAAACAUUGAUCAGACGUCUGCUAUAAAGGAAAAUGUUGUUGUUUUAUAAUGACUCGCAUAUUAGCACGGGAGAAUAAGGGAUCCUCUCCGGAUCCUAUUCAUCAAAUUCAUCAAGUUUAUCAAUCUAAAUCUUUGAAAUUUGAUCUAACGGUUAAAAACAGGAGUAUCUUUUAAAACUUAUAAUAAUUUUAGCCGUUUGAUCAAAUUUUAAAGAUCCGGAUUGAUGAACUUAGUGGAUUUGGUGGAAGGGAUCCGGAGAAAAUCCAUUUCCUUGUUUCACAUUAUUAUUAAUUUUACUGAUUUGUAUGUUGACUACUUGUUUAUCUCAUGAUAAAAGUUUGUUAUGAUGAAGAAAGCUGAGCUCUCUAAAAUUAAUCGACAAUAUGCAAGUUAAUUACUUAUAAGUUAAUUACUUAUAAGCAGAUGCAAUGUCCUCUUUUAUUCGAUGUGGAAUUCAUACUCCUAAUAUGCACAUUAUGUUUGUUAAAAAGGAAAUGACAAUUUUAUUCGAUGUACAAAAACAAAAUAGAACAAAUUAUUCUAUCAUUUAACAAAAUAGAACUCACUAAAAACAAUAUUAUGUUUGUUAAAAAGGAAAUGACUACACCCAACUUUUAUCUCUUCUCACCCAACAAACUCGUUUUACUCUACAAGAUUUUAAAAACUUAACAUCUACUCUCCGCACUCACCAAAUCUUCCAAAAUUACCCCUUCCUAAUCCUUCUCUAUCUUACACGAUAUAUCUUCUCAUCCAAGAACACCCCUUCCUAAUCCAUCUCUAUUUUUUUUUUGUCAUAAGGUAAAUUGUUGUUACCGACCAACAUAACUUACAUACACGACUAGAGACCAAACACAAAAAAAAUACAAAAACAACAGAUGAGCCUCCAAUAUAACAACAAAAGAAAACACCAAUCCGAAAGUAGAGCCCAAUACAGAAAAACACGCAAGAAAACCAUAAACUCCUCGAUCCUCUUCCUCCGCUGAAGUGCUUGCCGCCGCCGACGAUCCAGUCCCCCUGCAAAUCACUAGAGAUAAGAACCAGCCAAGCUCUGAAACAGAAAAAAGAAACAAAUUUCAUCAUCCUCGAGCAACGUCCGCACAACUUCAAAUUGCAACCACCAAGAGAAUGAAUGGAAAGAAAAGAAACAAAGUUCAUCGUCCUCGAGCAACCUCCCCACAAUCCUUCUCUAUCUUACAUGAUAUAUCUUCUCAUCCAACAACCUCUCCUUCCAUAUGGGGCUGCCUAACCCACUUUCCUCCAUCAAUAUUCGGUUCUUCAUCAAGUUAUGCACAAUAUUAAAGUACGCAACGAACAAGAUUACAAAAUAAUAAGAAUAUUAUUAAAUAAACGAGAAUGCCGAAACGGUUACAAAAUGCUAAGAGACUACAUUGUGAAUAACUUAUUAGUCAUGCUAAACUAUAAGCUAUAUUUAUAGAGAGCAAAACCUAGAAACCCUAAAUCGGAUGGGCUAGGCGGCCCAUAUACUAACUAACAAGCAAACUCAAAUAAUUAUAAUAUACUAAUAUUUUCCAACACCCCCCCCCCCCCCCGGUCAAACUCAUAGCGGUAUACGACAUGAGUUUGCAAACAACCAGAUGUAGACUGGCUCCGUUAGGCGGACUGGCAGACAUGCAAGCUUGACUGGACUUGACUUGACUUGCGAACUGGCAAAUUUGACUUGACUGGAUCGCCGAACUUGACUUGACUAGCGAACUUGCAAACUGGUUCCUAUUCAGGUAUGUUGAUUCUGGCUAACAAACUGAUUAUGAUUCACACUGGCUAAUGUUGAGAGUAUGGAAAGAACCAGUCACUAAACGGACGAGAUUUCCAUAUCUCAAUUGUACCAAUAACAACACCAACAACGUGUGUGGCCCCAAAACAAACUUAACUAUGUUUUUUUUUCCUUGCCCGUGUGGGCCUAAAACAAACCAAAACUAAUUUCUUUUCCUUUUUUUUUCUUUCUUAUUUUCUUUUCCACUUUUUUCUUACUUCCCUUAUCCCUUUUUUUCGUUUUUUCUUCUUUCUGGACUAACGCCAUACACCUCCAGCAUUGGUGCAACAAGUGAGUGGUUCUAAGGCAGCGGGUACGGCAGUGGUGUGGUGGAUUGCAGGCAACAAUUUGGUGCGGGUUGAGAUUGUGAGUACAAGGGUGCGGAUGAGGUUCUGAUUUCCAAGCUUGCAGGGUGGUGCAGAAACGACGAUAAAGAAUGGGGUCUAUCCAGGCUUGCAGCAACAGGUCGGAUUCUGGGUUAGAUUACAGACGGUGGGACGGCACAAGACAAGCAGACGGCGAGGCAAGAUCUGGAGGAAGGAAGCUUCAGGUUUUUGUUUUCUUCUGCAAACUAAACCAAGGACAGAAAACAAGAAUACGUACAUACUGACAAACAGAAUACCAACCCGACCAAGCAGAUUAAAUACUGAAGGAUUGAACCUGCUUUGAUACCAAGUUGAAUAUCAGAGUGCGCAGCGAACAAGACAAACAAAAUAAUAAGAAUAUUAUUAAGUAAACGAGAAUGCCAAAACAGCUACAAAACCCUAAGAGACUAUAUUAUGAAUAAUUUAUUAUUCAUGUUAAACUAUAAGCUAUAUUUAUAGAGAGCAAAACCUAGAAACCCUAAAUCAGAUGGACUAGGCGGCCCAUAUACUAACUAACAAGCAAACUCAAAUAAUUAUAAUAUACUAAUAUUUUCCAACAAUAUCUUCUCAUCCAACAACCUCCCCUUCAAUAUGGGGCUGCCUAACCCACUUUCCUUCAUCAAUAUUCGGUUCUUCAUCAAGCUAUGCACACUCUUUUGAGAAUUCAACUUAAUUAUAAGGAAUAUGAAACCAGCAGCUCUUUGCAACUACCUGUUAAUUAUAUCUUUAUUUGGGUUUAUUUAAGUUGGUGGCUAGCCAUCAAAUUGUUCUUCCCCAUCAAUUUUUAGAAGAAAUCAAACCAAACUAGACUCGAGUGUUCAUAUAUUCAUUGGAGUUGAAUAUAACAAUAUGUAAAAUUCCAUCACUAAGAAGCCAAAUUGUAUUAAGACUUUGUAACAGCAGCACGAAGGUCAGGAGUCGACUUGGAGGAGAAGAUCGCGAGCGGGUUUGGCUAGCAUUGGUUAACCGAACCCCCAAUUCCUUGUUCAUGGCUAUCGGCUAAUCUUGUGAACAUUGAACUUUUUGUCAAUUUUGUGUUCGGCAUGUUCAAACCAAGGUCUAAAAUAUUGAUAUUAUCUCGAUAUUUCCAUCGAAAUUUCCGUGUUUUUAGACUACCGAUAUUUCUGAUAUCAUCGAUAUUUUAGACCUUGAUAGGAACUCUAUGUGGUACUAAGUCACUCAUGUAUCUUACCAUGCAAUAUAUAAAGUGUAAAAUAUUAUACUAAUUCAUUAUAUAUAAAUGAUUAUGGUGUGUUUAAACUUUUUUCAUUAAUUACUAUAUAUUUUCAACACUCACAAUGUUUGCCAGCUCGCUAUAUAAUCAACUUAAUCCAUCAUGUAAUGCAUUUUCUUCCAAUUUUUUGUGAUAAACUAAUAGAUAAUUGACUAAAUAAACAUCCUGCAAAGUUUCAAUAAAAAUUUCCAAGUUUUUCUUAUAAUUUCCGUGGUUUUUUCAAUUUUUAUCGAUAUCGAUAAUAUCCCGAUAUUUCCAUCAAAAUUUCCAUGUUUUUGGACUACCGAUAUUUCCGAUAUCAUCAAUAUUUUAGACCUUGGUUCAAACACAUGAUUCAAUCUAGUUGUAUUUUAUUUAAGAAAAUAUAAACAAACACAAGAGGAUUUCAGAGAAAAGUGACGACUUAGGGCAGAACAUUGCAGCUCAAACCUCACUUACAUACUUCAAUGACUUAGGGUUUUGGUCACAAUACCACCUUACAUCUCAUUUAAAUUAGCUAGCUAACAAACGCCUUCAAGACCCCAGUUGUUCUAAGCUAUUCUAAACCUCACACCAAAGCAAACCUAUCUCAGCCCUACACUUGUAAUUUUGGACUGAGUCAACAUAUUGGCCGUUACAAAGUUAGAAAAACUAAGCCAUUACUUUGUUUAAUACAAAAAAUUGGAAGCUAGAAAUCAGUUUAGGCAUCACCACUCUCCUUCAAAUUGUUUUUAGUUUUGACACCAUGCAAAUCCCUGAGGUAUACAAAUCUCUAAGGUAUACAAAACUCUCUUUUAGCGUAGCCUUAGUAAAUAUAUCAACAGUUUGAUCCUCAUAUUUGCAAUAGAGUAAUUCAAUCACAUUAACUGACGUACAAAGGAUCUCUAAUAAAGUGAUGGUUCCUCUUGACAUGUUUUGUUUUUUAGUGAAUCAGAGGAUACCUUGUCAUAGUAAUUACAAUGGUGUUGUUGAGUUUUAGUGAUAUAGCAUCUACUUUGAAAACGUAGCUGGGUCGAGGAACCCAAACCCAAUAGAUAAAUAAUCUCAACUAAAAUUCUAGACGAGGUUCAAGUAAGUACGAUUUCAAUCAUACUACAUAACAAUGAAGAACAAAAUGAAAUAGAGAAAAAGAACAAAAGACUCAUGAUAGUCUUUUACGUGGUAAUACCCCACACACAAUGGGAAAAAUUCAUGGGCACACAACCGAUUAAAGAACCACUGAGAAAUAAGAACUUUUACAAGACUCAACAAGACAGACACCUACUACACUUGAAGUUUUCUCUUGUACUUUUAAUCUUGUAGCACACAAUCCUUCUUUUGCUCUCUUUUGGAUGAACACGACGCACUCUGCAGGUUCUCCUCACGACUAAAGAGAUUGCACUCAACUUCGUCACAAAGAUGGACACAACUUCUUCACACAAAUGAAUGUGAUGAAUAAUAUGAAAGGUAUGAAGUGUUUCACUAGGAUCACUCUUCUAACCUAGCACUCAAGAACUUUGCUUCAAACUUUUUAUGCUCAAAUCUUGUAUCCAAGCAAAGAUGAAUGAUAGGCUUGAUUUCCAAUGAACCAACAGCCUAGAAUAAAGGAAACUGGAAUACGUACUAGAAUAAAAUCAAAUUGGUUUUAUUUCUUAAAACUAGGCAAUUAAACUGAUCUUAUAAUCUUCAAGAUAUGCAAUGAUGUGAUUCUUGUUUCCUAUAUGAAUGCACAUGAUACUCCAUUAUAUUCCUUGAUGUGCACGUUUUCAAUAAUUAAACCUAGAAACUACGACACGCCUAAAAUCUAGAACUAAUAUAUUACAGACGCAUUAAACUUGUCUAGGAAAUUAGCCAAAUAGAAAAGCUUGCUCUUUCUCACUUGCAUUCAAUAAAGUCCCUAAGAACAAACCUCAGCCAAAUUGCUUGAGAAGUAGCCUCUAGCACCAAGGAAGAACAUCGCUUUGAAAAAAGUUGUCUUUGACUUUGGGCAUAAUCAAGGGUUGUAAUUCCUAUAACUCUAAUGGUGAAACUGGGUCAAGAUAAACCUCACAGUAGGCUAGCAUAAUGCGGUUCAAAUUCGGUUUUGUCGAGAAUCGAACCUAAAACCUCUCACUUACAAGUGAAUAGGAAAACCACUAGACCAUAGUACUAAGUGGCAAACUGUUUGGUAUUCCUGUGCUUUCUAAAAAAAAAGAAGUUAUUUUGUUGUCCUAUGAGGAUAAACAUUUGUAAAAUAAAGUUGUUGGGUGUUUUUAUUAUUAUUUUUUUUUUGUAAAAGUACUUUUAACAAUAAAAACAGUGUUUGAGUGUUUGGUAAAAUUUAUAUAAAUUGUUGUGAAUGUGUUAAAUAACUAAAAGGAUAUGGUAUGUAGUGUGAUAUAAUAAUUGUUAAAAACAAUAACGUAAGGGCAAAAAUUGUAAUUUUGUAAAAUAUGUGGGGUUGUACUUGCCCUUUGAAAAUUUUAUUAAAUGAGCACUAAUUACUGUACUUUGAAAAAAAUGCACUUUCUUUAGAAGCAUAGUAGACCUGACUUUUGUUUUUUCUAUGCUUUUCUACUGUCAUUGAUAACAGUUUUUUUUUUUAAAUCACACUUAAUGUUCCAGAUUUUUUAAAAGCACUACAAUACCAAACCAGCCAUUUGUUAGAUUGUUUAGAAUUUUCUCAAACAAAUGGCUCAAAUGUGUAGGGGGAAUACUAUUAUCUAGUUGGCAUUCAGUGACAUGGUUAAUUUCUUUGAUUAGUGAAUAUGUUCUGGAAUGUUAAAUUAUUUUGUAUAAACUUAGCAUCCAUGACGCAUUUUAAGUUAAACCAUAUUCACUAGCAAGAGCAUUUAAAUUGAGAGAGUAGAAGACAAUUCUGAGAUCAAUCCCAAUCAUGUUUCGAAUUCAAGAGAUGGGGUCAAUUUUUUAUUUAUUUAUUUAUUUUAUUCAUUUGGUUUAUUCAAUUUGCAACCCAAAUGUCUUAUUGUUAUACUUUUCAGAAUAUGCCUUACAUAUUCACCUUCACCCCAAUCUCCUCGCUCUAUAUCUUGGGGAAAGAAGUAUAGAUUUCAAUUUGAAGCCAAAAUGCCUGGUUAUAAUGAUUAACAGAUUAAUUUUGUUGGAAUGUUUACAUUUUUGCAAUUGAUUUACAAUUGAGUUGUAAGGAAAGACAUUCACUAUUCUUCCAAGAAGAGGCCAAAUUCAGAUUCAUAAUUUGGAAUGAGGGCCCCAAUGCAAAGCGUGAGGAGACGGUGGCUACCAACAACAGAGGAAGCAGAGAGGGAAUUGGAGAAUUGAUCCUGCCUUGCCUUCCUCCUCGCGGUAUUUUAAAAUACAGUCUUGUGUAGGCGUUUGUUUCCUAGUUGAUCCUUUCCAUUAUUUUAUUUUGUUCAAUGCUUCAACGUGUAAUUAGUUUUAAUCUUCCAUAUGAAUCCCUUAACAGUCGUUGGUAACGUAGACCCUGUCCUUUCCUCUCUUGGACCGUCACUAGUUAGUAUAUCGUUUAGUUUCUUGGGCAACUAGCAGGAAUGAUCACUUUUUGACAUUUGGUUGCAGAAAUGAUCAUGAGUCGUUAUGUCAUCAUUGUGUGGUCGAUAUGUUAUUAAUACGUCGCCGAUAUUAAAAAAAGAAAAAUUAAUGAAAAAAGCUUGAAAAUUUUGAGUUUUAAUAAAAAGAACAAACUAAAGGGUAAAGUGAAUUGUACCAGGAUUGACUUUUUAGUAUAAAAAUGUGGUUUUUCGUUAAAGUCAAUAGUACCGGAAGUUUUUCGUUAAAGUUCCCAUUAAAAAGUGAUAAUUUUUGCAAACAAAUGUCAAAAAAUGAUUAUUCCUGCUAAUUGCCCUAAUUUCUAAUUACCAAAUAAAAGAAUAGUACUAUUAGUCAGACUUGAGUAUUGAAAGUGUACAAACAAAGGUCAAAGGUAGUACGUUAUAAUCUGCUACACUGAGACAUUAUUUUUUAGAGACGGAAUCUACUCUUAAAGAUAGUGUCUAAAUUGCCUCAGUGUUGUUCUAAUUGAACAUCAGCGUAGAGCGAUUUUUACACCCUAACAGAUAAGUAUUCAAUAUAUUGCUAAUUUCUUUAAAUCGAAUGUGGCAAUGGAAAUUCUCAUUAACUGUAUAUAUCUUUUGUGAAUUGUUGUAGACGAAGUAGCAUCAACGUCGCUAAUUUUUUCAACAACAAACACCACUUGUAAAGCAUCCCUUUCUGAAUGAAAAUACGAAAGCUCAAUCGGAGGGCUAGUUGAACACUUCGUAACGCUACCAAUUCUUCUACGUGAAGGGGACUAGCAGUACCCCUUUGAAGAGUAGCAACCAUAACAAGACAGGUCCCUUCCCCAUCCCUAACCACCCUAAUGCCACCAUUACCACUGCACUCGCAAAAAGCAAAAUACAAAAUUAUAUUCACCCAGAGGACUCCAUCAUUGAUACUGCACUGGCUGCUUACCUCGACUACCGGUCACACAUGUUACGCAGAAUACUAGUCCUCGACUACCAAAAAGACCAUAAGAGCAUCACGAAGGAGAGCAAACUACUCCUUGGACAUGUCAAUCGCCAUUGGAAUAGCCUUUCUUUUAGGCUACGAUAUCGCAACAAACUUUUCUGAAAAGACAAGGGACUAACAAACUACAUGGAACUUUUUAUAUGGAGCCUCGAUGGGCAUGUACAUGCCCUGUUUUUUUCCUCAGUCUGCUUACUUGCUUGAAAUUUCAUAUGCAAAAAUUGCUUUGCUUCCCUCUUUUCAUUUUGGAUUUGACGGCUUGGCUACAUGGACUUUUUUUUUUCUUGGACAUGUGACUUUCUUGUUGUUCAAUUUUGUGUGACCAUUGUUAUUUACUUGACUUUGUUUUCGGUUUGGUAGGUCGCUUAAGCUCUACUUGAACCAGUGAAACCUGCUUGGUGAUGAGAGCUCGAAAUACCUAUUAAUCAGAUAAGCAAAUCCAAUUUUAACUUGCAAGUGCACAAGACCAAUAGUAGUAUAGUAAGAGGAAGUAAGAAGUCAUUCCCACGAGUAUUGAUUUUUAAUUUAAUUUGAGUCUCAACUCAAUUCAAAUUCAACAAACUUUUUAACACAAAUAGGGCUGAAAAUUUUACCUAGAAUGAAGGAGACAAGGAGAUCUCAAAACCUUAAAUUACGAGUGGGUGGAAAGAAUAUUUGAGUGCUUGUAAUUGUUUCUCCAUAUGCUUCUACAGUAAGCAAGGCUCCUAUCAUUGUGUGUGAUUAGUUUACUUUUGUGUUCUCAAUCGCAUAUAUAUCAUUUUGCACUUAUUGGUUUGAGGAAAUUAAGGCUCAGACUUCGUGACAUUUUCAUGAUUCUUUAGGACAUCCAUUGAAAUCUUACUAAAUUGUCUAACAAAUGAGCAAUUUGAUUCUUACUGUUGGAGGAAAGAUUAGCAGUUUUCAAUUACACUGCAUAAAGGAAGAAUACAAGAGAAUAUAUAUGGAGGAUGAAUUUUGAACGGGAACUGAAAAUUUUCAACUUUAUUGCUUUCAGUUUUUCAUUACAACACUUGGCCAUCUUAUUGGCUAUUUAUAAUAACAUUCAGACCUUUUGAUAACAGCCAUAACUCUUGGAUUAGUUCCAAGAGACACAACUCUACAUUACAAAAGUGCAUUAUACGUUUAACACUUAUAUCUCCGCAAUGGCGUUCAGGAACUGGAGCAAUCCAGUAUUAGAAAAUAACUCUGAUAUUUUCAUUUCUUAAUGAAUAAGGAAAUUACAACUGGUUUAUAUACAUUUGUGAGAAAUAGCUUAGUGACUAAUUACCCUUGGUUAACUGACUAAUCUAGUAAUUAGUUACAUAGACAGUUGUAACAGACUUGUAACCAAAAUACAACAAACUAUAUAUGUGACUCUUUACACCCCCUCAAGCUAAACGGAGGAGAGCCGAGAGAAAGCUUGGAUUGAAGGUAUUGAAACCGAGCCUUAGAAAGAGAUUUGGUGUGAAUAUCAGCAACUUGAAACUGAGUAUUGAUAUACUGCACUUGAAGUAGCUUAGCAAGAACGAACGAGUUCACGGAUGUAAUGAUAAUCAAUUUCCACGUGCUUGGUACGAGCAUGGAAAACCGGAUUAGAGGCCAGAGAAAUAGCGGAAACAUUAUCACACCAAAGAGUGGGAAUGGUAGUGAGUUGAAAAGCGACAUCUCUGAAAAUUUUACAUAUCCAUGUAAGUUCAGCGGCUGUGUGCGCAAGAGAACGAUAUUCAGCCUCGGUAGAGGAACGAGCAACUGUAGGUUGCUUUUUAGCACUCCAACUAAUCAAGUUGCUGCCCAAAUAUAUACAAUAGCCACUGGUGGACCUUCGAUCAAACACACAACCUGCCCAAUCCGCAUCAGAGUAGGCAGUAAGAUGCAAGGGACACUUCUUAAACCACAUCCCCUGAUCAAAAGAACCUUUUAAAAACCGUAAUAUCCUUUUGACAGCUUGAAAAUGUGAAUCCCGGGGACAGUGAAGGAACUGGCAUACUUGAUUCACAGCAAAGGAAAGAUCAGGUCUUGUCCAAGUGAGAUACUGUAAAGCCCCUACAAUAGACCGGUAUUCCUUAGGAUCAGCUAAAAGAGCUCCAGUAUGAUCAAGCUUCUGAGUUCCCAGAGGAGUAGGACAGGGCUUGCAACCUGCCAUGGAAGUCUUGACUAAAAGAUCUAAAGCAUACUUGCUUUGAGACAGGAAAAUACCAUCAUCAGAUCGGUGGACCUCUAAGCCAAGAAAAUAGUGUAAAGGCCCCAAGUCCUUAACUGGAAAUAAGGAACUGAGUUGCUGAAUAAAACGUUGACAGAGAGAGGUAUUAGGACCAGUCACCAAGAUGUCAUCCACAUAUACAAGGACGAGCACAGGGAAUGGUUGAAGUUUCACAAACAGAGAACAAUCAGAUUGGGAGUUUGUGAAACCAAGAGAGACCAAAGCUUGAAACAACUUAUCAUACCAAGCCCGAGGGGCUUGCUUCAAUCCAUAGAGAGACUUCUGGAGUUGACAGACAUAAGAAGGUUUGGAAGGAUCAAUGAAACCUGGGGUUGUUGCAUAAAAACAUCUUCUUGGAGAUUGCCAUGGAGGAAAGCAUUGCUGAUGUCAAGUUGAUGUAAAAACCAAUCAUAUUGCACUGCCAUUGUAAGAAGAAUGCGAAUAGUGACAGGUUUGGCAACCGGACUGAAAGUCUCCUUGAAAUCAAUACCCUAUUGUUGAUGGAAACCCUUAGCAACAAGACGGGCUUUAUACCGAUCAAUAGAACCAUCAGGUUUCCUUUUGAUCCUGAAAAUCCAUUUGCAUCCAACCAAGUUUUGACGAGGAGAUGAGGGUACAAGAGUCCAAGUGCCGGUGGAUUGAAGAGCUUGAAAUUCGUCAAGCAUGUCCUUAUUCCAGUGAUCAUACUUGGAGGCUUGCAGAUAAGUAGUAGGGACAAAUGAACUGGAAUCAAUAGGAUGCUUCGUGGCUGCUAACACUUUAGGCUUGAAAAUUCCUGCUUUAGAUCGAGUGAUCAUUGGAUGAGUGUUGGUAGGGACUGAGAUUGUUGAAAGUGAAGAAGGAGAAGGCACCGGAGAUGAAAUAGAGGCUUGAGGUUGCUGGGGAGGUUGAGAGUGCCGUGUAGAUGGUGAAGGUUGAAGGUGUUGUGGAGGUGGAGGUUGCUAUGGAGAAUGCACCCGAGAAGAGCUUGAGCAUUGACCUUGAGAGAAAACUGAAAAAGGCGGUGGUGCAGGGGGACAUGAUUGAGGAAAUGGUAGGGAGAAUUCAAGUGAUGUAGGGGAGGGGACAGAGGAAGAACACUGUGACGAGCUACUGUGAUGAAAUGGAAAAUGAUCUUCAUUAAAGAUAACAUGCCUUGAAAUGUAGACUCUGUUAGAAGACACGUCCAAACACCGAUAACCUUUGUGUUGAAGGCUAUAACCGAGAAAUACACAUGGUUUGCUUUUACCAUCAAAUUUGGAUUGCAUAUAUGGCUUGAGCCAAGGAUAGCAGCAGCAACAAAAAACCUUUAACUUGGAAUAAUCAGGAGGCUUUUUGAAAAGCAUUUCCCAUGGAGACUGAGAAGAUCCAGAAAAAGGCAUCCGAUUGAUAAGAUAUAGUGCAGUAGAAAAGGCUUCUACCCAAAACUUGUGAGGAACUUUGGAAGCAACAAGAAGUGUCCGAGCAGUUUCAGUGAGAUGUCUAUGCUUGCGUUCCACACACCCAUUUUGCUCAGGUCUGUGGGGACAACUGUACUAAUGAGAAAUACCAUGUUGAAGCAAGAAGGAAGCAAAAGCAGAACCAGUGAACUCACCCCCUGAAUCUGUUCGAAGAAUCUUGAUUUUAUGGCCAAGCAAGUUUUCAACAUAUGCUUUGAAAGUGAUAAAAGUAGAGAAGACUUCAGACUUGUGUUAUAAAGGAAACAGCCAACUGUAUUUGCUAUAUUCAUCCACAAAGAGUACAUAGUACGUAUAGCCACUAACUGAUGAAACUGGAUAGGGACCCCAGACAUCACAAUGAAUUAAAUCCAAACUAUGAGAUACAGUGGUAGUACUAAAGGAAAAGGGCAACUUAUGAUUUUUGCCAAUAGCACAGUCUGCACAAAAAAACUGAACAGAAGUUGAAGUAUGAGGAACAAGCUUAUUUGUACGUAAAAUCCUUCUGAGAAUGGCUGUGGAAGGAUGCCCGAGUCAUUUGUGCCAUUGAUGUAAAGAUGCUUGAGUGCUGACAAGUGCAGAAUAUGAAGCUUGGAAUGGCUGACCAUGCAGAGGAUAGAAACCAUCCCUAACUGGGCCUCGAAAAAGCAUCUUCCUAGUGGAACGGUCCUUGAUGACAGAACCAUCAGAAUCAAGAGUUAAAGAGCAAUAAUUGUCUCUUAGAAAAUGAUAUGCAGAGAGCAAAUUGAAUUGCAUCAUUGGCACAUGAAGAACAUUAUUUAAUCGAAAGGCAGCAUGUGGUGUUUGGAGAAUAGAAGAACCUGUAUGUUGGAUGGGCAUACCUUGGCCAUCACCUGCAUAAACCUUGUCUUCACCAGAGUACAGAAUGGGGGAAGUGAUAGCGGAGAUAUCAUUGGUGACAUGAGCAGUAGCACCAGAGUCCAGAAGCCAUGUAGGCUGAGAAGAAGAGGCAGUAGAAGCACACAUAGCAGCAAGCUUGGCAGGUGGAAUCUUUCCAGCAAAGGCAUGAUUCAUGCGAGCAUAGCAGUCAAGAGCCUCAUGAUCAAAAGAAUUGCAUAUUUGACAGGGAGACCGAGUUCCAGAAGAACGAGGAAAGCCACCAGAGUUGCGAUUAUAAUGACUAGUAUUAUGAUGAAAAGAACCAUUACCAGGGCCAGAGUUAGUAUAAUUUCCACGAUAGUUGCCUCGACCUCUGUUGUUCUUCUGAAAAUUGUUGCGGCCACGAUUAUUGCGCUGAAAAUUGUUGCGAUUGUUGUAGGUAGAAUGUUGAACAACAUAUGCCUGGGAGGGAGGAGGCGUAGGUAAGAGACCUUGCUGGAGAGGCGGAGCUUGAGCAGCAAAUGCUUGAAAUGGUGCAGUGAGAGAUGACGAAUGAGCUUUCUUCUUGCGAUGCAUAAAGAUCUCUUUGUUCAUGAGUAAGCCAUGAAGUUCAUCUAAAGAAGUAGAUGAAAUGCGAAGCAUUAUCGAAUCAAUGAAAGACUCGUAAUCAUCAGAAAGGCCAUUGAGUGUAACAGCAAUGAGAUCUGGUUCUGACACCAAGUGCUCCGGGCAGCCAUAAGAGCAUUCAGAGAUGCCUUUGAUAUGCUGCAGAUAAUCAGAAAUUGACAAAUCACCUUUUUGAAUCGCAUGAAGACGCGAUCGGAGCUGGUGAAUGUGCGCCGCCGAGACUCCGCCAAACCGUUGUUCAAGAAUCUGCCAUAAUUCUCGAGAUGAGGUGACGCCAACGGUGAACGGAAUAAGAUCUUCAGAGAGAGAGUGGAAUUCAACCAGAUCAGGAUAUUUUGAUCCUUUUCAAACCAGAUCUCGUAAUCAGGAUUAGGAACGGCAGUACCGAUACCGUUUUGAUUGAGAAGAAAGGGCGAUGGACAUUGCUCCGAUCCAUCGAUGAUACCUGUAAGUUUGUAGCGUCGGAAAAUUGGAGCGAAAAGAGCUUUCCAGGCGAGAUAAUUGUCCUUCUUAAGCUUUGUAGGAACCAUAACAACUGAUGUUUUGGAUUGAAAUUGAUGAAAACGAAGAAUUAGGGUUUAUCGGAGCUGAAUUUGAGGAAAUGGGAGUAGGAUUCUGAGCGAAAACUUCUGGAUUUGCAGGCGAAGAGGUAGAAGACGCCAUUGUUGAUCAAGGAUUUGCAGAGAGAAAAUGAAAUCGGGUAGAAAAAUCAAAGAUUGCAGAGGAAGAUCUCAAAGAUUGCAGAGGAAGCUAGGAUCGGAGGAAGCUAGGAUCGGUGCGUGAGCAGAGAGGCUCGUGAUACCAUAUUAGAAAAUAACUCUGAUACAUUUCUUAAUGAAUAAGGAAAUUACAACUGGUUUAUAUACAAUUGUGAGAAAUAGCUUAGUGACUAAUUACCCUUGGUUAACUGACUAAUCUAGUAAUUAGUUACAUAGACAGUUGUAACAGACUUGUAACCAAAAUACAACAAACUAUAUAUGUGACUCUUUAUCCAGGUGCAUCACACUUUGUGUAGGCGCAAUGCAAGUAUGAAACCUCCACAUGUAAGACGGGUCACCUGCAUAAUGCAAAAGUUAGUAACUAGACUUUUUUCUUGAUCAUCAUAUUCGUGCUAGUUAACAAAUUCUAAAGAAGAAAAUACAAAAAAGGGGUCUAAAUUAGAUGAUCUAAUUAGGAAACAAAAAUUUCAAAAAAAUUAGGAAUAAAUUCAAGAAAGAUGGAGUCUCUUUGAAAGAGUCUCGUGCCUGUUGUAGUUACUUGAAAGAGUCUUUAAAUACAGAGGAAUUUUGACGAAACGCUUAUGGAAGAAAGAAAAAUUUAGACAAAAGACGAAGAGGACAACAUGACAACUGGCAAAAACCCUAGAAGAAGAACGACAAAGGAAAGCGUAGACACUAAAGUUGACGUGAGACUGGUAGAAAGAACCUAGGACCUAAUUAGGCAGAUACCAUGUAGAAAUAUAAUUUCCUUGAUUUGUUGUGUAUAUAAAUUUUGCAAUAUAGAGGGUUAAACAUAAGUAUUGUCGAAAAAAUUAAUGAAAAGUGACUCAUAAUCUUUUCUUUCCAAAACCACCUAAUGAACUUUCUUUAACCAUAAGAACAAAGAGGUGUGGUAGUACCAUAGACAAGUUCAAGUUUGGGUGCGGUGGCAGUAUGUUGAAUUUUUUGUUAUGAACAGGGUUGCCAAUUUUAUGAAAAAAGUUAAAAACAGUUGCGGUGCCACCAAACUUCAACUUAUUUACAACAUUGUUGGCGUUUUCUUGUUUAUACCCUUUUUUGUUAUUAAAAAUUUCAUAUGUAGUUUAUUGCACUAAUUUCUUACAAAAAAAAAUGUUCGGCAUGUGUAUGUGACCUUAACGCAAAAAACACUACUCUUACCCUUAACCUACUUCAAUAUUUUUUGUAAAGCAUUAAUAUGGCAAUGACCAAAUAUGAAUACAAAAACCAAUUUAACAUGUAAUUAAUAAUUAAUUGAUUCACAUGAACUAGCAGCAAAUGACAACCAUUAAUUCCAUUAGAACCUGGGAAAUUAAAUAAGAACUCCUCUAAGAGUGGACAAGGGGGUAGAAUUUUGUCUCCUAGUUGUUCAAGUGUGACAUCACCAGAAGCCUCGACGAACAAGAUACCUUCACCAUUGCAAUCAACCAUAAGCUUUCUGUUAGGCCCUUCCCGAAGCCUACCAACUAAAGGAUAGUAAUACACUAAUGCUCUGCUUAAGGCUUCCCUAAUCGCCUUAAUGGGAUCACGAUUUUCUUUAAGUGAAGGGUUGUUCUUGUAACACAUUAUGACUAUAGAACCUGAAACCUUAAGCUUUCCUGGUCAUCAAUAUCUGAGAGAAACUUUGUUUCUCGAGGCAUUGGCUUUGCCGAAGUUAUAAGUUCCAGCUGCAAUCGUUUCACCUCAAGUACUGAGGGUGGCAUCAUUUCAGUAAUGAGCUUAAGAACCAGCAAAAGAUCAAAGGAUUUCGAACUUUUAUUUUGCGGCAUGCAUGCUAGCUAAAAGUUGAUAGUCAAUACUUAUCUAUAUAUAAAGAGAACACAAAAGGGGAAUAGUGUUUGUGGUGUCAUCAAGCUUCAACAAAAAUAUUUGGACAAAAAUACCCCAAGACAAAAACCUUCAAAGGCAUCCCAAAAUAAUGCAUCAAUUAAGGCAGGGGCUUUUUUGUCAUUUUAAUAGUUAAUUUUCUUGUGCUGUUUUUUUUAAUUAGUAUCUCACAAUAGACUAGUAAUAAUGUGAUUCAAUUUCUCUAUUUUUAAACACGUUCAAAACAUCUUAAGAGGCGUGUAAUGCCGGUUAUAAAAAACAAGUCUUUCGCAUGCUAAUAAUAAUGCUAGUAAUAAUGUAAUUAAAUUAGUUGUCAAAUGGUUGUUUUUUUUUUUUAACGAACAAUAUUAUCUACACUAAGGGGAAGGGGGGUGAGCUUAGCCUCACAAUGGGCUAGCAAUAAUGUGAUUCAAACAGUUGUUCAUUCAAUAUUAUUUUCUCUAUUUUUAAACACGUUCAAAACAUCUUAAGAGGUGUGUAAUGCCAGUUAUAAAAAAUUUCUUUCGCACGCUGAUAAUAAUGUGAUUAAAUUAGUUGUCAAUUUUUUGUUUUUUUUAACAAACGAUAUUAUCUACACUAAGAGGGAGGGGGAUGGGUUUAGCCACACAAUGGGCUAACAAUAAUGUGAUUCAAUCAAUUGUUUAUUAAAUAUUAUUUUUGUUCUAGCCUAUUUUAUUUGACUAACAAGAGAGAGCCAACGGCAAGGGAAGAGAGAGAGGAGAUGUGUUUGUAGAAGGGGUGUGAUAUCCACACACCCCUUUUUACUUCUCCCACACCUUUUUGGUUUUCGGCCGUCGGAUCAAAUGAAUUGAAGAAGAUCAACGGAUAAAAAUUAACAAGGGGUGUGUAAGAAGUAAAAAGGGGUGUGUGGAUAGCACAUCCCUUGUAGAAUUGUAGGGGAAUACGUGUGUUGAGAGAUAUGUUAUUCCCCCCCCCCCACCCCACGUAAUGCCUUUAUUUAUAGUAGUAAAAGGAAGAAGAAAUCCUUCAUCCUCAAGGAAUACAAGACCAUAUAGGAAAGAAUAACUAGAAUCAAAUCUAAUCUAGGAUUUACACAAUCACACUUAAACUAGGAAAGUUUACAACACUCCUCCUUGAAUGUUUACAUACUCAAGGUAGAUUUCAUCAUCAUGCAGAAGUUGAGGAAGUUGACUCGUCGGCACUGAUUCUGGGAACAACGCUUAUUCUCAUUGAGGUAAGAACUUGCAUAAGGAAGUAAGUCUAACAAAAAAAAAAACCCUAAGGCUAUGGCAAAAAGCCGAGUAGGGACAAAAUCUAUAAUCUAAGGAAAAAUGCGUGAGAAAUGAAAAGUCAAAAGAAACGUCUAUGGGACAUCAUCAGGGAUAUGAUCAGCCCAAAGAGGCGUGGUAGUAUCUUCAGGAUAUUCCCCCUGAGUUUGACAAAAUUCCAAGGAGAAAUAGCAAUGUUACAACUCAGAAAGUAUACACAUACCAAUUCCUAAAACAAGCUUCCGAAACGUCGCAUUCGGUAGUGAUUUAGUGAAGAGGUUGGCCAGAUUGUCUUGUGAACGAAUUUGCAUGACUUCAAUCUUCUGAUGCUCUUGUUGUUGACGUGAGAAGAAGAACUUCGGCGCAAUGUAUUUGGUGUUGUCUCCUUUGAUGUAACCCUUCUUGAGCUGUUUAAUGCAUGCUGCAUUAUCUUCAAAGAUCAUCAUUGCGACAUCUAUGACGGGAUAAAGAUCGCAUGAGCUUCGAAUAUGGCCCACAACUGCUUUCAACCAAAAGCAUUCCCGAGUUACUUCAUGUAAGGCGAGAAUUUCAGCAUGGUUAGAUGAAGUGGUAACUAAGGUCUAUUUAGUUGACCUCCAAGAGAUUGCGGUACCUCCAACGGUAAAGACAUAACCCAUUUGAGAAUGCGCCUUGUGCAGAUCAGAUAAGUAUCAUGUGUCAGCAUAACCAACAAGGAGAUAAUCAACUCAAGAAGUAGGGGGUGCGGCAUCACUCUAGGAUCCGUAAGGAUAGAACAAGCCUAAAUCUGUAGUACCCUUAAGGUAGCAGAAGAUGUCUUUAACGCCAGUCCAAUGUCUGCAUGUUGGUGCAUUACUGUAUCUUGCCAAAAGAUUAACAGCGAAUGAGAUAUCGGGUCUAGUGCAUUCAGCUGAGUACAAUAAAGCGCCUAUCGCACUUAGAUAAGGAACUUUAGGCUCUAAAAAAUUUUCAUCAUCCUCAUUCGGACGGAAAGGAUUUCGUUUUGCAUCUAGCGAUCGAACAACCAUAUGAGUACUUGAAGGCUUCGCUUUAUCAUCAUUAAAGGGGUGCAGUACCUUCUGGGUGUAGUUCGUUUGAUGUACUAAGAUUUCAUCCGAAUAGUGCUUUAUCUCAAGAUUGAGAUAGUAUCGAGUCUUUCCUAGAUCUUUCAUUCAAAUUUUGACUUCAAGUGCGCAACAGUUCUCGCUAGCUCUUCAGGAGUUCCGAUAAGGUUCAUGUCAUCGACAUAUACUACAACUAUUGCAAAACUAGAAUGUGACUUCUUAAUGAACACACAAGGGAAUAGUUCGUUGUUCACAUAUCUAUGACUAGUCAAAUACUCACUUAGACAGUUAUACCACAUUCUUCCAAAUUGCUUCAAACUGUAAAGUGAAUGCCUCAUAUGAAUUGAGAGAGUGUUGGGUUUGGAAAUAUUUGAUCAAGUCAAUGUAAGUCCUUCGGGAACCUUCAUAUAGAUUUCCGUAUCAAGAUCCCCAUAGAGAUACGUAAUUACUACAUCCAUCAGUUGCAUACUCAGUUUUUCGGAAACUACGAAACUGAUAAGGUAGCGAAAAGUAAUCACAUCCAUAACGGGUGAAUAAGUUUCGUCAUAAUCAAUCUCGGGGUGUUGUAUGAAGCCUUGCGCCACAAGAUGCACUUUGUAAUGUACAAUUUCAAUCUUCUCAUUACACUUCCGAAUGAAAACCCACUUAUAGCCAAUAGGAUUCACAUGUGGAAGAGUAUGAGUCACAGGUCCAAACACCUUAUGUUUCGCAAGCGAAUAGAGUUCGACUUGGAUUGCUUUUUCCAAUUUGACCAAUCAGUUCUACGUCGACAUUCAACAAUAGAACGAGGUUCAAUGUCAUCGCUCAACAUGAUCUCAGUAGCUACUGGAUAUGCUAAUGCAUUGUCGACGAUCAUCUCAUUUGUACGCCACACAUCAUCAAAGCCAGCAUAAUAGAUCGAAAUCUCACGAUUCUCGGGAGGAGGAUUCGUCUCUUCAAGGAUGCUUAUUUAAUCUAGAAUUUCCUCAUGAGUUGGAUUGAAUGAGUAAGCGAUAGUCCGAUUCACGGUAGGCUCUUCAGGUGCCUAUGCCAUGGGUAUCCUCUUCUGGAGGUGUGAAUCAUUUGAACCAAGAGGCCUACCAUGCUUUUGUGUCGGGGCAGAUGAUUGGCUGCAUUUCAGUUUCAAACUGAGUGAUGCGAGGAUCUAAAUAAUACAAAAUGAGAGUCAUCCACAAUAAUUCGCGUCGUUCUUCAAGAACAUUGAUGUUUUUAUCUACCCCUAACGACGGGAAGACUGUCCCAUAAAAGUGACAAUCCGCAAAAUAAGCAGUAAACAAAUCACUUGUCAAAGGUUCUAAGUAAUGAAUAAUCGAAGGAGAAUCAUAUCCGACAUAGAGAUGAGGCCUCAUUUUUGUACGUAAGGACGGUGAAAUUAGCACAUAGUUUAACGAUCUAUCCCUAUAAAUUAUAGUUUUUAUACUUUUAAAAUGUGAAAUUUUGAAAAUGCCCUUCAAGGAAAAUACAUUGACUUUUGUUGACUACCUUGUCAUGUCACGUAAGAAUCUUUUUCUUGGCGUAUCCUAGUAGUACUCGUCGCUACGAACAUGUGGACGCCAACAUAACUCAAUUUAGAGUUAUAACGAAUGAGUUAUUAACUAACAAAGUCGAGGACAAAAUGGUCAAUUAGUUAUUUUCUAGAAAGCUCCAGAUUUUUUGAGCAAAAUCUGGAAAGCCACGUGUGUGGCCCAGAUUAAAGGAAAUGAGAGAUGGACGGAGGAUGGAAGAAAUAAAUGAGAGAUAAGGGAGGGAAGACAGCCAAUAAGGAAAAGAGAAGAAGGGUGACCAAUGGGAGAGGAGAGAAAUGAGAGAAAUGAGAGAGGAUGAAGGAGGGGACCGGUCCCUUCCCUCUGUGAACCAACCCGUUUCUCUUCUAAUUUUUCGGUGGUUUUAUUCGGUUUUUCUUCGAUUUUUAGAUGAAUUCCACUCAAUCGUCACUUCCAUACUCCACCCCGGUCUCCAUUCUUCAAUUUCCACCAAAAAUCCGAGAGCUUUUGGCCUCUAUUUCACAAAACAUUGCACCAAGGGUUUCGUAGGUGCACGGCGGCAAUUCCGCCAUUCUUGAAAGGUUAUCCAUCAACCACCAACAUCAAUAGACUCUCCUCAACACCAGGAACAAAGCCUAAGAAAUGGUUGAGGCAUCAGAGCUUGAUUGGAGUUGAAUCAAGAACACCCAAUUUUUAGGGUUUCCGACGGGUUUUAGUGAAAUGGGGCUUUUCCCGGUCAAAUUGGCCUUAGUCGCAGGUAUGAAAGUUGUUCCUCUCAUCGAGAUCUUCAUUCUUGUAAAUUUUAGGAAUUUUUGGAGUUGUUGGAUUUUCCAGGGAGUCGUGGUGGCUGACAGCCACACACGGCAGCGCGUGGAGGAAAACGUGAGGUUCCUUGAUGUGCCGAAUCUGAAUCUGCCAUCUGUUUUCCAAAAUUAUAACAUUUUAGUAGAGUUUUACUAAAAGGUUCUUAAUUGUGUUUAGGCGCUUUGGCGGGAAGUGACGUCAUCCUCACUAAUUCGGGCAGUUCUCGGGCAAUAAAAUCAAUGAGUGGACCCCUUCAUAACUUAUAUAUUUUUAUAAAAUAUUAGCCUAGCAUGCAUUUCAUAAUUCAUGCAUUUAAUACGUUUUAUACUAUGUUUUCUGGAUUUAUAUAAAUAUGGUUUAUAUCGAAUUCAUGGUUUAAUUGCUUUUACGGAAUAUUCAUGAUUUUAUUGAAAUUAUAUUUAUGCACAGUUAUGAAUUUUGGGAUAUGCAUAUAUGGAUUUCUAUUAAUAUUGAAUGACUUAUAUUAUGAAGUUAUGAUGAUGAUUUAUUUUCUAGAUUUGUGAACAUGAUUUGUCAUGGAUUUAUGAUACGAGAUUUUGAAAUAUGUUUUUAGUACUUAUCUAGUGGGUUAUUAUACGACACAUCCGCACACCAAGGGUAUUGUCUAUGGCCAUAGGCACAAAUGAUAGAGGAGUGAGAUAUGAUAUAUUAUAUACACUUUGCUUUACCGUCGAAACGAUGUCGGACAGCUUCACUAGCUACGGCUAGUGUCGAUGUGGAUGUUAUGCUUUUUAAUUUAGCUUCACCUAAGGAUGAUGGACAGGUUAUUCAGCUUCACCUUCGGGUGAUGGAUAGGUUAUACAUCUUCACGUUCGAGUGAUGGACAUGUACCGCCUUCGGGUGACUAUGAUACCCCUAGUUAAGUACAACACGGAUAUGAUUUACGAUGUUUCACAAAAAAAUUUUUACACUGCAUGCUAGGGUUUUUCAUAAGAUCUAUAUGUAGUAUUAUAUAUAUGUUUUCAAAACAGGGGGUUAUUAUGUUCAAAAAUAAAAUGUUUUCAUACUAUUAGUACUAAUAUUAUAAACUCUGGUCCACUCACCUUUUAUGUUUUGCCCCCUUCAGGAGUUAGGAUCGAGGCACAUGAUCCCGGCGUCAGGGCAUUUUAGCUUAGUUAUCCUCGAGUCCUCCCAGUAUAGGCAUCAUUUCCUUUUCAUAUCUUUUGUUAGUAAUCCUUUCAUAUUUUUCCUAGUAGUUGUAUGCUCUGAACACAAUUCUGCAUUGGUUUAUAUCUUUCUAAUUACAUAUUUUAUUAGUAUGCAUGUUUUUAAUGGUGUCAUCACCCUUGGGCGUCGGCCAACACGUGCCUAUCCUGGUAUUUGGGGAUAUUAGGGUUGAGGCGUGUCAGUUUAGUAUCGGUGGUUUGUUCAAAGCAUACUUAGGAUCUUUUCCUACUGUAGUAAUGUGUCGGCUUUGAUAUCAUUCGGAUAUCACGGCUUCCGUUGAUCAUUGUCCUCUGUCCCAGUUGUGCAAUCCUCUUUCAGCUUGAAUAGUCACAUCCUAUUUAGAAGUUUAAGAAACUUGUCUCGGGAUUGUGCCUUAAGUUAUUAUAAGUGAUUGAGGAAAUGAGACGUCAACAUUGGAUCGAUAUUCUGCGAAUUGUGUUCCUUUGGAAUGGCAGGCAGAGUUAUACCGAUUGAGAGAUUACUCAAAAUAUCCAAAGUUUGCGGUAAAGGAAAUUAAGGAAACACCAGUUAUAGGCAAGGUUAGCCGUGGGGUAGAUCGAAUCAACUUUCUAUGACUUGAUUGUUCUCACUGAGGGAAUUUGUGUGGACUCUUAGGAAAAUCUUCUUAGUAAUUGUUCUAAUUAUAUCAUCCUUGCCUACUCCGACCACAAGGUUAGCUAUUAGACAUUUACAUCCAGCUUUAUACCAAUUCCUCAAAUGUCGAUCUUGCUUCAAUUUCGUACUUUUCUUAGGAGACUUCAGCAUAGCAGAAGUUAUUCUUACCAAAUUCAAGAUUUUGAUUGUUGGAAAUAAAAAAUCUCCUCGAGUGUCGUGAAUAACGAAAGAGCAUCAGACUUGCCGACUUCUAUCGACAGUUGUCAAUGAUUAUUUGAUAUAUCCUUAUUUUCAUUUUCUUCGGUUAAGAAACAAAUCAGUUUUGUUCGAGUGUUGUUGCCUCACCUGAUCAUUGUUCUUAUACUCUUCCAUGCCACCAACAAAUUUUGAAUGUGACGGUGAUGUUUUACUGAAGGUGUAGUUGUGCAUUGAUGCAGCAUAUCCGGUGACCUGUUAACCCUUUGGCGGUUAGGACCACAUGAUGCAAACUGUCCUAUCUACGACCUUGAGUCAUCUGCUAUCAUCUUGGUUUGGGAAUUUAAUGACACUUAUCUGUGGAGAAACGCAUCAGAUUGUUACCAACCUCUCACACUUCUCAUAUUACUUCACUUGAAUACAGGUAAGUCUCACGGAGCGGUGAUGGUUAGGAGAUAUAUCGAUGUCUAUGAUUGCACCAUCGCAUACCACCCCGAUUGUGCAAUUAUAGUUACUGAUGACUGCAGUAGGAAAGCUUAUAGAUACCUAAUACUUUUCUGUCAGUUAUAUUUCCACCUUAUGCAAAACACUCAAAUAUUUUUGUGACGUUACUUUUUGAUCAUCAAGAAACCUUGGUAGCAAAUUUCAAGUUCGACCUUUCUACCUUUGGCCUGAGACGACAUCGGAAUUGUUUAGUCUUUCAGCAUAAUUCUUCAUUUUUGAAAUUGUCUAACUCUUUGAUAUUUUAGUCUGCAUCAGCUCUGUUCGUACCCUCAGUUUCACCUCUUGGUAUUAAAGGUAUUUUAGUUGAUUUUGAGUCACUCGUCUGUUACCCAUAUCAUUUCUGAUGUUGACAGACUGUCUAGAAGGACCACUUAGAUGUCGAAACUUUGAGUUUAGACCAUCAGUCCUUGAAUCACCCAAUCAGCAUGCUAUCGAGCAAAUCGUCACCAUUGGUGAUUUAUUAUUCCUAGAGCUAACGUUGUAAAAAACUGUUGUGAAUUUUGGGUCAAGGAAAAAUCUAAGUUUCCGUUCGUCAACCUUCCUUAGACUAUCGUUCAAGUUGAGUUAUCUUCCAAUCCUUUCGUUUGCUAACACAUGAUUAAGUUAGAUACUUUCACGUUUCAGACUUCGAAAUUGUAUAUUCAACCCAAAUAUCUUGUAUUUUAGUUUUGAUGAACUUGUUUUGACUCUUAAAUUCUUUAGGGUUCUUUAACCUUCUUGUCGCUCAAUCAGUGAGGAAUUCAAGAUAGAUUGAUUCGGCAUAUGCAUGCGUCCAAUUUCAUAUCAAUGCUAGCGAAAACCAUUGGAGUAUAAACUUUUCGCAAGUUUACCAGACUUACCAAGAAGAAUUCCAAGCGGCUUUGAUGAUUGAGCAGUAUUUCAGCAAAGGAUUGGUAAAGGCAUAAAUGUAGGUUUUGAGCUUGGCGAUUAUGGCGUUAAUUUUCAAGUAUGGCUUGAGACUGCAACUGUCAUUCGAAGGAUGUUGUUAGAGAUAUAGUUUCUCUAAUUCAAGUUUUCAGAUCUUAUACCAUCGAUUUGGAAAGUGAUCAUCGUGAUUAGUCUCGAAGGAAAUGUGUUAUGACAAGUGUCCGUCCAGAUGCAUUUUCACUACUUCACUUCAUGACUUGAUGGUUUGGGCUUACAUGGACGUCGAAACACUUCUAGCAGCUGGAUUGGUGCGCUUUGGGAUAUUUCGGCAUCGCGAUUGAGGCAUGAAUCAGAUGAUCUAGACAUAUUCGCACGUGAAAAGCAAAACGAUAUUUUGGCAUCCUCGGGAACUUCUCACUAGCUUAUUGAGACAACAAUGUAUUAUCGGCGUUACAGGCAGCAGACUAUAAUAUCGAUGACCUAUUUGUUGCGUUCGCUAAGCAAGUGAGCAAGUUAGCUUGUCUAUGGCAGCAAUUGUUAGUUAGUGAUGGUUUGGACUCGACUCAUGACAUCACACUCAUUCUUGAAAUUUGUGACACGACAAAUGAUUGGCAAGGUCCAUUUUCAUUUUGGGUUUUGAUUUUUUCAUGCAAUAUUUUUCUACUACAAAAUUUUAUUUAUAUGGGUAUUUUACCAUUACAAAUUUUGAUUGAGUUACUUCCAUUUUCGAUUUUCAACUCCAUACAAGUAUUUUAAUCGUACGUUUCUAUAUAUCUAUUUCUUGUUGUUAUCUUAUUAUAUGCAUAUAUUUUUGACCUUAUGUUGUUACGUAGUAUUAUAUAUUUUUUUACUCUAUGUUUUUUACGGGUAUCAUACUACUAUAUUAUUGAGGAAGGAUGAAGGUAUGAGCUUGGAGGCAUGAAGGAGGAAUAAUUGCAAUCCGAUCGUGACGGAAUGGCAUUCUCUUUUAUGCAACCGCUCUAACUUGAUUUCUUCCUUGUAUAUGUAUUUAUAUACAUAUUUUCUCCCUAUUUUUGAGUAUUUUACAUACAGCAAGUUAUUUUAAAUUUCGGGGACAAAAUUUUCUUAAGGCGAGUAGAUUCUAGCGACCCGUCCCCAUAAUUUAUAGUUUUUAUACUUUUAAAAUGUGAAAUUUCGAAAAUGCCCUUCGAGGCAAAUACGUUGACUUUUGUUGACUACAUUGUCGUGUCACGUAAGAUUCGUUUUCUUGGUGUAUCCUCGUAGUACUCGUCGCUACGAACUCGUGGGCACAAAUAGAACGCAAUUUGGAGUUAUAACGAAGGAGUUAUUAAUGAACGAAGUCGAGGAAAAUCUGGAAAGCCACGUGUGUGGCCCAAAUUAAAAGAAAUGAGAGACGGAUGGAGGAUAGAAGAAAUAAAGGAGAGAUAAAGAAGGGAAGUCGGCCAAUGAGGAAGAGAGAAGAAGGGAAGUGACCAAUGGGAGAUGAGAGAAAGGAUAUAAAGGAGAGAGAGGAAGAAGGAGAGGACCUGAUCCCUUCCCUUCGACCCGGUUCCCUUGGUAACCCGACCCCUUUCUUUUCUACUUUUCCAUCUGUUUUCUUCAGUUUUUCUUCGAUUUUCGGACGAAUUCCACUCAGCUGUCACUUCCAUACUCCACCCCGAUCUCCAUUCUUCAAUUUCCACCGAAAAUCCAAAAGCUUUUAGCAUCUAUUUCACAAAACAUUGCACCAAGGGUUUCGUGGGUGUACGGUGGCAAUUCUGCCAUUCUUGGAAGGUUCUCCAUCAACCACCACCAUUAAUAGACUCUCUUCAACCCUAGAAACAAAGCCCAAGAAAUGGUUGAGGCGUCGGAGCUUGUUUGGAGUCAAAUCAAGAACACCCAAUUUUUUGGGUUUCCGACGGGUUUUAGUCAAAUUGGGGCUUUUCCCGGCUAAAUUGGCCUUAGUUGCAGGUAUGAAAGUUGUUUCUCUCAUCAAGAUCUUCAUUCUUGUAUAAUUUGGGAAUUUUUGGAGUUGUUGGGUUUUCCGGAGAGUCGUGGUGGCCGACAGCCACGCAAGACAGCGCGUGGAGGAAAACGCGAGGUUCCUUGACAUGCCGAAUCUGAAUCCGCCAUCCAUUUUCCAAAAUUAUAACAUUUUAGUAGAGUUUUACUAAAAUGUUCUUAAUUGUGUUUAGGCGCUUUGGCGGGAAGUGACGUCAUCCUCGCUAGUUCGGGCGGUUCUUGGGCAAUAAAAUCAAUGAGUGGACCCCUUCAUAACUUAUAUAUUUUUAUAAAAUACUAGCCUAGCAUGCAUUUCAUAAUUCAUGCAUUUAAUAUGUUUUAUAUUAUGUUUUCCGGAUUUAUAUAAUUAUGGUUUAUAUAGAAUUGGUUUAAUUGUUUUUACGGAAUAUUCAUGAUUGGGUAAAUUACAUAGUAGCCCCUCAAGUUUGAGGUCUAUUACAACCCCAUACAACAUCUUUAAAACAUUUCACUUUCAUACCUCAAGUACUAUUUUAUUUCAACAUAAUGCAUCCAUUAGAUUUUCCAUCCAUUAAUCCAUUCAAACCCAUCCCAUCUCCCCGCAACCCCCCCACCAAAAACAAACCCAGAUCAUUUUUCCCCCACCCCCACCCACCCAUCUCACAGAAACCUCAUUCCUCUUCCUCACCCCCUCCUCAUUCUCCUCUCUUCUCCCUCAUAUUCAUCUUUUUCCUCUGCCACCUAGCCCGGCCCUCCCCUAACUUCCUCGAGCGCACCCGCACCCACCCUCACACCCUCUUGUACACACUCUUCUCCUUAAAUCCACACCCAUUCCUUCCAUUUUCACCUCAUGAACCUGACGAUGGCAGACGAGAUCUAUGUUGUUUUGUUUUGUUUUUUUCUUCUAGGUUGCAAGUAGGGGGUCGGGCGCACCCUCACCCACCCUCUGCACCCACCCUCGCACCCACCCUCUUCCUUCCUCUACACACCUCACUCAUUCCACACCCAUUCCUCCCAUUUUCACCUCACGAACCUGACGAUGGUGGACGGGAUAUGGGUUUUAUUUUUUGUUUUUUUUUCUUCUUCUAGGUUGCAGGUAGGGGUUGGGGGAAGAAUAUGAAGAUGGGGGAGAAGAGAAGGAAGGAUGAGGGGGGAAGACGAACUGAAGGGGUUUUUUUAAUUUUUAAUUUAUUUUUUUUUUUCUGGGUUGCAGAGAAGAUGAAGAUGGGGAAGAAGAGGGUGGGUGCGAGGGUGUGUGCGGUGGGGUGGGGUGUGUAGAGGAAGGAAGAGGGUGGGUACGAGUGUGGGUGCAGGGGGCGGGUGCGAGGGUAGGUGCGGAAGAAGACGUGGAGGAUGGGUGCGGUGGGUUUGGGAAAGACGGGAGGGGGAAGAAAGGGGUGGGUUGCAAGGAAGGGGGGUCGGGGAAGAUGAAGAUGAGUUUUUUUUUUUCUCCUCUUCUUCUUCUGGGUUGCAGAUUGCAGGUUGGGUUUUAGGGGGGGGGAGGGAGGGAGGGAAGACGAAGUGGGCUUUGGUUUUUGGUUUUUUUUUUUUUUUUUAAAAUUUUAUAAUCUAUUUAGAAGAUUUAGGUUUUUUUAAAAAAAUAAAAAAAUUAUUUUUUUAGCCAUGUUGCACACAUUUGGCAGCCACGUGACACAAAAGUGGCAGCCACGUCAGCAUUUAACAGAUUAAUGGAUGGAAAAUCUAACGGAUGUAUUAUAUUGAAAUAAAAUAGUACUUGAGGUAUGAAAGUUAAAUGUUUUAAAGAUGUUGUAUGGGGCUGUAAUAGACCUCAAACUUGAGGGGUUACUAUGUAAUUUACCCUUCAUGAUUUUAUUGAAAUUACAUUGAGGAACGGUUAUGAAUUUUGGGAUUUUCAUAUAUGGAUUUCUAUUGAUAUCGAAUGACUUAUAUUAUGAAGUUACGAAGAUGAUUUAUUUUAUAGAUUUGUGAACAUGAUUUUUCAUGGAUUUAUGAUACGAGAUUUUGAAAUAUGUUUUUAGUACUUAUCUAGUGGGUUAUCAUACGACACAUCUGCACACCACGGGUAUUGUUUAUGGUCAUAGGACACAAAUGAUGAAGGAGUGAGAUAUGAUAUAUUAUAUACCCCAGCUUCACCGUCGAAAGCGGUGUCGAACAGCUUCACUAGCCAGGGCUAGUAUCGAUGUGGAUGUUAUGCUUUUUGAUUCAGCUUCACCUGCAGGUGAUGGACAGGUUAUUCAGCUUCACCUUCGGAUGAUGGAUAGGUUAUACAUCUUCACCUUCGAUAAUGGACAUGUACUGCCUUCGGGCGACUAUGAUACCCCUAGUUGAGUACAACACGGAUAUGAUUUACAAUGUUUCACAAAAAAAAAUUUACACUGCAUGCUAGGGUUUUUCAUAAAAUCUAUAGGUAGUAUUAUAUAUGUGUUUUCAAAACAGGGGGUUAUUAUGUUCAAAAAUAAAAUGUUUCCCUAUUAUUAGUACUAAUAUUAGGGUUAUUAUACAAAAUGGUCCCUGAGAUUUGUAUGAUCAAUAGAAAUGGUCUUUAAGAUUGUCCACCAUCCAUGAUUUUAGUCAUUCUGUUAAAAACUCUUUGGGCAAUUUUCAAAGCUUUGUAACUCAAUCAUUUCUUAAUCAAAUUCGACCCAUAAUAUAUCAAAAUGAAGAUAGGAAAGUGUAGAAUAAGAUUAUACCUUUUUAGAAGCCCAAUGGUUGCUAGAGAUGACCAGAAAAUAGCUUAAAAAUUGACUGGUCCGCUGGAAAACUGGAAAACUCGCAAGAAACAGGGUAAACUUUAAAUGUUCAUAACUUCUUCAAUACUCAACCAAAUCGAGUGAUUCAAAAACAAAAAUCAUACUUCUUGACGAGAAACAAAUAAUGGUACCUUUUUUGAAGGCUAACUCGCCGUGGUUUGGUCGUACAACAGCUCGAAAUUGGCUAACCAUUUUCGAGUUAACCACUUUCGAGCCGUUUUCCGGCAAACCAACGAUGAGUUAGCAGUCAAGAAAGUUACCAUUCUCUUCGUAUCGUCAAGCAGUAUGAUUUUUGUUUUUUAAUCACUCGAUUUUGUUGAGUAUUGAAGAAGUUAUGAGCGUUUAAAGUUUACCCAGUUACCGGCGAGGUUUCCAGUUUUCCCACUGACCAGUCACCUUUCAGGCUAUUUUCCGACCAUCUUCGGAACUCAUUGGGCUUCCAAAUAGAUAUAAUCUUGUUCUACACUUUCUUAUCUUCAUUUUGAUAUAUUAUGGGUUAAAUUUGGUUAAGAAACGAUUGAGUUACAAAGCUUUGAAAAUUGCCUAAAGAGUUUUUAAAGGAAUGACCAAAAUCAUGGAUGGUGGACAAUCUCAGGGACCAUUUCUAUUCAUUUUAAAUCUCAGGGACCAUUUCUAUUGAUUAUGCAAAUCUUAGGGACCAUUUUGUAUAAUAACCCCUAAUAUUAUAAACUCUGGUCCACUCACCUUUUCUGUUUUGCACCCCCUUCAGGAGUUAGGAUCGAGGCACUUGAUCUCGGCGUCAGGGCACUUCAGCUUAGUUAUCCUCAAGUCCUUUCAAUAUAGGUAUCAUUUCCUUGUUCAUAUCUUUUCUUAGUAAUCCUUUCAUAUUAUUCUUAGUAGUUGUAUGCUCUGAACACAAAUCUGCAUCGGUUUAUAUCUUUCUAAUUACAUAUUUUCUCAGUAUGCAUGUUUUUAAUGGCUUCGUCACCCUUAGGUGUCGGCCCGCACGUGCCUACCCUGGUAUUUGGGGAUAUCGGGGUUGGGGCGUGUCACAUAGACCGCACAACCAAAAAUGCGCAGAUGCGAUAUGUCGGGUUCAUAUCCGGUAACUAACUAAAUUGUGAUAUAUGGUUGGGUCACAACAGGCCUCAGGCGGACCAACAUGGUUGCGUGCAAUAUUGCAUGGCCCCAAGCAGUGAUCGAGAGCUUAGUACAUAUGAACAAUGAUCGAGCAAUCAUUUGUAAGCGUUUAAUCAAUGCCUUGGCCAUGACGUUUUGGGUGUGAACAUGGGGUACUAGGUGUUUAGCUUCAAUCCCAACCGACGUGCAAUAAUCAUCAAGAGUUUUAUAUGUGAAUUCUCCAGCAUUGUCCAAUCGAAUAACUUGAUCGGAUAAUCAGGAUGGUGAGCCCUGAGCUUGAUAAUGUGAGCCAACAAUUUGGAGAAUGCAGCAUUCCUUUUAGACAACAAGCACACGUGUGACCAACGUGUGGAAGCGUCAACCAAAACCAUAAAAUAUCUAAAUGGUCCGCAUGGAGGGUGAAUCGGUACACAAAUGUCCCCCUUGAAUCCGUUGUAGAAAAUAAGGAGGAUUCAAACGAAUCUUAUCAUAAGAAGGCUUAGUAAUAAGCUUUCCCAUAGAACAUGUUUGACAUGCGAUUCCUUGAAUCGAACCUAUACUUCGGGUUAGUAGAUGCUCGUGUGAUGAUUUGAGGAUAUGGCACAUUGCUAUUUGUCCAGGAUGUCCCAAACCAUCAUGCCAAAGUGUAAUUUGGUGCGUGGUCCCAAAGGUAAGGCCGGCCACAUAGUGGCUCUUUAUAGGGCGUAUGGUCGUAGUAUACAAACCACUCGGGAUACGUUCAUCUUCUCUAGCAUCUCUAAUGUCCUUAAAGCUCAACAAUGUUAUUCCGAAACAUGGAGAAUAAAAAGCCUUAUCAGUGGUCAAUAUUGUACCAUUGGACAACACCGUAUCCUUCGAUCAGGUUGGAUAGGCCUGAGAGGGUUGUCAGAGGUGCAUUCUUAGGUAUGAAGUUAGUGAAAUAAAUGCGUUCACGUAAAAUGGUGUGCGUGGUUGCACUAACUGCCAGACAACUAACUUCCCCACGAGUCAUACCUAAAAUGAAAAAUUAAUUUGAAUCGGUCACAUGCAUAAAAGUUCCAAAAAAAAAAAAUAUCCAUUCAAAAUAAUUUUAAGUAUUCAAUGACGGAAAUGAAUUAAAACUUAAUAUAAAAAAAAAACAAAUCACCAACAAAUAAUCCAAACAUAAAGGAAAAUUGUUCAAAAUUAACCAAAAAACAAAGUGGGGUUCGGCCACUAUUGUGGAAUUCGGCUCCAUUUUCUAAUUUCAACUAAAAAAUAAGUCUAUGUCUAAGAUUCUAAUCUUCCAUAGGGGUGAUAUCCUCCUAAAAGUCAGAAACCUCCAUUUUGGUACCCUCCGGUUCGUCCACUUACACAAUGUUUGAUUCAAACUUCUUACGACAAGAAUGAUAUUAAGCUACAACCUUCUAGGGAGCUUGGCAAACAUGGGACCAAUGGUCCUUUGAACCACAGUGAUAACACAUAUUCGUAUCCAUGGUUUCAGGUGCUUUGCCCUUAUUCUUGAAGUUUGGGGCCUUGGGAGCGAGGUUUGGACGUUUCUGGGCUUUGUUUCCUCACUUAGAUGGGCCUUGGCUCUAUUGACCUUGGCAGGAUGGCUUUUGGCUACCCCUACCACGCCUCUUUUGGCGUUUUAGGUGCUGGUUCGUGUUGUAGUGUGCUUCAGGCACAACAGUCGCCCAAGUAGGUCGAGCUUGAUGAUUCUUCAUCAACAGCUAGUUCUACUUUUGAGCAAAAAGUAAAAUAGAGAUCAAAUCUGAGAACUUAGUGAACUUCUGAGCUCUAUAUUGUUGUUGCAUGACAAUAUUAGUAGCAAAAAAGGUCGAAUAUGUAUUCUCAAAGAGAUCAUCUUCGGUCAAAGUCUCAUUACAAAAUUUGAGAAAUGAUCGAAUUCGACAAAUGAUAUGAGCAUAUUUAUGCGACUUAGUUAGCUUGUUUCUUGGCAUUUAUGUUGUUAGUUCGUAGUUAUUUUAGUAUUUUUAAGCUAUUUUCAUGUGUUUGUAGGUCCAAAGGGUUAAUGUGGCAAAGAAGUGCAUUUUGGAGCAUUUUUUGGCAUGGAAUGGAUAGCAUAUGCUUGGAGCAAAAGGAAUGGACGAAAUUUGAAGUUUGUGCAUCAUCCUCUCCUUAUAAAUAACCAUUUUAGCACACUCAUUUCACACCCAACACAUCCAUUCACCUACCACUACAUCCACUCAUUUCACCCAACACAUCCAUUCACCUACCACUAAAUCCACUCAUUUCACCCAACACAUCCAUUCACCUACCACUACAUCCACUCAUUUCACCCAACACAUCCACUCAUUACAACCACCCAACACAUUCACCUACCACUACAUCCACUCAUUACAACCACCCAACACAUUCACCUACCCAUUACAUCCACUCAUUACGACGACACUCACCCACUACACCCAUUACAUCCACUCAUUACCACAACACUCACCCACUACACCCAUUACAUCCACUCAUUACAACUCCAUACACUCCUCUCCCUAGCAUAUAAAUACAUCCACCCUUCACCAUAACUAUGGAUCCAUUCAAAAGACCUUACAUUCAUCCAUAUAUUCCCACAUCCCACAAACACAUACAAUUCCAUUCCCUUGCCGUGGCACUCAUCCAACCAAAAAUCAAACACAAUUGCAUACAUUCCCUUCCCCUUGCCGUGGCAUCCAUCCAACCUAAAUACAUUCAUAACCUUUCCAUAUAUCCAUACACAUCCUUAGAUACUUGUGAUGCAACAAGGUGGGGAAAACGAAGGUCCUUGGUGUUUCAAGCUUGAAACUUUGGAGUGUUUUCGGUGUACUUCGUUCUUGCUUUCAAUGUCUACUUUGUUAUUUUCUGAUUUUGUUGCAAUUAUGAGUAACUAAAUCCCCCUUAGUUAGGGGGGAAUUCGAAACCAUGUUCAUGCUUGCAAUAUGAAUUGAUUAGCUUCAAUUGUGAUUUCAUAAGUUGUGAAUUCAAUUUGUUUAACUACUUGAUUGAUAACUUGUUCGUGUAUGUUUAUUAAAAGUGCACACUUAGUUUGCAUGCAUGAAUAUGAUGCUAGAGUAUAAGGGAGUUUCACCUAAUAGUUACAAACUUAUAUUCACAAGUAGUGGAGGUUGCUUAUAAACGAUCGCGUUAAAUGAAUUCUUGGCAGGAGUUUCAUGCUCAUCAUAGUAACGAAUGCCUCGUCAAUACUUAUAGUUUUCAUAAUGCUUAAUGAUCUUUGAUUGUAUCUUUAUUGUGCUGUUCACGUAAAGGACUUUUGAAGAAUGCUUGAAUUGUUGUAUGCGCUUUCCCAUCCAAUUCAAUAACUUAAGGAGAACUUGAAGGUUAAUUUAACCGGACUUAAUUAACCUGGGGUGUUGAGUUUCAUGAUUUAUCGAAAGAACAACUGAAAAUUGGUUUAUGUGCAAGUGUGUCAUGUGUGGAGAAGAACCCUCUAGCUAGCCCAUCAUCCAUAGUUUACCCAAAUUCGUCCAAAAUCUGUUUUAGUUUACAAUCUGUUUGUUUUGUUUUCAAAUUCGUCAAAAUCAAAUCCCCCUUUACUUUAAAGUGUUUUGUUAGUCAAAAUCUGUUUUGAUUUGUGUUUUUUAAGUGUCCUGAGUCAAGUUAGAACCUAAUUUCGUCCAAAACCAUCCCUAGAGUCAGUUUAGAGUCUAAUUCAUUGUUUUAAGCUGUUUUGAGUCUUUUAAACUAGUUUUGAGUCUUUUUAGUUUGUAUUGCAUCUUUUGAGUCUAGUUUGGUGUUUUAAACUUAAUUUUACGUUUUUAAGUUAGUUUCAAGUGUUUUAGCAAUCCCUCAUAAUCCCCGGCCUAGAACGAUCCCUACUUACAUUGUUUACUACAUUUGACAACAAAAGGGUUUAAUUUGUGUGUUAAGUUAAUUUCGCAUCAACAAACUUCAUAAUUAUAUUCAUUCACAGACUUAAAGUCUUGAAAGUGCAAAUGCUACCAGUUAUGUCUUGCUUCAGAUAAGAUGUCCUUGUGGUGAUCAAAACGAUCAACCAAAGCGACUCAUAGUGCUUGUGGAUCCUCCUCAGCAAGAUAUUCAGUUUGCAGUGAAUCAUGAAUAUGUCUUUGGAUGAAAAUCAUAGCAGUGGCUUUCUUAGCUUCGCCAACAGGGUUGUCCGUUUCAUCUUCAAUGGUGGGACACAAAUUCUUUGCAGUAAGGUGGAGCUUUACAUCUUGGACCUUCUUGAGGUAGUUUCUUCUAGAGACUUCCAAAGGGGUGAAGUCGAGUUUGUUCAAAUUCGACAUGUUCCUAUCACAAAAAAAAUUACAAGAUGUGAUUAGUGCAAUGGAGAAAGAAAAAUCAAUCCAUUCACAUAGGAGGUUCUAAUAGACAUGUAUUGGUUAAAAAUCGCAUGAAAAACUUCGAGUUUUCAUGGGUGAUGUUUUUAAUGAAAAACUUCAGGUUCAUAUGUCCCUGCAAACAAACGCAUAUAUAUCCACAUAAAUAUGCAAAUAGAACUUCAUGUCCAAAAUUAUAAUUGAAUUAAUUAUUUGGACUUUAGGCCAAAAUUUAAGUGUGGGUGAAAAAAAUAUAAAACCUAAAUUGUCUAAAAAUAUUAAACAAUCGAAGCUUGGAGCCCAAAACUAUAGGCCAAAGCCCAUGGGUGGGCUAAGCAAGUCUCUUACCAUGAGGUCCAUGCCCAUAUUAGGCUGCGUUGAUAUUAGCUGGGCUACAGGCCCAAAGGCGAGAGAGAAAAGAAGAAACGGGCAAGAUCCAAAAGAACAGCCCAUGAAAGGGUAUGAUCUGGUGCGGAGCGAACAGUGAAACCGGGGGAGGAUACGAUCCAGUGCGUCGCACGGUAAAGGACACCAUAGCCCUUGGGCUGGUGUCGUGCUUAGGCCAGGUUUCAAUGUAUAUUAUUUCUUUUAGUGUUCUAGUUAGUUGUAUGCUCUAAACACGUUCCUCAUUUGCAUAUUAAUUAUAUUUAAAUGUCUUUUAUCUGAUUCUAUUUUAGUUCUCAUGUUUUCAAUAAAUGACUGUCGUUACCCUCGGGUGUCGGCCAUCACGUGACCAUCCCGAUAUCCUACGAACAUUGGGAUCGAGAUGUGUCAAUGAGGUUGUUGACUACCGGCAAAUAAUUGGAUGGUUGGAUUUUCUAUUUCUCCCCUUAAUUCAAAUAUGGGGUAAAAAAGAAAGUUCACAUGACAAAUUUGAAGUUUGAAGUGUCUUCAUAAGAUUGUGGGGUGUUAAUUGAAGGCCCAAACACAAAAAAUACAAAGCAAUAGAUGAGCUUCCAAAACAACAGCAAAAGAUAAGCCCAACCUGAAAGUUGAGCCUAAUAAAGAAAACACACAAGAAAAUCCUAAACUCCUGGAUCCUCUAUCGCCGCCGAAGUACUUGCUGCAAACGCCGAUCUAGUCCCCCUGCAAAUCGCUGGAGAUAACAACCAGCCAAGUCCCUAAAACAGAAAAAGAAACAAAUUUCAUCAUCCUCGAGCAACCUCCACACAACUUCAAAUCGACCAGAAUAAUGAAGGGAAAGAAAAUAAACAAGUUUCAUUGUCCUCGAACAACCUUCCCACAAUUUUUCUCUAUCUUAGACGAUAUAUCUUCUCAUCCAACAACCUCCCCUUUAACAUAGGGCUGCCUAACCCACUUUCCUCCAUUACUAUUCGGUUCUUCAUCAAGCUAUGCACACUCUUUUGAGAAUUCAACUUAAUUAUAAGGAAUAUGAAACCAGCAGCUCUUUGCAACUACUUGUGAAUUAUGUCUUGAUUUGCGUUCUUUUAAGUUGGUGGUUAGCCUUCGAAUUGUUCUUCCCCAUCAAUUUUUAGAAGAGAUCAAACCAAACUAGACUCGAGUGUUCAUAUAUUUAUUAGACCUAAAUAUCGACAAUACAUAAAAUUCCAUCACUAAGAAGCCAAAUUCUAUCAAGACUUUGUAACAACAACACAAAGGUCAAGAGUCAACUUGGAGGAGAAGACACGGUUUUGGUCGCGAGUGGGUUCGGCACUGGUUAUCUAAACCCCCGAUUCCAUGUGCAUGGCUAUCAGCUAAUCCUCAACUUUUAUGUUCGAUGUGUUGGUACCAUAUAUUGGGCCUCGUAUUUGGGCUUCACCCCUAAGCCCAUGGCAAAUGUAAAAAGGGACGGAGCCCUUAUUCUAUAAAAGGGACUCCCUCACUCUCAUGAAAAGGAAAGACACAUUCAGAUCUCCUCACAUCCAGAGAGAAAUAAAGGGUCUUAGAUCCAUCCCUCACAAUAAAUGGCAAUACCCUCUCAGCCAAACAGAGAGCAAAAUAGCAAAGGCUGUAUCCACAUAGAGCUCCCUUGCCGAUCUAUUGUAAUCCAUACAUACAUACAUAAUCCACAUCAGUGUGGACGUAGCCCAAACAUUGGGGUGAAGCACGAUACAUCUUCGUGUUCUUGGGCGUUUGCAUGAUUCACGGUCGGAUUUACAUUGUUCCAAGACCUUCCGGUUUUGUGCAUCAACAUUUGGUGCUGUCUGUGGGAAACGACACGAAAAGCUAUGUCAGUUCUCUUUCAUUUUUUCAUCUCACCACCGUGAGACCUCAUCAUUGUCCACCGUGAAUCUGCAUAAACCCAAAAAACCAAAACCAAAACCAAAAGCCCAAUUCCUUCACCCAACACCCACACUCAGAGACACACCCAUUCAAUUAGCAGAGAGAAGAGGAGAGAGAGAGGGAUGGAGGGAGAUCAUGAUCCAAACACAAACGAAGUAUACAAAUAGUACUUGAGAAACCAUGCAGCCAGCCUCGACAGCUAUGCCACAGAUGGCUGUGGCGAGUUCACACUUAACCACGCAUCCCCAGGUAGCCUACAAUGUGUCACUUGCGGAUGCCACUGCAACUUCCACCGCAGAGUCACUUACGCAGCCACGUCAUCGCAAGCUGCAGGAGGCGGUAGAUCAGGAUGUCAUCAACACCAUGUCAUCAUAAGUUGCAGUGGCCGAGGUCGAGAUCCUACCGAAAUAUCAUAACACAAGACCAACUCAUUGACUAUAAUGCCGGUAGAGGUGGGUCACCGGACAGCGGAGAAAGGAUGAGCAAUGGGAAGAAGUGGUUCAGGACGAAGUUCACGGCGAAACAGAAGGAGAAGAUGCUGGCGUUUGCUGAAAAGUUAGGGUGGAAGCUGCUGAGAAAAGAUCUAGAGGACGAGAUAGAGAGGUUCUGCAAGAGUGUAGGGCUAUAUUGGUACUGCUCAUCAUCGGGCAGUUUAUGGAGAUGGUUGACCAAAACAACGGGAUUGUGGGCUCCACCACCGACUCCAAUUACUAUGUUAGGAUUCUCAGCACCAUUAAUCGGGAGCUCCUCAAGCCUUCCGCUUCCGUCGCCUUGCACCGCCACUCCAAUGCCCUCGUCGACGUUCUGCCUUCAGAGUCCGACUUGAGUAUUUCUCUCCUCAGCCAAUCCGAGAAGCCUGACGUCACCUACUCUCUCGAAUUACUGCAAUUCAGUCCAACAAUCGCUUCAUGUUCAGAAAUGUCAGCCCAGAAGCAAUCAGAGGAACCAUAACCUUCAACCAGACCAAUAAUAGAGAGGGAGAAGAUAAGUUUUCUUAUAACAAUUUUAUUAUUAUUCCCUGCCAUCUGCCAAAAGAAAAAAGAAAAGAGCUUUACUUUUCUUUUGUCUACCUCAAUUAUUCUAUAAAUGGUGCCCCAUCUCCAGCGAAUACCACGGGAAAAGUAGAGAUAAGAUUCUUUUCUCAUAACAAUUCUAUUAUUAUUCCCUGCCAUCUGCCAAAAGAAAAAAGAAAAGAGCUUUACUUUUCUUUUGUCUGCCAUCUGCCAUCACAUAUAUUUAACCCAAGUACCUGUGCAAUAUUUAUUUAUUGCCUAGUGAUAUUGGGACUACUAUUAAACUAUAGUGAUAUUGGGACUACUAUUAAACUAUAGUGAUAUUGGGACUGCUAUUAAACUAUGUCACUUAUACAACAUGUGAUUUACCACACGACUGAAUAAAUUAUUUAUUUAUAGAAGGCAUGUAGUACAAUAUUUUGCCUUGACAAACUUUGUCAAUUUGAUUUAUUCAUUAUACGAUCAUACUUAUACUGUCAUUUAUUGUCAGGAAUUAUUGAGCAACUAAAUCCACUGAUCAAUAUUGUUGCUGAUUAAAAGAACCCAAUAUGUGAACCCGACAAGCGAACCCGAGUCAUGUCAAGAAUCAACUCACACUGAGUGCAUGUUGACAUAAAGUAGAUGCUUGGAAUGAGGAAUACCACGAUCUGAGCUGCCUCAUAACGAGCAUAGCCUCUAACAGAGCAGCCUCGCAACGAGCAUCACCUUCAGCCGAGCAACCGCCUCACUGCGAGCAUAGCAUCUAGCCGAGGAGCCUCGCAAUGAGCAUCGCCUUCAGCCGAGCAGCCUCGUAACGUGUGAUACCUCUAGCCGAAUAUUGCUUUAUGUUGAGCAUUGCCUUGGGUUGAGUACUGGUUCAAGACAUCUAGCCACUUCGGCCCGUACAUGUAUUGGAUUUGAAGUCUCCAGCCAUAAGACUUUCUUGACUGAAGACUUGGGGGACUCCUGUUGGUACCAUGUAUUGGGCCUCGUCUUUGGGCCUCACUUCUAAGCCCAUGGCAAAUGUAAAAAGGGAGGGAACCCUUAUUCUAUAAAAGGGACUCCCUCACCCUCAUGAAAAGGAGAGACACAUUCAGAUCUCCUCACAUCCAAAGAGAAACAAAGGGUCUCAGAUCCAUCCCUCACAAUAGAGGGCAAUACCCUCUCAGCCAAACAGAGAGCAAUAUGGCAAGGGCUGUAUCCAUAAAGAGCUCCCUUACCGAUCUAUUGUAAUCCAUACAUAACAUAAUCAACAUCAGUGUGGAUGUAGCCCAAAAAUUGGGGUGGACCACUAUACAUCUUUGUGUUCUUGGGCGUUUGCAUGAUUCACGGUCAGAUUUACGUUGUUCCAAGACCUUCCGGUUUUGUGCAUCAACACAAUGCUUAGCUGCCGAACACUGAACUUUUUGUCAAAUUUUGUGUUCGGCAUGUUAAAACAUAUGAUUCAAUCUAGUUAUAAUUUGUUUAAGAAACUAGAAACAAACCCAAGAGGAUUUUAGAGAAAAGCUUAGGGCUGAACAUUGCAGCUCAAACCUCACUUGUAUACUUCAAUGAUUUAGGGUUUUGGUCACAAUGCCAACUUACAUCUCAUUUAAAUUAACUAGCUAACAAAAGCCUUCAAGACCCCAUGCCUUGCACCAAAGCAAAUCCAUGUCAGCCUUACAAUUGUAAUUUUGGACUGAGUCAACAUAUUGGCCGUUACAAAUUGAGGAAAAAAAAAACUAAGCCAUUACUUUUGUUGAAUACAAAAAAUGGAAGCUAGAAAUCAAUUUAGGCACCAACACUCUCCUUCUGUUGAAUACAAAACUAAGCCAUUACUUGUUGAAUACAAAACAUGGAAGCUAGAAAUCAAUUUAGGCACCAACACUCUCCUUCAAAAUAUUUCCAGUUUUGACACCAAGCAAAUCCCUGAAGUAUACAAAACUCUCUUUUAGCAUAGCCUUAAUUAGUAUAUAUAUCAACAAUUUGAUCCUCGUAUCUACAAUAGAGUAAUUCAAUCGCAUUAUCCGACGUUUAUUAAGUGAUGGUUCCUCUUGAUAUGUUUUAUUUUCUAAUGAAACAGAGGAUUUUUGUCAUAACAGUUAUAGAGAUGUUGUCACAUAUUAGUGAUGUAUCAUCUACUUUGAAAAUGUAGAUAGAUAAAGGAACCCAAACCCAAUAGAUAAAUAAUCUCAAUCUAAAUUAACAAGGAUUCAAGUACGAUUUCAAUCAUACUAUGUAAUAGUGAAGAACAAAUAGAAAUAUGUGGAUAAAAAGAACAGAAGAAACACGAUAUUCUUUUACAUGGUAAAACCCCACACACAAUGGGAAAAAUUUACGACUCAACAAGACAGACAAUUUUUGUACUUGAAGUUCUCUUUUGUAGUUUUAAUCUUGUAGCACACUGUCCUUCUUUUGCUCUCUUUUGGAUGAACAUAACAUACUCAGCAGGAGUCUCCUCACGAGCAAAGAGAUUGCACUCAACUUCGUCACAUAGAUGCACACGACUUCUUCACAAAAAUUAAUAUGAUGAAUAAUAUGCAAGGUAUGAAGAAGAUCACUCUUCUAACCUAGCUCUCAAGAACUUUGCUUUAAAACCUUUUAUGCUCAAUCUUAUAACCAUGAAAAGAUGAAUGGUAAGCUUGAUUUCCAACGAAACCAACAGUAACCCCGCCAAUUUAUUUCGGAAUUUACCUUUAGGGGUAGACCAAAAAUGUCAUAGUUACCCUUUAUGUUAAUAACCAUUCUAACUUUUCUUUUCUAACGAUUUUCGACUACAAUUUAAUCUCGUUUAUUUUAUGGCUACAUCUAACUUCUCAUUAGACUGCCCUUUGGAAGGAUCAAGCCAAUCGUAGUUCACCAACCGUAAGAGAAAUUGAACAAACCCUACUUAGUCACACACUUACUUAAUACUCAACAAAGAAUUAUACAUACAUAACCAGAUUCCGCCAUUUUCUUAUAAUUCCUCCAUCAAGUCCAACAUGAAUAAAAUUAACCAAAUAUUACCCAAAAUCCAAGGUAAGGCUCACGGCAAGCCUACUCAUCAACUUAAACCAAUUCUUUACCACUUUAGUUACAAGUUUAAAAAUCCACACAAAUUCAUCCAACUUACACCAAGAAUUUAACAUAAAUUAACUCAUCUAUUAGAACCAAAAAGAAAAUAUGAUAGGGUUUCUUGGGUUCUCACCUCCAAACUCCUCCAAAGUUGUUCAUCAAUUUGCCACUUCACUACUACGCUCUUAAAUCAACUUCAUUACCACAAAUCCUCAACAAGAACCCCAAAAUUUCAAGUUAAACACUUCAAUCUCAAACUUGUUCGAAAAUGAAACUUGGAAUUCGAAAGAUCCACUUACAUAUCCUGGAAGUGCAUGAUGAGAUGAGUAUUUUUCUCUAUUGGGUCGAGACCCAUCUCAAGCAAGGCUGGACAGAAUCGGCAAAAAAUCCACGAAAAUCCGUUGAAACUUCUAGGCUUCAAUAUAUGAGCACGCUUGGUUCUAGUGUAUGGUUUUGGUAUAAAAUUGAAGAGGGCUUCGCUAUGAAUACAUAGCCUUCAAGCGUGAUUUCGAUGUCGUAUGAGAAAGUUAUCAUUUUUGGAUUGAAGAAGAAUUAAGGAGGAAAAGAACAGAGCAGCCCCCCUUGCUGCAUCUGCCAACCGGGGAAAGAAAAAAGAAGAGAAGCCUUUGGCUUCUAGAAUACUCCCUCCCAAAAUUACCAUUUUGCCCCCUAACUUUGCUUGUUCAUAUCUUAUUCGUUAUAACUCCGUUUCACGAACGGUUUUUGCCUACACCCUCGUAGGGUCGUUCUCUAUUUAAAUAUAUCAAGAAAUACAAUAAAAUAUAUGAGGAUAAAAUACGUCCUUGUAUAAUUACUUUAACCAAAUAGGGGCAUUUUUUUCAUUUUUGAUUUAACGAAAAAUUAUACGACAUAAAUAAUCAGACAAUCCGGAAGCAGGAUUUUACAUUUUCCCCAUUCAAAUUUCAUAACCAUGAAUCGAUUUAUUUUCGAUUUUCUCCACAUAUUCAUAAUUAUGAAUAUCAAAUUCAUAUACUUAAAUUUUUCAGGGUAUUACACCAACAACCUAGAAUAAAGGAAACUAGAAUUAUGUACUAAAAAUCAAAUUGGUUUUAUGAGACAAUAAUUAUUGCAUACAUUUUAAUAUCCUUUUUAUUUAGAUUCUUGUGAUGUUUUUGAGUGAAUUCAGUUCUCUUUCACUUACUUUUGUGUUUUUCCUAGGUUUGUGGAGUAAAGACGAAGACACAACAAAAAUGAUAGAUUUUGCAAUUGAAGCGAGUUAUCUGUCCUGGAAGCAGAAACUGUCUGUGUAGAUCAGCCAACUUGACGGAAUAAAUUGUUUCCUCAGAAGGAAUGAGCUGUUGAGCCUUAUACCAUUGCAAAGAUAUAGAUGUUAGCUUUCAGAGGAAUUUUACAGACUAUGCUUUUGAGUUUUCUAGACGAUGUUAUGAAGAUUUUCAUACAUGACGUCGGCCAGCAAAGUUUACGAGGAAAUUGUAAAGUCUGUUGGGUUUUUCAAGUCACAAAUCAACCGAAGCCCAAAGCCCAAAAUAGAACACGUUGAAGAUGACUUGAAUCCUAUUUCAAAUGGGUCUGGAGUAAUUUACUUGGGAAGUUUACUCGCCACAUCAUCAGUUGUCCAAUACAAAUGAGGAAAAGAUUGCACAUGACCUAAUCAUGCUAGGAUUUUGACGAAUAUAUGAAACAUAGAUUGUAGGAAGUCUGAAUGACGUUCUUUUUGGAGGGAGAGAUAUCGAGGAUCUCUUUCAAAACAUCAUUAUUGCCCCAAUUAUCAUAUAUUAUUAUACUUGCUAUGUAUACAUAAUACUUGGUCAUGAAUAUUUUUGAAAUGUCAUAUGAACUUACACAUAUUUAUUAAUUUGAUCUAUGAAUUAAAAUGUUAAGUUAAUUUGAUCUAUGAAUUAAAAUUUUAAGCAAUUUGUCAUAUGAAUUUUAUGAAAUUAUUAAUUUGUCAUUCAAGUUUUAUUAAGUUUUCCAUUAAAAAAAAAGGUUAUUUAAGACUUUUGACCUUAUUUUUUACAAGUUUAUUAUUUAUUUACAUAUAGGUGGAGACUCAACAUCUUAUCCACUAGGAUAUUAUUAGACCACAUGCACCUUUUUACAAGUUCUCUGCUUAUCUUUUGGUACGAAAAAAAAACAUUGUCAUGUUCGUUUCAUAAAUUUAUGGUGAAUUACUAAAAAGUAUAUUAGGGUCUAACAUGGAAUUUACAAGCUUUGAGAAUUCAACGUGGCCAAUCAUGUUCAUUAAAGAAAACGGGAGUUGAAAUAUCUGAAACAACCUUGAAAUGUCCAAAACAAUCUUGAUAGAGAUCGGAGAGGGGAGUUAAAAUGGCCAAAAAUAACCAUGAAAAUAAGUCAUUGUGAUUUUGGAUGGAAAACCAAAUGGAGUUAGGGUGAGAUAACAAAUUCUUGAUUUUCAAAACUUGAGAGACAAAGAAUCAACAAGCGAGUCGUGGUGGCUUCGCAACAUGGUGGUUGUGUGACGUGGUGGUGGACAUGUGGUGGUCGUGCCACGAAGUCAUUUGGUGGUGGUGCGUGGUGGCUGCAUUGGCUGGGUGACGGAGAAAUCAGAGAGAACUCAGAUGAGGGAGGGAGAGUGAGGGAAAUAAUAUCAGGGUUAUGUAUGAAAGCCACGUUGGUUUUGUAUUGUGAAGGCGAAGUUGUCUUUUAUGUUUGAAAGUCAAUAUGCCUAGAGUCUAGGUGCUAGCAAAGAGGUGGAAGUAAUUAUGGCUUCAGACAUAAUGAUGAUAGCUAAGGUGUAGGAAGCUUUGUGGAAGUGAGAUGAUAGAUGGGAGAGUUUGGAGUCUUUGAGGAAGUGAGGUGACAGAGAGUAACAAACGGUUGAGAUUGAACCUCAACUAAAUCCAAUGACCAUUAUUAAUUCAAAUAUGUAUAAAACUAUAUUAAAAUAUUGAUCGGUUCGAUUCGGGAAUACCAAACUAGGCCAUAUGAGAUCCCAAUCCCAUACCAAACUUUUCGGGAUUGGGUAUCAAACUGUUCAAAAUUUUCAAUUUGGGAAGUUUUCGGUUCGCUUUUGGGAUUAUUUUGGUACGGUUUGGGAUUUUUGGGAUUUUUUUCCAGCCCUAUACCAAGAUGUCACACCCUGACCGGAGUCGAAGCAUGUUGGGCGACACCCGAAGGUGACGUAACCAAAAAGGAAAGUGAAGCAUAAACAUAUGGAUAAAUUUAAACCAAAACUAACAUUUAUUAAUCUAAAGCAGUGAGUGCGCAAUAGUGGAAAUAACCCAUAAAACACAAGUGUUCAGAGCAUAGAUGACAUAAAACUGUGCAGUCGAAACUAGUUAAAGUGCUUAAUACACAACCGGGAAAAAGCCCCUACACUUAUUUAUGGAUAUGUCAAAACCAUCAAAUAUUCCUCGUACGCCAUAAAGUAAUCAACUAACUAGGACCUGGAGGGGUGAAAAACAGAAGGGUGAGUGGGCAAAAACAAAGGUUUAUAAAACACAUUUAUUUUCUAAACAUACUGACCCUCACUGUAAAACCUGUAUAAUUUCUAGAAAAUCAUACUACGUAAAAGUAUGAAAUCAAAUGUAAAUCAACAAUAAAUCCAUAAAUACGCCAAAUCACCAUAUCUCAACAGUAGCAUAAUAAAAUCAGGUGCUCAUCAAUCUAUGCUAACACACGAGUUCAUGCAGAGGGGAUCUGACAUGAAUUGGAUUGGGUGUAAUCAUAAUAUAUAUGCUCUAGUACUACAAUCACGUGAAGAAUGGGGCUAGGCACAUCACAUACGAGUCAGAGUUGCCUAAUGCAACCUGUACGACAUGACUAACACCUAUAAUGGAUCCAAGGUGAGCGUGUGGUGAGAUGUGAACAAACACGUGAAGCCUAGCCAUGGCCGGGGUGAGUACUACACCGGUGCAAGCAUGCAUGAUGAUGAGCAAGUAUAAUGUUUAUGAGCAUGCCAUAAAUAUAUAUAAAUCUCACUAAAUAAUGACAUUAUUAAGAUUAAAUAAAACAUGGCAUGUUAAGUGUAAAAUCAAUCCAAAAGCAUAUGUGGAACUAUAAAGUUUAUAUAUAUAUGAAAACAAAUGCCCACUCACUGAUACGUCGAUGCAUCGUAGCCUCCUAGCCUUGUUUGUCCUCGUACGUCCUCGGGGUAAUUCUCACCUAUAUGCAAAAUAACUAAACUAAUUAAUUAAAAAGGACAUAUACUAAAAGGCUUGGAAAAGCCCCCAUAGUUUGCUCAAAAUGAGGGUUUAAAUAUACGAAAACAUUCUAUUCGACGUCGUGGACCCAUACACAUCAAGCACACACCGGCUAGCGGCCAGACACUCCCUUACGUGCCGCCAGGUCAAGGCCACACAUACGCCCACGCGUUUGACAAACUGACAGCAACCCUAGGGGAAUACUCCGUCAGACUUGACAAAAUAUUCCACUAAAUGGUAACGGCAUCAGUUACCUUUAACGGCGUUAGAAUAUUUCAUUAACUUUAAUGGAAUAUUCUGAUUUCUUCUCCGGUGGACCUCCAUUGCCAUUCACCGAAAUAUGGGGAAUUUUCAUCAGUUUCUGAAAAAAUUUCAAAUCUUCAUAUCUUCUUCAUUUCUCAACCAUUUUUUACAAACUUUAUAUGCAAAUGAAGCUUAUGAAGAGUAGAACAAGUCUAUACCCUUUGGAAGUCCAAAAAAUGGACGAAAAAUUGACUAAAAAGGAUCGAAAGUCCUGGACCUAGUUUUUACUCCUUGAAACUGUGUGUUUCAACGUUGGCUCCUCUCCCAACUUAGGUUAGUGGCCACGGGGAGUUGCAUAUGUGCUUCCAAAACUCCCAAAACCUUGUAACUCUCAUGGGAAAACAUCGGAGAUUCCACACCCGAGUUGGAGCUCCGAGUUGCUCCAAGUUGGACACUCAAAACUCAUCCAUUUCAUGAUCGGUUCAUAAGCAUGGGUUCGUGGGUUUGAGAAGAACACUAUGGUGGUGUUUUAAAGGCCGAUUUGUGAAGUUUUGAAGGUGGUCCUUGUUGUUGAAAGAGUUACGAGUGAGGGAGAAAGAAGGAGAAUAUGAGAGAAAGAGAGAAGGAGACAUAUUUUUUCGAUUGGUGGAAAAGUGAUGGGAGUUGUCUGGUUGGGUGAGGUAUAGGAGAGUGACUGAUUGGUAGGUGAGGUAUGGGUCACGGAAGAGAUUUUUAUAGAGAAGGGAUCAGAUUUCGUGCAAUAUAAAACUACAAGAAAUCUAUAAAAUCUAACUCACCCUAUCUAGAACAGCGUUUCCAACACUAAAUAAUUAGCACGCAUGUAUACCAUUCUAGCCGUUGUUAACGUACUUUAAUUAAACAUAACGUAUUCAUUACAAAACUAUUUUGGGUCUAACUCGCGUUCACAAGAUCAUAACAACGAUUACUAUUUAAUUAUGAUAACGAGAAAAGUAAUUUAAAGCCAAAUAACUACGUCCACAUCACUUUUCCAACAAAGGGCAUAAAUGACACACCCCGACCUAGAUCGAGGCAUGCUGGUCGUCACGUGAGGGUGACGUAUCCAUGUGCACAAUGCAGAAGCAAUAGAGAUAUAAGGAAUUACGAAUAAACAAAAAACCAAAUCAACUAGAGUACUAGAUAAGAUAAGGUGCAAGUGCGAUAGAUAAGAUAAGGUGCAAGUGCGAGAUUAAGUGUGAAAUACACAACCAGAGCAUAAUAUCCUAGAUGCAGUCAAGCAGGACAAGUACUAAGAAUACAACACCCGAGGGUGAUCCUACAUGGUGAUGUUCUGUCAGAACCCCCGUCAGAAUCCUCAUGAUCCACCAAGUACUUCUACUUAAAACUGGAGGGGCACAAAACAGAAAGUGUGAGUGGGCAAAAACAAAGCUUUUCAAAAUCAUUUCAUUUCUCAAACGUUAUAACCCCUCGCCGUAAAACUUGUAUAAUUUCCCUAGAAAAAUAGAAUAUAUAUAUAUAUAUAUAUAUAUAUAUUUAUACAUAUCUCAAAACCAUGCUUAGAAAAAUAAUAUUCAUAAGUAUGCCAUGCCAAAGUAUCUCAAUGCAAUGCUAUAGGUAAACCAGGCAAAAUAUAUAAAUAUCAAAUAUCGCAUCAGCCAAAUCUCUCUAACUCAAACUGCACUGCUGAGUAUAUAGCUCAUAACCAAUCUCAAUCAUAUCAAAUCAAAUCCAUUUCUUGCACAUGAGUCGGAACCACCUUAAGUGGCCUGUACGACAAGACUAAGUGUAAAAUAAAUAUGCUCUAAUGCUACGAUCACGUGAAGGUUGUGCGAAUAAUUGCGGGCUACCUACGAGUCGAAACCACCUAAAGUGGCAUGUACGACAAGCCUGUGCACCUAACUUGGAUCCAAGGUGAGCAUACGGUGCGGGAGGUGAACAUCACGUGAAUGACUGUGCCCUAACUCUAGGCAGGAGGACUAACACCAGGUCCAGGUUUAUGAGCUCUCAAUACAUCACAUUAUAUCUCACAUAACCGAAACAAUCUCAUACCUUUGAUUUAUGAACUUACCUGGCACUUACCUGUGCGUCCGCAGUACCAAUCAUGAAUGUAUGCAACUACUAAUGCAUAAUUAAAAUAUAUAUAUACUUGCAUGGCAUUUCCAAAACAUAUAUUCAUUUAAAUUCAUUUUUUGGGAAAAAUCCCAAGUAUAUAGGUAUAUACGAAAAACCAAAAGCCCACUCACUGAUAUGUCUAAGGGUCGUAGCCCCCGAGCCUCGAUUGAUGGUGCUUGUCCUCAGGAUAGGUCUCACCUAUAUGUGAAAUAACUGAAUAAAUGUUGUUUAAAGCACAUAACCAAAACUAAGUAAUAACUUCUCAUACAAUUCUCAAAUGGGGUAUUUGAAUAUACCACCAUGAUCUACUCAAUCUCAGGAACAUCCCCAUAUUUUUAGAAAAAACUUCCGACCACCCACGCGCCGGCCAAGGCACGGCCAAACGCACCGCCCACGCGCGGGAACGUGCCAGGCACACUGACAGAACAAUUAAUGCUAUUAGGGAAUAUUCCGUAAAAAGUAGCAUAUUCCGUUAAAACUAACCUGACGCCGUUAGAAUAUUCCGUCAAGUUUGACGGAAUAUUCUCUGUCUUCUUCCUUCGAACUCUAAUGAUCGUCAUCAUUGCUGGAAAACUGUGGAAUUUUCAAACCUUAAUAUCUCAGUCCAUACACAACCAAAGUCCAUGAAAUUUGUACCAAAAUGAAGCUUACAACGGGCAGAACAAAACCUUACCUUUCAAAAGUCCUAAAACCGACGGAACUCAUCGAAAAAUCCCUCGAUAAUCCGACUAAACCUGCAACUCAUCAAAACUCAACUUCCCGACGUCUAAAUCAUUUCAUUUUUCUUCUCUAAGCUUCGUGAAGACAAUCUAAAGCUUCCUAUAACCUUAGAAUCUUCCAAAAACUCCACAUUUAUGUGUGAAUGAACAGUGCUCAAAUCGGAGAUUAUGGUUUCUUGGGUUUUUCGAGGUUUCACGUCCAAAUAAUAGUAUUAAUGGGUUCCUGGGCUCGCAAGGAACUUGAAAAUGGUCUCCAUAACCUCGAUCCGUGAAGAAAUGGUUUGGUUGAGGUUUGUACGUAUGGUACGAAAAUGGAGAAAAACCGAGAGGGAAGAGAGAGAAAGAGAGGGUCAACGGGAGAGAGAGAGUGUGUGAGUGUGUGUGUGUGUGUGGUCCUGAUCCCCUUACAACCAACCAAAACAAUUAGAACCUUUAGUUCUAAUUGGGUCCAAAAGGUUAGGAAGAAAAUAAUUUGGUCCACAACACAAGAUAAACCACACAACACCACAAACGUCUAAGGGUAUUUUAGGCAAUUCACACCAUCAAAAAUUAUAUUUUGGGACAGGCUGUCACAAUAAACGUCAAUUUACACACUCAGGAGGAAAAUUACAUAGAAAAUUAGGGACGGGUCGUCACAAUCUACCCAUUAACAUUACAAAACAAAGUGUCAUUAGCGAGGGUCAUAUGUCGUUGAAAAAGGCAUUUUGCCGUCGCAAAUACUUAUUUACGACGGGAAAAAGCCCUCGAUGGAAAUACUUGUCCCAUUGGAAAUACUUUUUUCCCAACUAGUCGUUGGGAUUAAUUCAUUUUCGACGCACAUGACUUGUUGUUAGUAGAUAGUUUUUUUAUCGGAAAUGAAUUUUCAUAAUGGCAAACUUAUUUUAUUUUCAACAUGGAAAUGUGGUCGUAAAUAAUUAUAGAGUUGUCGAAAUUACUUUUAAAACAACAAAAAAUAUUUUUUACGAUGACUUUUUUUUCCGACCAAACAAUCAUGUCAGAAAAUCUUUUUCCAACAAAAUAAUCUUUAUUUAUGAGAGUGCACAAUCAUUGCAAUUACAAUUACCGACCAUACGAGGUUGUCACAAAAACAUAUUUGUGAUGAUCAAGCGUCGUCAAAAAUAUGUAUUUUCAAUGGUGAAGCUUUGUCGGUAAUACAUAUUUGCAAUGGCAAGGUUUGUCGGGAAUAUAUAUAUUUUCGACAAAGAAGCCUCGUCAAAUAUAUAUAUUUGCAAUGGUGAAGUUUCGUCAGUAAUUUAAAUUUCUGACGAUGAAGCUUCGUUGGAAAGAUAUAUUAUUGACCAUAUUUAGUCGUCGCAAAUUUGUUUGUAACCAAUAUUUGGUUGAAAAUGGGUAUUUCCUAUACGAUCGUUUUUGUUAGAAAUGUGCACAUUAACGAGAGGAAUUUACAAUCUAAAAAGUUAUUAUUCUAUUUAUAAUUAAAUUAUAUAUUGAAAUUAAAAUAUGAUAAAAAUAGGUAUGUAUUCGUUACUAAUAAAUUAACCAAACCAUUGUAUUAAAUUUCUCAACAUCCAAACGAAAUUAUUCAUAAACUUAUUUAAAAAGGAAAAUAGACAAUACUUAAAUUGGAAAGAAAAAAAAGCAAUACCCCACGAAUAAAACUUAAUAGGUUCAUAUAUUGGGUAAUAUCAAAAUGAUGGUAUGAUGCACUACUAAUCUUCAUGUUGAGCAUCUGACCAACUUUCAACAUUCUCCUAUCAAACAAACAAUAAAGAGAGUACUUAAGUAAAGAAAUAAUAUAUUAUUCAACAGUAAGACAAACAAUAAAAAUGAGCGCGCAUAAUUAUUUGAGUUGUUUGGCAUCAGUCUUUCAACUAAUUCUUGCAAAGAAUUCAACUUAUCUGUUAAAGUGUUGACUUGGUCCUUCAAUUUCUCAUUGCUUUCUUUACAUUCUAAGAACGUACGUAUAUUACAACUUUGGCUAUUUGAGGGAUAUGCAUCUGUAGUACUAAAGCCAGCACCUACACCAAAAAGACGACCAUCCAAUCACCUCUUUGUAUAUGACCCAAUCACUUACUUCAUUUUGUUCUUCCAUAGCAGUAUUCUUUUUGUUGUCCAUUUUUUCCUUCAAUAAAAUUGUAAUAUGUAACCAUAGGUAAUACACACAAUAUCAUGUAAAAAAAAAAUUGAAAUUGUGAUAACAUACAUAAAGUUCUUUAGCCUUUUCACUUGCCCAAGUUUCUUCACCUUCAUUCUUACGCUUACUCACAUGGAAUUUUUUGAAACAAUCAAUCGGGCUAGGUUUAAUUCCACUACGAUCAAGCUAUUAAGAUUAAAAAAAGAAGGUUUGUUAAAGAAAUUUUAAAUAUGCAAGAAUGACGGUAUGGAAACAAAGCAUAAACAUAGUAUUUUUACCUCAUCUUUUCUGUACUUUGCCAUUGGAACCGAACUUGUGGUGUGCACAAUUGUGGACUGCUCCCUAUUGCACGCGUUUUGCACACUUUGUUUCUGCAUGAAAAUGAAAAAGAAAGUAAAGUUAAAACCCAAUCAUCUCACUAUAAGCAUCUACAUGUAAGGAAAAUAAUACAUUAACCAUCAUAAGAUGAUAUAACUUAAAUAAAACUUUUACCUUCCAUUCAAGCUUCUCCCAUUUUUCAACCAUUUUACACCAAACAUCUUUAGAUACAUUUGAUGGGCAAUUAAUGUAUCUCUCCCCAGUAGUCUUGUACUUGUGAAAAACAAAAUUCCUGUGCUCAUCCAAUCGGCAUAUUUUGUUUUAAUAUGUAGGUCAAAAGCAGCCCUCAUCUCUUCUUCAGAACACGUGUAUGUGUAUCCAGUUCCCUUAAAACGACCAUACAAUUCAUCCAUUUGCUCUUUUGGAUGAUCUUUAAAUGUAAUCCAAGACCCAUUAAUAACUUCAUUAAAUAGCACCCCUAUAGUUUUCGUAGCAUUUGCAGUUACAAUCCUAUAAAAUUAAAAUUAGAUUAAAACAAUCACAUAUCUAAAUAGUUAACUAUUUGACAAUCAUGCUUUCAGUGACUUGUGCUUAUUACCUGCUAUCAUGUAUUACAAUCGGAGUGCCAUUCCCAUCUUUACCCUUAGCCUUCCCUCUACCCUUCUUUUUGGUAGGACCUAAUCAAUAAAAAUAAUAAUGUGCUUGUAUGUUUAAUAAAUAACUAAUUACAAAAAUGCACAUUUUGAAACCGAUAUAAAUACAGUACCUUCCACACUUGAAGGUUGAUUCUCAAUAGAUGUUUGUUGUGUCUCGUGUAUUUCGCUAUCAUGUGAUGGUUGGGUAACAUCAAGUUGGUCUGCACAGGUUGUAGGUGAAUGAGUAGUAGUGUGCAGUACUCUAUUUUGACUCAUUCCUCUUGUUGUUGUGGCUACAAAUUUACAAAGAAAACACAAAGCUAAAUAAGACAUAAUUAUUAGAGAAUUAGUUUCUUUUAACAUAUGACAAAGUUCAUUAAACAAUCAACAAAGACAAGAAAAUUAGAUGCCUAGUACCCGAAGAUAGAAAAAUGAAAAAAAUCCACAUAUAAAAUUACCUUGUAUUUUUGCAUGUUGGAUCUCUUGCAUUUCAUUGUCAUGUAGUUCAUUGGUGGUAUCAUAUUGGUUUAAAGAGAGUCUAGAUGAUAGAGGACGUGUGCUUGAUGAAUUUUUUUGGCUCCUUCCCUUUUUUGCCGUAUCUAACAAUCAUACAAAGACAAGAAAAUUAGAUGCCUAGUAUUGAAAGAUAGAAAAUGAAAUAAACGAAACCAUGAAAGCUAAACUAAAAUCAACUAGAAUUGGUGUUUCAAUGGCAGAAGGCAAAAUAUAUACAUAAACCCUAAAUGUUAGGAAAUCCCAGAAGCCAUGAAAAAUGAAUAAAAUUGAAAUUUAAUAUUUACAUAAACCCUAAACUUAAAAUUGGCACAAGGAGAACUAUUGGUGUUUCAAUGGCAGAAGGCAAAAUAUAUACAUUAAAAAAUAAAGAAACUAGAAUCUUUGCUUUGAAAAAUCAAAACCAAAUCUGGACGGAUUUGAUUUGAAGUUUGAACAAGAGAACAACAUGGUUGGGUUCGAGUUUGACCACUCCAAUUCUAAAAAGGCAACUGAACUAGGUCGGUAAUAUAUACAGAAACCUUAAUUGUAAGGCUAGUAAGCCAAUUCUUACCAACUCAAAUAGCGAAGAGGCACAAUGUUGUCAGUACUACGCUGGUUCACGAUCAUGCACUGGGUUUGAAACACGGUAAACAAUGUUGAGGAAUUGAUGUAGCCCUAAUCUAAUCAAGGUUAGAGGUGUUAAUAUAGAGAACAACAUAGAUGUAGCCCUAAUCUAAUCAAGAGUAUGAUAUCCUUUUUAGUUUCUCUCCUUUUUUUUUUUUUUUUGUUGUGGGUGGAACAAAUUCUACAAAACAUUUUUGGAAAUUGUGGGAGAAAAGGGAGGGACAUGCCAAAACCCUAAUUAAUUUGGAGAAAAAGCCAACCUGCUUAAAUUCCAUAAAAACAAGAGUUUGGGAAUUGUAGGAAAAAGAGGAGGGAAGCCAAACCCUUAUUUAUUUGGGGGAAACGGCCAACCACUAAAUUCUACAAACAGUUUUUUUAAAUAAAAAAUAAUAUUGUUUCUUUUGAGGAAAAGAGCCAAAACCCUAAACAUUAUCAGAAAUUAAUAUUUAAAGUCUGGAAAGUUAAUUUGAAUGAUCCGACCAUCAAAUUUGUUUUUAUAUACCUCGAGAUCGCAUAUGCCAAAAAUUGCAAAAAAACUGACAUUUAGAUAUUAGUUUAUGGGAUGAAACCCUUCAACGGUUAUAAAUGAAAACUCACGAUUUAACGGUUAACUCCGAUUUUGCAUAUUUUUUACAACUACACUCCUCAACCCUAUAAGAGUACAAUGAGAAUUCGAUAUUCAAUUUAAAUUUUUUGAACUAGUGGAUACCACAAAAUAUUAUGUUCUACUUAAUGGAAGUAUAAAAUAAACUUCAAAUGUUUGGUGAAUCUAUCGUUUUCAAGGAAUACACAUUUUACAAAACAGUUUCAACGAUCCAACCAUCAAACUUGUUUGUAUAUGCUCUAAGAUCACAUAUGUUAAAAAUCGAAAAAAAACAGAAAUUCAGAUAUUAGGUAACGGGAUGAAACCUUUCGACGGUUAUAAACAAAAACUUACGAUUUAACUGUUAUUUUAACUGCAAUUUUGCUAAUUUUUUACAACUACACUCCUCAACCCUAUAAGAGUACAAUGAACGAAUUCGAUCUUCAAUUUAUAAUAUUUGCACUAGUGGAUACCACAAAAUAUUAUGUUCUACUUAAUGGAAGUAUAAAAUAAACUCCAAGUGAUUGGUGAAUCUAUUGUUUUGAAGGAAUACACAUUCUACAAAACUAGUUUCAACGAUCCAACUGUCAAACUUGUUUGUAUAUGCUCCAAGAUCGCAUACGUAAAAAAUCGCAAAAAAACAUACAUUCAGAUAUUAGGUAACGGGACGAAACCUUUUUAUGGUUAUAAACGAAAACUCACGAUGUAACGGUUAUUUUAACUCCGAUUUUGCUGAUUUUGUUACAACCACACUCCUCAACCCUAUAAGAGCACGAUGAACAAAUUCGAUCUUCAAUUUAAAAUAUUUGCAUGUUCUACUUAAUGGAAGUGAUGUGGUUAUACUUUGUUCAAUAUGCAUGACAAAUGUUAUGAGUUAACAAAGGCAUGCAAAUUAUUUCUUUAUCAUAGAAUACUAUAUUAAGUUAUACAGCUUUUUCCUCAACAGUUUUAUUUUUAAUUUUAAGGUCCAAUCUUCUCCUUAUGUAUUCUAAGUUAUAUGAUCUAUUUAUUGUAAAAUUUAAAUUAAGCAUCAAACUUAUUUCAAGACUAUUCCUCAUAAAUAAUUGAUUCCAACAAAACCACAUGCCUUAAAAAUUUAUUCUGACAAAGAAAAAAUUUUGUCGGAAAAAAUAUGAUUACUUCCGACAACAACUAAUCACCCUCGAAAAUAUAAAAGUAUUACUGAGAAGACUUUUCCCCUCAAAAAUAUAAAAAUAUUACCGAGAGGACUUUUUUCCCUCGAAAAUACUAAACCAAUUUCGUCAACAUGAGUAAACCUUCGGAAAUAACCAUUCUAUUUCUGUGACAUCCCACAUCACCUAAGGGAGUUGUGACAUCCCACAUCGCCCAGGGGAGUGAUCCUUGAAUGUAUAUUCCCAUCCUUACCUAGCACGAGGCCUUUUGGGAGCUCACUGGCUUCAGGUUCCGUAGGAACUCCGAAGUUAAGCGAGAAGGAGGCCAGAGCACUCCCAGGAUAGGUGACCUACUGGGAAGUUGCUCGUGAGUUCCCAAAACAAAACCGUGAGGGAAUGGUAAGCCCAAAGCGGACAAUACCAUGCUACGGUGGUGAAACGGGCCUAUGAUGUGGUGGACCCAGGCGGGGAUGUGACAAUUUCCGAUAAGAACUUUACUCGUCGUUAAUACAACUGACGCCAAUUCUUCCCGCCAAACAAAAGUGCAUUUCCGACGAAACUUGAGACUUUUUUCGAGGACAUUAUGUGCGUUGGUAAUCAAAACUUGUUUCAUGCAAUGUUACCGACGACCCAUAUUUUAUGGUCGCAAAAUGUGCUUUUUAUGACGGUUUUCUUGGGCCCUCGAAAAAUCUUCGUCAAUAAGAACUAUUUUUUCUUGUAGUAUAAGAAAAUUUCAUCCCCGAAAUUUCAACACUACUAAAGAUCAAUCAAAGAACAAACGUGGAUAAAGAUUUCACAUACGCUCCUCUGUCUCCCAAGUAGCUUCCUCAACAGAGUGGUUUCGUCAUAAGACUUUCACCAUACAAAUGGUUUUGUUCAUGAGAAUUUAUCUUUCCAGUUGAGAUUCUUCAUUGGAACCUCAUCAUAAGUCAAACCUGGGUUAAUCUCUAAUGGCUGAGGAGGAAUCAUGUGGAACACAUUAUGCACUCUUGACAACUCUAGAGGUAGAUCAAGUCGGUAAGCAAAUUCACCAACCUGCUCAAUGAUUUGAUAUGGUCUGAUGUAACGACGACUUAGCUUUCCUUUCUUCCUGAAAUGUACAAUGCCUUUCCAUGGUGACAGCUUGAAGAAUACCCAAUCUCCAACCUUAUAUACUAUGUCUGUCGAAUGUCUGUCAACUAUACUCUUUUGUUGAUCCUGUGCUGCUUUUAGGUUAGCCUUUAUCACUUGAAUAUUCUGUGUCAUCUCAUCCACGAUUUCAGCGCCCACUAAAAUCUUUUGCCUACUUCGGACCAACACAGUGGAAAACGACAAGGUUUCUUAUAAAGCGCCUCAAAUGUCAACAUACCAAUGCUGGAGUGAAAGCUAUUACUGUAGGCGAAUUCUAUCAAAAGUAAACGCUUGUGCCAUGCGUCUCCGAACUGCAGGACUAAAGAUCUUAGCAUAUCUUCCAACGGUCUAAGGGUGAUAGGCGGUGCUGCAGAGUAAUUUCGAACCUAGAGUUUCUUGAAAAACUACCCAAAAUUUCGAAGUAAAUCUAAGAUCCCGAUCAUAAAUAAUAUUAACACCAGGAUACUUGACAAUUUCCAAGACAAAAAGUUCGGCCAACCGACUCAACGGGUAGUUUUCACGAAUAGGUAGGAAAUGUGCUGACUUGGUAAUCUAAUAUAUAAUCACCCAGAUACUGUCAUAGCCAUUACGUGUACGAGGUAGCUUGUACAUGAAAUCCAUUAUGAUAUCUUCCCAUUUCCACUAGGGUAUAACAAGUGGUUGUAGCAACCCGAAUGGUUUAUUUCUUUCCGCUUUUACUUGCUGACAGACUGGACAACGACUGACAGACUGGACAACGACUCAACGUACUCCGCAAUUUCUCUUUUCAUUCAUGUCCAGUAGUAGAAAGGUCAGAUAGUAUGACACAUUUUAGUACUCCCAGGAUGCAUCGCAUAAGCUGAAAUAUGCGCCUCAUCAAGUAUUUCUUUCUUUAGUUCUUCCACAUUCGGUACAUACAUUCGAUCGCCUUGCAUGAGCAUACCAUCAGGCCUUCGAAUCCUUAGAUCUCCUCUAUUACCUUUCAACACUGCUUGAUUUAACUCUUGGGAUUAUGAGUCAUUCAUCUGAGCCUCGAGAAUACGAUCCAAUAAAACUGGUCGGACUUGAAAGUUGGCAAGUAGAGUUCCCUGGUGAUCCACUCCCAAGCUAGCUCCAGUAGAUCUUAGGCCCAUGAGAAGAGGAACAUGACAUGCAUAAAGAGCAUUGAGUCGACCGUGAGAUUUCCUGCUGAGAGCAUUUGCUACAGUAUUUGCACAACCAGGGUGAUAUUCAAUAGUGUAGUCAUAAUCGCUGAUCAAUUCCAUCCAUCUACGCUGCCGGAGAUUAAGUUUUUUCUGAGUAAAUAUUGGUUUAAAUCACUUAAAAGUAUCUGAGUGCAUUCUGCCGAUAGAAAGUCUUUCAGGAGUCUAGUAUUCUGAAGCAAUCUCUGCCACCAUGAGUUCCAGUUCACCGUUGGUCUUAGAGCAGUUCCAGGCUUCUUAAAAUGUCGGGUAAUUAGGCACAAAAUUUCUCAUAAAUGGAGAGGGUUUUUAUCACAAAUGGUCUAUGAUAUUUACCCUCACCAGCAAGAUGGUCCCUGAAAUUGAAAAUCAAUCAAUCCAGUCCUUGAAAAUAGGUGUCGCAAAUCAAUGUGGUCAUUUCAUCACAAUUCUGUUAAAAAAAUCCGUUAAGUGCUGAUGUGGCACAUAAAUAGGUCCCACAAGUCUUUUUUUUUUUUUAUCACGAAUGGUCCUUGAAAUUGACAUGCGACAUCAAAAUGGUCCCUGAAAAUUGACCUGCAACAUCAAAUGGUCCCUGAAAUUGAAAAUCGAUCAAUGUUGCCCCCGCUUAUAAGUGUCCCAAAUCAAUAUAGUCAUUCCGUCACAAUUCUGUCAAAAAUUCUUAUGCGCAGAUGUGACACAUAAAUGGAUCACCCAAGUCUAAUUAAAUGUUAAAAAUUACAAAUAGGUUUAAUAAUUUAACAGUUAAUAAAAAGUUGUGCACCUAAAAACCCAGUCCUGCAAUCACCUUUGAUUUCAAUCCACAUUCCUUUACUUCAUUCGAUGUCUAUUAUAUAAAACAAAAUCUCAAUACACUCAUCUUUACACACUUCGACACCCUUCACCGAAUUGAACCUGGAUCGAGAUCACCUUUGGUGACGGUUUGGUUGAUUGGCAACGACUUUUGGGACAUCACGUUAACAUUUAGGUGAUCAACAUUCUUACAACCUUAAUCUUGGAGAGCUUGUUCGGCAGUUCCCAGGUGGUCUGGUGACUCAAAUAAUGGCGAGGUUUGCUUUAAGAUAAUGAGGUUAUAGCCUAGGUACUUCUAUUGUUGGUUGAAAAUUAUUUCCAAACCCCCUCUUAGGCCUUGGUUAAGCUUUAUGCCUUUGAAAAUUUAUAGAAGGGAUCCCUCUUCGGAGUCGGUCAUACUAUAAGAAAAAAAUUAUAUUGUGCAAAAAGGUAUUUAGACAACUUUUUUAAUUAAUUAUUAAACUCACAUCAGCACAUAACAAUUUUUUUUUUUUACAGAAUUGUGGCGGAAUGAUCAUAUUGAUUUGCGACACCUAUUUUCAAGGACUACAUUCAUCGAUUUUCAAUUUUAGAGACCAUCUUGAUGGUGUGGGUCAAUUUUAGGGACCAUCUUGAUGGUGUGAGUCAAUUUCAUGGACCAUUUGUGAUAAAACCCAUAAAUCUUGUGGGGCCCAUUUAUGUGCCACAUCAACACUUAACGGAAUUUUUAACAUAAUUGUAAUGGAAUGACCACAUUGAUUUGCAAUACAUAUUUUCAGGAACUACAUUGAUUGAUUUUUAAUUUCAGAGACCAUCUUGAUGGUGAGGGUAAAUUUCAAAAACCAUUUGUGAUAAAAACCCUCUCCAUUUAAGAGAAAUUUUGUGCCUGAUUGCCCGACAUUUUAAGAAGCCUAGAACUGCUACUCGCGGUGGCAGAGAUUGCUUCCGAAUACUACACUCCUGAAAGACUUUCUAUCGGGAGAAUCCACUCAAAUACUUUUAAGCAAUUUGAUGGCCCUGGUCAUCUUAAGUAAUUCCAUGACCAAAAAAAAUUGCAAUUAACUAUUUUAGGGUCGAGAAUUAGACCUGGUAAUUUUUUACAUGACCCGUUAAUACGACAUGUAAAUGAUACGAAAAUAACAGUUCCAGGUCGACACAAUAAAUAAUCGGGAUGUUAUCGGGUCACACGAUAAGAACCCGUUAAUAACGGGUCCUUAAUAGGUUUACACGAGACUGACAGACGGGUAACCCGUUUCAACACAUUAAGAAAAAAGUUAUUUUUGAUGAUUUUAAUGUUUUAAAUUACAUAAAAAAACUUAUUAUAAAAUACAAUAGCUAUAGUGUAUAUGUAUACACAAUACGGAUGUUACACGAUACGGUCCGUUAAGAUAUCGAGUAUGUUACGAAAAUGAUACGAACACGAAAAACACGACAUGAAUGCCUAGUCUAACAGAAUAGUGGAUUUGACUACAAUACUUCGUUUUUUGUGACAUAAAAAUUUAAUCAAUUUGUGGCCUCUACUACUGAGAAUUUUUUAGAACUGUUCGAAAAGAUUUUAAUUCGCGAACAAAAGCACCACAACUGCUUGAAAAUUCUAAAACUGCUUGAAAAUUUGUUUAAAUUAAAUAUUUAGCUCUUUGUUCUGCAAAUUUGAAUCAUUGAAUGUCUAAACCCUCCUCUUUGGGGAUAAUUGUUGUAUUGAGAUGUUUGUGCAUUUCUUAUAUGUAUUUGAUACGGGUAAUGUUAUGAAAAUUAAAAUUUUAAAUCAAAUGAUGUGUCACUAAUAAGAAAUAAGCACGUUAAUUAAUGUUUAAGUAUUAAUACUGUGACAGCCUGUCCCUAAAAAUUUUGGUUUUUAUAAUUUUAAUAAGUGAAAUUACGGUAAUGCCCUAUGGGCAAAGCGUGAUUUUUCGAGGACGUAUAUGAUUCCCGUAUAUUUUUUCAUGUUUAUUGACAUAUUCGGAUAGAGCUCGAUCUUACGGACGCGUAGGCAUGGGUAGAAGUGAUUUUGGAGUUACGGUUAAAGUUUUAUUGAGUUACGAACCCGAAGGUAUUUGGAAUGAAAUACUAUUUUAAUUAUUUCACACUAUGUUUUUAUUAUUACAAAAUGAUUUAUAUGCCAAGGGUGUGUGUGUGUGAGGGGAGGAAGAAACAGAAAAAGAAAGAGGGAACAGAGAAGGAAGGCUACUGCCUAAUUGGGGGAGAGGAAGAGAUGAGACUGACCAACCAGAGAGGAGAGAAAGGAGGGAAAGGAGGGAAGGUGAGAAGGAGGGGAAAUUGAGUCUCCUCCUUGACCCGCGUGACCCGGCCAAGCAUUAAGGCCAAAUUCGUUCAUUUUUCAGCCAAUUUUCGGUGAAUUGUGUUGAACCACUACCUGGAUAUACCACCCUCACCCUCCCUCUUCCAUUUCCAUCCAAAAUUAGAAAGAAUUUGGUGGUAUUUUAGAGGAAAAACGGACGGUGGUCCGUGUGGGUGUAUGGCGGCAAUCCGCAAAUAUUAAAGCUAACGCAACCAAUUACCACCACCCAUAGGCUCCCUUCAACCUCAGGAACAAAGCCCAAGAAAUGGUAGAGGCGUCAGAGAGAGUAUGGAGGUUGAAUUGAAGCACACCCUUUUCUAGGGUUUCCAGCGGUUCGUGGCCAGUUAGAGCGGCUUUCCAGCCAAAUUGGCCUUGGCCGCAUGUAUAAAGUUUGCUUUACUCUUUGAGAUCUUCAUUUCUGUAAUUUUUGAGAAUUUUUAGAAAUAGUUGAGUUUUCCAGCGAGCUAGGGCAGCUGGUGCGGCGGCGCACGGCCAGGGAGCUGAGUUGGUUUUAUUUUAUGAAAUUUGUUAUUCUAAUUAUGCUUUUGAGACCUAAUUGUUGUAGUUUGAAUAUUAGUACGAUUGUAGUAUAUGUUGGAUUAAAUGAAUAUAUUCGGAUUUGGUUUGAACUUUGGAAAUGUGAACUACGAAUAGCUUCAUCCCUUUUUAGGGUACGUAGGUAGUCUAACGAGACGUUAGAUGCAACCAUACAAUAUUUGAGACAAAAGCCUUGUUUGGGAAAUUGAGCAAUGUGAAGAAAAUUGGUGAAAAUAUGAGAUUUAACCUCAUGAUUUAGUGAUUGGAUGUUAGUCAUAAAUCAUUGAGUAAGGGAUCGAGAAGUUGAAGUAAAGAAUAGUAAGUAAUGAUAAUCAAUUAAACUAGUGUUUAGUUGGGUUUGUCACCGAUAAGUAUUCCCGAAAAUAAUUAGUUCAGGAGUAGGGUGUUAUAGAUUGUGCAUUUUAUGCCACAAUAUAUAUAUAUAUAUAUAUAUUUGGAAGCACUACGAUAUGGUUAAGUUUUAAAUGGCAUUAUGGUAUAUCCAUAUAUAUAUUACCUGCACAUAAUUAUUGUGAACGCUUUGAAGUGCAAAGGUGAAUGCAGGACACACAGGUAAGUUUAGGUGAGUUUAUGGUAUUAGUUGAAAUGAUGAAGUUAUGGCAUGACUACAUUUAUGUUUUAGGCAACUUCGACAUUAUUGUACAGGUUGCAAUAAUAGGCAACUCCGACCUUGUCGUACAGGUUGCAAUAAUAGGCAACUCCAACAUUGUUGUACAGGUUGCAAUAAUAGACAGCUCCAACACUGUCGUACAGGUUGUAUAUGAGUCGUACAUGCCAUAUUAGAUGUAUUUAGAGCUCAUAAACCUGCACCCCGGUGUUAGUGCUCCCGCCCAUGGCCAGGGCACAGUCCUUCACGUGAUGUUCACCUCCCGCACCUUACGCUCACCUUGGAUCCAAGGUAGGUGCACAGGCCUGUCGUACAGACCACUACAGAUGGUUCCGACUCGUAGGUGACCUGAGAUUAUUUGCACAAUCUUCACGUGAUCGUAGCACUUAAGCGUACUUAUUUACACCCAGUCCUAUCUUACAAACCACUAAAGGUGGUUCCGAUUCGUGUGCAGAGAUAUUUGAUGAGCUAUAGGUUCAACCGUACAUGCCACAAGAGGUGGAUUCGGCUGACAUGUUAUUUACCAUUGAUUUAUUUCACUUGGAUUACCUAUUCGUUAUACUGAGAUACUUGACAUGGCAUACUUAUAGAUAUGUUAUUCUGAGUAUGGUUUUGAGAUAGAGAUAUAAUCUAUCUUCUGGGAAAUUAUAUAGGUUUUACGGCGAGAGGUUAUUACUUUUGAUAAGUGGUUUUUGAAAAGUUUUGCUUUCACCCACUCACAUUUUCUAUUUUUGCACCCCUCCAAGUUUAGUAGCAAGUUUCUGUAUCGAAGAGAAUUCGUGGCACUUCCCAGUUCAGGUGGCCUCUUAUAAUGGUAUAAUCAUUAUCUUACCUUACUGUACCUUACUUAUGCUCUAUAUCACGUGUGAAUGGGUCCAUACCGCUCACCACGCACUCGUGUGUUUAGGCAUUUUUAGGUUUAAAUUUGUUCGUAGUUUAUACAUUAUCACACUUUUUGGCUUCGUCACCUUCCUGGUGUCGGCCAGCACGGCUCGAUUCGGAGUCCUAGUGGACAUUCCGGGUCGGGGUGUGUCAAAUACAAUCAUCAACAACACUAUCUUUUAAUUUGCAAAUUUGGUUUAAAAUUUUGGUGUCCCUCUCAUUAUCCUUUUUGUUAAUGAAACUCUAAAUAAAUAAUUUUAAUUCACGAGGUAAACAUAUAUUGCAGUUUUUUUUUUUUUUUUUUGUAUUUUCUUUUUAUAUUAAACAAACGAUAUAUAUACCCAGGGGAGGGGUUGGGCUUUGCCUCACAAUGGGCAAACAAUAAUGUAGUUCGAAUUCACCAUUACAAGUAAAGAAAAAUAACACCAAAUCAUAAUACCUCUCACUUACAAGUAAAUAAAAAUAUCAUUAGACCAUAAUACUAAGUGGCGUAUAUUGCAGUUUCUUAGUUGCCAGCUUCUUUGCCAAUUGGUUUUGAUGAAGCAUCUAGUGUGGAGUGGUCAUACCCUUGUGUGCAUUAAUGAUCAUCUUGAAGAUGUGAAGCAUUAAUAUCCUGCAUCAACUCACUCUUUCUCCUUAAGAAUACUGACUAUUGUAGCAAGAUAUUUGUGAGAUUUUCUUUUGAUACACACUCCUACUACAAAACUUGUGUUAUCAAUUAUUGUGCCUUCCGAGAACUCACGACAAUAACCGCUAUCUCCUAACCAUGAAAAACCUAAUGCGACACUUAAGGAGGAAUGUUUUGAAUAGAAUUAUUCAGUAGGAAACUUAAAGUAAAAUCCCAAUAGGAUUUGGAGAUCAAUCCUCAUAAGUUUGUAUUAUUUGCAAGGCAAGAAAACUCAUCAAGAUUAAUAUAAAUAAAGGUACAAGGCCAAGUGGUGAGGACUCAUACAGCUGACCUUUCUCUCUCACCCACUUUUAUAAUUAGUUUCACAACAUCUCUCAUUUAAAAAUAGGCUUGAUUGAGAGAUAUUCUAGCAACAAUAUAAAGAUUGACCAUGCUCUCACAAUACAUUCCUUAUACCAAUGCUAAACCAUAUUCACUAGCAAGAGCAUUUAAAUUGUAGGGAGUAGAAGACAAUUCUGAGAUCAAUUCCAAUCAUGUUUCGAAUUCAAGAGAUAAGUCAAUUUCUUUUGUAUCCAUUUGGUUUAUUCAAUCUGUGAUCCAAAUGUCUCAUUGUUGUGCUUUUCAGAAUAUGUCUUACAGAUUCACCUUCACCCCAAUCUCCUUGCUUUAUAUAUUGGGGAAAGAAGUAUAGAUUUAAAUUGAAGCCAAAAUGCUUGGUUCUAAUGAUUAACAGAUUAAUUUUGUUGGAAUAUUUAAUUACAUUUUUGCAAUUGAUUUACAAUUGAGUUGUAAGAAAAGAUAUGGACUGUUCUUCCAAGAAGAGGCCAAGUUCAGAUUCAUAAUUUGAAUUGAGAGCCCCAAUGCAAAGCGUGAGGAGACGGUAAGCAGAAAGGGAGUCGGAGAAUUGAUCCUGCCUUCCUCCUUGCGGUAUUUCAAAAUACAGUCUUGUGAUCCUCACAAUGGUAAAUUAUUUAUCCUGCCUUCGGACAUGGCAAAUUAUUGAUCCUCACAAUGGUGCACAACAAUGUAUUGCUACUUGAUCCUUGCCAUUAUUUUAUUUUGAUUAGUGCUUCAACGUGUAAUAAGUUUUAAUCUUCCAUAUGAGUCCCUUAACGGUCGUUGGUAACGUAGAGCCUGUCCUCUCCUCUCUUGACCCGUCAUUAGCUGGUAUAUCGUUUAAUUUCUAGGGCAAUUAGCACAAAUGAUCACUUUUUUGACAUUUGGUUGCAGAAAGGAUUAGGUGUCAUCAUCGUUGUGUCGUCUUUUUAUUUAUUUAUUUACUAAUCAAGAAAAAUAUAUUAAAGGGAAAACCCUCAAGUACAAUUGUUCCCUACAUAAUCAAACUGAAGAACAUGAAGAACAAAUGAAGGAAUACAAUGAUCCCAAAUAUGACAAUCAGUAAUAAGAAGGCCUUGGUGAGCGAAGGAAUCUACCACAAAGUUAGCCUCUUUAUCAAUAUGUUUCUAGUCAAUGCAAUCAAAAUUGGUCGCCAUCCACUUGAUAUCUUCAAUAAUAGGAACCACAUUCCAUGGUGUCGCACCUCGGUCCAACAUUGACUAAAUGACCAAUUUAGAGUCACCUUCAACCAUAAUCUUUGUAUAGCCCUUCCAUGUCAUCGUUGUGUCGUCGAUAUGCAAUCAAUCAUCAAUAUAUCGCUGAUAUUAAAGAAUGGUGAUUUCUACAACCAAUUGUCAAAAAGUGAUUAUUCUUGCUAAAUUUCCUAAUUUCUUUUACCAAAUGAAAGAAUAGUACUAUUAAUCAGACUCAAGUAUUGCAAGUGUACAAACAAAGGUCAAAGGUAGUACGUCAUAACCUUCAAGGAGACAUUAUUUUUUAGAGACGAAAUGUACUCUUAAGGAUAGUGUCUAAAUUGUCUCAACUUACAGUGUUGUUCUAAUUAAACAUCGGCAGAGAGCAAUUUCUACAUCCUAAAAGAUAAGUAUUCAUUAUAUUGUUGAUUUCAUUUAAUCGAUUGUGGCAAUGAAAGUUCUCAUUAACCGUAUUUAUCUUAUGUGAAUUGUUGUAGAAGAAGUAGCAUCAACGCCGCUAAGCUUUCCAACAACAAACACCACUUGUAAAGCAUCCCCUUCUGAAUGAAAAUACGAAAGCUCAAUAGGACGGCUAGUUGAACACUUCGUAACGUUACCAAUGCUUCUACGUGAAAAGGACAAUUAGUAGCCCUCUGAAGAGUAGCAACCGUAACAAGACAGGUCUCUUCCCCAUCCCUAACCACCCUAAUGCCACCACUACCACUGCACUCGCAAAAAGCAUAAUAAAAAAAUAAUAUUCACCCAACUGUGACCCAGAGGACUGCACCAUUGAUGCUGCACUGGCUGCUUACCUCGACUACCGGUUACACAUGUUGUCCUUGCCGCAGAAUAGUAUUCCUCGACUACCAGAAAUUAUGACCAUAUGAGCAUCAUGAAGGCGAGAAAACUACUCCUUGGACAAGUCAAUCGCCAUCUGGAAUAGCCUUUCUUUAAGGCUACGAGAUCGCAACAAACUUUUCUGAAAAGACAAGGGACUAACAAACUACAUGGAACUUUUUAUGUAGAGCAUCGAUGGGCAUGUACAUACCCUGUUUUCCCUCAGCCUGUUUACUUGCUUGAAAUUUCAUAUGCAAAAAUUGCUUUGCUUCCCUCUUUUUUUUUUUUUUUUUUUUUUUCUUCGAAUAAGUUAUUAAGAUGUUGGUUUCUUGCAUUCUGGAUUUGACGGCUUGGCUACAUGGAUUUUUUUUUUUCUUGGCAUGUGACUUUCUUGUUCUUCAAAUUUUUGGCUUUAUCUUGCUCAAAUGGUUUGCGUGAAACAUUGUAAUUUAUUUUACUAUGUUUUCGGUUUGGUAGGUCCACUAAGCUAUACUUGAACCAGUGAAAUCUGCUCGUAGAUGUGAGCUCGAAGUACCCAUAAAAUAGAUAAGCAAACCCAAUUUAAAUUUGCAAGUGCACAAGGCCAAUAGUAGUAUAGUAAGAGCAAGUAUGAAGUCAUUCCCACGAAUAUUGAUUUUUACUUUGAGUCUCAACUCAAUUCAAACUUUUAACACAAGUAGGGCUGCAAUUGAUUGAUUUUAACUAGAAUGAACGAGCCAAGGAGAUCUCAAAACCCUAAAUUAAGACUAGGUGGCAAGAAUAUUUGAGUGCUUGUAGUUGUUUCUCCAUAUGCUUCUACAGUGAGCAAGUUAUAGAAAAAGGAGAAAACUAGCAGAGAGAGAGAGCAACGGAAAGAAAUAAGUGCAGGAAGUUAAUGGCCUGUAAUUGGGAUAAUGGCUUAAUAGCUUGUUCAUUAUAUUCGUACAAUAUAUACACUUAGAGAUUUGACUCUGUACAAUACAGAAAGGGCAAGUAAUAACUAAUUGUUACAUGAUAGUAUGAUACAAUAUGGAGAGAUUGAUGAAAUCGGAGUGAUUUGAGGCUGGAUUGAUAUUCUUGUCACAAGUCUCCUAUCAUUGUGUGUGAUUAGAGUUUACUUUUGUGUUCUUGAUCGCAUAAAUAUCAUUUUGUACUUAGUGUUUUGAGGAAAUUAAGGCUUGGACUUCCUGAUAUUUUCAUGAUACUUUAAGAAAUCCAUCGAAAUCUUACUAAAUUGUCUACCAAAUGAGCAAUUUGAAUCGUCCUGUUGGAGGAAAGAUCAGCAGUUUUCAAUUAUAUUGCAGAAAAGAAGAAUACAAGAGAAUAUGGAGGAUAAGUUUUGAACGGGAACUGAAGUUAACAUACUUUGUUGCUUUCAAUUUUUAUUACAACACUAGGCCAUCUUGUUUUGGCUAUUUUUAAUAACAAUGAGACCUUUUCAUAACACCCAUAAGUCUUGGAUUAGUUCCAAAAGACACAACUCUACAUAACAACUGAUACAACUAACCAACAGAAAGUGCAUUACGUUUAACACUUACAUCAUUGACAUGAUCCUAGUUAAUCUAAGGUUGUUACAUAUAUCCUCCUUAGGUUCCAGAGUAAUCCUCUCUAGUUCCUGCUGAAAUCUCUCCAUGGCCGAGAAUGGCAAGCACAUUGGUACCAAUAUUCCAUCCUCAGAGUUGUUUUUGUGUUGAACGUAGAAGCUAAUCAAAUCCAAGGCCUUGGCAGGUCCAGCAAAUAUCGGUUGUCCCCAUCCAAAAUUGACAUCUCCAAAACCUGCACGCGUAUUAUCAGAAACUAUUAAAUAACUUCCUGUCGAUGAAUAUUGAGGUCGCCCUCUUAGUACCAAAAGAUCUGCCACUGAUCUUAAGUAUUCUUCAUUCAUGGUAGCUUUAGCCUUCUUCACCAACUCCAAAGCAUAUCCCAUUGGAUUUUUGCAUAGAGGUUCAGCCUUUGAAACUGCAGCUGGAAAUGCAAAUGCAUUGCCAUAGUAUCCCAAGGGAAGACGUACAUUGUGGUGCUUUCCCCGUGCAUUGACAAUGCAUGAAACGCGAACAACCUGUUUUGGAUUAAUUUUAAGUGCAAGAGUGCGACAUUUCCACAAACAAGCUGUGAUCAAGUCAAAUGUGGAGCAUGUGGAAAUUAGGUGGGGUGGAAUUUGUUUUCGAAGGAUUCUCAUCUCCUUGGCACCAAAAUAGAAAGAUCGUUGAACCAUGUUUGACGGGUUACUGGAUGCGUAUGAGCCAUCAGAAUGAUCAAUCACGUCUUCAUAUUCAUGAUGAACACAUGUAAUUCUUGGUGGAUCUCGAGCGGACAAGAGCUCUCUCUCCCACACUGGUAGAAUAGAUGGUGCAUGUGCGCCUCUUGCCAUCUCCGCAAUGGCGGUCAGGAACUGGAGCAAUCCAGGUGCAUCACACAUUGUGUGGUUUAGGCGCAAUGCAAGUAUGAAACCUCCACAUGUAAGACGGGUCACCUGGAUAUUGCAAAAGUUAGUUACUAGACUUUUUUCUUGAUCAUCAUAUUCGUGCUAGUUAAUAAUUCUUUAGAAAAAAAGACAAAAAAAACUAUCUAAAUUAGAUGAUCUAACUAGGAAACAAAAAUUUCAUAAAAAUUAGGAAUAAAAUUCAAGAAAGAUGGAGUCUCUUUGAAACAUGUUGUAGUUAGUUGAAAGAGUCCUUCGAGGAAUACAGAGGAAUUUAGACAAAAUGCUUAUAGAAGAUAGAAAAAUUUAGACAGAGACAAAGAGGACGACAUGACGAUAGGCAAAAAACCUAGAAGAAGAACGGCAAAUGAAAACCUACAUAAGAAAGGUGAUGUGGGAUUGGUAGAAAACGUAGGGCCUAAUUAGGCAGAUACCAUGUAGAAAUAUAAUUUCCUCGAUUCGAUGUGUAUACAAAUUUUACAAUAUAUAGGGUUAAAUAUAAGAACUGUCGAAGAAAAAUUAGUUACGAAAAAUAAUGAAAGGUGUCUCAUAAUCUUUUCUUUCCUAAACCACCUAAUGAACUUUCUUUAAUCAUAAGAACAAAGAGGCGUUGUAGUAUCGUAGAUAAGUUCAAGUUUGGGUGUGGUGGCAGUAUGAUAAAUUUUCGUUUAUGAAAAGGGUUGCCAAUUUUAUGAAAAAAGUUAAAAACAGUGGUGGUACCACCAAACUUCAACUUAUUUACAAUAUUGUUAUAGCUUUCUUGUUUAUGUCCUUAUUUGUCAUUAAAAUUUUCGUAUGUUGUAGAUUGCACUAAUUUCUUACAAAAAAUCUCCGGCGUGUGUAUGCAACCUUAACUCAAAAAACACUAUCCUACUUCAAUUUUUUUUUUUUGUAAAGAUUUAAUGGCUAUGACCAAAUAUGAAUACGAAAAACUAAUUAACAUGUAAUUAAUAAUUAAUUGACUCACCUGAACCAGCAGCAAAGGACAACCAAUAAUUCCAUCAGAGCCUGGAAAAUUAACUAAGAACUCCUCUAAGAGUGGACAAGGGGGUAGAAUUUUGUCUCCUAGUUGCUCAAGUGUGACAUCAGCAGAAGCCUCAACGAACAAGAUACCUUCACCAUUGCAAUCGACCAUGAGCUUUCUGUUAGGCCCUUCCCUAAGCCUGCCAGCUAAAGGGUAGUAAUACACUAAUGCUCUACUUAAGGCUUCCCUAAUCGCCUUAACGGGAUUACGAUUUUCCUUAAGCGAAGGGUUGUCUUUGUAACACAUUAUGACUGGAACAUGAAACCUCAAGCUUUCUUGGUCAUCAAUAUCUGAGAGAAAUUUUGUUUCUCGAGGCGUUGACUUUACCGGAGUUAUAAGUUCCGGCUGCAAUCGUUUCACUUGAAGUACUGAGGGUGGCAUCAUUUCAAUAACGAGCUUAAGAACCAGCAAAAGAUCAAAGAAUUUGGAACUUUUAUUUUGUUGUAUGCAUCCUAACUAAAAGUUGAUAGUCAGUACUUAUAUAGCGUUAUGCAGAUGCUCUAGGGUUCCCGAAUCUUCCGUCCAAGUUCCCACCCGUUGUGAAUAUGAUUCUUUUCUUUUCCAUUAAAAACGUUGUUAGAAAGAAACGUUUAAAUCAACUGAAAAAAAAAAAAAAAAAAAAAACAUGUUGAGAGCUACGUGCAUGGGACCAUUUCACAGCUCACACCACAGAUUCGUACAUAUACAUUAAUACUGAAUUGCAUUUCAACAUCAGAAAAAUGAAUACUAACAGGGAUAUGAGGACAGGUGUUCGGUAAAAAACCUUCGAUAGGAAUGGAAGGAAAAAGGCCAACGUCCUACGUACCUGCCCCAAUUACAGCUGUCACUUUUAUAAUGACUGGCAUAUUAGCAUGGGAUAAUAUUGUUUCACAUUAUUAUUAAUUUUGACUGAUCUGAUAUGUUGACUACUCAACUAUUUUAUGAUAAAAGUUUGUUAUGAUGAAUAAAGUUGAGACUCUAUAAAAUUAAUCGACAAAUAGGGAGCAGCUUAACACUUAUAAGAAUAUGCAAGGUCCUCUUUUAUUCGAUAUGGAAUUCAUACUCCUAAUACGCACCUUCAUGUGUGGCGAAUUUUUAAGCUUAACAUGUGAACAACACAAACCAGGUGGCGUAGAGCACGUCAAGUGUUGGGCUUCACACAUGAGACAAUCUGUUCUAAUACCAUGACAAAUGUUGAGGUUCCAUCGCCACUUUGUACUAUGGUCUAGUGAUAUUCCUCUUCAUUUAUAAGUAGAGAUUUUAGGUUCAAUUCUCACCAAAGACGAAUUUGAACCAUAUUAUUGUUAGUCCAUUGUGAGUUUAAGCUCAUCCUCUUCCCCUUAGUGUAAAUAAUGUCAUUUGUGAUGAGUCGAUAUUAUACUAUAUAUUUUAUCCUAUUCUUAGUUAUAACUUAGUAGUUAUUUUGUGAGAAUUUUAAUACUUUGAUUUAUAUUCUUAAUGUAGGACAUUCAACUUCCUUUGGAGCAAAACAUGAUCAAACGGAUGAAUUUUAGAGUGAUUCAAAUUGAAGGACAUUCAUGUGUCUGUCAACUUGUUUGUGUCAAAGUUUCAUAUUUUUCUACCCAAUGGUUUAUUUAUGGCAAUGAAAUAAAGAAGAAGCGCAGUGCUGUCAAAAUGACGUUUUGGAUUUAUUUGGGCUUUUUAACGUCCAAGAUCAUGUCUUUUGGGUUUAAGGCCUUUUGCAAUUAUGUUUGGGGCAUCUCAAGAUUUAAUUCAAGUCAUUUUGGCUGAUUUGUGGUUUGGCAGAUUUCUCAAAAUUAGAAUAGAAAUGUAUUUCCUAGUUAUCUUAUUCUAUUAUGUUUCGUAGUUUUUAGAAGACCUUUUCAAGUAAGGAUUUUAAUUAUGUAGUAGUAUAAAUAAGGUUUUUUACCCAUUAGGGUUAAAGGACAAAAAGAGAGGAGAAGAACACAUAUUUUGGAGAACUUUGCUAGGCUUUGACGAUUUGUAUUUCAAGGUGUUUUCUAUCCUUGUUUUUAAUAAUAUUUUGUUUUAUGAUUGUUAGUGUUUGGGUUAAUAUUUGAACUUUGGGCUGAAGGAAGAGAAGCCCAUAAGGUAUGACUCUGCCCGAAGGCCUAACAUCAAACCCAUUCGCUCAGCCCAAGGCAAAAUUAUGAUUCCACAUUAAUGCAAGAGCAAGUAGGAAUAAGUGGCCUACAUGGAAGUGACACUUGAUGGAAAUCAACCUACUCUCAGCCCAAAAACACUUUCUGAAUGGCAGAGUACGUAAAUUGCUGAUGAGUCACUACCCCUCAGUUGCUUUCGGGCAGGAAUCAAACUGCAAGCAGUUAGGCUAAUUCGCCUAUAAAAUGAGGAAGAGGGCCCAGAGACAAGGACACUCAACCAAUCAAACAAACAAAUACACAAACUCUGGGCAAGCCACAUUUGCAUACGAAGUUGUAGUCAACCCCCAACCUCAAUCCUUUUCAAGAUCAGCCCUCACAAAAGCCAUCUUUUGUCUAGUUUAAUAGUUUUGCUGCUCACCAGUAGUAUCGAUUCUCUUGUGUAAAUUUAUUUGUCAUCCAUCCUCUUUUAAAACCCUCAGAUCUCUGUAGUUGCAAAGAAAGGAAACGGCGAAAGGUCCAGCCUUGCUCGACAAGGUUCAAUCUUGCCCGAUUCCCUUUGUUUGGUCUUUUAGUUAAUAGAUCUGGUGUUGUAAUGAAUUCCUUAGUAUGUAUUCAAAUCAUUUUAGGUCUUUUAAUGAUCCAAAGUUCAGCUUACUCUCAGAUCUAGUUUUAGUUAAAUGGUUUUACUAUCUUAAGAGUGAAUCCACUUAAUCCCUUGAUUAGAUCCGGACCUCUGCCCUUUUACCAUACAAGAUAAACAAAAGUCCUUAAUCUCAAGGCAUAGAAAAGAAUCUAAUGUGGACUUAACCCAUCCACGACAAUCCUUUGAUAAUGAGAAGUCAGAGUAACUUGGGGCGCAAGUAAUCGGCUUAUCUACUCAUUUUACAUCUGCAUACUGAGAUGGCAAUGGCACGCCUCAGCACUUAAGUUAGUUUUGAUUGCGAACCUCACGACUUAUACUUAAGGCCUGACAUAGGCACCUUUCAGAAUUAACUCUGCCAUCUUCUUGCAGCCAGACGAACAAAGCGAGAACCCAAUAGUCAACCAAAGUGUCAACUUUGCGGGGAGCUGUGUGCUCGAGUUAGGAACGCCUACCGGCGACAUUCCUACCCGAACAUAGUUUUGGCACGCCCAAUGGGAUUAAAUCUCGUAUGCCAAGAAGACAAAGGAAGGAACAAACCUUUGAGUAGGGAUCAAUGCAAAGAUUGCCCCACUCACACUGAGAUCCAGCAUGACAAAUCUCCCCGAAGAUUUACAAGGACCUAUCUUGAUGGGAAGUCCGACCCCUUCUGAGAAAUCAAAGGAGAGGGUUACAAAAGAAGAUCUUCAAGCUACCCUGAUGGCUAUCUUGAAAAGCCUGGAGAGAAGUUCUCUAAAUAUAGAGAGAAACUCUGGGGGAGCUAAAGAAGAAAUGGACAAAGGUUGUUCCAUGAAUCCGUAAAGAAGGUCGGAUCUGGAGCACUCUACUCCAGAAAAUGAUAAUGUUGGAAUGGCAGCAAACCAGACUAGCACUACGAAGGAACCAGUUGUUUCUUUGUUCCCUUUAAUAAAAGAAGAAGGGGAUAAGGAAAAGAACAAGGAAGAGACCGGAGCCAGCCAGUUAGCUUUGAAUAAGAUCAAUAAGCCCAAGUUGUCUGACCCCUUGUCGUGCUCAUUGAAUAACAGGGGGCAAUGCGGGCUAGAAAUAGUGCAAACAUUGGGAGAAUCUCAAACUAAUGCAGUAAUAGGUGCUAAUCCUUAUCUACAAGCCCCCGUAAACAUAAUCAAUUUAACGUGGGCAGAGAAAGGGAAAGAAAAAGCUACCGAGGAAGUAAGAGUUGAAAGGUGACAAUUUGAUAGGCCGACGGAAUGAGCUAUCAAGUUGCCUAAAAAGCCUAAGGUAGCAAUAAUCAAAGGAGUGGUUUUGUGCAAUAAAUGUCAAUGUGAGUGUGAGCUGGAAGUACCAGCUGUAGGAGCCAUCAUGGAUCAGGAAUUGAUCUAAAGAAGAGGAAAAUAAGAGCAAGAAUCCCGCAGAGAUAUCAUACGGGUAGCCAAAAAGGAAACCUCUCGGAGCAUCUUCUAAAGGUUGGAAGGAGACUCUCAACCAAAGAACUUGUCAUAAGUAUUCAAAAACUAUGAAGCUUCAGAAGAAGUAAAGGACAAGAAGGCCGAGACACCAAGGUGGGUAGACGUAAGGCCACCUCAACUAAGUUAUGCUAGUGAUGUUAGAAUAAAAGGAAAGAUAGUGAACCCAGUCACUAAAAAGAAUGUUGCCCGACUCAGGCGGAGAUGAUAUAUAGUUGGAAGGGACGGAAAGCUCGUUAAAGAGAUGGGAGCUUCCAUGAUCAGGAGAGUCCAAAGGCAACAUAAAGCCCACAUGAACUCAUUGAAAAUCCUCACCACAUCAGAGACCUCUAAAAAGGAGAGGUAAACAAGGUACCUAAUGAAGGAAAUAAUCAAAUCCGCUGGAGAACCAAGAAGGAGGUAGAGAAAGCCAGUAGCAAGACUGAAGGGGAAGGAGACCAUGCGCCACCGAGCCUUCACCCUGGAAAAUAUAGAAUCCUAAGAAGAGCUCAGCAUAUAUGGUAAUGAUGCCAACACUUAGGUGGAGCCCAGAACCAAGCUGUUUCAGAACAAUCUCACCCGAGAGAGGGAUACCCUCGCCAUUGUUGGUUGAUACACUCUGUGAGAGCCUAGUGCAGGUGCAGAACUUCGGCAUAACAAUAGAGGAGGCAGUGUCUGAAUUAAUAUUGCCAGAAGAAGCACAAGCCUGGUUAGAUGGGUUUAUGAACCACAUAGGGGGCAAGGAGGGAGAUGUACCUGGACCCAGUGACUUCCACAUAAACAUGACAUAUGUUUUAUCAGCCAUGUUUCGCGCCGAGCAUGAUCAACCUCCCAUCAUGGAAGGUGAUUACCUGGCGACAAAACCCAUGAUGGCGCAUGUUAGUGUUGAGGAUACGAGACAAGGAGAACCUAACCAAACUGGAUUGCCCGAACCAUCAAUAAGGAAGCCUGAAAGGAUAUACUCAGACAAAAUGGUUUUUAUUUGCCUGAGUUCAAGCUUGGCUAACCAUCUCAAGCCCAUAUAUGUAACUGCACACCUAGAGGGAGUACCAUUUAAGAGGGUCUUGAUCGACGGUAGGGCUGCAAUUAAUGUGCUGUCAUACAAGCAGAUGAAGAAGAUGUGUAGGAGUGAAGGGGAUCUUAUUCCCACCGAUCUUACAGUUUCUAGUUUCUUUGAAGCUAUCACCAAGACGCAUGGGAUACUGCCAUUAGAGGUGUAUUUAGGAUCAAAACAAAUGUUGGCCUUUUUUGUUAUGGACAACACUUCCACUUAUGUAGCUUUACUAGGCAGAGAUUGGAUUCAUCAGAGUCUCUCUGUGCCAUCUACCUUACACCAACAAGUGGCCAUCUACCAUGAGGAAUGGGAAGCAGGACUUGGAUUUUGAGAGAUGGUAGAGGCCGAAUCACGGCCAUUUCUCCCUAUAGCCAACAUUGCAGAAGCCAACUUCUAUAAUCCUGGUAUUGGGAUUCUUCAAUGUUUAGGAGCUGAUAAGAACGGCCGCCCAACCAAGGUGAUUCCCGAACACCUUUAAAUGUCAGAGCAGAAAAGGAAGGACCAAGUGAUCGCAGUCAGAUCCUUAAUAAAAAGACUGUUGGUAUAUGGGAGAGAGAAAAAACAGGAAAGGGAAAGCUCAGCCAAAGAAGAAAAGGGCUAGAGUAGAGAAGCCUCAAGUAGCCAAAUGACUAAAGAGGAUUGUUUUGGGAAAGAGCUAGAAGAGGCCAUCCAAAUGGCUGAAUGUAUAUAUGACUUGGACGGGCCAGAACAUUUGCCCGAGAGUCCAGAGUUGGUUGAGUUUUUGUGUGCAGAGCCUGACAAAUGGGCCCCAAAGGUACAAGAUCCAUUAGAGACCAUUGAUCUAGGGACGGAGGAAGAUCCAAGACCUAUACAAAUUAGUGGUUUGUUGAAAACCGAAGAUCGAGCAAGUAGGAGUAAGUGGCCUACAUGGAAGUGACACUUUAUGGAAAUCAACAUACUAUCAGCCCAAAAACACUUUCUAAAUGGCAGAGUACGUAAAUUGUUGAUGAGUCACAACCGCUCAGUUGCUUUCGGGCAAGAACCAAGCUACAAGCAGUUAGGCUAAUUUGCCUAUAAAAUGAGGAAGAGGGUCCAGAGACAAAGACACUCAACCAAUCAAACAAACAAAUACACAAACUCUGCUCAAGCCAGAUUUGCAUACGAAGUUGUAGUCAGCCCCCAACCUUAAUCCUUUUUAGGAUCAACCCUCACAAAAGCUAUCUUUUGUCUAGUUUAAUAGCUUUGCUGCUCACCAGUAGUAUCGAUUCUCUUGUGUAAAUUUAUUUGUCAUCCAUCCUCUUUUAAAACCCUCUACGAAAGGUCCAGCCUUGCCUGACAAUGUUCAAUCUUGCCCGAUUCCCUUUGUUUGGUCUUUUAGUUAAUAGAUCCGGUGUUGUAAUGAAUUCCUUAGUAUGUAUUCAAAUCAUUUUAGGUCUUUUAAUGAUCCAAAGUUCAGCUUACUCUCAAAUCUGGUUUUAGUUAAAUGGUUUUACUAUCUUAAGAGUGAAUCCACUUAAUGCCUUGAUUAGAUCCGGACCUCUGCCUUUUUUACCAUACAAGAUAAACAAAUAUCUUUUAUCUCAAGGCAUAGAAAAGAAUCUAAUGUGGACUUAACCCAUCCACGACAAUCCUUUGAUAAUGAGAAGUCAGAGUAAUUUGGGGCGUAAGUAAUCGGCUUAAAUCUACUCAUUUGACAUCUGCCAUACUGAGAUGGCAGUGGCACGCCUCAGCACUUAAGUUAGUUUUGAUUGCGAGCCUCACGACCUAUACUUAAAUCCCGACAAAGGGACCUUUCAGAAUUAACUCUGUCCUCUUCUUGCAGCCCGACGAACAAAGCGAGAACCCAACAGUCAACCAAAGUGCCAACUCCGCAGGGAGUUGUGUGCUCAAGCCAGGAACGCCCACCGGCGACAUUCCUGCCCGAACAGUUAGUAACUGAUUUCCGUUUGCUAGGGCGAGGCCACGAGCCUUAGCAAGAAUAUGUAGUUUCUUUUCAAUUUACUUAUGAUAUUAUGCAUGCAGGUUUUGAAUUAUUAGUCACCGGUUGAAACUAUCUAAUUGUCUUAAUGCUUAGCUACCAUUAGGAUCUUUAGAAAAAUAAUUUGAUGCUUAGCUACGAUUAGAGAACGACCUUACUAGAGCUGCUAUAUUACAAUAACCUUGUACUGUUGCAAGUAUUUAAAGUAUUUUUAUCCCUACUUUUGUAGGUGGUAAAAAUCCUAUCAAUUUGUUCAAAAAAAAAAAAAAGUAGUUGAUGUUCCAUCAUAAAACUAAUUAACAAUAUGAAGAGUAACUCAAUUACUUAUAAGAACGUGCAAAGUCCUUCCCUUACCUAAUAUGAGAUCUAUACUCUCAACAUGUCACUAUUAAGCAAAUAUGUACUAACACAAAAUGGAACAAAUAAUUCGAUCACUUAACAAAAUAGAACUCACUGAAGACAAUAUUAUGUUUGUUAAAGAUAGGACACACUGAAGACAAUAUUAUGUUUGUUAAAAUGGAAAUGGAGCAUCUGAUUACACCUAACUUUUAUCUCUUCUCACCCAACAAACUCUUUUUACUCUACAAGAUUUUAAAAACUUAACAUCUACUCUCCGCACUCACCUAAUCUUCCAAAAUUACCCCUUCCAAAUCCUUCUCUAUCUUACACAAUAUAUCUUCUCAUCCAACAACACCCCUAGCUAAUCCUUCUCUUUCUUUCUGUUUUUUUUUUUUUGUCAUAAGGUAAAUAUUUAUUAGCAACAUAACUUACAUAUAGGACUGGAGGCCUAAACACACAAAAAAUAUAAAGCAACUGAUGAGCCUCCAAAACUAGGGGUGGGCACUUGGAACCGAAAACCGAAACCGAAACAUGAAUCGAAUCAAACCGCACCAAACGGUUUGGUUUUGCGGUUUUGAAACGGUUUCGGUUUCAAAACCGAACCGCGGCACACAAAACGGUUUGGUUUCGGUUUUGGGUUUUCAAAACCGCACCGAAACCGAAACCAAACCGAAACCGCACUUUUUUUUUUAUUUAGUUCAUUAUUCAACUAGGUUAUACAGAACACUUAAACAUUUGGUUUUGCGCCGCCAGAACUUCUGGGUUUGCACCGACACCGAGUGGGUUUGCGACUGCGUCUGCGCCUCCUUGCAUCUCCGCAUCUGCUUUGCGACCUGGUCACCUGCGAGCGACUGCUUCUGCAUGUGCUUCUGCCUGCCUGCAUCUACCUCUGCGAGCGACUGCUUCUGCCUGCAUCUACCUCUGCGAGCGACUGCCUGACUGAUUUCAUCUCUGCUUUGUUGUUGUAUGUUGCUGUUGUAUUUAUCAGAAAUUUCUCAUCAGAAUGAUGUAUUUAAGUAGCAAUCAUGAACUCUGUUUAGUGUAUCCUUGCUCACAUUACCCUUGCUAAAAUCCGGUUCUUGGUGGGAUGAGAAGUUAUGGGAACAAUUCCAUCACUUCUCUGACUCUGUAUAUCUGCCAUCUGCAUAAGAAAAUUUAUGGUAUUCUUGCAUGAUUUCACAUGUGGAAUAGCUUCUUUGAGAAGAGAUUAUGUAAUAUGUCUUGGGGUUUAAUUAUUUAAGUGGUAAAAGCAAGGUGUGGGUUUCUAUAGUUCUGCUCUAGCUAGCAAAAUGAACAAUCGGUCACCCAAAUUUUUACGUUAUGACAUAUAAGUUCAUAGUUUUUGCAUUGCCUGAAGUUGUUUAACUGCCAUCGGUUUGAUUUGUUUUCUCUUGUUUAUUUCUCAUGCAAAUUUAUUUGUUUGUUGAUGUUUAUCCUCUUGAUUUGAAGAAUUCUUUGUCUCCCCGCGUUGUAGGACUAUCGUUUUACACCAAGUUGAGAAGGGGUUAUCUGAAGCGUUCUCUCAGUAUGGACAAGUGAUAGAAGGUGAUUUGCAUUCAAAUGCAAGAAUACUGAGGCAACUAUCUCUAAACUGAUUAUAUUCUGUCAUCUUGUUCUUAAACCUUAUUUAUUUUUGGCAGCCCAAAUUGUAUCGGACAGAGUCUCAGAAAGAUCGAAAGGAUUUGGAUUCGUGACCUUUGCUUCAGAAGAUGAAGCCCACAAAGCCUUGGAGAAGAUGAAUGGCAAGGUAAUUCCUUGUUUUCUGUUUUCGUUAAUCCAUUUGAAUCUUGCCAUAUUAAAUAACUCCAAAAUGACAUAUUCAAAACACUCACAGCCACUGAAUGGACGCGUUAUUUUUGUGGACUAUGCAAAGCCGAGAACCAAUUAUGGCAGUGUAAUUUUUGCUGCAGUUUAGCUGCUGUUUUUUGUGCAGUUUUGUGCAGUUUUUUGCUGCAGGUUUGGUACAGUUCUUGGUCUUGUUUUGUUGCAGGUUUGGUGCAGUUUUUGGUGCAAUUUUGGUGCAUAUUCAUUAAUUAAUAUACAAGGAAAAUAAGACCAUCUUAUACAUAAAUAUGUGUAUAUUUUAAAUUGUACAUUUUUUCCUCAAAAACCAAACCGAAACCGUUUGAAAUCGCACCGAACCGAACCAAACGGUUUGGUUUCAUUUCGGUUUUGGCUUCAAAACCGCACCGCACCGCACCGCAAAAAGUUUCGAUUUCGGUUGUGGUUUCACUCGAAACCGCACCAAACCGCACCGCGCCCACCCCUAUCCAAAACAACAACAAAAGAAAAGCUCAACUCAAAAGUUGAGCCCAAUACAGAAAAAAGAAACAAAUUUCAUCGUCCUUGAACAACCUCUCCACAUAACUUCAAAUCGCAACUGCCCAGAGAGAAAGGAAAGAAAAGAAACAAAUUUCAUCAUUGUCGAGCAACCUCCCUGCCAUCCCUCUCUAUCGUACACAAUAUAUCUUCUCAUCCAACAAUCAACAUAGGGCUGCUUAACCCACUUUCCUCCAUCAAUAUGCAGUUCUUCAUCAAGCUAUGCACACUCUUUUGAGAAUUCAACUUAAUUAUAAGGAAUAUGAAACCAGCAGCUCUUUGCAACUACUUGUGAAUUAUGUCUUUAUUUGCGUUCAUUUAAGUUGGUGGUUAGCCAUCAAAUUGUUCUUCCCCAUCAAUUUUUAGAAGAAAUCAAACCAAACUAGACUCUAGUGUUCAUGUAUUCAUUGGAGUUGAAUAUAACAAUACGUAAAAUUCCAUCACUAAGAAGCCAAAUUGUAUCAAGACUUUGUAACAGGAGCACGAAGGUCAGGAGUUGACUUGGAGGAGAAGAUCGCAAUCAGGUUCGGGUAUCACUGGUUAACCGAACCCCUAUUCCAUGUUCAUGGCUAUCGGCUAAUCCUCAACUCUUAUGUGCGGUGCUUAACUUCCAUAAAAUUAAUCAACAAUAUAUGGAGCAGUUUAAUCACUUAAAAGCAUAUGCAAUGUCCUCUUUUAUCCGAUGUGAAAUUCAUACUCCCAGUACGCACCUUCACAUGUGAUCAAUUUUCAAGCUUAGCAUGUGAACAACACAAACCAAGUGGCGUGGAUCGCGUGCUAGUAUUGAGUUUCACACAUGAGACAAUCUUCUCUGAUACCAUGACGAAGGAUGAGGUUCCAUCGCCACUUAGUACUACAAUAUAGUGGUAUUCCUCUUCACUUGUAAGUAAGGAUUCUUAGGUUCAAUUCUCGCCAAAGGCGAAUUUGAUACAUAUUAUUACUAGCCUAUUGUGAUGCUAAGCCCAUCCCCUUUCUCUUAGUGUAGAUAAUGUCGUUUUGUUCAAAAAAAAAAAGUAAUUGAGGUUCCAUCAUAAAACUAAUUGAUAAUAUGAGGAGUAACUUAAUUACUUAUAUGCAUGUACAAAGUCGUUCACUUACCUAAUAUGAGAUCCAUACUCUCAACAUGUCACUGUUAAGAAAAUAUGUACAAAAACAAAAUGGAACAAAUAAUUCGAUCACUUGACAAAAUAGAACUCACUCAAGACAAUAUUAUGUUUGUUCAAGAUAGGACUCACUAAAGACAAUAUUAUGUUUGUUAAAGAUAGGACUCACUAAAGACAAUAUUAUGUUUGUUAAAGAUAGGACUCACUAAAGACAAUAUUAUGUUUGUUACAAGGGAAAUGGAGCUUCUGAUUACCCCCAACUUUUAUUUCUUCUCACCCAGCUGACUCUUUUUACUGAACAAGAUUUUAAAAACUUAACAUCUACUCUCCGCACUCACCAAAUCUUCCAAAAUUACCCCUUCCUAAUCCUUCUGUCUUUUUGUUUUUUUUUUUGUCAUAAAGUAAAUUGUUAUUACCAACAUAACUUACAUAUAGGACUGGAGGCCCAAACACACAAAAGAUACAAAGCAACAGAUGAGCCUCCAAAACAACAACAAAAGAAAACCCUAACUCGAAAGUUCAAUCCAAUACAGAAAAACACACAAGAAAACCCUAAACUCCUAGAUCCUCUUCCUCCGCCAAAGUGCUUGUCGCCACCGAUGAUUCAGUCCCCUUGCAAAUCGCCAGAGAUAAGAACCAGCCAAGCUCUGAAACAGAAAAAAUAAACAAAUUUCAUCAUCCUCAAGCAACCUCCACACAACUUCAUAUUGCAACCACCAAGAGAAUGAAUGGAAAGAAAAGAAACAAAGUUCAUCGUCCUCGAGCAACCUCCCCACAAUCCUUCUCUAUCUUACACGAUAUAUCUUCUCAUCCAAUAACCUCCCCUUCAAUAUGGGGCUACCUAACCCACAAUAUAUGGUUCUUCAUCAAGCUAUGCACACUCUUUUGAGAAUUCAACUUAAUUAUAAGGAAUAUGGAACCAGCAGCUCUUUGCAACUACUUGUGAUAUGUCUUUAUUUGCGUUCAUUUAAGUUGGUGGUUAGCCAUCAAAUUGUUCUUCCCUAUAGAUUUUUAGAAGAAAUCAACUAGACUCGAGUGUUCAUGUAUUCAUUGGAGUUGAAUAUAACAAUACGUAAAAUUCCAUCACUAAGAAGCCAAAUUGUAUCAACACUUUGUAACAGCAACACGAAGGUCAAGAGUCCACUUGGAGGAGAAGAUCAUGAGCGGGUUUGGCUACCACUGGUUAACCGAACCGCCGAUUCCAUGUUCAUGGCUAUCGGCUAAUCCUCAACUCUUAUGUUCGGUGCUUAACUUCCGAACAUUGAACUUUUUGUCAAAUUUUGUGUUCAGCAUGUUCAAAUACAUGAUCCUAUCUAGUUGUAUUUUAUUUAAGAAAAUAGAAACAAACCCAAGAGGAUUUCAGAAAAAAGUGACGGCUUAGGGCAGAACAUUGCAGCUCAAACCUCACUUAUAUACUUCAAUGAUUUAGGGUUUUGGUCACAAUACUACCUUACAUCUCAUUUAAAUUAGCUAGCUAACAAAAGCCUUCAAGAUCCCAAUUGUUCUAGGCUAAUCUAAACCUCACACCAAAGCAAACCUAUCUCAGCCCUACACUUGUAAUUUUGGACUGAGUCAACAUAUUGGCCGUUACAAAUUUAGAAAAAACUAAGCCAUUACUUUUGUUUAAUACAAAAAAUUGGAAGCUAGAAAUCAGUUUAGGCAUCAACACUCUCCUUCAAAUUGUUUCUAGUUUUGACACCAAGCAAUUCCAUGAGGUAUACAAAACUCUCUUUUAGCGUAGCCUUAGUAAAUAUAUCAACAGUUUGAUCCUCAUAUUUGCAAUAGAGUAAUUCAAUCACAUUAUCUGAAGUACAAAGGAUCUCUAAUAACGUGAUGGUUCCUCUUGACUUGUUUUGUUUUUUAAUGAGUCAGAGGAUAUUUUGUCAUAGCAAUUACAAAUGUGUUGUUAAAUUUUAGUGAUAUAGCAUCUACUUUGAAAAUGUAGCUGGGUCGAGGAACCUAAACCCAAUAGAUAAACAAUCUCAACUAAAAUUCCAGAUGAGGAUUCAAGUAUGAUUUCAAUCAUACUACUUAACAGUGAAGAACAAAAUGAAAUAGAAAAAAAGAACAAAAAACUCACGAUAUACUUUUAUGUGGUAAAACCCCACACACAAUGGGGAAAAUUCACGGGCACGCAACCAAUUAAAGAACCACUGAGAAAUAAGAACUUUUACAAGACUCAACAAGACAAACAUCUACUACACUUGAAGUUUUCUCUUGUAUUUUUAAUCUUGUAGCACAUAGUCCUUCUUUUGCUCUCUUUUGCUCUCUUUUGGAUGAACACGACGCACUCAGUAGGUUCUCCUCACGACUAAAGAGAUUGCACUCAACUUCCUCACAUAGAUGGACACAACUUGUUCACACAAAUGAAUAUGAUGAAUAAUAUGAAAGGGUGUUUCACUAAGAUCACUCUUCUAACCUAGCACUCAAGAACUUUGCUUUAAACCUUUUAUGCUCAAAUCUUAUAACCAAGCAAAGAUGAAUGAUAGGCUUGAUUUCCUAUGAACCAACAGCCUAGAAUAAAGGAAACUGGAAUUAUGUACUAGAAUACAAUCAAAUUGGUUUUAUUUCUUAAGAUUAGGCAAUUAAACUGAUCUUAUAAUCUUCAAGAUAUGCAAUGAUGUGAUUCUCGUUUCCUAUAUGAAUGCACAUGAUACUCCAAUAUAUGCCUUGAUGUGCACGUUUUCAGUCAUUAAACCUAGAAACUAUGACACGCCUAAAAUCUAGAACUAAUAUAUUACAGACGCAUUAAACUUGUCUAGGAAAUUAGCCAAAUACAAAAGCUUGCGCUUUCACACUUGCAUUCAAUAAAGAUAAAGUCCUUAACAACAAACCUCAGCCAAAUUGCUUGAAAAGUAGCCUCUAGCACCAAGGAAGAACAGCACUUCGAAAAAAGUCGUCUUUGACUUUAGGCUUAAUCAAGGGUUGUAAUUCCUUUAAUUCUAAUGGUGAAAUUGGGUUAAGAUAAAAAUAUAAAACAAAAAAUAAUAACAAAUGAUAUUAACUACACUAAGACCAUCUCCAACCCGUGGGCUAAAACCUAAAAUUUUUAGCCCAUAAAAUUUAGGUUUUAGUCCAGAACAGUUUUUCUGCUCCAACCCAUCUAGCCUAAAAUUUUAGCCCCAGAUUAUUAAAAAAUGAAGGCUAAUUUUUUUCUUAAAUUAACUUAAAAAUAAUAAUAAAUUAUGUAGACUAUCAUAAACUAAUUUUGUGAACAUUUUAAUCUAAAAAUAUUUAAAUUCCGAUAAAUAUUGAAAAAUCACUAAAUCGAUACAUGAAACUAAUGAAAUACUAUGGAAGAAUAUGAAAAUCAUGAUAGAGAUGUAUAAACACAAAAUACAUGAAAAACACAAGACACACAAAACACAUGUGAAGCACAUACAAAACACAUGUGAAGGACAUACAAAACACAUGAUAGAGAUGAAGCACACACAGAACACAUGUGAAACACAUCACACACUAAACACAUACCAAAUACAUACAAAACACAUGAAACGCAUGAAACACAAACCUACACACAUGAAACUGAAACCUUCAAUCAUCCUCUAUAUAAACACAGGUUGAAUAUCAAACCAUCACACAACAUAUUCACCAAGCAAGCCUUGACAAUGCAGAUGCAGAAAUGAUCAACGCAGAAGCCGAAUUUGCAAACUCGUUUAUGCAAUAUGAGCACCAUGCCGAAUCUAGCUAUCGUGGUUCUGUCACGGAGGGUUCAUUUGUGCAGCGUGAUAGAGAAGAGUGCCAUGACCGAAUGAUGAAAGAUUAUUUCAUCGAGUGUCCGAGAUAUCCUGCUCAUGAUUUUCAGAGGUGGUUUCGGAUGAGGAGAGAACUUUUUGAAAGCAUCUUGAACGCAGUUGUCAAUCAUGACCACUACUUUGCAAGGAAGAUAGAUGUCGUAGGCCGACAAAGUCUAUCACCUCAUCAGAAGCUCACAUCUGCAUUUCGGAUGCAAGCUAAUGGGUGCUCUGUAGACUCAACUGACAAGAAUUGCUGACUUGCGGAGACUACUACUAUUGACAACCUGAAGCACUUCUGUAAGGCAAUUGAAGCCAUAUAUGGAGCCACAUACCUCCGUAAGCCAUUUCGUGAAGAUUUGAAUAUGCUUCUACGCAAGGCAGACAAUAGAGGCUUCCAUGGCAUGAUAGGAAGUCUCGAUUAUAUGUAUUGGGAGUGGAAGAAUUGUCCUACUGCUUGGGCUAGCCAAUUCAAAAGUCGUCAUAAGAAGCCAACCAUCGUGCUUGAGGCUGUGGAGUCUUACGACACAUGGAUUUGGCAUGUAUUCUUCAACGCUCUUGGAUUAAACAAUGAUAUCAACGUUCUUUGGUCUUCUCUUAUGUUCGAUGAUGUUGUCAAUAGAUAGGCACCAAAAUGAAGGUACAAGGUAAAUGGUAAUAGGUAUGAGCUAGGUUACUACCUAACUGAUCGUAUAUCCUAGUUGGUCUACCUUUGUCAAAAGUUAUUCUCAUCCCGAUAGUGUGAAGAAGAAAUUAUUUUCGCAGAGGCAAGAGUCUUACAAGAAGGAUGUGGAAAGAGCAUUUGGGAUCCUACAAGCUCGAUGGGCCAUUGUUAGAGAGGCUGCACCAUUAUGGCAUACCGAAGACCUCCAUUCAAUCAUGAUAAUGUGCAUAAUUUUGCACAACAUGAUUGUGGAAGACGAGUAUAUCGAAAUUGAAGAAGAUUCUGACGAAGAUGUGGAUGAUGACUAACCAACACAUGCGAGAGUUAUGGCAAGAGAUGUUGAAUAUCUCGCUGCAACCACAUAUGAGACCCAACAGGAUGGGGUCACAUUAAGUGAGUAUAUGAGACGUUUAAAUAGAAUUCAAGCUCCUCAAGGUCAUGACACACUCCGCAAGGAUUUGGUUAAGCAUAUAUGGCGCCGAGAAGGUGAACGUUGAUGAUGUUGGUGUAUUAAUGUGUUCUUGUGUUAAAUUUAAGUGUGCUAUGUUGUUAUUUUAUGUAAUAAUUUUAAGUGUACUAUGUUGGUAUUUUCUAGUAAUAAAUUGAAGUGUCUUCUUGUGCAAAGUCUUUUGUCUAGUACAUUGUAAAAAUUAUUGAAUGCCAUUUGAAUUAUUGAAGGCAUCUAUUGCACAUCAAAGUGUGCAAUAAUAAGUACAAUAAUUAUUGAAGGUGUCUAGAUUAAUAGAAAUAAUAAUUAAUAAGCCAUAAAUUUAAUACACAUGACAAUUAAUAAACUACAUAAACUUAAUACAAACGACAAUUCAUAAACCACAUAAACUUAAUACAAUCGAUAAUUCAUAAACUACAUAAACUUAAUAAUGAUGUCCACCAUCUUGACUUGGUGGUGGACUUGGGAUAUAGCCUUGAGAUGAAUUAUCAUCUUGAAAUGUACUCCUUGUGGCAUACUUUCACAAAAUUUCAUUUUGCUUACCAUGUAAGAACUUCUUCCUCUUUGGAGUGUAUUUGUUGAGGUCCUCCAUCAUGAAAUUAAUUUCGAACCUCUCUUGCUCCCUAUCCCCUUCUUCCUUCAUGGCCAAACACAUUUGGGCCGCUUCUUCUUGCCGUGAGCUAUGGCUUUCACUCAAUCUUGCAAAUCCGGUAGCAAUGUGUGCACUCAUCAAAUCUUGGGACUUCCCUUUUCUCUUUGCUUCCUUUUGCUUAUCUCUUCCCGGGGGCCUUGCAAAAGAAGAAGUUGGGGUCAAUUCAUGGACACUUUCAUUGACACCUUCAUCUCCAUCAUUUGUCGGUGCAGUUUCACGUUGAAAUAAUCUUCCUCAUUGUUGGUCCGCAUCGGUUCCCCACCUCGAACAAUCCUUGAGGACGUCCCAAGCAUGAUGCAACUUAAAUGGUUGAUUUUUUGGUGUUACUCUUGUCUUGUAAAUUUCCAUUGUUUUGUCACCCUAUGCAAAAAAUACAUAAAAACAAUUAGUUGCAAAAUAAUAUUAGGUACAUGACAAAUAAAAUAUCAACAAAAAAACUCACAAUUUCUAUGGCUCUCCUUCCACUAGCCUUGCCAACCACGGUUCUCUGCAAGCUUCCCUUCCAUAGAGUGCAUGUUUUGUUGAUAACCUUCUACCGAUCGUAAACACCACCACCUUCCCUCCUGCCGCCGUUGCAAUUUACAUGGAACUUAUCAAUGAUUUUAUCCCACAAAACCUUUUUAUUUUGAUUAGUGCCAACUACACCAUCUUCGCUAAUAGAAACGCAUGCCAAGCACAAAACAACAUCUUCCUCACAAGCCCAAUUACAACCUCUAAUAUGCUCGCUUGCCAUCUUGAAAAAUUUGGAAAUGGGAGAAAUGGUAGAAAGAAAAAUUUGAAGAAUUGUAGGAGAAACGUGAGUUUUGUGUGGAUGUUUGAACAAAUACAUAUGUAUUUAUAGAGUUUUUUGGUGAAUUUUGAGUUAAAUAUAUUUUUUAAUUAUUUUAGCCUUUGGAUUUAAAUUUCAACUGUUAGAUCUUUUUUUUUUUACCGUUAGAUUUGAUUAUAUUCGAUCUAAGCCGUUGGAUUCAAUAAAUAUAUAAGUAUAAAACUAAAAAAAAGGUUUGAAUCUAGGCUGUUGGAUCAACCAACGGCCUAUUGAUUCCGUCCGUCCGAUCAAAAGAGUCAUUGGCUCGCCUAGGAAACGUGGCCGACAUGCCCACGUGGGUGGGGCCCAGUCAGUUUGAGCUCUUAUGCGUCGCGCGCGUCUGUCAAGUGGGUGGGGGGAGUUUGGCACACAAUCACUCGGUUUCAGUCACACCGGUGGGGCCCACAUCGAAUUUUGGGCUAUUUUCUGGGUGGAAUUUGGCUUUUAGCUUUUAGCCCUCAAAUUUAGCUUGGGUUGGGUUGGGUUGGGUUGGGUUUGGGGGGGGAAUAAAACCAAAAAUUUGACUUUUAGCCCAGGGUUGGGUUUGGUCUAAGGGGAGAGGGUGGAAUGUAAUGAUUAACAUAAUGAUUAACAGAUUAAUUUUGUUGGAAUGUUUACAUUUUUGCAAUUGAUUUACAAUUGAGUUGUAAGGAAAAACAUUCACUAUUCUUCCAAGAAGAUGCCAAAUUCAGAUUCAUAAUUUGAAUUGAGAGCCCCAAUGCAAAGUGUGAGGAGACGGUGGCUAUCAACAAUAGAGGAAGCAGAGAGGGAGUCGGAGAAUGGAUCUUGCCUUCCUCGUUGCGGUAUUUCAAAAUACAGUCUUGUGUAGGCGUUUGUUUCCUCUCAUCUACAUGGCAAAUUAUUGAUCCUCACAAAGGUGCACAACAAUGUAUUCCUAGUUGAUCCUUUCCAUUAUUUUAUUUUGUUUAAUGCUUCAACGUGUAAUAGGUUUUAAUCUUCCAUAUGAAUCGCUUAACAGUCGUUGGUAACAUAGAACCAGUCCUUUCCUCUCUUGACCAGUCAUUAGCUAGUAUAUCGUUUAAUUUCUAGGGCAAUGAGUAGGAAUGAUCACUUUUUGACAUUUGGUUGCAGAAAUGAUCAGGUGUCGUUAUGUCAUCAUUGUGUGGUCAAUAUGUGAUCAAUCCGUCGCCGGUAUUAAAAAAUGAUCAUUUCUACAACCAAAUGUCAAAAAGUGAUUUUUCCUGCUAAUAGCCCUAAUUUCUAUUUACCAAAUAAAAGAAUAGUACUAUUAGUCGGACUCGAGUAUUGCAAGUGUACAAUCAAAGGUCAAAAGUAGUACGUCAUAACCUGCUACACUGAAACAUUAUUUUAGAGACGAUCUCCUCUUAAAGAUAGUGUCUAAAUUGCCUCAACUUACAAUGUUGUUCUCAUUAAACAUCGGCAGAGAGCAAUUUCUACACCCUCAAAGAUAAGUAUUCAAUAUAUUGUUGAUUUCAUUUAAUCGAUUGUGGCAAUGAAAAUUCUCAUUAACUGUAUUUAUCUUUUGUGAAUUGUUGUAGAAGAAGUAGCAUAAACGUCGCUAAAGUUUUCAAUAACAAACACCACUUGUAAAACAUCCCUUUCUAAAUGAAAUAACGAAAGCUCAAUAGGAUGGCUAGUUGAACACUUCGUAACGCUACCAAUACAUAUGCUUCUACGUGAAAAGGACUAGCAGUACCCCUCUGAAGAGUAGCAACCAUAACAAGACAGGUCCCUUCCCCAUCCCUAACCAUCCUAAUGCCACCAUUACCACUGCACUCGCAAAAAGCAUAAUACAAAAUAAUAUUCACCCAACUGUGACCUAGAGGACUCCCACCAUUGAUGCUGCACUGGCUGCUUACCUCGACUACCGGUUACACAUGUUGUCCUUGCCACAGAAUACUAGUCCUCGACUACCACAAAGACCAUAUGAGCAUCAUGAAGGAGAGCAAACUACUCCUUGGACAUGUCAAUCGCGAUUGGAAUAGCCUUUCUUUAAGGCUACGAGAUCGCAACAAACUUUUCUAAAAUGACAAGUGACUAACAAACACAUGGAACUUUUUACGUAGAGCCUCGAUGGGCAUGUACAUGCCCUGUUUUUCCUCAGUCUGUUUACUUGCUUGAAAUUUCAUAUGCAAAAAUUGCUUUGCUUCCCUCUUUUCAUUUUGGAUUUGACGGCUUGGCUACAUGGACUUUUUUUUUCUUUGGGCAUGUGACAUUCUUGUUGUUCAAUUUUGUGUGAACAUUGUAAUUUACUUUACUAUGUUUCCGGUUUGGUAGGUCCCUUAAGAGUGUGUUUGGUUGCCAUCACUAGCCUUCACUAGAUUAGGCUGUGCUAAAACUUAGAGCAAUACCGUGUUUAUUACGCAGCAAGACAAUAUUUAGUGGGACUAGUCGGGACUCGCCUCGACAAAGGACAUCGCUAGACGGUCUUAGCGAGUCCCAUCGAAAAGCAUGGGAUUGCUAAGACCUUCACUGCUUCACUUCGGGUGGUGUAUUCAAUAGAGAAUUGGAGAGACUUUAAUGGAUUUAUAAAUUCAUGAAUUUUUAUUGAGUUUAAUUGAUUUGUAGAGAUUUCAUAUAAAAUUUUGAUUCAAUUCCCUCAAAAUCUCAUGAAAAGAUGUGAGAUUUGUGAAUGCUUAAAAUAUACUAUGAAAUCUCUCAAAUUUCCUCUAAUUCCUCAACUUUUUCAAAUUCUUUAAAAUCAAUUUCUAAUUGAAUACACAUGAAAUGUUAUAAACUUCUUUAAAAUUCUAAUUGAAUAAAUCCGAAUUUCUAAGAAUUUUAAUAAACUAUCUUAAAAUUUUAAUUACAUACACCUUAAAUUUAAGAAAAAAUCACUUAAAAUCCUGAUUGAAUAUGUCUUGAUUCAUUAAAAAAAUUAUAAUCCUCAAAAUCUCAAUUAAAUACACCCCUUCAUCUGCUGUUCUUCGUCCGCUUCUCUCUCCCUUGCCCUAACUAUCUGCUUCUAUCUCUCCCUCCAUUCAUCAUGCCGGUCGAGAUCGGCGUCCCUCUCAAUUGCUUCCCGGAAGCCAGAGCCGUCGAGCACGUUCGAGUCUUGGCCCAAGACAUCGACGACCGCCAGGUGAGCUCACUUUUCAUUGCCCUCACUGCAUUUUUCUCCCUUUUUUGUCCAAAUUGAAAGAAAACAAUUGGGAUUUUUCGCUGGGUUUGAUUUGAAUUCCAUUGUAAUUUCUAUUGGAGAGAUUGGGUACAAUGUUUUGUUUUGGGUUGAGGUACUUUCGCAAUUUCCUAAUUUGUUGAGAGGAAGGGCAUCCUGGUUUGACGGAGGUUGCUCGAUACAUUACAGGGCAAUUGGAAAUGAUAAAGUUGAUCUUCCAUUGAUUCAUUACUUGGUGUAUUCUGUAUUUUGAUUGCAUGUGUUUGUUUGUGCAUUGGGUUUUGUCCGUUCGGUUAAUUGUGUUGUUUUUGCUUCAAAUAUUGAUGGAUUUCUGACCGAUAUUGUUAUAUUUGGGUCUUUUUACACCCGGUGUUGGUUGUAUGCUUGUGAUAAUAUGCUUUGUGUGCGGCUAGUCCGGCAUUGCACCAAACGUUUCAUAAUUCUAGUACUGUAGUCUAAGCCAAGCCAAUCCAUCUUAGUCCCUGAAGUUAAUCCAGUCCGAGAUAGUCGGUGCAACAAACGCACCCUUAAGCUCUACUUGAACCAGUAAAACCUGCUUGGUGAUGUGAGCACAAAAUACCUAUUAAUCAGAUAAGCAAACCCAAUUUUAACUUGCAAGCGCACAAGACCAAUAGUAUUAUAAUAAGAGCAAGUAUGAAGUCGUUCCCACGAAUAUUGAACUUUACAUUAAUUUGAAUCUCAACUCAAUUCAAAUUCAACAAACUUUUAACACAAAUAGGGCCGAAAAUUUUACCAAGAAUGAACGCGCCAAGGAGAUCUCAAAACCCUAAAUUACAAGUGGGUGGGAAGAAUAUUUGAGUGCUUGUAAUUGUUUCUCCAUAUGCUUCUACAGUAAGCAAGGCUUCUAUCAUUGUCUGUGAUUAGUUUACUUUUGUGUUCUCAACCGCAUAUAUAUCACUUUGCACUUAAUGGUUUGAGGAAAUUAAGGCUCAAGACUUACUGACAUUUUCAUGAUUCUUUAAGAAAUCCAUUGAAAUCUUACUAAAUUGUCUAACAAAUGAGCAAUUUGAUUCUUAAGUGUUGGAGGAAAGAUUAGCAGUUUUAAAUUAUACUGCAGAAAGGAAGAAUACAAGAGAAUAUAUAUGGAGGAUGAGUUUCGAAUGGGGACUGAAAUUUACUUAACUUUAUUGCUUUCAGUUUUUUAUUACAACACUAGGCCAUCUUAAUGGCUAUUUAUAAUAACAUUCGGAUCUUUUGAUAGCAGCCAUCACUCUUGGAUUAGUUCCGAGAGACACAACUCUACAUUACAGAAAGUGCAUUGCGUUUAACACUUACAUCAUUGACUUGAUCCUAGUUGAUCUAAGGUUGUUACAUAUAUCCUCCUUAGGUUCCUGAGUAAUCCUCUCUAGUUCCUGUUGAAAUCUCUCCAUGGCCGAGAAUGGCAAGCACAUUGGUACCAAUAUUCCAUCCUCAGUGUUGUUUUUGUGUUGACUGUAGAAGCUAAUCAAAUCCAAAGCCUUGGCCGGUCCAGCAAAUACCGGUUGUCCCCAUCCAAAAUUGACAUCUCCAAAACCUGCACGCGUUGUAUCGGAAACUAUUAAAUAACUUCAUGUCGAUGAAUAUUGAGGUCGCCCUCUUAGUACCAAAAGAUCUGCCACUGAUCUUAAGUAUUCUUCAUUCAUGGUAGCUUUAGCCUUCUUCACCAACUCCAAAGCAUAUCCCAGUGGAUUUUUGCAUAGAGGUUCAGCCUUUGAAACUGCAGCGGGAAAUGCAAAUGCAUUGCCAUAGUAUCCCAAGGGAAGACGUACAUUGUGGUGCUUUCCCCGUGCAUUGACAACGCAUGAAACGCGAACAACCUGUUUUGGAUUAAUUUUAAGUGCAAGAGUGCGACAUUUCCACAAACAAGCUAUGAUCAAGUCAAACGUGGAGCAAGUGGAAAUUAGUUGGGGUGGAAUCUGUUUUCGAGGGACUCUCAUCUCCUUGGCACCAAAGUAGAAAGAUCGUUGAAGCAUGUUUGACUGGUUACUGGAUGCGUAUGAGCCAUCAGAAUGAUCAAUCACUUCUUCAUAUUCAUGAUGAGCACAUGUAAUUCUUGGUGGAUCUCGAGCGAACUGGAGCUCUCUCUCCCACACUAGUAGAAUAGAUGGUGCAUGUGCGCCUCUUGCCAUCUUCGCAACGGCGGUCAGGAACUGGAGAAAUCCAGGUGCAUCACACAUUGUGUGGUUUAGGCGCAAUGCAAGUAUGAGACCUCCACAUGUAAGACAGGUCACCUACAUAUUGCAAAAGUUAGUUACAAGACUUUUUUCUUGAUCAUCAUAUUCUUGCUAGUUAACAAUUCUUUAGAGGAAAAGACAAAAGAAACCCAUCUAAAUUAUAUGAUCUAAUUAGGAAACAAAAAUUUCAUAAAAAUUAGAGUCUCUUUGAAAUAGUCUUGUGCCUGUUGUAGCUACUUGAAAGUCUUUAAAAACAGGGGAAUUUAGACAAAACGCUUAUAGAAGAUAGAAAAAUUUAGACAGAAGACAAAGAAGACGACAUGACGACAGGCAAGAAGAAGAACGACAUAGGAAAACCUAGACACUAAAGGUGACGUGAGACUGGUGGAAAACCUAGGACCUAAUUAGGCAGAUACCAUGUAGAAAUAUAAUUUCCUCGAUUCGGUGUGUAAACAUAAGGACUGUCAAAGAAAAAUUAGUUUAAAAAAAUAAUGGAGAGCAUCUCAUAAUCUUUUCUUUCCAAAACCACCUAAUGAUUUUUUUUUAAUCAUAGGAACAAAGAGGUGUGGUAGUAUUGUAGAUAAGUUCAAGUUUGGGUGUGGUGGCAGUAUGAUAAAUUUUCAUUUAUGAAAAGGGUUGCCAAUUUUAUGAAAAUGUUAAAAAUAGUUGCGGUGCCACCAAACUUCAACUUAUUUACAAUAUUGUUAGCGUUUUCUUGUUUAUGUCCUUAUUUAUCAUUAAAAAUUUCAUAUGUUGUUGAUUGCACUAAUUUCUUACAAAAAAACUCCGGCGUAUGUAACUCAAAAAACACUACUCCUACCCUUAACUUACUUCAAUUUUUUUGUAAAGAAUUAAUGGCAAUGACCAAAUAUGAAUACCAAAAACUAAUUAAUAUGUCAUUAAUAAUUAAUUGACUCACCUGAACCAGCAGCAAAGGACAACCAAUAAUUCCAUCAGAGCCUGGGAAAUUAAAUAAGAACUCCUCUAAGAGUGAAAUUUUGUCUCCUAGUUGCUCAAGUGUGACAUCAGCAGAAGCCUUGACAAACAAGAUACCUUCACCAUUGCAAUCGACCAUGAGUUUUCUGUUAGGCCUUUCCCUAAGCCUGCCAGCUAAAGGAUAGUAAUACACUAAUGCUCUACUUAAGGCUUCCCUAAUCACCUUAAUGGGAUUACGACUUUCAUUAAGUGAAGGGCUGUUUUUGUAACACAUUAUGACUGAAACUUGAAACCUCAAGCUUUCUUUGUCAUCAAUAUCUGAGAGAAACUUUGUUUCUCGAGGCGUUGGCUUUGCCGGAGUUAUAAGUUCUGGUUGCAUUCGUUUCACCUGAAGUACUGAGGAUGGCAUCAUUUCAGUAACGAGCUUAAGAACCAGCAAAAGAUCAAAGGAUUUUGAACUUUUUUUUUGCCGCAGGCAUGCUAGUUAAAAGUUGAUACGGUCAGUACUUAAUGGCGUUAUGCAGAUGCUCUAGGGUUCCCCAAUCUUUCGUCCAAGUUUCUACCCCAGUCGAGAUUCUUAUCUUUUCCAUUAAAUAUGUGGUUAGAAAGAAACGUGUAAAUGAUCUUGCAAUCAACUUGCUGUGCAAACAAAAAAUGUUGUCCCGAGCCAUGAGCAUGGGACCAUUUCCAUUUCACACCACAGAUUCGUAGAUCUACAUUGAUACUGAAUUUCAUUUCAACGUCAGAAAAUUGAAUACAACCAGGGAUACGAGGACCGGUGUUUGGUAAAAAAACCUUUGACAGAAAUCAAAGGAAAAAGGCCUACAUUUUAUCUGCCUCACGUUACAGCUGUCACAGUUCUAAAACAUCAGAUUCGUACAUAUAUAUAUUAAUACUGAAUUUCAUUUCAACCUCAAAAAACUGAAUACUAACAGGGAUAUGAGGACAGGUUCGGUAAAAUACCUUUGAUAGGAAUGGAAGGAAAAAGGCCAACGUCGUACGUACCUGCCCCAAUGACAGUUGUCACUGUUGUACAACAUCGAUCAGACGUCUGCUAUACUGGAAAAUGUUGUUGUUUUAUAAUGACUGGCAUAUUAGCACGGAAGAAUAAGGUCAUCUCCAAUCGAUCCGAUCAGAGGGUCAAAAAUAACCCGAAAUGACAUGAAAACUGUCUUCAACUUAGGGCUAGGCCAAAGAGCUCGUGGGCUCCAUCGGGCCAAAAAAGAGGAAUUAGGCCAAUCGGUUAGCCCAAAUGAGCCAACCAGCUAGCCCCGGGCCAUACACAGAAUGGCUUGCAAGCGGAAGGCGAAGGCCAUGACUCAGGAGGUAGCCGCGGCUAAUGAUGACAGAGAGGAAGCGAGGUUUCUUGGGAAAAAGCUUUUUCCCAACUUCAUCAAAUUUCAGGCUCUAAUUGAAAAUUUCGACCUCUGAUCAAAUCGAAAUUCGAAAUUUAGGGCUUGGAUUGGUGAAAUGGCGAUGCUUUUGGAGGAUAUUCUGAAGUCGGUGGAGCUCUGGUUAAAGAUGAUCAAGAAGCCCCAGCCUUACAUGGACCCAAAUCUCGACCCCGUUCUGCUAGUUUCGGGCAUCGCCGGUUCGGUCUUGAAUGUCGUCAAUGAAGAGAGUGGUGCAUAAUUAAACAAAAGCUAAUUUGUGGCUUUUCAUUCUCGUGUAGGUGCACCUGGAUAUGUCACUUCUACCUUUUUAAAUGGAAUGUCAUUUGUUGAUGGGUGGGAACAUAAUUUUUUUAUAUCAAAAUGGAGCAUGCACCAACUGGUAUGAGUCCAUUUCUAUGGGCCGUGGAAUUUGAAACAAAAAUGUAAUCCUUUUACGGGAUGAAGAAAGUUAUUUGUUAAAAGAGAGAAUGUUUUAAAAUUAAAACAAAAAAUAACAUAAGAUGGUAGAAGUAUUUGAUAGUAAAGCAUUUCACAAACAUUUAUUUCUUCUUUGCAUUCCUUUUUUUAGUAUUGAGGUUUGUUGCAAUUUUACAGCUUAUUGAGUGCCCAUCAGUCUAUGAAUUGAUGAAUUGUUGUUUUUAAAUUUAAGUUGUUAUAGUUUUUAUAUUAAAAUAAUAAAUUAUGUUUGGCCACUUGGCCCCCUCGAUUGGAGAUGGUUUUUUGUCACAAGGCUAUGUUUGGCCUAUGGUCCUUUGGCCCCUCGGUUGGAGAUGGUAAGGCCAUCUCUAACCGAAGGGUCCAGAGGGCCGAAAAUAGCCCGAAAACGCCCUCCAACUGAGGGUCAUGCCAAAGGGCUCGUGGGUCCCACUAGACAAAAAAUGGCCAAAAGGCCAACUGGCCGGCCCAAAUGAGCCAGCUAGCUGGCCUCGGGCCGGGCUCUAUUUUUGAAUCCCCAACGGCUAGCUAACAUCAGUUACAGUUGGCUUUUGAUUUUUUUUUUUGGGCCAAAUUUUUUUUUUAAAAUUCUCAUUUUUUCCUAUAAAUACCUAAACCAUUCCUUACAAAUUUUUCACCAUUCCUACACCAUUUCAAUUCUCAUAUUUUCUUACCUCUUCUAAAAAUAUUUCUUUCAAUUUUUUCAAUAAUUUUCAAAUGGCCUCGUCUGCAAUGAAAUGUAGGGCUUGGACCUGAAAAGAAGAUAAAGCUCUUUGCAGGGCUUAUAGAUGGGUGUCGAAAGAUAGUGUGAGGGUGAGUUCUUAAACAAGUGAAGGUGUUUGGACUUUUGUGUCCAAAAAAUACUUAGAGUUCUACGAAUGCACCACUCCACCAAAUAUCCGAAAUCACGAGAGUUGUUCUUCAAGAUGGAAGAAACAUCUUCAGCCAAGUUUGAACAAAUGGCACCAAGCACUAUUAGCAGUUACGAUGAAGUAAGUGUUUUCACAAUUUAUUUUAAAUAUUUAAUUAUAUUACAUUUAAUUUCAUAAAUUAAUUUCUUUAAUUUUUGUAAUUAUAUUUUCUAGAUACGCCAAGCGGAGGAAUUGUAUAUGGAGGGUAGCUCGAAACCCUUUCAGUUUCACGGUUGUUGGGAAAUUUGUAAACGAUGGGUGUUAUUUGAAGAUCUACCUCAACAUAGAGUAAGUCAUACGCCGUUGUUUGAAACUGCAUCCUCAGCUGUAGAUAUGGAUGAAGAUGGAUCUCCUACCAUUCAACAAACAAACGUAGAAAAUCUGUCUUCGGGUGAAGGUUCCAUACCUAGGGCUAUGGGACGAAACAAGGCCCGAAGGUUAAGGAAAAGGGCAACGUAAAUGAUGAUUACGCCGCUCAACAGGAAGUGGCGGCCUCAUUGCGAUUAAUGGCGGAGCAAAAUGAUAUUGCCGCGGAAGAAAUGAACCAUAGGCAUGAAGAAUAGGCCAAACAAAUAAAAGAAGAGAUGGAUGAUAAGAAUAUGGAAAUGAACACUUCGAAUUACACUCCAAUGAGUAAGGCCUAUUUUGAUAGGAAAAAAAAAAGAUAUUAUGACUCGGCGGCAGUUGUUUACCUCUAACUAUACUCCUACAAUGGCAAAUGAUGAAGAUGAUGUUGAUUAUGGAUAUUAAAUUUAAGUUGUUGUAGUUUCUACAUUUAAGUUAAUGUUGUUUUUAAAUUUAAUUUGUAGUUUUUAAAUUUAAGUUGUAGUUUUUAAAUAUAAGUUGUAGUUUUUAAAUUUAAGUUGUUGUAGUUUUUAAAUUUAAGUUGUUGCAAUUUUUAAAUUUAAAAAAUAAAUUAUGUUUGGCCCUAUGGCCCAUUUGUGUGACAGCCCGUCCCAAACGUAUUUAUCAUUUUGUCCUCGAGAGCAUGGAAUUUACUAGAAUAGCCUUGGGCGUUGAAUUAUUUUGUGUGGUGUUGUGAAUUAAGCUUAGGUUUUGGACCAAUUAGUUCUAUUCCUAAUUAAUUGGACCUAAUUAGAACUAAAAAGCCUAAGGUGUUGGUUGAUUGGCUGCAAAUUGGACCACACACACACCAAACAAUUCCGUUAAUUCUCUUUCUCUCUCCCCCUUCUCGGAUUUUCUUCCAUUUCCAUACAACCGUACGGUCAUUUCCUAAACCAGUUUUUCCUUGCACAGAUCGAGGCUGUGAAGUUGGUUUUUGUGUUCCUUGCGAGGCUAGGAGCUCAUCCAUACCCUUGGUGGGACGUGAAGACGUCAGGAACUCAAGAACCAAGAAGCUCCGAGGAGCUACACUGUUCACUCGACGUGAUCGUAAGUGCUUCUUAAAGUUUUGAGCUCUUUGGAGGUCUUAAAUCGUCUUCAUGAAGCUUUUAGAAGAAUUUUAGAGGGUUUUGAACGUCGAGAAGCUUGGGUUUGGCGAGUUGCAGGAGUGACUGGAAUAUCAAAGGAUUUUCCGGUGACUUCCCGUUGGUUGUAGGACUCUUAAGUGGUAAGAACUUGUUCCUUUCGUCCUAAGCUUCAUUUUGGUUUAAGUUUCAUGGAUUUUGGUGGAAAAAUGAAUAAGAUAUGAAGAUUUAAAAUUUUCCAGAAACGUGUGGAGAACGUUCGAGUGGUCAGGCAUUUUCCUAACGUAUUCCCUGAUGAUUUACCUGGAUUGUCGCUAGACCAAGACGUGGAGUUCACCAUUGAUUUACUUCCAGGUAUAGAUCCUAUAUCUCUAACUCUUUAUCAAAUGGCUCCUACUGAAUUGAGGGAGUUGAAGAUUCAGUUGCAGGAAUUAGUUGAUAAAGGUUUCAUUCAGCCUAGUACUUCACCCUGGGGAGCUCUAAUUUUAUUUGUGAAGAAGAAAGAUGGGACUUUAAGGCUAUGUAUUGAUUAUAGACAAUUGAAUCGGGUAAUGAUUAAAAACCGUUAUCCAUUGCCGUGUAUAGAUGAUUUAUUUGAUCAGCUUCGAGGCGCUUGUAUGUUUUCUAAGAUUGAUUUAAGGUCUAGUUAUUAUCAAUUGAAGAUUACAAGUGAGGAUGUCCCUAAGACAGCUUUUAGGACUCGAUAUGGUCAUUAUGAGUUUCUUGUCAUGCCAUUCAGGUUGACUAAUGCACCUGCAGCUUUUAUGGAUCUGAUGAAUCGAGUAUUUCAUCAAUAUCUAAACAGGUUUGUCAUUGUUUUCAUUGAUGAUAUUCUGAAAUCAGAGCAUGUUCGGCAUCUCACUUUGGUGUUGAAGAAAUUGAGGGAACACCAGUUGUAUGCUAAGUUUAGCAAGUGCCAAUUUUGGCUAGAUCAAGUGGCAUUUUUGGGACAUGUUAUAUCAGCUCAGGGUAUUCUGGUGGAUCCUCAAAAGGUAGUAGCUAUUGAGAAUUGGGAGCAACCACGAACCGUCACUAAGGUAUAGAGUUUUCUUGGUUUAGUAGGUUAUUAUCAACGGUUUGUUAAAGAUUUUUCAGUUAUUGCAUUACCACUGAUGCGAUUAACCAAGAAGGAUGUUAAGUUUGAGUAGGAUGAUAACUGUGAGCAGAGUUUUCAGCAGUUGAAAUAUUGUCUCACUCAUGCACCUGUUUUGACGCUUCCUGGUGAUAGUGGUAAUUUUGAGAUCUACAGUGAUGCUUCCUUGAAUGGUAUAGGAUGUGUGUUGAUGCAGCAUGGUAGGUUCAUCGCUUAUGCUUCGCGUCAGUUGAAGCCUCAUAAGAUGAAUUAUCCUACUCAUGAUCUGGAGUUAGCAGCUAUCGUCUUUGCUUUGAAGAUUUGGAGACAUUAUCUUUAUGGUGAAAAAUGUCAGAUUUUUACGGAUCAUAAGAGUCUUCAGUAUCUUUUCACUCAGGGGGAUCUUAAUCUUUGACAACAAAGAUGGAUUGAGUUGCUCAGUGAUUAUGAUUGCACGAUUGAUUAUCACCCUGGUCGUGCAAAUGUGGUGGCAGAUGCACUUAGUAGGAAGCCUCAAGCGAGAAUUAAUGCUUUGUACACUUGUCAUGCUCCUUUUCUUGCAGAUUUGAAGUCCGCUGGAGUGAAGUUAGGGGUGGAAGAAAAAGAGGAAGCUUUACUUGCUAAUUUUCAAGUUAGGCCAAUUUUAAUUGAUCGAGUGCUCGAGGCUUAAAUGAAUGAUGAGGAAACCCAGGAAUUAAUUCAAGCAAGAAAUGAUGAGAAAAAGAAAGAUCUCAGAAUUCGGGAGACUGAUGGUAUGCUUAUGCAGGAAGGAAGAAUGUAUGUGCCAAAUAAUGCAGAGUUAAAGAAAGAAAUUUUGAUGAAGCGCAUGUAUCGGCAUAUGCAAUGCAUCCUGGAGGUACUAAAAUGUAUCAUACUAUUAAACCAUUUUAUUAUUGGCCGGGUAUGAAAAGGGAAAUUGCUGAGUAUGUGAGUAGGUGUGUCAUUUGUCAGCAGGUCAAAGCUGAGAGGAAAAAGCCAUUUGGAAUGAUGCAGCCACUUCCCGUUCCACAAUGGAAGCGGGAAGAUAUUACUAUGGAUUUUGCAUACAAGCUUCCUCGUACACAAAAUGGUUAUGACGACAUUUGGGUAAUAGUGAAUCGACUUACUAAGUCAGCGCAUAUUAUUCCCGUAAGGGAGAAAUAUUCUUUAAGCCAAUUAGCUGAAUUAUUCAUAUCAAAGAUUGUUAAGUACCAUAGAGUUCCGGUUAGUAUUAUCUCGCAUCGGGAUCCUAGAUUCACUUCUAAGUUCUGGGUAGCAUUUCAGGAGGCUCUUGGUUCGAGGUUACUUUAUAGUACAGCAUAUCAUCCUCAGACAGACAGGCAGUCUGAGAUGACUAUUCAGACAUUAGAGGAUAUGCUGAGAUCUUCGGUAUUACAGUUCGGUGACGCCUGGCAUCAACGGUUAAAAUUGAUGGAGUUUGCAUAUAACAAUAGCUACCAUUCGAGUAUUGGUAUGUCACCAUUUGAGGCACUUUAUGGCAAGUCUUGUCGUACACCUUUGUGUUGGUCAAAGGUUGGUGAAAGAGUUUUAGUGGGCCCUGAGAUUGUAGAGGAGACUACUCAGAAUAUUCAUGUAAUUAAAUCUAACCUAAAAGCAGUCCAGGAUCGACAAAAGAGUCUAGUAGACAGGCAUGUCAUUGAUCGAGUGUAUAAAGUUGGUGAUUGGGUGUUUUUGAAGCUAUCACCGUGGAAAAGUGUAGUACAGUUAUGGAAAAAGAGUAAGCUAAGUCCUAGGUACAUCGGACCCUAUCAGAUCACUGAGUGAGUCGGUGAAGUUGCUUACAGGCUUGAGUUGUCUUCAGAGUUUUCUAAAGUGCACUAUGUAUUCCAUGUCUCUAUGCUUCAUCAUUAUAUCUCUGAUCCAUCACAUGUGAUACCUCAUCAACCAUUGGAAAUUAAUUCAGAUUUGACUUAUGAGGAAGAGCCAGUGACAAUUUUGGAUUGGAAAGAUAAGGUUUUAAGGAAUAAGACUGUGCGCUUGGUGAAAGUUUUGUGGAGAAAUCACUCGGUGGAGGAAGCCACCUGGGAGACGGAGGAGAGCAUGAAGAAAAUGUAUCCACACUUAUUUUAUGAUUAUUAGUGGUUUGUAUUAGUGUAUGAAAUUUUAAGGAAGAAAUUUUAUUAAGGGGGUAGGUUGUGACAACCCGUCCUGAAAUAUAUAUUAUUUUGUCAUCGAGAGCAUGCAAUUUACUAGAAUAUACUGGGACGUUGAAUUAUUUUGUGUGGUGUUGUGAAUUAAGCUUAGGUUUUGGACCAAUUAGUUCUAUUCCUAAUUAAUUGGACCUAAUUAGAACUAAAUGGCCUAAGGUGUUGGUUGAUUGGCUGCAAACUGGACCACACACACACCAACCAAUCCCGUUGACUCUCUCUCUCUCUCUCUCCUCCCUCUCGGAUUUUCUUCCAUUUCCGUACAACCGUACGGUCAUUUGCUAAACUAGUUUUUCCUUGCAUAGAUCGAGGCUGUGAAGUUGGUUUUUGUGUUCCUUACGAGUCCAGGAGCUCAUCCAUACCCUUGGUGGGAUGUGAGGACGUCGGGAACUCAAGAACCAAGAAGCUCCGAGGAGGUACACUGUUCACUCGACGUGAUCGAUAGUGUUUCUUAAAGUUUUGAGCUUUUUGGAGGUCUUAAAUCGUCUUCACGAAGCUUUUAGAAGAAUUGUGGAGGGUUUUGAACGUCGGGAAGCUUGGGUUUGGCGAGUUGCAAGAGUGACUAGAAUAUCGAAGGAUUUUUCAACGACUUCCCAUUGGUUGUAGGACUCUUAAGUGGUAAGAACUUGUUCCUUUCGUCCUAAGCUUCAUUUUGGUUUAAGUUUCAUGGAUUUUGGUGGAAAAAUGAAUGAGAUAUAAAGAUUUUAAAAUUUUCCAGAAACCGGCGAUCGCAGCGGCUCCAACGCCUGACUCCGGCGAACCAAGGUUGAAGGAGGAGAAUAUUCCAUCAACUUUGACGAAAUAUUCUAAUGGCGUCAGGUAUCUUUAACGGCAUAUUCUAUAUUUUAACGGAAUAUUCCCUAAUGUCGAUAGGGAAUCCGUCAGUGUGCCAGGCAUGUGCCUGAGCAUGGGUCGCGGGUCUGGCCGUGCCUUGGCUGGCUCGUGAGUGGUCGGAAAAAUUUUCUAAAAAUAUUAGGUUGUUCCUGAGGUUGAGUAGGUCACGGUGGUAUAUUCAUAUACCCCAAUUAAGCAAUGUAUGAGUAGUUAUUACCUAGUUUUGUUUAUGUUCUUAAAAAUAACGUUUAAAUAGUUAGGUGAGACCUAUCCUGAGGACGAGCGUAGUCAAGCAAGGCUCGGGGGUUACGACCCUUCCACAUAUCAAUGAGUGGGCUUUUAGUUUUCAAUAUAUAUAUAUAUAUACACACACACUUGGUAUUUUUCCCAUAAAACUUAAUUAAAUGGUUUGAUAUUUUUGAAAUGCCAUGUCAAAUGUUCUUUAUGUUUAAUAGUGCACUGGUAUGGUUUAUUGUUGCUCGAUGUUGUGGACACGCAGGUAAGCUUUAGGUGAGUAUAUUGAUGGUAGUGAUGGUAGUGAAUAUAUUAGUGUUGAGAUGCAUUUCGAGUUAUUUAUCCUGCACCUCGAUGUUAAUGCUUCGCUCGAGGACAGGGCCUAGCCUUCACCUGAUUGUUCACCUCCCGCACCACACACUCACCUUAGAUCCAAGGUAGGUGCCAGCCUAUUGUACAGACCACACUGGGUGGUUCCGACUCGUAGGUGACUUGCGAUACUUCGCACAACCUUCAUGUGACCGUAGCACUUGAGAGUAUUUAUUUACACCUACCCUGUCGUACAGACCACAUUAAGUGGUUCCGACUCGUGUGAAAAAUUUGAUUGAUGAGUUGUGGACCCAGCCGUACAGGUCACUUUAGGUGACUCCAGCUGAUAUACUAUUUCUUAUUGAUUUAUUGCACCUGGAUUACUUAUUUCUUGCUGAGAUUUGACAUGGUAUUUUCGGUGGAUUGCUAUUUUGAAUAUGCUUUGAGAUAUAAUUGUAUAUGCUAUUUUCUGAGAAUUAUACAGGUUUUAUGGCGAAAGGUUACAACUUUUGAUAGUGAAAUGGUUUUGAAAAGCUUUGGUUUUGCCCACUCACACUUUUUGUUUUGCGCCCCUCCAAGUUUUAGGUAGGAGUGCUCCUUGUUGGCUCACGAGGAACUCACGGCAGCUCUGACAGAUUAUCACUAAUGUAGGACCAUAUUUGAUAUUUUAUAAUUAGUAUUCGUCCUACUGGACUGCACUUAGGCUACUUAUGCUCUGAUCAUCGCACUUUCACCGUAUCCCAUCUAGUAUUUUAGUCAAUUAGUUUUUAUUUAUUUGCUUUUCUUAUAUCAUUGUUGCUUCCGCACUAUGCACAUGGCUAUGUCACCCUCACGUGACGGCCAGCAUGCCUCGAUCUAGGUCAGGGUGUGUCACUUUGGCCCUCGGUUGGAGACGAUUUUUUGUAACAGGGCUAAAACAAGCCCUAUGGCCCUUUGGCCCUCAGUGCCAUCUCCAACCAAACAAGGGCCAGAUGGCUCGUUUUAGUCCUCUGGCCCUCCAAUAUAUUAAUAAUUUAAUGAACAGUACAUUGUCAUAUUUGCCUCUAUCUCCAACCCAGGGCAAUAAGGCUCGUUUUAGCCCUGUGACAAAAAACGGUCUCCAACCGAGGGCUAAAGAGCCAUAGGGCCAAACAUAAUUUAUUAUUUAAAUUUAAAAACUACAACAACUUAAAUUUAAAAAUGGUGAAAAUUAUGUGAAAAAUGGUGUAGGAAUGACUUAGGUAUUUAUAGGAAAAAAAAGGGAAUUUAAAAAAAAAAAAAAAGAAUUGGCUAAAAAAAAGGACAAUAUUGUCAGAUAUAUCCGACACUAAAGAGGACAAUACUAUUGGCUAUAUCCGACAAAAAAUGUAUUAAUAAUAAAAAAUCUUGCCUAACCCGAGGUUGGCUGGAUUGGGCUAGCCGGUUGGCCCCUUGGCCUUUUUUUGUCCUGUGGGGCCCACAAGCCCUUUGGCCUAGCCCUCGGUUGGAGAUGGUUUAAGAAAUAUGGCCCUGCACUAUUCAUUAAAAUAUUAAUUUCUUGGAGGGCCAGAGGUUGAAGAUGACCUAAGGGAUCCUCUCCGGAUCCCUUCCACCAAAUUCACCAAGUCUACCAAUCUAGGCCCUUGAAAUUUGAUCCAACGGCUAAAAACAAGGGGCCCCAUUUAAAAGUUAUAAUAACUUUAGCCGUUGGAUCAAAAUUUAAGGAUCCGGAUUGGUGGACUUGGUGGAUUUGGUGGAAGAAAUCCGGAGAAAAUCCAUUUCCUUGUUUCACAUUAUUAUUAAUUUUGACUGAUCUGGUAUGUUGACUAAUCGUUUAUCUCAUGAUAAAAGUUUGUUAUGAUGAAGAAAGCCGAGCUCCCUAAAAUUAAUCGACAAUAUAAGGAGCAGCUUAAUCACUUAUAAGCAGAUGCAAUGUCCUCUUUUUUCAAUGUGGAAUUCAUACUGUAAAACCCCACCCUCGUUUUAUUUUUAAAAAAUGGUUUUUGGGUCUUAAUUGGUGAGCCCAAGGGGCCCACCCUCUGAUUUGUCCCCCGGUUCCCUUCCCUUUUUUCUUUCUUUUUCUGAUUUUUAUAUCAUCUCUCAUCUCUCUCUUCUCCCUCACUCUCCCUUAUCUCUCCCUUUCAACUCUCUGUAACUUUCUCCUUCCCUCUUACGCAAACUCACACACACACACAGGCAGCCAUCGCCACAUUCACACCAUCACCAUCAACUCGGAGCCUCCCUUUUCUCCCUUACCUCUCCGAGCUCACUCUCUCUCUCUUUUUGGCACUUUGCACAGUCAUGGUGCAUGUGAUUUCCGACGAGGUAAGUCGUAAACAUCCUUCCACCUUUCUCCCUAGUAGUCUUAGAGGCGUAGUGGUUGCUAAAAAGUUGUUUUUGGAAAAGGUUUGAACGUGAAAACAGCUCAAGAAGUUUCUCCCAUAUUUUUCGGCGAGAACCCAACCUUUGCAUACGUUUUUUCGGCCAACUCCAACCACCUCUCAAUCUCCCAAUGUUAUAAACCUCUUCCUUAUUGUCUAGGCUUCAUUUUGGUGUAUUACAUCGCAUGUUUUGGUUAAGUUUCGAGCUCCAUCGGAGCUCGAGGGAUUUCCCGCCGAAUUCUAACCUUCUCUUUCAAAUGGGUCUGGCGACCCACAAUUAGAACUCAGGUCAGGCUUUCAAGCCCCAAAGCCAAUUCGAACCAGGCCCUUGGGCUGUGCCAAAACCUAGGGCCUUAGGCCCAUUGUUUGAAAACCCAAAACCCUUUUCUUUAUUUAUUUAUUUGUUUAUUUCCUUUUAAAACCCAAAGGAAUUGGACCGGGCCUCAAGCCCAAUACCCAAAUCCCUUUAAACCCUAAACCCUAACUGGCCCAACCCAUUACCCAUAAAAGCCUAACCCAAAACCCUUUUGGAAAUUUAGGCUUUUGGGCCAAUGAGCCUUUCAACCCAAACCCACCAGCCCAGAUCUGGCUUAAACUUUCCAAGAAUAUUCCUGGAACAUUUGGAGGAAUAUUCCCCCUGUUGACUCUUAAGAAAUUUAAUCGGGACCCUUCUUAGGGUAAUUCGACGUCUUGGAUCCAUUUAUAACAUCCGUUUUCUCAAAUUCAAUCGUUUGAGUAUAGUUUUUGGUAAUCGCACUCUUUAUAUGCUUAGGUGCAAUUUCUAGCGACGAAUUCUGUUAUUCCUAUUUUGUACAGUUGUGCAUCAACGAUGUAAGGUGAGUGGACCCCUUCAAAAAUGCAUGUUUUAAUGGUAGAAAUGCAUACAUGAAAAGCAUGAUUUAAUGAUUAUGUUUUAUGAAACAUUUUAUGAGAUAACAUGCUUAUUGAGGCUAGUUUGAAUUACUACUAUUUUUCCUAUAACCCGUGUUCUUUAUAGAAUAUCCAAUGGAUGGCGAUAUAAUAUUUAGAACAUGUUUCGAACACCUCUUUAUAGUAUAGAUGAUGGAUGACUUUAUACUAUGAAGUUACUUUUCAAAUAUAUGUAUGUUCAAUGGUUUUGUACUUACCUAUUGGUCCCUAUUCCGCUAUGGGGCGAGGGAUAGAUUCCGUCACGGGCGACGUUAAGACGUUGGCAUAAGGCCUAAAGAAAUAAUGUCUAGCUACAGGCUGAGAGACAAGGGAAGCUGGCUCGGGGCCUGAAGGUGAUUUUCCUCUGGUAAUUGGCACAAGGACGGGGAGCUGGCACGGGGCCUGAAGUGAAAUUAGAUGUUCACUAGCGAUUACUAUAUAUACGAGAUAUGUUUUGAGACAUUGCACGGCAUGCUAGGUUUAGGAAAACCGAUUUUAUUUAUCAUGCUAUAUGUGUUUUCAUAAAACCUGGGGGUUAGAAUGUUGAUAACAGUUUUAUUAUAUCUAUAUCAACUUGGUCCACUCAUGUUUGUUUUGCACCCCCUUCAGGUCUUAGAAUCGAGGCAUAUAAUCCCGGCGUCAAGGCACUUCCGCAUCGGCAUCUUCGAGUCUUCUCGGUGUAGGACCCAUUCUUUUAUUCAUUCAAUUUUAUAUUAUUUCUUUUAGCGUUCUAGUUAGUUGUAUGCUCUGAACACGUUCCUCAUUUGCACAUUAAUUAUAUUUAAAUUUCUUUUAUCUUAUUCAUAUUUUAGUUAUCAUGCAUUCAAUAAAUGGCUUUCAUCACCCUCGAGUGUCGGCCAGCACGUACCUAUCCUGGUGUUCGGGGAAUAUCGGGAUCGGGACGUGUCAGAUUAGUAUCAGUGCGUGGUUUGCUCAGAGCAUACUUAGGACCUUCUGUUACUAUAUUAGUGUGUCAAUCAUGAUUUCGUUUAGAUGUCACGACUACUGAAUUUGGUGCCAUUCAACGCAAUUAUGCAAACCUUUCGCUAUUUGAAUUGUCACCUUCUGGUUGAAAUACAAGAAUUCGUGUCGGGAUUGUGCCUCAACAGUGAUGAAGUGGAUUGUUGGAUGACUUUCAAUAUCAGAUCGAUAGUCUGUCACAUGUGUUCCCUAGGAAUUACGGGCGAAGUCGGAUCUACUUAGGAGUUUUAGGAAGCGAAAAAAUUGUAACGGUAUGAGUUGGUUAAGACCAACUAGAAAUCUGAAACGGUGAUAUCACUCUGCAACAUGCAUUCCCUAGGAAUGGGGGGCGGAGUCAUAUCUUAGUGACAACUACUCGACCAUUCGAAGUGCAUGGGGAACCCGAGUAAGCGCCAAUUGUUACGAAGUUUAGUAUGUGGUAGUUGAUGGGAGCAAAUCAAUGUUAUCGGACUCAUUACCACUGAAGAAAUUCGUGUGGAUCAUUAGAACAAUUCCCAGAGAUUGUUCUGUCAAUAACCUUCUUGCUUACUCCAAUAGCAAAGUCUAGUCCCUAACCUUUGAUCGUCAGCUUGACACCAAAUCUCUUGAGCGUUGACUUUGUCUAGAGAUUAUACUUUUCUUGGGAAACUUCUCAAUAGCAAACAUUAUUCUCACCAAUUUCCCAAAAGAAGUUACGAUCUUGUUGUUGUUGUAGUUAGACUUGGAUAAUGAAGAUCCAGUCUUGGUUGGAUAAACAAACUCCUUGAACUUUACCUGGGUUUGGUACUUGGCAGUAAACCCUAGCUUCUUGUCCACGUAUUUUUCGGUAGAAAUGAACUUAGCCUCUUGCUUGUAGCCCAACUAACCAGUGUUUUUGUCCACUAGUUGUUCAGCCUUGUAAUUUUCAGUGUAAUGGCUUGAGACUCCACCAUAUUCAUCAUUGUAUGAAGAUCUAGCUUUGCUCUGAACUUCUCUGGACUCAUUGAGCUUUGGUUUGCUCAAGGGCAUCACUUUAAGGUAGUCAAUCGUGUCACUGCAUGCAUAUGCAAACUGCUUUGUAUCUUUCUUCUUCGUCAUUCUGUUGAUUCAAAGGUUCUAUGUUUAAUUUUUGAACUUUAAAAUAGCUCUCACAAAGUAUUGUGAAUUACGAAAUGCCUUUGGCCGUAUCAAAUCUUAUUAGCUAUUCUUAACUAUUCUUUGAGCUCAGACCUAUUUCCUUUUUUGCUAAGAAACCAGUCAACCUUACUGUGAUGAUUAACUAAAUAAUCAUACCCAGUGACUUAUAUUUCUUCAUCUUCACCUUCCUUCACUUGUUCGUUUCUUAAUGUAAAUCUGGAUCUUAUCGAAACAUUACACGAAGGGUGUAAAGAAAAGAAAAAAAAACGUUUGUUCUCGACAUGGUUUCUGGUUCAAAUCCCAAUAUCUUGUACUCUAGAUUUUAAUGGACUUGUUUUGACUCUCAAAUUCUUGAGUGUUCUUUCAGCCUUCUCGACAUGGUUUCUCGCUCAAUCAGUAAGGAAUUCACGAUCGAUCGAUUCGGCGGAAGUCUGUGCCCAAUUCUUAUCGUUUCGGAUAAGAACGUUAGGAGCAUAACCUCUUCACAAGCUUACCAGACUUACCAGAAAGAGAUCUACAUGGGUGUGAGGUUUGAGCCUCCUUUUGGUAAGAGUUGGAUGAAGAUUGUAAUGAAAAAGGUCAACAGAUUGUGUCACCAUCUUGCUGCAAUUCAUAAACAUCAUAUCGUACUCUAGUAGUUCUUUACCAACGAUAUGUAAAUAAGUUCAUUUGCCCAAAUAUUUUAAGGGUAUCUUUCACUUAGCCCUAACACACCUUUGAUAGGCAUAUACUGAGAUUAAUUAUUGGUUUGGUAUUGAGGUGCUUUUAUAAAAAAAUGGGUAUCAAAAAAAGUUGAGCUCAAAAAAGUGUUUGGUAAACACUUAAAAACAGCUUAUUUUCACAGUGUUGGGUGAAAAAAAGUUGAUGAAGCAGCAAAAAUGAACUUAUUCUCACAGCACAGCAGAAUCAGUUUUUUUUUCAAAGCACAGCAAUACCAAACCAGCCCUAAAUUCCAUCUUGAGUUCCGAGUCUAGUAUCUGAACGAACUAUCUAGACCUUGGAGGACGCGUUGUGUUCACUCGUAUUCUGGCUUUAGCACAUUUAGAAGUUGCACUUCUCUCGAAAUGUGUGUACUCUCAUGAGGUUUUUAGGUUGAUCACUUGAAAGUCCUUCUUUCCACCAACUUUGGCCUUGUUUGGCUAGAAAUCUGCAACUAAGCAAAAAUGGAUAGGUGGAUUUAGCCCUUCAACAACUCCCAAGAGAUACUACUUGUUGAGGAAGGUGACUUCUCGUUUUCUGCUUGCUUGAUUCGAGCUUUUGAGUUUACUAUUAACAUGGUAACCACUUCUCUUGAAUCCCAAGAUACCGUUUUCAAAUGGGUUCUUUGUUGGCGAAACACUGGUGUAGUUGGUCACAUUUGGAAGAACUAAGGAAGAUGAUGUGCUUGGUGUUGGAUGGAAUUAUUACGUCGACGAUUUUAUUUGAUUCGGGUUGAAGAUGGCACUUUUUGUGACACGGUACGAGAACUUCUACAUGCAAUGUUGGUUGACAGAAGGGCUUUGUGAACUUGUAUUCAGAGGAUCGAAUUUACAACGUGUGAAAUUGUGCACUCUCAGGAAAUCACUGCUUCCUUAUCAAGACAACAAAUGUGUGAUCAAUAUCACGGGUGGCCGACUGUUGUAUUGAUAACUUAUUUGUUGGGUUCAUUAAGCAAGUGGGCAGGAAGUCCCGUCUACGACAAUUGUUACAGAUUCGCUAUUGUUGGGGCUCGACCCAAAGACACACCUUUCUCAGAGUACGUGACAUUACGUAUGUUUGGGCAAGACCCACCUUCAUUUGCAGUUUUGGUUUCAGAACUAGUAUUUUAAAUUACCUUAUUAUAGUUUUAUAUUUGUAUUUUCGAAGUUACAAAUGUUUUGGGGGAAGUAUUUCUGUUUUCAGUUUUAAUCUCAGUACGAGUUUUUAACCUCUACGUUAUUUCAUCUCUAUUUUAACGUUAUCGUAUUUUACGUUCUUACUUUUGACCUUAAGCUAUUUUAUGUUUUCGACUUUAUAUCUUUAUUAAGUAUGUUUGGCUACUUUUUACGUAUGUGGGAACAAAGUAGGAUUUUGAGGCAUGAAAGAGGAUUUGGCAAACAGAUCGCGACGGUGUGGCAUUUUUCCUUUUGUGCAACCGCUCUGACCUGAUCUCUUUGUUACGUAUAUGUAUAUUUUUCUUCUUCCUAUUUUUGAGUUUUUCAGUGUAGUAUGUUAUUUUAAAUUUCGAGGACAAAAUUCUUUUAAGGGGGUAGAUUGUAAAACCCCACCCCCGUUUUAUUUUUUAAAAAAUGGUUUUUGGGUCUUAAUUGGUGAGCCCAAGGGGCCCACCCCCUAAUUUGUCCCAUGGUUCCCUUCCCCUUUUCUUUCUUUUUCUGAUUUUUAUAUCAUCUCUCAUAUCUCUUUUCUCCCUCACUUUCCCUUAUCUCUCCCUCUCGACUCUCUGCAACUCUCUCCUUCCUUCUUCCCUGAACUCACACACACACAUACAUACAUACAUACAUACACGCAGGCAGCCAUCGCCACGUUCACACCAUCACCAUCAACUUGGACCCUCCCUUCUUUCCCUCACCUCUCUGAGCUCACUCUCUCUCUUCCUAGCACUGUGCACAAUCAUGGUGCACAUGAUUUCCAACAAGGUAAGUCGAAAACAUCCUUCCACCUUUCUCCCUAGUAGUCUAGAAGGCGUAGUGGUUGCUAAAGAUUGGUUUUUGGUGAAGGUUUGGAUGUGAAAAUAGCUCAGGAAGUUUCUCCCAUAUUUUCAGGUGAAAACCCGACCUUUGCAGACAUUUUUCCUGCCAACUCCGGCCACCUCUCGAUCUCCCAAUGGUAUAAACCUCUUCCUUAUCGUCUUGGCUUCAUUUUCGUGUACUAAAUCGCAUGUUUUGGUUAUGUUUCAAGCUCUAUCAGAGAUCGAGGGAUUUCCGGUCGAAUUCAAGCCUUCUCUUUCAAAUGGGUCCGGCGACCCACAAUUGGAACUCGGGCCAGGAUUUCAAGCCCUAAAGCCCCUUCGAACCAGGCCCUUGGGCUAUGCCAAAACCUAGGGCCUUAGGCCCAUUGUUUGAAAACCCAAAACCUUUUUCUUUAUUUAUUUAUUUGUCUAUUUCCUUUUAAAACCCAAAGGAAUUGGACCGGGCCUCAAGCCCAAUACCCAAAUCCCUUUAAACCCUAAACCCAAACCGGCCCAACCCAUUACCAUUUAAAGCCUAACCCAAAACCCUUUUGGAAAUUUAGGCCUUUGGGCCGAGGAGCCUUUCAGCCUAAACCCACCAGCCUAGAUCCGGCUGGAACCUUCCAAGAAUAUUCCUCAAAUAUUCUCUCGAAUAUUCCCUUGUUGACUUUUACGAAAUUUAACCGGGACCCUUCUUAGGGUAAUUCGACUUCCUGGAUCCGUUUAUGACGUCUGUUUUCUCAAAUUCAAUCGUUUAAGUAUAGUUUUGGUAAUCGUACUCUUUAUGUGCUUAGGUGCAAUUUCUAGCAGUAAUUUCCGUUAUUCCUAUUUUGUACGGCUGUGCACCAACGGUGUAAGGUGAGUGGACCCCUUCAAAAAUGCAUGUUUUAAUGGUAGAAAUGCAUACAUGAAAAGCAUGAUUUAAUGAUUAUGUUUUAUGAAACGUUUUAUGGGAUAACGUACUUAUUGAGGCUAGUUUGAAUUAUUAUUAUUUUUCAUAUAACCCGUGUUCUUUAUAGGAUAUUUGAUGGAUGACGAUAUAAUAUUUAGAACAUGUUUCGAACACCUCUUUAUAGUAUAGAUGAUGGAUGACUUUAUACUAUGAAGUUGCUUUUCAAAUAUAUGUAUGUUCAAUGGUUUUGUACUUACUUAGUGGUCCCUAUUCCGCUACGAGGUGAGGGAUAGAUUCCGUCACGGGCGAGGUUACAAUGUUGGCAUAAGGCCUGAAGAAAUAAUGUCUAGUUACGGGCUGAGAAACACAGGAAGCUGGCACGGGGCCUGAAGGUGAUUUUCCUCUGGCAAUUAGCACAGGGACGGGGAGCUGGCACAGGGCCUGGAGUGAGACUGGACAUUCACUAAUGAUUACUAUAUAUACGAGAUAUGUUUUGAGACAUUGCACGACAUGCUAGGAUUGGGAAAACCUAUUUUUAUUUAUCAUGCUAUAUGUGUUUUCAUAAAACCUGGGGGUUAGUAUGUUGAUAACUGUUUUAUUAUAUCUAUAUCAACUUGGUCCACUCAUGUUUGUUUUGCGCCCCCUUCAGGACUUAGAAUCGAGGCAUACAAUCCCAACGUCAAGGCACUUCCACAUCGGCAUCUUCGAGUCCUCUCAGUGUAGGACCCAUUCUUUUAUUCAUUCAAUUUUAUAUUAUUUCUUUUAGCGUUCUAGUUAGUUGUAUGCUCUGAACACGUUCCUCAUUUGCACAUUAAUUAUAUUUAAAUUUCUUUUAUCUUAUUCAUAUUUUAGUUCUCAUGCAUUUAAUAAAUGGCUUUCGUCACCCUUGGGUGUCGGCCAGCAUGUGCCUAUCCUGGUGUUCGGGGAAAAUCGGGAUCGGGACGUGUCAUAUACUCCUAAUACGUACCUUCAUGUGUGGCGCAUUUUAAGCUUAGCACGUGAACAGCACAGACCAGGUGGCGUGGAUCACGUGCAUGUGUUAUACUCAACACAUGAGACAAUCUGCUCUGAUACCAUGACGAAAGUUUAGGUUCCAUCGCUGCUUAGUACUACGGUCUAGUGGUAUUUCUUUUCACUUGUAAGUUAGAAGUCCUAGGUUAAAUUCUUGCCAAGGGCGAAUUUGAUACAUAUUAUUACUAGCCUAUUGUGAAGAAGCCCAUCUCCUUCCCCUUAGUGUAGAUAAUGUCAUUUGUUCAGAAAAAAAAAAAAGUAGUUGAGGUUCCAUCAUAAAACUAAUUGACAAUAUGAGAAGUGGUUCAAUUACUUAUAAGCAUGUGCAAAGUCGUUCUUUUACCUAAUAUGAGAUUCAUACUCUCAAUAUGUCACUAUUAAACAAAUAUGUACAAAAACAAAUAGAACAAAUUAUUCGAUCACUUGACAAAAUAGAACUCACUGAAGACAAUAUUACGUUUGUUAAAAAUGAAAUGGAGCUUCUGAUUACACCCAACUUUUAUCUCUUCUCACCCAACAGACUCCUUUUACUCUACAAGAUUUUAAAAACUUAACAUCUUCUCUCCGCACUCACCAAAUCUUCCAAAAUUACCCCUUCCUAAUCCUUCUCUAUCUUACACGAUAUAUCUUCUCAUCCAACAACACCCCUUCCUAAUCCUUCUCUAUCUUUCUUCUUUUUUUUUCUUUUUUUUUUCUUUUUUUUUUUGUCAUAAGGUAAAUUGUUAUUACCUACCAACAUAACUUACACGACUAGAGGCCCAAACACACAAAAAGUACAAAACAACAAAUGAGCCUCCAAAAUAACAACAAAAGAAAAGUAGAGUCCAAUGCAGAAAAACACGCGAGAAAACCAGCCAAGCUCUGAAACAGAAAAAAGAAAAUUUCAUCAUCCUCGAGCAACGUCCACACAACUUCAAAUUGCAACCACCAAGAGAAUGAAUGGAAAGAAAAGAAACAAAGUUCAUCGUCCUCGAGCAACCUCCCCACAAUCCUUCUAUAUCUUACACGAUAGAUCUUCUCAUCCAACAAUCUCCCCUUCAAUAUGGGGCUGCCUAACCCACUUUCCUCCAUCAAUAUUCGGUUCUUCAUCAAGCUAUGCACACUCUUUUGAGAAUUCAACUUAAUUAUAAGGAAUAUGAAACCAGCAGCUCUUUACAACUACUUGUGAAUUAUGUCUUUAUUUGCGUUCAUUUAAGUUGAUGGCUAGCCAUCAAAUUGUUCUUCCCCAUCAAUUUUUAGAAGAAAUCAAACCAAACUAGACUCAAGUGUUCAUAUAUUCAUUGGAGUUGAAUAUAACAAUACAUAAAAUUCCAUCACUAAGAAGCCAAAUUGUAUCAAGACUUUGUAACAACAGCACAAAGGUCAGGAGUCGAUUUGGAGGAGAAGAUCGCGAGUGGGUUCGGCUAGCACUGGUUAACCGAACCCCCGAUUCCAUGUUCAUGGCUAUCGGCUAAUCCUCAACUCUUAUGUUAGGUGCUUAACUUCCGAACAUUGAACUUUUUGUCAAAUUUUGAUUUCGGCAUGUUCAAAUACAUGAUUCAAUCUAGUUGUAUUUUAGGCUAAAUAGCAAAAAUGGUCCCUGAGAUUUGCAUAACUCAUCACUUUUCCCUAACAUUUCAAAUCAAUAAAAGUGGUCCCUGAGAUUGUCCACCAUCCAUCAUUUUGGUCCUUCCGUUAAAAACUCCGUUAAGUGUCCCGGAGCUCUUGGACGGAAGUUUGGGCAAUUUUCAAAGCUUUGUAACUCCAUCGUUUCUUAACCAAAUUCGACCCAUAAUAUAUCAAAAUGAAGAUAGGGAAGUGUAGAAUAAGAUUAUACCUAUUUGGAAGCCCCGUGGUUGCCGUAGAUGGCCGGAAAACAGCCUCAAAGUUGAUAGGUCCAAGGAAAACUGGAAAACUCGCCGAAAACUGGGUAAAUUUUAAACGUUCAUAACUUCUUCAAUACUCAACAAAAUCGAGUGAUUCAAAAACGAAAAUCAGACUUCUAGACAAGACGAAAAGAAUGGUACCUUUUUUGACGGCUAAAUCGCCAUGGUUUGGCCGGAAAACGGCUCAAAAUUGGUACCAUUCUCUUCUUCUCAUCGAGAAGUAUGAUUUUCAUUUUUGAAUCACUUGAUUUCUUUGAGUAUUGAAGAAGUUAUGAACGUUUAAAGUUUACCCAGUUUCCAGCGAGUUUUCUAGUUUUUCCUCGAACCAGUCAACUUUGAGGGUAUUUUCCGGCCAUAUCUGGCAACCAUUGGGCUUCCAAAUAGGUAUAAUCUUAUUCUACACUUUCCUAUCUUUAUUUUGAUAUAUUAUGGGUCGAAUUUGAUUAAGAAACGAGUGAGUUACGAAGCUUUGAAAAUUGCCCAAACGUCCGGCCAAGAGCUCCAGGACACUUAACGGAGUUUUUAACGGAAUGACCAAAAUGAUGGAUGGUGGACAAUCUCAUGGACCACUUUUAUUGAUUUGAAAUGUUAGGAACCAAAGUGAUGAGUUAUGCAAAUCUCAAUGACCAUUUUGGCUAUUUAGCCUGUAUUUUAUUUAAGAAAAUAGAAACAAACCCAAGAGGAUUUCAGAGAAAAGUGACGGCUUAGGGCAGAACAUUGCAGCUCAAACCCUACUUAUUUACUUCAAUGAUUUAGGGUUUUGGUCACAAUACCACCUUACAUCUCAUUUAAAUUAGCUAGCUAACAAAAGCCUUCAAGACCCUAGUUGUUCUAAGCUAAUCUAAACCUCACACCAAAGCAAACCUAUCUCAGCCCUACACUUGUAAUUUUGGACUGAGUCAACAUAUUGGCCGUUACAAAUUUAGAAAAAAACUAAGCUAUUACUUUUGUUUAAUACAAAAAAUUGGAAGCUAGAAAUCAGUUUAGGCAUCAACACUCUCCUUCAAAUUGUUUCUAGCUUUGACACCAAGCAAUAGGAUGGCCAGUUGAACACUUCGUAACACUACCAAUAUAUAUGCUUCUACGUGAAAAGGACUAGCAGUACCCCUCUGAAGAGUAGCAACCAUAACAAGACAGGUCCCUUCCCCAUCCCUAACCACCCUAAUGUCACCAUUACCACUGCACUCGCAAAAAGCAUAAUACAAAAUAAUAUUCACCCAACUAUGACCCAGAGGACUCCACCAUUGAUCCUGCACUGGCUGCUUACCUCAACUACCGGUCACACAUGUUCUCCUUGCCACAGAAUACUAGUCCUCAACUACCACAAAGACCAUAUGAACAUCAUGAAGGAGAGCAAACUACUCCUUUGGAAUAGCCUUUCUUUAAGGCUACGAGAUCGCAACAAACUUUUCUGAAAAGACAAGGGACUAACAAACUACAUGGAACUUUUUAUGUAGAGCCUCGAUGGGCAUGUACAUGCCCUGUUCUUCCUCCGUCUGUUUACUUGCUUGAAAUAUCAUAUGCAAAAAUUGCUUUGCUUCCCUCUUUUCAUUUUGGAUUUGACGGCUUGGCUAAAUGGACUUUUUUCUUUCUUGGGCAUGUGACUUUCUUGUUGUUCAAUUUUGUGUGAACAUUGUAAUUUACUUUACUAUGUUUCCGGUUUGGUAGGUCCCUUAAGCUCUACUUGAACCAGUAAAACCUUCUCGGUGAUGUGAGCUCAAAAUACCUAUUAAUCAGAUAAGCAAACCCAAUUUUAACUUGCAAGUGCACAAGACCAAUAAUAGUAUAGUAAGAGCAAGUAUGAAGUCGUUCCCACGAAUAUUGAAUUUUACUUUUAAUUUGAGUCUCAACUCAAUUCAAAUUCAAUAAACUUUUAACACAAAUAGGGCUGAAAAUUUUACCUAGAAUGAACGGGCCAAGGAGAUCUCAAAACCCUAAAUUACAAGUGGGUGGGAAGAAUAUUUGAGUGCUUGUAAUUGUUUCUCCAUAUGCUUCUACAGUAAGCAAGGCUUCUAUCAUUGUGUGUGAUUAGUUUACUUUUGUGUUCUCAAUCACAUAUAUAUCAUUUUGCACUUAUUGGUUUGAGGAAAUUAAGGCUCAGACUUCCUUACAUUUUCAUGGUUCUUUAAGAAAUCCAUUGAAAUCUUACUAAAUUGUCCAACACAUGAGAAAUUUGAUUCGUAACUGUUGGAGGAAAGAUUAGCAGUUUUCAAUUAUACUGCAGAAAGGAAGAAUACAAGAGAAUAUAUAUGGAGGAUGAGUUUUGAACGGGGACUGAAAUUUACUUAACUUUAUUGCAUUCAGUUUUUUAUUACAACACUAGGCCAUCUUAUUGGCUAUUUAUAAUAACAUUCAGACCUUUCAAUAACAGCCAUAACUCUUGGAUUAGUUCCAAGGGACACAACUCUACAUUACAGAAAGUGCAUUACAUUUAACACUUAAAUCAUUGACUUGAUCGUAGUUGAUCUAAGGUUGUUACAUAUAUCCUCCUUAGGUUCCAGAGUAAUCCUCUCUUGUUCUUGCUAAAAUCUCUCCAUGGCCGAGAAUGGCAAGCACAUUGGUACCAAUAUUCCAUCCUCAGUGUUGUUUUUGUGUUGAAUGUAGAAGCAAAUCAAAUCCAAGGCCUUGGCUGGUCCAGCAAAUACCGGCUGUCCCCAUCCACAAUUGACAUCUCCAAAACCUGCACAUGUUGUAUCAGAAACUAUUAAAUAACUUCCUGUCGAUGAAUAUUGAGGUCACCCUCUUAGUACCAAAAGAUCUGCCACUGAUCUUAAUUAUUCUUCAUUCAUGGUAGCUUUAGCCUUCUUCACCAACUCCAAAGCAAAGCAUAUCCCAGUGGAUUUUUGCAUAGAGGUUCUACCUUUGAAACUACAGCUGGAAAUGCAAAUGCAUUGCCAUAGUAUCCCAAGGGAAGACGUACAUUGUGGUGCUCUCCAUGUGCAUUGACAGCGCAUGAAACGCGAACAGCCUGUUUGUAUUAAUUUUAAGUGCAAGAGUGCGACAUUUCCCCAAACAAGCUGCGAUCAAGUCAAAUGUGGAGCAAGUGGAAAUUAGGUGGGGUGGAAUCUGUUCUCAAAGGACUCUCAUCUCCUUGGCACCAAAGUAGAAAGAUCGUUGAAGCAUGUUUGACUGGUUACUGGAUGCGUAUGAGCCAUCAGAAUGAUCAAUCACAUCUUCAUAUUCAUGAUGAGCACAUGUAAUUCUUGAUGGAUAGCGAGCGAACAAGAGCUCUCUCUCCCACACUGGUAGAAUAGAUGGUGCAUGUGCACCCCUUGCCAUCUCUGCAAUAGCGUUCAGGAACUGGAGCAAUCCAGGUGCAUCACACAUUUUGUGGUUUAGGCGCAAUGCAAGUAUGAAACCUCCACAUGUAAGACAGGUCACCUACAUAUUGCAAAAGUUAGUUACUAGACUUUUUUCUUGAUCAUCAUAUUCGUGCUAGUUAACAAUUCUUUAGAAGAAAAGACAAAAGAACCAUCUAAAUUAGAUGAUCUAAUUAGGAAACAAAAAUUUCAUAAAAAUUUGGAAUAAAAUUCAAGAAAGAUGGAGUCUCUUUGAAAGAGUCUCAUGCAUGUUGCAGUUACUUGAAAGAGUCUUUAAAUACAUAGGAAUUUAGACAAAAUGCUUAUAGAAGAUAGAAAAAUUUAGACAGAAGACAAAGAGGACAACAUGACGACAGGAAAAAAACCUAGAAGAAGAACGGCAAAGGAAAACCUACACAAUAAAGGUGAUGUGAGACUGGUAGAAAACCUAGGACAUAAUUAGGCAAAUACCAUGUAGAAAUAUAAUUUCCUCAAUUCGGUGUGUAUACAAAUUUUACAAUAUAUAGGGUUAACCAUAAGGACUGUCGAAGAAAAAUUAGUUUCGAAAAUUAAUGAAAAGCAUCUCAUAAUCUUUUCUUUCCAAAACCACCUAGUGAACUUUCUUUAAUCAUAAGAACAAAGAGGCGUGGUAGUAUCGUAGAUAAGUUCAAGUUUGGGUGUGGUGGCAGUAUGAUAAAUUUUCGUUUAUGAAAAAGGUUGCCAAUUAAUCAAAAAAGUUAAAAACAGUUGUGGUGCCACCAAACUUCAGCUAAUUUACAAUAUUGUUAGGGCUUUCUUGUUAUAUCCUUACUUGUCAUUAAGAGUAAACUGUCGGUUUACCCCCUGAACUUUCACCUUACUUUCGAUUUCCCCCCUGAACUUUUCCAUUGGAAAAUUAAGGACUCAAA